GUUGGAAGAAUUGAAGAUUGAUUAUACAGAGAUAGUACGAAAAAGGCGGGAACCUUUUGUUUUCCGCAGCCUUCACCGUGUUACCAUAUUUAGUUGCGGUAAAUUGAAAGAUGUGACAUUCCUCGUUUUUGCUCCAAACCUCAAGUCUCUUGAGCUAUUGCAAUGCGAUGCUAUGGAAGAAAUAAUCAGCGUCGGAGAAAUUGCUGAGACUCCUGAGAUGAUGGGACACAUAAGCCCUUUUGAAAAUCUCCAAAGUCUUCAUUUAUCGUAUUUACCAAUUUUGAGGAGCAUCUACUGGAAGCCAUUGCCUUUCACUCAUCUCAAAAAAAUGGAGGUACGUAGAUGCGAUCAGCUUAGAAGGCUUCCGCUCGAUUCCAACAGUGCAACAGAGCGUAAUGUUGUUAUUCGUGGAUACACACUCUGGUGGAACCGACUUCAAUGGGAGGAUGAAGCCACUCAAAUUGCUUUUCGUUCCUGUUUCCAACCUCGUUCCUGAGCAGUGGUCGCAAAAUUUGAUUUCUGGUGAGUGCGUUUGUCUUUUAAAAAGAAGAAUUUAAAAGAAAUUUAUUCUUGUCGUUUUCUUCACUGUUUUUAUUUGAUUUCUGGUUAGUUUCUUUCUCUCUCUCUCUCUCUUUGUCUUCUGCAAAUCACAAUUAAAUGUUGAAUUAAUGGAAUUGAUGCUCUGGUUUUUUACUUUUUGUUGUCAAAUUUUGCCCUGUUCUAUCUUCUUAGCGAUUUAAUUUCCUGUCAAAAGACGAGCGAGAAGAACAUAUAUAUGACUUAAACCAAUUGAUACUUUAUUUAUGUGCAUUGUAUGUAAUAAAUAUUAAGUAUACUUUAUUUUUGCCCUGUUCUCUGUUUUUAUUUCAGUCUCUCUCUCUCUUUCCUGUCUUCUGCAAAAUAUAAUCAAUUAUUUUCAAAAUAUCAUUGAUGAUUUUUCUGCUCUAAUGCUAUGUAAAUAGUAUGUUAAGUAAAACAUAAUCAAUUAUUUGUGUUUUAUCUCUAAUUAGAACAUCAAUCAGUUCAGUACCUCACAAAUAAUUCGCAAUAUCUACAAAAUACUAUAAUGGCUACAAAACAAAUCCUGCUUGCAAAUUGUCAAGGAUACCUAUCCGUUCGCUUGACAAGUCAUUUGAAUAAAUAUUGUUCACAUUCCUUACUCUAUCAAUUAUCCAAAGCACCAUCAAUGGUCCUCAACUUUAGUUUGAAUAGUAUACAUGCCAUCACCAUUACCAAGAAUCAAGCAUGGAAGAGUCAUUCUAUAGAGUUAAUCGAAGCAAGGAAUGAUGUAUCAGAAAAUAUUUGGUGGAGAAUUCAGCACAAACAUAUUUUGGAUGAUCAGAAUCAAUAAAACCUGGUGGUUGCGCCAUAUAAACAUCUUCGGAAAGCUGACCUUGAAGAAAGGCGUUAUUGAUAUCCAAUUGACGAAGAGGCCAGCCAUGACUAACAUCAAUACUAAGAACAAGCCGUACUGUGGUGGACUUAACAACUGGACUGAAAGUGUCAUAAUAGUCCACACCAGGCCAUUGAUUGAACCCUUUGGCAACAAGAUGAGCUUUAAACCUGUCAACAGAACCGUUGGAAUGUCUUUUAAUACAAAAAUCCAUUUGCAGCCAACAAUAUUGGAAGGGAUGGGAGGUGGAACAAGCUUCCAUGUCCCGUUACGAACAAGAGCAUCAUACUCUUCUGACAUAGCUGGACGCCAGUGAAGAUUUUUGAUAGCUUGCGUCACAGUUGUAGGUUCACAAUCAGAAGAAGGGCUAAAAUGAGCACGGAGGUUAAGUUUUUGUAACGGCUUGUGAAUCUUAUUUUUAGCUCGGGUAGUCAUAUCAUGAUGACUUGUGGGGCAAUGAUCUAGUGGAGUUUAGGAAGAUGAUUGAACAGGAAGUGAAGAAGUGCUUUGUGUAGAGGUAGAAGUAGGUUGGGAGGAUUGCUGCGGAGAUGUUACCGGUAGAGAAGAAGGAGCAGUACACGGUGGCAACUCCAGAGGGCCCACAAUAGAUGGAGUAGGUGCCGACAAUGGAGUACUAGGAAAUGAAACAGGAAGAAUUGGUGGAACACUUGCGUAAUUAGGAGUGGUAGAUGAGCUUGUAAUGAUUUGUAUGGAAAAACAAACUCUACAAAUUUAACGUGACGUGAAAUAAAAAUUCAACCCGAUUGCAUAUUUAAGAACAUCUCAAAUGAAUUGCUUACUGCUAUCAUCAUCAUUAUUGUCUAUAUAAUAAUGGAUCUUUAUUAUAUAUAUGUUUCCACUAAAAUAUAUUUAAUUAUUCUUUAUUUUUCUAUUGUUGCGUGUAAGAUUUAUUUGAGUUCUAAGUUAUAUCAAUACAAAUGUUAUCUUAUCCAUAAAAAGUUAGAUCCAACAAUUAUGAAAAUUACUAUAGAGUUGCUUUCAAUUAUUUUUUUAAAAUACCAGGAGUAAAUAAUAAUUAGUUCAAAUGGUGGAGACUAAAAUGCGUUCACCUUUAUUUUUUAUCUGUUAUUUACUUUUGUCAUUACAUUAAUGCACAUGCUAUACAUUUGAGACAUUCCAUUAAUUGCCAAUUAUGUAUGUGAGAUAGUAAUUUAAAUUAAAAAAUAAAAGUGAAAGUUAAUCCUAUGCAAUGUGAAUAAAUUUCUUUCCUUUUUCCUUUACUCUUUUUAUUUGACAAUAAAGUUUCCAUCUAUCAUCUAUCAUCUAUGUACACAAAAUUUCUGCAACAAGUACAAAACAUAAAAAUAUAUGAAUAUUAAGGGAAACACGCAGAAGUUCAUCAUUUCAAUGUUCAGUAUUACCAAUUUUGGCAUUAAGCUUGUACGAAUAUAUUCUACUUCGAAAGCAAAAUAUUAGACUCGUGAUUUUAAUUCAUUCAUUAUCUCUCAUUUUAAUCCCAAAAUAUUCAAGAGUAUCCAAGUUACCAUAAGACUUCAGAGGCUCGAGCCUUAGCCAGAGAUGGUUAAUUGAUAGACUAUGUGCCUGGGUCGAGCACUGGAAGCCUGCAAUGCAGACUGAUUGAUUUAUCAGUUUAACGUGUGCCAGGAAUGAAGAACUGGAAUAUCACCGUCAAGCAAGCACCCUGUGGAGCAAUACCAAAGAAUGCACAAUCUGGCUUUGCUAGGUGACCCUGGAGGCUUUUUGAAAAGUGCUUCAUGCUCACUUGCACAGAUUGAGCAUCCCCUCUGGAUAUUGCCCUCUCUGAUCGAGUCUGAGCACUCAAAUUUCGGUCCUCAGAUGGAGCUACAGCUUUCUCUCCAAUAACCAACAAUUUUCUAAACUCAGCACCUAGUGUGAUCAGAGUUGUUGAUAUUUGCAAAUGGAGAUCCCCAUAUUUGCAAAUGGAGACAUUUAACAAAUCACCAACAUGCUUCAUCCGGUCCACGAAAUUCUGCAACUGAUUCAAAUCUGGAACCUGAACCAGAGUCGGAGGUAUAUCUUGAGCCAUAUCUAAAGCAGUUUGAAGUUCAAGACCUUGAGCCCUUGACAAUGGUUUUGAAAUUGGAACAUCUUGGAUUACUGCAGACUUGUACCCCUUGGUUUCAAAGGUAAGGAAAGGCAUUGCUUGAGUACAAUUUGGAGGCAGCUUCUUCACCAAUUUUAUUUGGAGGCAAUUGGCAGCGGAUCCAGCUGCACCAAUUUCAGAGCAACUACUGACACUACUUCGAACAGCACACUGACGAAGUGAUAUGUCUACGGCAAAGGCAAUGCAGUCCUCAUUUUGGCUUGAGAUGCAGUAAUCAUCGAAGAGAGUUUCCUUGUGAAACUGGGCAACACAUUGAAUCCCUUCGCCACUGAGAAGGUUGUGGAGGAAGUAAGCUGUCUCUCUAGUGAGGAAGAGGUGGCAUACCUUCCCCAUUUUGUCUAGGGCAGGUAGGAAUCUUUUUUCUAAGAGAUUUACUUCAUUCUCUGUGAGAAAUGCUUUGAACUUCAUCCCUCUGUCUCUAUCCUCACUUAUCAGGAAAUAAGUUGAAAGCACUAUGAAGAGAGAGAGAGAGAGAGAGAGAAUUAAGAUAUAUAGACAAGAAAAUAAUUAGACGUUGAUCUUACAAACUAAUACUUCAAGCAGUAUCCUAGAAAGCUAAAAACUGCAAGAUGGCUUGAAAUUUGAAAAGAGCACAUGGUUUUCCUCCUUAACUUGAGAAAAUGUUUAAUAUAGUGCACCUUACAGAAGCAUUUAAGCAAUUAGAACUUUGCACAAAAACAUCAAGAAGACUAAACAAAUCAGAUGCAGUGUAUUUGUCCAAGCACAAAUUGCAUUUUGUCCUCAACUUUAAUAUUUAUUGAUGAGAAUCAAUACAGGUCCCUCAUUUGUUAUAGAAAGCUUUCUUGUAGUCUCACCAGUUAAUUCACAGGUCUAUAAUCAUCUUGCAAAGUUAAGGGCAUUUCUUUCGAUCUAAAGUCUUUGCAUCACCACCUCAUCACACGCCAAGCCAAUAUUCCAUUUACCUCUACAACAAAAAGUUUUUAAGUAAAUAAUCCUAAUGCACGCAGCCGAAUAAAAUGCAGUAAGAAUAUUCAACUUAAAAAUCUGAAAGCCAACUUGGUGAAUUGCCUCCUUAGGUGAAGUUCCAUGCUUUACUAUAGUUGACAGAACUCAGCAAAAGCUUCCAUACAACAGAUUUUGAAAAUGAUGAUGCCAAUAGAUACUCAUUCAAUCCAUUGAAACUCCAAAGGUUCAUUGUUCAUAGAAGUUUACAGAGUUUUGGUCAUCAAAUAGCUCAGACCUAAUCCCAAACAAAAAACGAGUGAAAAUUAGAUCACGAGCAGCUAAUUGUAAAUUCUAACUUAACUCUUCAUCUCCUUUGUAAACAAGAAACAAAAUGGAGACACGCAAAAUGAAUAUGGAGAAAAUUUGAACUCAAAUGAAAUGAGGGCACGAAAGCAAACAAAUGGCAUGCACAAAAAAACCAAGCCUCGAUAAAAAACUAAUUAACCAUUAAGAAAAAAAUUGGUCAGAGAAUGAACUCCAAAUUCAGGAGUCAAGCAAGAAGCUUUCAUUAUUUCAGAAGCUCCUGUACAAAUUAAUAAGUUAUGCUCUUUGGAAGCAAACCUAAAUUCCAAGAGAAACAGAACCCAAAAAAUUUGCAAUUAUACGCAAAGGAAGUGAAGCACAGGAUUCUAUCACACAUAGGAAUUGUAUAACAAGAGAUCGAUAUAUCGAAUUAGAAAACUCAAUUCGAAUUUGUGUCAAAAAUCAAAAUUAGAAGAUUUCACAUUUCGAGAGGAACAAGCAACAGAUGAAGUUCAAAAUUUCAGCCAUAACAUGCUAAAAAUGCUACACUUAACGGUUCAUUUUCAUGGAUUUUCUCGGGAAACAAACAGAAAAUUACGGUUUAGAGAGUUGACUGACCUUUUGGCUUUUGAAAUUGACCAGAUCGCGCGCCAAAUUGGAAGAGGGAAAGUGAAAGCGCGAGUUUUAAUAUGGGUAUUAGAUAAGGAAAUUUUAUUAGGUUGCGAGGGUAAAAAAGGAAAGAGAUAUCAUUAUUUUAUUAUCGAUAAUUAUUAAAUUUUUUUCCAAAAAAAAGAACAAGCAAGGAUUUUUUAUUGUCAUCACUAAGUUAAAAAAAAUUGUUUCAAAAUUACUUGAGUCAUAUCCAAUGGACCAACAAAGUAAUCGUUUUUAUUUUUAUUGAUUUUUGCAGGAAAUUAAUAACUUAAAAAUACUGAAAGCUACUGUAAAAAUUUUUAUUAUCAACCUCAUAAUUUUUUUUUUUUGGGGAAGAGAAUUCAAACUUUUUUUUUAUGAAUAUCGCUGUUUCGUUUGAGUUGGAUGUGAAUUCAAAUCCAAAUAUUCUUUGUUUUUCAAUUUUGAACUCAAUUUCUUUUUCUCAAGAAUGUUAUGCAGAAAUAAUUUUUACUAAAUCUUUUUUGAUGAAUUGUUUAAAUUAAACAAUUGGAAUAAGAAUUGUAACGAUUUAUCAUAAGCGUGCUAAUAUGAUAACUUGUUUUACGAAGGAUUAAUUAAUCAAUUAAUAUUAAAUUAUAUAUUAGUCAAUUAGAUAUGUGUUACAUUUAUCAUGUUUUGUAGGUGAUAGUACAUCAUUUCUAAAAGAAUAUAGUACGUUAAAAUAUUAUUUUAAUGAAGAAAAUUUUAUUAUUUUAUUAUUAGGUGACACAAUAAUAAAUGGAUUUCUGUAAGAAUUGAGAUUCUUGAUAUAAUUAUUACAUAAGGAGAAGUUUAGUUGGUUCAAUUUUGACGUGAUAAGAAGACAACACAGCACAGAAAACCCAAAUUGCCACUUCCACUAAUAAAAGAUACCUGUUUGAAAAGUAAUUAUAAACUAUCUUCUUUGUGUUAUUUCUCAAAACUUUUGUGGCACAAAUGUUAUUUCCAUUGACAACAGUACGAAAUACCACCCCUUUCACUUGAGCAGGAGCAAAGCAAAGGUAUGAUGAGCUAUCUCUGUAUAAUUGAAACGCCAUUACUAAACGAUUCUUGAUGAUGGGAGCCACCGUGCCAGCUUUGUCGCUGAUUUGCAUGAUUUAUUAGUUGUCCAGAUGGCGGAUUUUGUACUGUUACCUUCGUUUCAUUCUUCAGAGCCAUGUACUGUUCUAGGAUACCAGAGAAACCAAGGUGGCAUUGAAGUUGCCCUGGUGGUUAGUUUUCCGAUCAUUUUUUUAUUCAAUUAUUUAUGUUUUUAGAAAAAUGUAGGAAAUAUGUAGAAAUGUUGACAGCUAUGAUUUUGAAACUUUUGCCUAAAAUUGUUAUCAUUACUUGUUGUUUCUUAUUUAAAGAGAAAUUCUAGAAACAUGAAAUGAUUAUUCUACGCUUGUUUUAAUAUUGUGCUAUGAAGAUUACGAAGGUUUGAUUAUAUGUCACUAUCAAUUGCCUUAAUCGUUUGUCGUAAAUCAAUUAAGCAUUUUGAUGCGAAUGAUUCCCUAUUAAAAAAUUCAAGUCAGAGCUGAAUUGCAAAGUAGUUAGUCGUGCUUGCAAUUCAAAUUAAGUAUUGUAUUUUCUCCCUGAUUUGGUUGAUUCAACUAUGUGCAUUUGCUUAUGAACGUUGCAGUAUAGAAAUCGAAAUAUCUUGUCUUUUGCUAAGCCCAGAAGCAAAUUCUUUGUAUUCUACUCAUCAGUUUUCUUCAUUCUCUUUGUUGAAAUUUUAUCUAAACAGCGGUUUCUUCGAAUUUAUGCCUUCGCUUACUCUUUUAAAUUUUAUCCAAACAACGGUUUUGAAAUUGUUUUCACUACAAUACCUUAGUCUUUCAGAUGCUCCCGUCACUGAGUUGCCAGAAGAGCUAAAAGCCUUGGUAAAUCUUAAGUGUUUGAACCGGAGUACACAAAUUAUCUCUCUACAUUUCCAAAGCAAUUGAUUUGUUACUUUUCGAUGCUACAUGUUCCGCGAAUAUUCAGUUGUGGUUAUCUUGUUCAGAUACCAGAAAAUAGCGUUAUAUUUAGUGGUAAUGAAUUCUUGGUUUGGGAGUUGCUUAGUUUAAAACGUUUAAAUGUAUUAAGCAUCAUCUUGAAAAGUUUUUCUGCUGUCCAAAAACUUAUGAGCUUCCAAAAGUUUCAAAGCUGUACACAAUGCAUGGAGCUUGUAGACUGUGAUGAUCCAAAGUCAUUUGCCGUGGCAGAGUUGAAGCAUCUUGAAAAACUAGGUUUUUCAAGUUGUGGAAAUUUGGAAGAGUUAAAGUUCUGCUGUGUCGAAGUUGCAAAGGCUCGAGAAUGUUUUCGUUUGAACAGCCCUCACUGAGUUAAGAUGAAGGCUUGUCAUAAAUUGUGGGAAGCGACAGGUUAUUCAAAUAGAAAAAUUUAUGGAGAUGGAUGUUAAUCUUAAGGUUAUUCAAUUAGAAAAAUUUGAAUAAAAUUUAUGGUAAGUGCUUUUCCAUUUAUUGCAUAUUUAUAUCUAAUUUUUAUUUUCCUUUAUUGUUAAAUUUUGGUCUCUAUUUGUUGUUGUAUGGUGGCAUUCUUGUACAAUUAUUAGCUUUUCAUUUCUCUUCUCACAUUAACUGCCCUUCUGAUCAUGUAGGAUUUGCUGAUGCAAAGAGUCAUAAUUUGGGAUACAAAUGUAAGAAUUAGACAGAUGACAUGUUGUUUUGAAGCUCUCAAAGAAGGACUAAUUAUGUCAUUGAAAGCCUCCAAUUUUGUGAUUGGUUUCUUUUUAUUUUAUUUGUUGUUUUCUCUAUUUUCAGAUCACUUAAUUGUUAGUUGUUGUAAUGUAAUGUUUUAGUAUAGCAAAUUAUAUUCGGCCAAGACAGUGAUAGGAGGGCACAUUGUGCAUGCACACUAGUGGAUUUGGCAUGCCAAAUCCAAUUAGGAUGGAUAACACUUUAUAAGCAUUAGGCUUCUCUCAUACCUGAGUAAUAUAGAAUAUGUUUAUAAGUUGUGAAUCACCCUUUACAAGUGUUAGGCUUCUGCUAUACUCAGUGAUGUGAAAUAUAUUUAUAAGCACUAAACUUCUCCCAUACACUUUAUGUUAAUAAUAAUAAUAAUAAUAAUAAUAAUAAUAAUAAAAUAAUAAUAAAUAAACCCAUUUUAACAGACUCUUUUUUCUUUUUCUAUAUGAACAAAUGCAUUCUUCAAAGCAACUGUGGGGAGAAGAAGUGAGUAGAGAAGAACUGAGCCCCUGUCAUUCCCCUAAAACCUCACCAAAACCUCUCUUGUAAGCUUCUCGGAUUUUCUUUCUAUAUUUCUUAGGAACUCAUUUUUUAUUGAAUCACUUAUUUUGCAUGCUGCAUUUUUUGGUUGUCGUAUUUGUGUAUUAUCUUAUCUGGAAUGCUGUUAUGAUUGAUGGAACAAGUAAUCGAUUUUUGGUCUAAUGGAAGUUGAUUUAUUUAUUUAUUGUUGUUUUUAUUUGAAAUUAUGUACAAUUGUAUUUCAUUCAUUUCUCUCUCUUUUGCUUUUUUCCCCCCAUAUAUUUGUUAUGUAUAAUUGCGUUUCAUUUAAUAUUGAUCAUACUGUAGGUAACCAUGUGAUUGUAGAUGGGGAUUUCGAGUUUGUUGAAUAUUCAUGUAAGUGAAGUAACCGUCACAAUACUAGUGAAAUUGGGAGCUUUAUUCAUGAGUUUGUGGUUUUGAAAAGUACCACAGUUCAACUGGUGAAGGCUCCGUUUUGGGAUUCUUCUUUUUCUAGGCUGCAAUUAGGAUAUGUACAUGAUAGACAAUCUUUUGUUGGUUUAGCAUAUCUUCGCUGAUUUUGUCUUUUAUUCCCCAAUUUUAUAAUUACACACCAUGAAUGUUGGGUGAUUGUAUAGAAAAUUUGUGUUAUAACAAAAACAUUGUGAAGGAGUUUCCGUGCUAAUAGUUAGUGGCUUCUGUUUUAUUGGCAUUGAUUGGGUAGAUUACGUGUUACAGUGAUUCAAUUUGUGUUCCAAACUUUGCUUUAAUUUUCUGUUUUCCCCAACUAUUUAUGUCAAAUUUAAAUCCAGAAGCAUGUGCUGAUUUUUUCUUUUUGUAUUAAUCUGUGAAGUUUAUUUGGAAUGGAAGUAACUGGGUCGGGUCUAAUGGAUUAAAUUAUGACAUUGAGGGGAAGGCACUAAAAGGGUUUGCUUGACACAUUUGGUUCUGUGUUUACUCUGCAAGAAAUAACUUUUGCUUAUUGCAAUGCAGGGGGAAAUCCCGAUUUGGCUGGUGAAUUUCUCUGCAACAAACAGGCAAACACCUCAACAUCUUCUGUCCAUACUUCUGCUGGGGAGGCAAGGGGUAAAGAGUCUUCAAAAUCAUCAAAUAGUUACAUCUCUGAGAAUUCAUUUUAUGGAAAUGGAAAAUCUAGAGUUUCUAAUACAAAAUGGCAUCUGGUAUCAGGACGUACCGUUUCAAGUUUUCUUGGUAAAGAUUAUGUUAAACCUGCACAGCCAGCUAAUGGCACUUUUCUGGCAUCAAAGCCAUUGAAGUUGGAUCCAAGGGAGUUUCGCAUUUCUGCACUUUCAGAGAAGAAACUAAACCGACAAUCAAAGGAUGACCAUUUGCAGAAGGAUAUGGAAGAUUUUCUUUUUAAAUUGCUAGGAGAAGGGUUCCAGCUGUACAGGGAUGUGAUUCAGGAGGUUCAUGGUAACGUCUUAAAUAUAUUGAUGCCAAUUUAAUACAUAUUGUCCUUUUCAAUGUUCUUUCUUUCUUUCUCCUCUUUUUAUUAUUCUUCUUCUUCUUUUUUCUUUUCAUGUGCAUGUGAUCACUAAUUUGGUAUUAUUCUUGACUUGCAGAUAGUUGUGGAUAUGAAAUGCAAAAGGUAAGGGCUAUAUCUUCUUGAUGGAGGCCUCUGAUUUUUUAAAUCGCAUUUUCCUUUGUGAUUGAUAUAUCAUACCAAAGUCAAGUCUUAAAUACUGCUGUCAUAUGUUAAGGUUCAACUUCCAUUUUGAUUAACGUCGAUUUGCUACUGCUUCCAAAAGUGAGAAUGAGAUACUUUGGUUAAUUUCAGUAGUUGAACUCAAUGGAGUACUUUAUUUAGAUCUUCAUGGUUCAAAGGCCUGAAAAAACUUGCCGGUAUUUGCAAAAUGACAUCUGUGCUUUUAUUUAGACUUAUUAUUAAAGACAACAUUUUAUUUCAGCCAAAAAUGUUUGUUUCAAUUAAAGACUUGAACCAUUUUCAUUUAACCUGAUUGUGAUGCUUUACAUUAUGCAUGUUCCUCUCAAUCAAUAAAAGUUGAGGUCAUGAUUUUAUAUUUCUAUUUUGUAACUUGAAAUAAUUGGUCUGCCUGUUUCUGUUGCUUGAUAACAUGAAUUUUUCCUUCUGAAGUUAAUUUGAUCAAUAAAGUAAUUCUUCGGAGAGGAUAUGCCCAUUCUAUAGUCAUUUUCUUAGCUAACAUGUUUUUUCUUCACUCUUCAAAGCAUGUCUAAACUAAUUGAUCGCUCAGCGGAGACUUUGGGUGAGAAGACAAAAUUUCUUGGUAAAUCCUCUGAAAAGGUAUGCAUAAUUCCCGAGUAUUAAAUAAUCAUUGGUCAUAAUUUUUGUACACGACUCUUGUUUUGGAGAUCGUUAAAAGUGGUUGAUGAUCUAUUUUGUAAUAUCAUAGAGGGAUCAUGAAUUCCUUUUCUUUUCUGUGGCUAGGCAACACUUUCGAGCCAAGCUAAGGAAAUCUAUUUUAGGUAAUGUGAAAACUAGUUGUAGGAUGUAAUAGUUUAUUAUGCCCUGACAAUAACUUUUUGUAUAAUUGUCAGUUUAAUGAAUACAAGAGGAACUCUGUUGGCAAGUUCAUCCAUGAUAGAUGCUAAAAUUAUUUAUGCAUACCAGUUGCCUUAACUAAUUUUUCUCAACACUGGUAUUGAACAGGAAAAUGAAUAUGCAAUUUGUAUAUUGUGCCAUUGUGGAGAAUUUGGAUAUUCUUAUUUAAGUAACAAGGAGAGUAUUUGCCUCAUCUUUAAACAAUGAAUCUUUGAGAAAUGAGGAGUGGGUGAUUGACAGUGUCUUCAUGUAAAUGUUCAUUUAUUUGUAUUUUGAACUAUUAUGAGAAUCUUUGUAUGCCAAAUUAGUAAUACAAAUGUUCAGAUGAUUUUUCCUGUUGAUCAUGCGUGUGUAUCUGCACACAACCAUUGUGUACCACUUUAUUCUGAUGCACAAAUAUCUGUAGUUUAGAAGAAAAGAAAUAAUAAUCAUAUAUUAUUGCUUGGUUCAUGAUUAUUAAAUGAUUAUGGCUUUAGAAAAUCCACAAAUCCUUUGUGUUCAUAUAUGAAUGUGCGAAGUUCGCUAUAUCUUAGAUUACCUUCUUCCAAGAUAACAAGUUCAUAUAUUUUUUUUAAUCCUUUUUCAUCACAGUUGAAUUUCAAGUGUAAGUUUUGUUAUUAAUAGCUGGUUUCCUGUUAUUAUGAUUUCAUAAACAAUGAGAGGAUAUGUGCUCUACUUUUGGAUGGCCUCCACAUAAAAGAAAAUUGCAACAAUUGAAUUCUUCUGGAGGGUAUGGUAUUUAAUUUAUUUUCUCAGCUUGUUGUAAGACUAAUAUAUUUCCUUCAGUACGCACGGCAUGGUGGGAAGGGUUUUUAUUGAAAGAAUUAUGAUAUUUCUUAGACUUUGUUUUGGAAGGGGGUGGAGGGAUUUCUCAUCCAUGUAUGGUUACUUGAUUAGCUUUUGACUGUACUGUCUCCGUCGUGCAAAGGAAAAUCCAAAUACUAACGAAGGGGAAUUGCUUAGGCACCCAAAGGACAGAAAUGAAUUACGGAAGGAGGUUUUUGCUGCUUUAUUUAGUGCUGCUGAGAAAUCUGAUGAAUUUCCUGAAAUUACGGUGAAGACGGAGUGGAGGUCCAACGCAUUAGGAAAGGUGGUGAGUGAACCGCCAGAGGAAUUAGUACCAGAAUACAAGGCUAAUGUGGUGCACUGGCAGCAAGAUGACCAGACCUGUAUGUGCUCUUAUAUUAACUAUAUUGGCUGGAUUUGUGAGUGUGUUCAUUUUUGUGUGUAUACUCACUUUUGUAUUUAUGCAUAUUCACGUGUGUAGGAUUCUCGAUUUCUGCCACUUACUGGAGAACUAGUGGAAAGCUUUAUACUGAUAUAUGUGCUAUAUAACUAAUGGAAACUACAAUAUGAAUAUUUUCUCUCACCUGGAGAGCAGUGUAACUAAUAUAAUUUGUGGCUCUGGAAUACUGAAGAUUCUGCAAUAACUAAUGGAAAAUAUGAUAUGAAUAUUUUUUCUCACCUGGAGAACUUUGUAACAGAUACAUUUUGUGCUGGAAUGUCUAAAGAAUGCUUCAGUUUAUAUCAAAUAUCUUUUAGUUAGAAAAGAUAAAAUUCUCUGAAUCUGAAAGACUGAAACAUUUUGCAUAUUUCGUGAAAGGCAAGUAUCUGUAGAUACUAGCUCAUGCAUUGAGGUAAUAUCAAUGUUAAAGAAAAACAGCAAUAAUUUAUUAUACAGAAUUAGGUUCACUUGCUUUAAAUGCUGGUCUGAUCAACCAUAUCAACCUGUAAUGGUCCUGCAGAAAUAUAUAUACGGGGAGAAACUAGCUAAUUUUCCUUUCACUUAUGGGUUUGGUCUUUUUUUCCCCAAUUUUUCAGCUUUCCUUCUCCUGAAGUAUGUUAAUAAUUGCAGAUAAUGGCGAAGAGGACUGCUUCCAGGCUACCGGCAAAAACUUUGUGAAAGCUUUGGAGUUAAACAGGGAAUUCACUUACUGCUAAGGACAAUUGGUGGCGAGCUAUUUCAUUCAUUUUAUGUCCAUACAUCUAUUUAAUUAUUAAAGAUAAUGUACGCAUUUGUAAAUUUCAGAUUGUGUGUCUCUGAAAAUAACAAUAUUUAAAAUGUCUCUUAAAUUAUUAUAAAUUUUAAUUUACUCUCGAUUUAAAAUGGAACAUGUUGGUGAAAUAUUUUUUCUUCUUAAUAAAAUUGAAAUAAAUUAUGUUAGCAGUAGUUUGAAAUAUUUUAAAGAUGAUUAUUUUAUAAGGGAGUAAUAUGAAAUGAAAUUUACUUUUCAUGCGUGAAAUGUUGAAAAAGGACAAAGCAAGUGUCCCUGCUUUUAUUUUAUUUCAAAGUGGAGUCAUCUCACAUACUUUAGCUCUAUCAUUAGGAGCCGGCUAAGUUACGUUAAACGUAAUUUACGCCAGGCACAGCAAUAAUGACAAGUCCCAUGACUAGUAUUGUUGCUGUGUCUGACGUAAGUUACGUUUAACGUAACUUAGCCAAAGCCCUAUCAUUAAUAUAUAUUUAAAUUUAACACAUGCAUGUGGGUUACUUUUCCGUAAGUUCCUUAAUAUAUAUUUAACACAAAUCAUGGAAGAGAUGGGAGUAUAUCAAGAUGAUCAAAGCAUGAAACAAAAAUAUUUAAGAAGUAAAACACUGAAAAUGGAGAAGAGAUGCAAGCAAAAGAUAUUCUAAAGAAAAGCAAUCUAUCCCCUUUCGAGGGCAAACUUAUCAGGUUUAAGAAAAGUACAUGCUUUGGAUUGGUAGUUGCAGCCUUGCAGGAUAAUUGUUUUUGCCACUAUAUUAGUUGGAGGAGUUGAACCCAGUGAAGAAUGUUAUGGAAGAGCAAAUGAUAUUUCUGAUAGACUCUAUUUGAUUAUGUAGCCUGAAUAGAUGUCUUGUUGAAAGAUAUAUCAGUGCAUUAGUUCAUCCUUGUCUGUCAAUGUGUUUUUAAUGGUUUUUCCAAUUGUUUUUUUUUUUUUUGAAACUGAUUAAGCAUCAGGUUACUGCAUUACACAGAUAUAUAUACAACUGCUAUGACAGCAGGUCAUUACACUGAUAUUUACAAUCAGAUAUAUAUACAUGGGACUUAUAUUAUUACAUUUUUAUUCUAUGAAGUACAUGCCCAUCCCAAAUACCCCUCACGGAGGAGGGAUGUCUCUACUCCACUCGCAUUUCGCAAGGGAGAAAGACGUUUAUAGAAAUCUCCACACAAUUAUGUUUAAUUGGAGGAGGUUGAGUCCGUGGGGACUCGAACCAUUGCCCUCAAAGUCAUGCUUAACUUUGAGGGCAAUGGUCCACCACUGGGCUACAAGCCCAAGUGGCGGUUUUUCCAAUUGUUUAUUGCUAUAGAUUGAUUGUAAAUUGAUGUGAACUUAAUGUUGAAAUAUUUUCUCUUUAGUGGAAUGAAAGUUAAACAUUCAAGAUUAGAUUAUUCAAGGUCCACAUAGUAUGUGUUCCGUUGUGUUGUCUGUAAUUUUGCAUUUAAAUAAAUUUGAGUGCUGCCGUUUCGCUCCCACAAUCUCUCGCCUUUUUUUAAUUUUAAAAAUUAAAAUAUUAAUAAAAAACAAUAAAGAAAAUCGAAUCCUUUAUGUCAUUCCAUCUUUACAACUCUCUCUCACAAACUCCAUCUAACAGACUUCUCUCUUACUAUCUCGGUCGAACAAGACCAGUGACAAUGAUGACACGACCGCCGACGAUGAGAUGGUCAUCGCUAAAGAAUCGGGCCGUGUAUUUUACAAUUUCUUGGUUUGUGACAACAAUGGAAAACUCCUGAAAAUUUUGAAUUUGUAGUCGAGCAAAGGAAGAAGCAAGUUAUCUUCAAAGCAUUUUCCAGUAAUAGCUGAUGAAAUUUAAUACUUCAAGCUGGCCCUUUGCUGUCACAACUAGAUGCAUUUGCACUGUCAUUACAAUUUAUGGAAAUUAAAGUAAUUAAUGGUUCUAAUUAAUAGCUUCCCAAAAAACCAAUCUGCCCUUGUGAGAACCAAAGCAUUAAUUUCUUGUAAGAGCUGCAGAAGGCCAGAGAAUUUCAGAUCGUGAAAAGGAGUGUGUGAGUGAGAGAGAGAUCGUGAAAUAGUGAGAGACAAUGAGAGAGAGAGCCGCUCGACUGAGAUGGUGAGAGAGUUGCAAAAAUGGAGUAAGGAGCAGAUAAGAUUAUGUUUUCUUUAUUAUUUUUUAUUAAUAUUUUAAUUUUUUUAAUUAAAAAAGGGCGAGAGAUUUUGGGAGUGAAACGGCAGCAUGUUCCAAUAAAUUUUUACCAAAGUUUCUCUCGUGUUUCUCUCACCUUUCUAGAUACCAAGCAUUUUCCAAUAAAUUUUUACUAAAAACUUAGCAAGCCCUUGAAACUUUGGUCAAAAUUAUUGUUAUUAUUACUUUUAGAGGAAAAACUUUUAUUAAAACCUCAUUAACACAAUUCUUAAUUAAAAUUAUAAGUUUGUGUUGGUGUAAGGAUUUGCAGGAGCAAUUACUGCCUAGCCAAGUGUCAAAAGCACAAAAUAAAUCAAGAGAAAGUAGACAUGAAUUAGGAUCCAAUGAAAUUUAAAUCCCGGAGAAAAGAAAUAAUCAUGCAGAUUAUCAAGAUUUCAAUAAGGGAUAUUGAUAUCCUAUUUUGAUUAAUAAUAUCCUUUUACUGUGUUAACUCAAAAAAUAUGUAUAUUCUAAUAUUUUACAAUAAAUAGAAAUCUAAUAUUAAAAUAAAUGUGAUAUAUAUAUAUAUAUAUUAAAUAAUUUAAAUAUAAAAAAUAUUUUAAUGUUUUACAAUCUACUACACAUAUUUUAUUAAGUUAAUAUAAUUUUUCAAAUAAAUAGGGACAUAAUAUUAAAAUAAAUUUAUAAAAAUUUAAAUUAUUUUGAAUUUAAAAUAAUUUUAAUAUUAUUAAUAUGUUAGAUAUGUUUGAUUAAUUAUAAAAAUUAUUUACGCAAAUUUUUUUAAUAUUUUCAGUAGAUAUAAAUAUAUUACUUACAUUUUGAUUAUUUAACUAUUAUUAUUCUACAAUUAUUUAUAUAAUGUUUGCACUUAUUAGAAUAUAUUUAAAGUCAAAUCUUUUGCACUUCUACCUAGCUAGAAUUAUUGGACGCAGAGAAAUAAGCAUAUAUGCUUUAUAACUUUAGAAAUCGAAUUAUCUAUACAAAUUGAUUUUAGCUGGAAAAAAAGUGAGCUGAAUGAUAUAGGCGAUUAGUGUGGUAAUAUUUCAUAGAGUUAGACUAUUGAAUUUGGCACCCCUCCAAUCUUCUCAUGAUUACCUUUUUGAGUUAUUAAUACACUUCUAAUUUUUCGUUUAAUUUUUUUUAUUGUUAUACUCAAAGUAGUAUUGUGAUAUUUUAUAUUUCUUUUGCAAUCUUAUUAUUAUUUUACACAAAAUUAAAAAGUUUUCUAGGUGAUGAACUUUUGAGUUUUGAACAUUAAUCAUUGGCUUAAAUUUCAUAUAUUUUACAUUAUAAUUUGAAAUUAAGUACGAAAAUAUUUAAUAAAUUAUGAAAAGAUUAACAGAUUAUUCUAAAUUGAUACAACUUAUUUUAGUUAAAUAAAAAGUAACAGGUAAAAAAAAAAAGGAUUGGUUAUGAAAUUUGUUGGAAAAAAAUCUGUGUGUGUUUAAUUUUUAUUUGUCCUUAAUUGUAAUUUAUUUGAAGUGAGGUUUUAUAAGGAUAAUGAAGGGGUGCCAUAGUUUCACUCUAUUUCAUAUGGAGAGAGAAGUAAAAGGUACACCUGAGGUUAAUGGAAAGGACUUCGAAAGUUUCUUUUGAUUAUAAUACUGUUUGUUCUAAUUAACUUAAAAAAUUUUACUUUAAUAUUUUAUAAUAAAUUAAAUUUUAAUCUUAAAAUAAGUAUAAUCAUAUAUUUUAAAAUAAUCUUAAAAUAAAUACAAUCAUAUAUUUUAAAAUAAUCUUAAAAUAAAUACAAUCAUAUAUUUUAAAAUAAUCUUAAAAUAAAUACAAUCAUAUAUUUUAAAAUAAUCUUUAUAUUUAAAAUUUAUUUAUUUGUACAUAUUUUAUAAUAAAUAUAACACAUACUAUUAAAAUAAUAUAUAAAAAAUUAAAGUAUUUUGAAUAUUAUAUAAAAUAACUUUAAGAUUCUUAAUAUGUAAGAUAUAUUUUAUUAAUUUAAAAUUCUAUUUAAAAUUUUAUUAAUUUAAAAUUCUAUUUAACCCAAAGAUUUAUUUAAGAUAAAUUAAUAAUCAUAUUUUUUAAAUCAUUUCAAAUAUUAAAAAAUAUUUUGAUAUUACUAGUCUAUUAAAUAGAUUAAAUAUUUUUAUUAUUUUGUACUAAUCAAAAGUUACAGCUCGAAUGAUAUUAUGAGAACAGAAUUUUUAUGUCUUUAUUAAAAAUUUGGGUUUGUAUAAUUAUUUUUUCAAAUGUUAGGGGCAUAGCUGUCUUUUUACUUUUAUAUAUGUGAACCGCGGUGGUGAAAAAGUGUGAUUUAAUAUUAGUUAUUUAAAUAAUAUCUGAAUUAAAGAUGUACAGAGAAGAAAUUUCGGUGGGCAUUUUAGUCUUUUAACGAUUAUCAUGAUUAGGGAUUAGGUCCUGCUCUUGAAACGUUGGUCAGAAAAGUUCUAAAAUGCGUACAUUAUCUUUACUUUAAAAAAGUUAUUUUAUUUUAUUACAAAUUAAUGCCGACAAGAAAAAGCAAGAUCUUAAANNNNNNNNNNNNNNNNNNNNNNNNNNNNNNNNNNNNNNNNNNNNNNNNNNNNNNNNNNNNNNNNNNNNNNNNNNNNNNNNNNNNNNNNNNNNNNNNNNNNAUAAAGAUGAAGAAAAGGGCAAAAAAAUAUUAAUGAUUAACGAAAUCUCUAUCCAAAUUGAUUUUAGCAGGAAAAAAGUGAGCUAAAUGAUGUAGACGAUUAGUGGUAAUAUUUCAUAGAGUUAGACUAUUGGCACCCUUCCAAUCUUCUCACGAAUCCUCUUUUUGAGUUAUAUUUAUUUUAUUUUUAAAAUAUCUUUUUUCUCUUUUACUACACUUCUAAUUUUUCAUUUAAUUUUUUUAUUGUUAAACUCAAAGUAGUAUUGUGAUAUUUUUAAUUUCUUUUGCAAUCUUAUUAUUACUCUGCAUAUAAAUUAAAAAGUUUUUUAGGUGAUGAAUUUUUGAAUGUUAAUCAUUAGCUUAAAUUUCACAUAUUUUACAUUACAAUUUGAAAUUUAAUAUGAAAAUAUUUAAUCAAUAAGAAUUAUGAAAAGAUUAAUAAAUUAUUCUAAAUUUAUACAACUUAUUUUAGUUAGAUCAGAAGUAGCAGGUUAACAAAAGAAAGGAUUGGUUAUGAAAUUUGUUGGAAAAAAAUCUAUGUGUGUUUAAUUUUUAUUCGUUGUUAACUCUAAUUAAGUAGGUUAAAUAUUUUUGUUAUUUUUUACUUAUCAAAAAAUUUAAGAUCAAUAUUUUUAGUUACCAUUCGAAGGAUAUUAUGACAAAAACAGAAUUUUCACUUCUUUGUUAAAAAUUUGGGGGUUUGUGUAACUAUUUUUUCAAAUGUUAGGGGCAUAUCUGUCUUUUUACUCUAUAUAUAUGAACCAUGGUGGUGAAAAAGCGUGAUUUAAUGUUAUUUAUUUAAAUAAUAUCUCAAUUAAAAAUGUAAGGAGAAGAAAUUUCGGUGGGCAUUUUAGUCUUUUAACGAUUAUCAUGGUUAGGCCCUGGUCUUGAAACGUUGGUCAGAAAAGUUCUAAAAUGCGUUCAUUUGUCUUUACGCCAACAAUAAAAAGCAAGAUCUUAGUGUCCCACAAAAGCAAAUCGUAAUAUUCCGCAAUGGAGUUAGAUCCGCAAAAGCAAACAAAUUCUUUUAUUAAACUACAAAUUAAAGUGGAAUCAUUUACUAAACAACAAAUUAAAUUUGAAAUAUUUAAAUAGUCGUGCGUUAGACGAUUAGAGACUCUUAUUAAAGGCAAGUACAAAGUAGUGAAGAAUCGAAUAUUUCUAUUGUCUAGUCUUUUUUUAAAAAAAAUUUUCUUUUAUUAUUUUUCAGAAUAUGUUUUGGUGAUUACUAUUGGGUUAUUAUUCAGAGUUAUUGUUAUCUUCCGGGGCAGUUUCUGUUCAUCGAAUUCGUUAAUAAAAUUUUAAAACUCUUAUUGAAAGAAUGUUUUUCCGUUAUCUUUUUUAUAAUCUAAUUUUAAGUGUAAGAAGUAGUCAUUUUAGAAUUUGGGUCUUGAAUCGAAUUUCAAUGCAUGAAUUAAUAUUUAAAAAAAAUUUACUACAUGCAGUUUAGGUUACAAACUAUUUUUUGCAAAGUUGACUAUGAAAUUGGAGAAAUUAAGUAAUUUAUAAUGUUUGCAAAGAAAGAGACCAACAUACUUCCAAUUACACUAUAUCUCAAUUAUCAUAAUGUUAAGAUUAAACUAACUUAAAAUAAAAUUUAUUUAAAAAGUUUAUCAAACGCAGUCUAAUUUUAUUAACUUGAAGAGAUAAUAGUUAUAGAAAUUAUUAUUCUAACUUAAUUAGUAAAAGUGGUAUAAAGGUUAAGUGUGCACUAAAUCUAUUUAAAUUUUUUUCCAGUAUAACUAACAGAGGUCAUUACUAGAAUUAUAUUACUAGUCUAUUAGAUAGAAAAAAUUAUUUAUAUUGUUUUAUAUUUAUUAAAAAAAUUUAAAGUCAAUCUUUUUAAUUACUAUUUAAAGGAUAUUAUAAUUAAAAAAAUUUUAAUGUCUUCAUUAAAAAUUUAAAAUUUUAUAUGACCGUUAUCUAAAUAUUUAAAGUGUAACUGUCAUUUUCUCAUAUAUAUAUAUAAUUUCAUCAACCCCUUAUACUUUAUGUUAUUUAUAUUUUAUUCAUGAAUAUUAUAAAUUUUUUGAAAUAUAAAAUUUCGUUUAACCCUUUAUACUCAAUUUUAUUUUAUUAAAACCCUAGAGUAUGAAUUCGUCCCUAUAAUAUUAAAUUCUCAAAAUAACUUCCAUUUAAUUAAAAAAUAUAAUUAUUAUUAAAUGAAUUAUAAUUAUUAUUAUUAUGUUAUUAUAAUCAUAAAAAGCGAGAUCAUAUUCCACAAAAGCAUAAGUGACAAAACAACCAACUGGAUUCUUUUAUUAAUCAACAAAUUGUAUAGUCUUUUUCAAAUUGUUAUAAAUUGGUGGCCCCUACAAUCCUCAAUAAUUGUACCGAAAUUCACAAGUUGGUGGGCCCUACAAUUCUGUUCCGAUAAUUUAACUGUGCAAGUGCUCAUUCACAAUCUUCCAGGUCAUGCUCUUAACAAUUGUUUUUUCUUUUCUGCACGCCCUUUCAUGCUCUUAAUAAUUGAAGAGCAUACUUUUCAAAUGUGAAGCCGCAUCUAAUGUCGCUAAUUUAAUUUGGGAUUAAAUUACGGGACUAUUAUAUUGCAGUGUGCACUAAUUUUUAUGUUUAUCUAAACUCUUCAAAUUUAAAACAUAUUAUGGCAUAAAUAAGAAUGUAACAAUAACAAAAGAGUAAGAAAGUGUAGAGAAAAUCUUGCAGAAAUAUAAAUAAUAUUUAUUUUUAAAAUAAUAUUAAUAUUUAAAAUAAUUUUUAAUAUUUUAUGGUCCAUUAGAUAUAUUUUAUUAUAUUAAAAUAAAUUUUAUAAUAAAUAAAAACAUACUAUUAAAAUGAAUAUAUAUAGAAAAUUUAGAGUAUUUUAAGUAUUAUAUAAAAUAAUUUUAAUAAAAUAUGUGAGAUAUUCAUAUUUUAUUAAUUUAAGAUACCAUUUAACCUAAAGAUUUAUUUAUGAUAAAUUAAUAAUUAUAUUUUUGAAAUUACUUCAAAUAUUAAAAAAAUUAAUAUUACUAAUAUAUUAGAUAGAUUAAAUUAUAUAUAUUAUUUUUACUUAUUAAAAAAAUUUUAAAAUUAUUUUUAAUUACUAUUCAAAAAACGUAUUCAAAAAACAUAAUGAUAAAAAAAUCUUAACAUCUUUAUUAAAAAAUUAAAAACUUAUAUGAUAAAUUCUCUAAAUAUUUACGGUAUAUGUGAACCACGGUGGAUAAGCUUUAUUUAAUAUUAUUGAUUUAAAUAAUAUGUCAAUUAAAAAUGUACAGAGAAGAAAUUUCGGUGGGUAUUUUAGUCUUUUAAGCAAUUAUCAUGAUCAGAUCAGCCUUUAGCCUUCAAACGUCGGUCAGAAAAGUUUUAAAAUUAAUGCUAAAUUGUUUUUCACUUUUAACGUUGGUGGCCUUGAAAUUGCUUGUAUUUUAUUAAAAAUUAAUGCUAACAAGAAAAAGCUAGGUCAUAUUCCACAAAAUCAAAAGUGACAAAACAACCAGCUGGUUUCUUUUACUAAACUACAAAUUAAAAUAAAUUUUUUCGAUAAAUUACAAAUUAAAGUGGAUUCUUUUGAAUACAAAUGGGACAGACGAUUAGGCUCUUUUUAUUAGAGGCAAGUAAAAACUAGUCAAGAAUCGAACAGUCUUUUUCCAAUUCUUGUUUUAUUAUUUUUCAAAACUAGUUUUUGGUAAUUACAACCGGGUCAUUAAUCAUUAUUCAGAGUUAUCUUCCGGGGCAGUUUCUGUUCAUCGAAUUCGUUAAUAAAAUGUUAAAACUCUUAUUGAAAGAAUGUUUUUCCGUUAUCUUUUUUAUAAUCUAAUUUUAAGUGUAAGAAGUAGUCAUUUUAGAAUUUGGGUCUUGAAUCGAAUUUCAAUGCAUGAAUUAAUAUUUAAAAAAAAUUUACUACAUGCAGUUUAGGUUACAAACUAUUUUUUGCAAAGUUGACUAUGAAAUUGGAGAAAUUAAGUAAUUUAUAAUGUUUGCAAAGAAAGAGACCAACAUACUUCCAAUUACACUAUAUCUCAAUUAUCAUAAUGUUAAGAUUAAACUAACUUAAAAUAAAAUUUAUUUAAAAAGUUUAUCAAACGCAGUCUAAUUUUAUUAACUUGAAGAGAUAAUAGUUAUAGAAAUUAUUAUUCUAACUUAAUUAGUAAAAGUGGUAUAAAGGUUAAGUGUGCACUAAAUCUAUUUAAAUUUUUUUCCAGUAUAACUAACAGAGGUCAUUACUAGAAUUAUAUUACUAGUCUAUUAGAUAGAAAAAAUUAUUUAUAUUGUUUUAUAUUUAUUAAAAAAAUUUAAAGUCAAUCUUUUUAAUUACUAUUAAAGGAUAUUAUAAUUAAAAAAANNNNNNNNNNNNNNNNNNNNNNNNNNNNNNNNNNNNNNNNNNNNNNNNNNNNNNNNNNNNNNNNNNNNNNNNNNNNNNNNNNNNNNNNNNNNNNNNNNNNNNNNNNNNNNNNNNNNNNNNNNNNNNNNNNNNNNNNNNNNNNNNNNNNNNNNNNNNNNNNNNNNNNNNNNNNNNNNNNNNNNNNNNNNNNNNNNNNNNNNNNNNNNNNNNNNNNNNNNNNNNNNNNNNNNNNNNNNNNNNNNNNNNNNNNNNNNNNNNNNNNNNNNNNNNNNNNNNNNNNNNNNNNNNNNNNNNNNNNNNNNNNNNNNNNNNNNNNNNNNNNNNNNNNNNNNNNNNNNNNNNNNNNNNNNNNNNNNNNNNNNNNNNNNNNNNNNNNNNNNNNNNNNNNNNNNNNNNNNNNNNNNNNNNNNNNNNNNNNNNNNNNNNNNNNNNNNNNNNNNNNNNNNNNAUUGUGGGCACUCUUGUUCGUGCAUGUUUGCUAGAAGAGAUGGAAGAUGAUAAAGUAAAAAUGCAUGACGUUGUUCGUGAUAUGGCUUUAUGGAUAGCUUGUGAAAUUGAGAAGGAGAAGAGAAACUUUUUGGUUUGUGCAGGUGCUCGAUUAGAAGAGGCACCGGGUGUUAAAGAAUGGGAAAAUGUGAGAAGAUUGUCAUUGAUGCAAAACCAAAUUGAAACUGUGUCAGAGAUUCCCGCAUGCCCUCAUCUCCAUACUCUAUUUCUUGCCUCUAAUAGGAAUUUCAGGAUGAUCACGGAUGGCUUCUUUCAAUUUAUGCCUUCUCUCAAAGUUUUGAAGAUGUCACGCUGUGGGCAAUUCGAAGGUUUUCAAUUACCUGUUGGGAUGUCAGAGUUGGGUUCAUCACUAGAACUUCUUGAUAUUUCACAUACCACCAUAAGAGAGUUACCCGAAGAGUUAAAGUUGCUGGUAAAUCUGAAAUGUUUGAAUUUGAGGUGGACAGGUGCGUUAAUUAGAAUUCCACGGGGACUAAUAUCAAAAUUUUCAAGGUUACGUGUGUUGAGAAUGUUGGGUACUGGCGGGUUCAUUUUUUAUGAAGCACCAGAAGACAGCGUUUUAUUUGGUGGGGGUGAAGUUUUGAUACAGGAAUUGCUCGGUUUGAAAUAUUUAGAGGUAUUGGAGUUGACCUUGGGAAGUUAUCAUGCUCUCCAAAUUCUUUUGAGCUCAAAUAAGUUAAAAAGUUGUAUUCGAUCUCUUUACCUCUAUUUGACCGGAGAUAAAAAGUCGAUUAUUGAUGCUACGGCUUUCACAGACCUAAACCACCUCAAUGAAUUAUGGAUUGAUAAUGGAAUUGAGUUGGAAGAAUUGAAGAUUGAUUAUACGGAGAUAGUACGAAAAAGGCGGGAACCUUUUGUUUUCCACAGCCUUCACCUUGUUACGAUAUAUAGUUGCCAUAAAUUGAAAGAUUCGACAUUCCUCGCUUUUGCUCCAAACCUCAAGUCUCUUUCGCUAUUCAAAUGCCGUGCUAUGGAAGAAAUAAUCAGCGUCGGAAAAAUUGCUGAGAAUCCUGAGAUGAUGGGACAUAUAAGCCCUUUUGAAAAUCUCAAAAGUCUUGAUCUAUCAUAUUUGCCGGAGUUGAAGAGCAUUUUCUGGAAGCCAUUGCCUUUCACUCAUCUCAAAGAAAUGGGGGUAAGAGCAUGUGAUCAGCUUAGAAAGCUUCCACUCGAUUCCAACAGUGCAAAAGAGCGUAAAUUUGUAAUUCGUGGAGAAGAAGACUGGUGGAACCGACUUCAAUGGGAGGAUGAAGCCACUCAAAUUGCUUUUCGUUCCUGUUUCCAACCUGAUUCCUGAGCGGUGGUCGCAAAAUUUGAUUUCUGGUGAGUGCGUUUGUCUUUUAAAAGAAGAAUUUAAAAGAAAUUUAUUCUUGACGUUUUCUUCACUGUUUUUAUUUCAGUCUCUCUCUCUCUCUUUUUGUCUUCUGCUAAUCACAAUUAAAUGUUGAAUUAAUGGAAUUAAUGCUUCAUAAAUUUGCCGGCACUGCCAUUACUUUUUUUUUUUUUAAUACAAAUUGAUACUUUAUUUAUAUCUUCUUAGCGAUUUAAUUUCCUGUCAAUUGACGAACGAGAAGAACAUAUGACUUGAACCAAUGCUCGCAUAAACUUGCUGUAAAAAGAUAUAAUCUCACUGAAAUGCACACGCCUAGAAUGAAUAGAAUUAAAACAGGGAAAAUAUUAAGUAUAUUAGCCCUCUUUACCGAAAAUCAAAUGACAAUAAAUUUUUUGAAGUUUUGAUUUUCUAUGGUCAAUUCCACCUUUUGCAAUUUCUUCUGUUCUAACAAAAACCAAUUUCUUUGUUCAAGUAUUUUCGUUUGGGUAUUAAUAAUUCUCCACCGAAAGAGUGAACUCUUGCUCAAGGGAUCUCUAAUCAAUAGCCGGAAGGGCGCCGAGACCUGAUCGGACCUAGGCCCAAGUUUGGUCUUAAAGCCUGGGCUUGAGCCUGGCAAUUAAAUUAAAACAGUAAUUGAUUUCUUGAAUGAAUUGUCGUGUAAUUGAUUUAUGGGGGAUGACACAUCAACAUACUUGAAAAUACACUAAUCUCAGCAUCAUCCGUUAAUAACUUUUAGAUUUAUGGGCAAUCAAUAGUUAAAUUAGUUGUCAUUAAUACUAAAUAAUUUUUACUUUUUUUGUCUCUUCUAGAGGAUCUUCUAGAAAAAUGCAUCCACAAUUAAAUUUAAUACUUUACAUAAUAAAGAAAGCAUAAAUGUUAAAUUUAAGAAACUGCAUUGUAUUUCAGCUGAAGUUGACUUUAAUAUUUAGGGUAGAAAAAAAUUAAAUCCUUAAUGUGUUUAAUUUCUAUCACUUGUGUCAUUAAAAUUUUCUAGUCACCCUAACCAAUUACAUCUCAACCCACUUUUUUUUGGAUGAUUUUAUUUUUACACUAUUAUUUUCAACAUUUUUUUUUCCUUUUAACACCAACAUUAGUGUAUGUUACGUAACAUAAUCCAUAUUUGGAUAAUUUGAAAUUUGUUUGUGUUUUAUCUCAAAAUAGAGCUUCAAUCAAUUUGUACCUCAUAAAUUCACAAUAUCUGGCAUAUUGUCAAAUGUGCUUAUCCUUUUGCUUGACAUGUCAUUUUAAAAUUGUCAUUCAAUGUCAAAAAAUCACAUCAACUAAUGGCCGACUACUUUAAUUUGAAAGCAUGCGUGCGAUCGCCAAUAAUUAUAACUUAAUUGUUAUAUUGAAAUUUUUUUCUUUAUAAUUUAAGUUUAAUACUGCUACAUGUGUGGCACAUAAGUUGGAAAAUAUAACAUAAAAUUUGAAAAAUGUGUAGUUUUCGUUCCUUUUUUUUCUAAAAAAAUGGGAAAAAAGAAUGUAAUUUUGUUUAAAUUACUGUUGUCAUAACAAUUAUUAUUUUAUUGAUUAAUUGGCAGAGAAUCGUAAUGGUUUCGCAUGGUUGUUAAAACAUUGGAAAGUCCACUACAUCAUCGGUUAAUAACUUUCAGAUUUAUGGUUAAUUAAUAGCUGAGAUUUAUUAUCAUUAAUGCUAAAUAUUUUUUCUCUCUCCUGGAGGAUCAUCCACAGGCAGGUGCUUCCUGACGAUGACAAAAUUUUGGGCAGGCAGGUGCUUCCUGACUUUCACACGGUAAUUCUCAAAUUCUGAUUUCACCAUAUUUUAAUUACUGAUUAGCAUAUAUUCAAGUGCUCUCCAUUAUAAUGGAAGCCGCCGCCUCACUCGUAAUUCCAAACUUUAUCUUUUUUUCCUUUUUUAAAUUAAUGCAAGUAGCCGCUGUCCUUUCUAUUAAUUAAUUAAUUCGGCCGCCCACAUUUCUUUUCCUAAUGUCUUCUACUGUCGAGUUUAUUUUAUUUUCUCUUUAUUAUUAAAAUAUACUUAUAAUAAUAAAAAAAUAAAAAUUAACAUAUCAAAAUAUAAUUUAACAGAAAAUUAAGAUAAAAAAUUAAAAAUAAAUAAAUUAUGAGCAUAUCAAUCAAUAAAUGAAAAAUAAUAAUUUUUAUUUUUAUUAAAUAUAAAUUUUUCAGUAUUAAUCAAUUAUCUGAAUAAAUAAAAUCAUUUAAAAAUAAAUAAAUAAAUUAUUCUUAAAAAAAAAAAAAAAACUUUUUAUAACACUCACUAUGCUGGUUGUAGGGUUGACGCUUUGGGUACUGAAGCUAGUAACUUCUACAAGUAGUCUUAAGUUGACUGGCAACAACUAUAUUGGCAUUUAGAAAUAAUGUACUGCAACCAUAUUGGCAUGUUCAAAUGUUCUUAUUAUUGUAUUGGUGUGUCAAUAUUAUCUCUAACGGUUUUAUAAAUAAAAAAAUAAUCUAAAUUUAUAAUUUAACAUAAAAUAAAAUAAUUGGUAGAAAAACAAUUAUGGUUCAUUUACUUAUCAGUAAUCAGAAUAGACUGAAAUCGAAAUGAGUUGUAUUACUGUUGAUGUGUUUAUGUUGUACUCGAAUCGAAAUGAAUUAUUUUAAAUUACUAAAAUAUCCUUGGUCUGUUAUUCUAAUUAUUAUUAUUAUUUAAUAUUUAUUAUAAUAUUUUUCAUAUCAUUAAAAAAAAAUAAUAAUGAUGAUAAUAUUCUCAUUAUUGUUUGUUACAUUAUUAUUAUUCAAAAAAAUUAUUGUUAAUAACAAUAAUUACUUUAUUUCAAUAAUAAUAAUGAUAAAAUUAAUAAUAAUAAACAUGACAACAACAAUAAUUAUUUAUUAUGCCAAAAAAUAACAAUAAUAAUAAGAAUAAUAAUCAUCAUCAUUUUUUUGCCAAAGAAGCAUUAUCAUCAUCAUUUCAAAAAAAAAAUCAUCAUCAUCAUCAUCAUUUUUGUAGUGGCUACCUAUCGGCUGCUGCUUUCAUGUGAGAUUGACUUGCGACGCUUCAACGGCUAUUAUUUCUGACAAUGUCAGGUGUUGCUAUUUCAAUUUAGGAAGAAGUUGUUUCGGUGUGCUAGCGAUGGGAGAUGUUGUGGCUGCGAUUCGGGGAGCUACUAGUUUAUUGCACUAAUAACGGCAGGUGCUGUUGCUUGAUGCGAGGUCCAUGGCCAGUUGUCAGCAGUUCGACUUUGGUAUGGGUGCUGCUGGUUCGAUUUUAGGUGUUGUCCAAUUUCAUUUUCAGGAUUUUAAUUUUAUUUUUCUUUUAUAUUUUCAUUAAUUAAUCAGGGUAAAAUUGGAUUUUAGAAUUUAGAAUGAAGGUAAUUUUGUUAAUAAUGGAAAUGAGAUUCUGAUUGUCGAGAAUGAGCUUACACAAACAACUAUAAAUUAAGUGAAAACAAAACACUUUUUCUCUUUGUGUGAUUAAAACAUGAUAUGUACCAUAAAUAAAUAAGUAAAAAAUAAAUCAACACAAUCUAAAACAGUAAACAAAUUACAAGAGGCACAGAUUUUUAUGUGAAACACCGAAAAUGGAAAAAACCACAGCAUCUUAGUUUGAUAUAAUCUUCUACUAUAUUAAUGGGAUUAUAGCACAAAUUCUUUCCUAUAUAACACUAGAGAUUAACAACAUCAAGAAUCUCAAUAAUCUUGACUUACAAUACAGCCUAAUAUUUGUCUCUCUAAUAAGUAGAUAUCUAAAAUAACAGUCUCUAAUAAGUAUGUAUCUAAAAUAAUAGUCAACAAGAGGAUAAAACAAAAAUUAAGAUUAGUAGGAUGUGUAUAAGGUGAUGCUAUCAAUUUAUCUUCUAAAUUUGAGAAAAAUAGUUAAAUUCACUUUUUCGAUUGUCCGACCAAAAAUGGAAACCCUUGCCCCAAAACCAAAGGAAUCACCAUUAUGUUUUUCUCUCUCUCUCUCUCUAUCUCGUUCUUUUCUUCUUCUUUUCUUAAUGUUAGCCAUCACUUGCUUUUAUUCUUUAUAGCAUUCAAAAAGCUACUUUUAAUGGUAAAUUUCAUUUAAGUCUGCAACUUAGUGAUAAUUGCACACCAAACAAUCCUUACAUAGUGUUUUGGGCCCUCAAAUGAGAUGAAUACAACAAAUCUCCCCCUUUAAAUCAUGUGGGGGGCACCGCAAGCCCGCUAUUUGCAUAUAGCUUUUCAGCUUCUCCUUGAAUAAUGACUUUGUCAUCAUACAUAAUCCAUUCUUCGUUGUGUAAAUCUUCUCAAGCUGUAACUGUUCCUUCUCAAGCUGUAAUUAUUCCUUCUCAAGCACGUCUCGUAUCUAAUGAUACCUUACAUCAAUAUGCUUAGAUUUCGAAUAGUAUAACAGCACUCUGACUAUCGUAGUACAUAACAUAGCUGUCUUGUUUUACACCCAGCUCUUGUAGGAAAUUCUUCGUCCACAAUAUUUUUUUGCAACCUUCAAUAAUUGUAAUAUCAUUUGCUUUAGUGGUAGAAAAGGCAACUUAUUACUAAAGUUUAGAUUGCGAUGAGACUGUUCCCCCUGCAAAAGUGAGCAAACAUCCUAGUAGGAAUUUUUCGGAAUCAACAGCUCCUGCCAUAUCUACACACUUGUAACACAGGUUUGUCACCACCAAAAUAUAAACAUGCUCUGGAAAUGCAUCUAAGAUAUCUGAGAAUUUUUCACUGUUGUCCAGUGCUCUUUACCGAGGUUGAAGAGAAACCACUGACUACACUAACUGUAUAGGCAAUAUUUGGUCUUGUACAAAUUAUGGCGUACAAUAAACUGCCAACUGCUGAAGCAUAAGGAACUCCUCUCAUGGAGAAAUGGGUUUUACUCUUGAGAUUUUUGGGACCAUGAAGAAUAAAGAUGUAAUUUCUUAUACUGCCAUUGUUUCGGGAUAUAUAAAUAGAGAACAAGUCGAUAUAGCUCGACAGUGUUUUGAUCAGAUGCCAGAACGAGAUUAUGUCUUAUGGACUACCAUGAUUGAUGGGUACCUUCGAGUGAAUAGGUUCAGAGAGGCUUUGACACUUUUUCAGGAGAUACAAACUUCAAAUAUAAUGGGAGACGAGUUUACCAUUGUUAGCAUUCUUACAGCUCGUGCGAAUCUGGGGGCACUAGAACUGGGAGAAUGGAUAAAGACUUAUAUUGACAAAAACAAAGUCAAGAAUGAUAUAUUUGCGGGGAAUGCUUUGAUAGACAUGUACUGUAAAUGUACUGUAAAUGCGGAGAUGUUGAGAAAGCUCAAAAGGUAUUCAGGAAGAUGCUUUGAAAGGUCAAAUUCACAUGGACGACCAUGAUUGUUGGCCUUGCCAUCAGUGGAAAUGGUGAUAAAGCUCUUGAUAUGUUUUCCCAAAUGCUCAGGGCUUCGAUCAAACCAGAUGAGGUAGCUUAUGUUGGUGUUCUGUCUGCCCGUACUCACAAUGGUAACGAAACUUUUGUGAUAAAUAGUUGCAACUUAAGGUGAGAACUGGAGGAAGGGAAAUAGAUUGAAGUUGUUCAAUCAUCAGUAGUUGCUACUUGGUUUUAAGUUGUUCAAUCAUCGGUCGUCUCUAUUUGGUUUUCUCCAAUAUCUCAUCUUCAAUUUUGACUCAGAUUGUAUCUUACCACUAGUAAUUACAUAGACUUGCUGCCAAAGGUAAGAAUGGGAAUAAAUUAAAUAGAUUAUGUCGAAAACGAAAUAAAUUUACUAUUGUUCUGUUCAUUCUAUUUGUUUCCUACAAAAUAUUUCUCCUGCCUAAAAUUUUUUGAAUCAGUAAGUUUUUACCUUAUGGAUGAAUUGUGUUGAGAGUAAUUCCAUUUCUCAGUCUCUUUAUGUUUCAAUGAAGACGUAAAACUUGUGUUCUAGUGCACCAACGUUUAUGCUUCUUACAAUUUGACUUUAAUUUACUUUGUAAAAUUUUUGUCAAAAAGUACUAAAAAGUAGUGCACCAAACACCAACUUUAUUACAGAGAGGACUUUAGUUAAAUUUUAAGAAAACACUCAAAAGAAAGAGUUGUAAAUUAUUAUAAAAAUAUUUCACAUAAAUAAAAGCCAUCCCAUGCUGCAAAGAUCUUGCUAUAAUCACCAAAAACUAUCGGGAGCUUUUAGGGUUUCCAUAAAAAUGCCAUUUCGUUCCAUGUAUAUGAUUCUAUAGUCUCACUGGCAAGUAAACCACAGCCCAACAGCACUGACUGUCCAUGAUGAUUCACCCCAAUGAACGAAACCAGCGUUGCAUCAUAUCUUUCUGUCAAGCAUGUAAUAUCAAUUGAUUUGAGCUAUUAACAUCAUUUCCAAAUACUCCAUUGGCAUCUACAUUACCAUUUCCCUCGGCAUCAAUGAUAAGAGUUCGAAACAGUCUAAUCUUUUGAACUUCUUCAGCACCAUCUAAGAGCAAUGUUCUUUUGGUUCCAAUACCCAUGUGCUUAUGAUAUUUGUAAAAUAAUUAUUUGUAAAAUAAUUAGUUCAAUUUUGACAUAAUACGGAAUAAACACAACCUGCCAAUCUAAGUUACUAUCUUUUCCCGUCAUCAGGUACCUGUUUGAAAAAUAAUUAUAUACAAUUUUAUUUGCGUCGUCCCUCUAAAAAUUUGGGACUCAAAUGUUAUUUCUAAUUGCUAAAAGUACGAAAUUGCCCCCUUUCUCUUCAGCUAAAGGAGUGCAAAGUCAUCUGUAUAAUUGAAUCUGCAUCAUCAGUUUCUAUUGCUGGCUGGUGUUACUGCAUGCUUACAGUUGCUUGACAAAGUGAGCCAGUUUUUUGUUUAUUAAUUUUUUUUCUUGUCGAGACAGUCACAAAGUAUUACUUGUUCUAUUUGAGAAUGAUGUGAAUCAAUUUUUCAAUUAUGCAUUCUGUGGUAAUUAUUGUGAAUUUAGUUUCAUUUGUCUUGUCUCCUGCAAAUUUUGAAGAAAAUGCAGACAUACAAAUUUACAAUAUGUAUUUGCGUUAGUAUAAAAACAAUUGUUAGAUGAUUAAAGCGAUUUAUUUUUUUUUUUACAGCAUUUGAUUGUAUUAGUUAAAAUCAUUUUUUAAGGAUAAAAAUAAAUAGAAAAUUAUUCUCAUGUAGUGUGGAAAUCUUUUCUAAUUUCUUGUUGACUUGUACAUUUAUUUCAGAAUUUCCAUUCAUUAAUUCUACUGUUUUAAUCUUUGACUUAGCUACCGUAGUUGACUUUUUAUAUCAAAGGCUUAAACAGCAUGCAUUUUUGAAUUGACUGAGAAUAAUUUGGUGGACAAAUUACUAGUAAAGGACUUCAAAUGGUUGAAUUGACUGUGGGUUUUUCAUGCCCAAGUCACUCGUCACGUCGUUUCAUCGAAACAAAGUGCCCGGUGCAAAUGGUGUGAUGUAAAACACCUUUUUAAAUUGUCAUUUUUUUUCCUUUGCUUUUGCUUUAAUUUUCUAAAUGCUCAACGCCAUAAAUCCAUGUAUUCUUAAUUUUCGUUUGCUGUAUUGAUUCCCAACCCUCUAUGUCACAAGGUUUUGAAUGCCAGUAAUUAAGUUAAAUUAAACAUAUUUUAAGUCCUACUUUAAAUUAUUGAAAAAUGUAUUAUGGUUGAACUGAAUUUUAACUAAAAAAUAUAUACAAAAUAAAAGAUUAAUCAUAUCUUUUUAUGAGGAAGGUCAGUCAUCAUUCUGACCACAGACACUUAAAAUUAAUUGAGUGGAAUAUUGCAAAAUAUAUAUAAACCAUGCCAAAACUAGAUGUUUGAGUAAUGAAAACGAGAAUUCAUAUGACUCAGAAAUAUGGUCGCUUUCCUUUUUCUGAAAGGCAAAAAAAAAGGGGGAACCAAAAAGGACCAAAAUGAACAAAAAUGGAAGGCGAAGGUAAGCAGACAUGUUAUAUGUUUUACCUAAGAUGCCAAAUGCAACUCCCCAUUGAUGGUGAUCGAACAUUAUGGCCAUUUUCUUAGUAAACAAAAAAUGAAUUUUGAACACUCAACAACGAAACUUGAGCAGAAGAUCAAGCAAGGGCCUCGAUCUCAAAGAAGAUACUAUGAAACCCUACUUAAUGGUUAAAUAACUUUCAUUCAGCUUUGGACCCUAUUUCGUGAUACGGAAAGACAAACCUUUCUUGGCCGGCAGUGUCCCAGAUCUGGGCUUUGAUGAUCUAGAGGUUGAUGGUGACAGUUCUGGUUUGGAACUCGACGCCAAUGGUUUAUUUCGAUUCAAAGCAAAACUCAUUCUUGGUGAAUCUCGAAAGAAUCUGAGACUUGCCCACGGCCGAGUCACCGAUCACCACUACCUUGAAUACAUAGUCUAUUUUGUCAGGAAUCAUAUUCUCUCGUUGUUGAUGACGAUGAUCGGUGCCAUCACCACUCAUUUCUUCGUUCAUUCAUUCUAUGUCCAUUGAUCUUUUUGAAUUAUUGAAGACAAGUGGCUCACCGCUUUUAGUAUUGGUAAAAUUCAGAUAAUCUCUAUUCCGAAAUAAUAAUAUUAAAAAUAUCUCUUAAAUCAUUAUAAACUUCAAAUCUAUUUUAAUUUUAUUUAAAAGAUAAAAGAAAAAUAAGUUAUGUUGGUGAUUUUUUAUUAUCUUUUUAAUAAAAAUAGAAUAAAUUGAUGUUUAUAAUUAUUUAAAGUAUUUUAAAGAUUGCUAUUUUAUGAGAGAAUAAUAUUUCAUUUUUUUUUUCGUGUGAAAGACCGAAAAAGGACAAAGCAAGUUUCCCUAAUUUUUAUUUUAUGUGAAAUUGGUCAUCUCAUAUACUUUACCCUUCAACACUCUAAUUUUUUUGGUUAUAAUUUUAUUAUUUUUUCUCUUUUACACAUGCAUGUGAAUUACUUUUCUUUAAGCUCCUGAAUAUUUAAGACAAAUCAUGGAAGAGAUGAGAGUAUAACAAGAUGAUCAAAAUAUGUAACAAAAAAAUUUUAGAAGUGAAAAAUAUGUUAGAGUCGAAGUAAAACUCUGAGGUGAUGUUUGAUUUGAAGAAAAUGGAGGAGAGAAAAAGAGUGGAAUGGAGAGGAAAAGAGAGAAAAGGAGAGGAGAGGAGAGGAGAGUGAACUUUUUUUCUAAUGUUUGGUUUGUCACAUAAAUAUACAAAGAAAGGAAAUCUCCAAUUUUUUAUUUAGACAAUUUUAACCUUAAUAAGUAUUAAGCUUUCAAUAUUUAUCAUGUGUAUAAUUUAAAAAAAGUAAAUGGUAGAAAGCGGUUUCUGAUUCCGGCCACAUCGCCGGCAAUGGAAGGUACUUAUCAGAACAUCAAGAACCGGCCAUCAUUCCCUAGCCAUCACUGCUGUAGGAACACUGCUAAAAAGCUGCCGAUUGAACCGCGAAAAGUCGUGGAAAUCGUUGCCUCAAAUCGGUGAGUUUCGCCUUUUUCUGGUCAUGCCGUCGCCUUGGCUUUGUCCAUCAACGCUGCCACUUCCAUUUCAACCAUCCAUAGCCACUAUUAACCGCCAAAUCGCCGCCGAUCAGCGGGAUCUGUGGAAGUUAAAAAGUUUCUAAAAUUUUUUAAUUGGAUUUGAACAACAUACAACCAUUUUUUGAUCUCAAUAACGACAUAGUAAUGUUGAUCGUUGGUCGGCAAGUCGAAUGGUAGUGGCGGUGAGUAACACGCGCCAAUGACAUCGGCGGCGGCGGCGGCACUAUCCGGCUACUGUUAAAAUUAAUAUUUUAUAUUUGUAGAUUAAAUAAAUUUAUUUUAUUAAACUUUUUAAAUCAUUAUUUAAAUUUAAUUAAUUUAAAAUUAUCUAUGAUGUUGAAUUGAUAAAAUAAAUUUAUAAAUAAUAAUUAUGUGAUUACAUUAAAUAAGUUAAAAAGUUGAAGGGUUAUUUUUGGAAGAUUUAGUUUCCAACACAAAGGGAAUUUGAAUUCUUCACUUCUUAGUGUGGAAUUCAAAUUCUAUAUUGUAAUGGAUAUUAAAUUCCAAUAGAAAUUAAAUUCUUAUAAGUUAUGUCAAACCAAACAACGGAAAUAAAAAAAAAGAAUUUAAAUUACUUUCCUUUCCUCCACCCUCUCCUUCCAACCAAAUACAUCCUGAAAAUAGAGAUAUUGAUUAAUUUAGAAGAGAUGCAAGCAAAAGAUAUUCCACAAAAAAAAAAAAGCAAUAUGUCCCUUUGGAGGGCAAACUUGUCAGUUUUAAAAAAGUACAUGCUUUGGAUUGAUAGUUGUAGGAUAUUUGUUUUGUCACUAUGUGUUAGUUGGAGAAGUCAAGCCUUGUGAAGAAUGUUAUGAAAGAGCAAAGGAUAUUCCUGAUAGCUGAUAGAGCUCUAUUUGAUUAUGUAUCCAAUGAAUGGAUGUGUUGUUGGAAGAUAUUUGAGUGCAUUAGUUCAUAUGUGUCUAUCAAUGUGAUUUUAAUGAUUUUUCCACUUGUUUGUUGUAAAAGAUUAUUGUAAAUUGAAAUGAACUUGAUGUUGUAAUAUUUUCUCCUUAGUAGAAUUUCACCUAGUAUGUAUUUAGUUGUGUUGUCUAUAAUUUUGCAUUCGAAUAAGUUUCACCUAAAAUAUUAGCAUGAGUAGUGGCCCUUGAAACUUUGGUCAAAAUUAUUGUUAUUAUUUCCGACUAGAUGUAAAUUUUUUAUUAAAUCUCGCUAACACAAUUCUUAAUUAAAAGUAUAGGUUAGUGUUGGUGCAAGACUUGCCACACCAAAUUCUGCCUAACUGUCAAAAGUGCAAAAUAAAUGAAGAGAAAGCACAAAUACACGACUUGAAUAAGGAUACAACGAAACUUAAAUUCAAGAGAAAAUGAUAGCUAUAUCUCAAGAUUUGAAAAAACGGUCAUGUAGAUUUUUAAGAUUUCAAUAAGCGACUGAGAUUCAAAUAAUAUCCUUUAAUUCUAUUAACAAAAAACAAAGACUCAAAUAUUUUAUGAUAAAUAAAAAUAUAAUAUUAAAAUAUAUGUGAUAAUAUACACAUUUUAAAUACUUUCAAUCCAAAAAAAUAGUUAUGUUUUACAAUCUAUUAGACAUAUUUUAUUAAAUUAAUAUAAAUUUUCUAUAAAAUAAGAAUAUAAUAUUAAAAUAAAUUCACAAAAAUUUAAAGAAUUUUGAAUGUAAAAUAAUUUUAAUAUAUCAAUACGUGAGUUUUUUUAUUAAUAUAAAAUUUAUUUAACUUUAAGAUUUUUUAAAAUCUUUACAAUAAGUAUAACUAUAUUAUUUACAUUUAAAAAUAUUUAAAUAUUAUUAACCUACAAUUAUAUUUGCAUUUGUUAGAAAUUUUUUAAGUCAAAUAUUUUGCACUUCUAUAUUAUUAGAAUUAUUGCACAAAAAGAAAGAAACAUACACCUUUAGAAAUUGUUUUCUUUUAAAAUAGAGAUGAUGAUUAGUAUAAGGAUGAAAAAAAGGAUAAAGAAUAUUAAUGAUUAACGAAAUCUCUAUACAAAUUGAUUUUAGUAGGAAAAGAGUGAGAUGAAUGAUUUCUUUUACAGUUAGAAACAUAGAUGAUGAUUAUUAUAACGAAGAAAAAAAGAUAAAGAAUAUUAAUUAUUAAUGGAAUCUCUAUACAAAUUGAUUUUAGUAGGAAAAAAAUGAUUAAAUGAUUUAGAGUGCGUUUGGAAUUGAGAUUGGGCAGCCAUAGAUUUUAAGUUACAACACUGAAGUGUUUAGUAAAUACUAGUUGCUGCAGAUUGAAAGUUAUGUUGAUAUGAUUUUUCACAUGUAUCAUAGAAAAUAUAUUACAUCUUUAAUAUUUUUUAAAAAUUUAUAUUUGCUAUAUAUUAUUAAUUUUUUUUUAUAGUUAUAACUUUUUUUCCACAACAGUUGUAGCUUAAAAGUCACAGCACCUCAAUCUCAAACAAAUCCUUAGACAUUCAUAGUGUGUUUAUUUUUUGGAUUGGUGAAUCAAAAUUAUUGACAACGCUAACUUCAUCUUCACUGUUCGCAAUCCAACAGCAGCAAUUGUCGCCAAUAAUGAUAUCUCCAAUGAUGAUGACAAUUAUUAUUAUUAUUUUUAUUAUUAUUAUUAUUAUUAUUAUUAUUAUUAUUAAUUAAUUAAUUAAUUAAUUAAUUAAUUAAUUAAUAUAUUAAUGUUGAUAUUAUUAUUAUUAAGAUUAACAAUAAUUAUUAGUAAUACAAUUUUUUGAAUAAAAAUAAUCACAAUAAUUAAAAUACAAAUUAAUAAUUAUGACAAUAAUUAAUUAAUGUCUUUUUAGUAAUUUGUAAUAAUCUAACUCAUUUUGGUUCUGAUUAUUACAGCUUAAGUAAACAAAUUAUUAUGAUUCCUAUUCUCCUUUCCCAUUUUAACUCACUUUGAUUCCAGUCUAUUCCGAUUUCUAUUUAAUAAAUGCACCAUUAGUGCUAAAGUAAUAUUUCAUACAUAGAAAAAUAAAAACUACGCCUAAGGUUAAGGGAAAAGACUUCAAAAUUCUCUUUUGAUCAUAAUACAUUUUGUCCUAAUUAACUUAAAGAUUUUGAAUCUAAUAUUUUAUAAUAAAUAAAAAUAUAUUCCUAAAAUAAAUAUAAUAUCAAUAUUUAAAAUAUGUUUUAAUAUUUUACAAUCUAUCAUACACAUUUUAUUAUAUUAAAGUAGAUUUAUAAUAAAUAUAUAAAAAUUUAGAAUAUUUAGAAUAUUAUAUAAAAUAAUUUUAAUAUAAUGCGUGAUAUAUAUUUUAUUAAUUUAAAAUGUCAUUUUACCUAAAAAAUAUGAUAAAUUAAUAAUUACAUAUUUGAAGUUAUUUCAAAUAUUAAAAAAAUUUAAUAUUAUUAAUCUUUUAGAUAGAUUAAAUUAUUUUUUAUAAGAGAGAUUAAAUUAUUUUAAAAUGCCUUAAUUGUUUUUACUUUUAACGUUACGGGCCUUUCUUUUAUUUUAUUGCAAAUUAAUGCUAACUAGAAAAACAAAAACAAAAGUGACAAACACAACCAGCUGGAAUCUUUUAUAAAACUACAAAUUAAAAUGGAUUUUUUUUUUUUGUUGAUAAAUUACACAUGAAAGUGGAUUCUUUUGAAUAUAAGUGGGGUAGGCUCUUUUAUUUUUUUUUUAAUACCGUAUAACAGGACUGUAGACUCUUUUAUUAAGCACAAAUAUAGAGUUGUCGAGACAAUUAGGGUCUUUUAUUAAACUACAAAUUGUAUAGUCUUUUUUAAAUUGUUCAGAUAUUUAUAAAUUGGUGGCCCCUACAAUCCUCAAUAAUUGUACCGAUAUUCACAAGCUGGUGGCCCCUACAAUCCUUAAUAAUUGUUUUUUUUUUUUUCUGCAUUCCCUUUCAUGCUCUUAAUAAUUAAAGAGCAUACUUUUCAAAUGUGGAGCCGCGGCUAAUGUCGCUAAUUUAAUUUGGGAUUAAAUUAGGGGACUAUUAUAUUGCAGUGUGCACUAAUUUUUAUGUUUAUCUAAACUCCUUAAAUUUAAGAUAUAUUAUGGCAUAAAUAAGAAUAUAACAAUAGCAAAAGAGUUAGAAAGUGUAGAGAAGAUCUUGCAGAAAUAUAAAUAAUAUUUAUUUUAAAAUAAUAUCAAUAUUUAAAAUAAUUUUUAUUAUUUUAUGAUCCAUUAGAUAUAUUUUAUUAUAUUAAAGUAAAUUUUAUAAUAAAUAAAAACAUACUAUUAAAAUGAAUAUAUAGAAAAUUUAGAGUAUUUUAAGUAUUAUAUAAAAUAAUUUUAAUAAAAUAUGUGAGAUAUUCAUAUUUUAUUAAUUUAAAAUACCAUUUAACCUAAAGAUUUAUUUAUGAUAAAUUAAUAAUUAUAUUUUUGAAAUUACUUCAAAUAUUAAAAAAAUUAAUAUUACUAAUCUAUUAGAUAGAUUAAAUUAUAUAUAUUAUUUUCUAUUUAUUAAAAAAUUUCAAAUUAUUUUUAAUUACUAUUCAAAAAAUAUGAUGAUAAAAAAAUCUUAACAUCUUUAUUAAAAAAUUAAAAACUUACAUGAUCAAUUCUCUAAAUAUUUAGGGUAUAUGUGAACCACGGUGGACAGAGGUCAUUACUAAAAUUUCUCUUCCACAGGCAAUUACAGCAGCUCCAGUUUAUCAAACUCAACCAAUUUUCUUUCUUAACAAAAUUCCAAAGAUGUGUAGCUUUUUUCAGAUCACAUGCGAUGGUGCUUUUUUCAAUCGUUGCUUGGAUUGCUUUCUUGGAAAAGCAGCAUACAUACGUAACCUCCAAGAUAAUCUUGAUGCCUUGGACACUGAACUGGGAAGACUAAUCGCAGCAAAGAACGAUGUGAUGAUUAGGGUUGUCAAUGCUGAACGGCAAUAAAUGAGAAGGCUGGACGGAGUGCAAGUGUGGGUUUCGAGUGUGGAUGCUGUUAAAACUGGAGCCGAUGAACUUAUCACAGACGGCUCUGAAGAAAUUGGCAAAUUAUGUGUUGGAGGCUACUGUUCCAAGAACUGCAGGUCAAGCUACAAAUUCGGAAAACAAGUGGCUAGAAAGCUACGAGAUGUGGAGACUUUAAUCGCCGAAGGAGUUUUUGAGGCGGUGGCUACUGAGGUGGUGCCUGAGAGAGCUCCAGAGCCUGUAGCAGAUGAAAGACCUACCGAGCGAAAAGUAGUAGGCUUGCAAUCACAACUUGAACAAGUCUGGACGUGUCUUGUGGAAGAAUCAGCGGGAAUCAUUGGCCUAUACGGUAUGGGCGGUGUUGGUAAAACCACACUAUUGACCCAUAUCAACAAUAAAUUUCUCGAGAGUCCAACCAACUUUGAUUGUGUGAUUUGGGUAGUAGUUUCAAAAGACCUGCGACUUGAAAAACUUCAAGAAGAUAUUGGGAAAAAGAUAGGUUUGGUUGGUGAUUCAUGGAAGAGUAGAAGUGCAGAGGAGAAAGCUCUCGACAUCUUCCGGAGUCUAAGAGGGAAGAGAAUUGUAUUGUUGUUAGAUGAUAUAUGGGAGCGGGUUGAUUUAACAAAAGUGGGCGUUCCACUUCCUGGACCACAAAAUACUACCUCAAAAGUCGUAUUCACAACNNNNNNNNNNNNNNNNNNNNNNNNNNNNNNNNNNNNNNNNNNNNNNNNNNNNNNNNNNNNNNNNNNNNNNNNNNNNNNNNNNNNNNNNNNNNNNNNNNNNNNNNNNNNNNNNNNNNNNNNNNNNNNNNNNNNNNNNNNNNNNNNNNNNNNNNNNNNNNNNNNNNNNNNNNNNNNNNNNNNNNNNNNNNNNNNNNNNNNNNNNNNNNNNNNNNNNNNNNNNNNNNNNNNNNNNNNNNNNNNNNNNNNNNNNNNNNNNNNNNNNNNNNNNNNNNNNNNNNNNNNNNNNNNNNNNNNNNNNNNNNNNNNNNNNNNNNNNNNNNNNNNNNNNNNNNNNNNNNNNNNNNNNNNNNNNNNNNNNNNNNNNNNNNNNNNNNNNNNNNNNNNNNNNNNNNNNNNNNNNNNNNNNNNNNNNNNNNNNNNNNNNNNNNNNNNNNNNNNNNNNNNNNNNNNNNNNNNNNNNNNNNCAGGAAGUCCUAGUGCGUGCUAUCAGAAAAGAUGCUGGGAACUGUUUCGCGAAAAUGUUGGGGAAGAAACUCUUGAGAGUGAUCAUGAGAUCGUUGAGCUAGCCCAAACUGUGGCCAAAGAGUGUGGUGGUUUGCCACUCGCACUUAUUACUAUUGGUCGAGCUAUGGCCUACAGAAAGAAAGCGGAGCAGUGGAGACGUGCAAUUGAAGAGUUAAGAAGAUCAGCUUCAGAGUUUGCAGGUUUGGGAAAAGAGGUGUAUCCUCUUUUAAAGUUUAGCUAUGAUAGUUUGCAGAAUGAUACAAUUAGAUCUUGUUUCUUGUAUUGUUGUUUAUAUUCUGAAGAUUAUGGCAUUCUUAAAUGGGACUUGAUUGAUUGUUGGAUUGGUGAGGGAUUUUUGGGGGAAUCUGACAGGUUUGGUGCAGAAAACCAAGGAUAUGACAUUUUGGACACUCUUGUUCGUGCAUGUUUAUUAGAAGAGGUGGAAGAAGAUGAAGUAAAAAUGCAUGACGUUAUUCGUGAUAUGGCUAUAUGGAUAACCAGUGAAAUUGAGAAGGAGAAGAGAAACUUUUUGGUUUGUGCAGGUGCUGGAUUAGAAGAGGCACCGGAUGUUAAAGAAUGGGAAAAUGUGAGAAGAUUGUCAUUGAUGCAAAACCAAAUUGAAACUCUGUUUGGGGUUCCCACAUGCCCUCAUCUCAUCACUUUAUUUAUUGACUUUAAUAGGGAGUUGAAGACUAUCGCGGAUGGCUUCUUCCGAUGUGUGCCUUCUCUCAAAGUUUUGAAGAUGUCAAACUGUGGAAAGCCUUAGAAAGGUUUGGAAUUACCUUUGGGGAUGUCAAAGUUGGGUUCACUACAACUUCUUGAUAUUUCACACACCUGCAUACAAGAAUUACCACAAGAAUUAAAGUUGUUGGUAAAUCUGAAAUGUUUGAAUUUGAGGCGGACAAUUUGGUUAAAUAAAAUUUCAUGGCAACUAAUAUCAAAAUUUUCAAGGUUACGUGUGUUGAGAAUGUUCGCUACUGGCUGGUUCAGUUUUCAUGAAGCACCAGAAGACAGCGUUUUAUUUGGUGGGGGUGAAGUUUUGAUACAGGAAUUGCUCGGUUUGAAAUAUUUAGAGGUAUUGGAGUUGACCUUGGGAAGUUAUCAUGCUCUCCAAAUUCUUUUGAGCUCAAAUAAGUUAAAAAGUUGUAUUCGAUCUCUUUUCCUACAGUUGUUCAGAGAUACAACGUCGAUUAUUGAUGCUACGGCUUUCGCAGAUCUAAACCACCUCAAUCAAUUAUGUAUUAGUAACGGUUCUGAGUUGGAAGAAUUGAAGAUUGAUUAUACGGAGAUAGUACGAAAAAGGCGGGAACCUUUUGUUUUCCGCAGCCUUCAACGUGUUACCAUAGAGGAGUGCCAUAAAUUGAAAGAUUUGACAUUCCUCGUUUUUGCUCCAAACCUCAAGUCUCUUUCGCUAUACGAUUGCGGUGCUAUGGAAGAAAUAAUCAGCGUCGGAAAAUUUGCUGAGACUCCUGAGAUGAUGGGACAUAUAAGCCCUUUUGAAAAUCUCCAAAUGCUUUAUUUAAUGGCAUUGCCGGAGUUGAAGAGCGUCUACUGGAAGCCAUUGCCUUUCACUCAUCUGAAAGAAAUGGAGGUACUUGGGUGUGAUCAGCUUAAAAAGCUUCCACUCGAUUCCAACAGUGCAAAAGAGCGUAAAUUUGUAAUUCUUGGAGACACACAGUGGUGGAACCGUCUUCAAUGGGAGGAUGAAGCCACUCAAAUUGCUUUUCGUUCCUAUUUCCAAACCUGAUUCCUGAGCGGUGGUCGCAAAAUUUGAUUUCUGGUGAGUGCGUUUGUCUUUUAAAAGAAGAAUUUAAAAGAAAUUUAUUCUUGUCGUUUUCUUCUCUGUUUUUAUUUCAGUUUGUUUCUCUCUCUCUCUUUUUGUCUUCUGCAAAUCACAAUUAAAUGUUGAAUUAAUGGAAUUAAUGCUUCAUAAAUUUGCCGGCACUGCCAGUACUUUUUUUUUUUUUUAAUACGAAUUGAUGCUUUAUUUAUUUCUUCUUAGCGAUUUAAUUUCCUGUCAAAAGACGAGCGAGAAGAACAUAUGACUUAAACCAAUUGAUACUUUAUUUAUGUGCAUUGUAUGUAAUAAAAUUUUCUCUGUUUUUUUCAAAUUGAGGCUUUAUUUAUAUUUUCUUCGUGAAGAGUGAUUUAAUUUCCUGCCAAAAGACAAACGAGAAGAACAUUAGAGUCAAACUAAUGCUCACAUAAAUUUCCCGUAAGAAUAUAUAUAUAAUUAGACUGGAAUGCACACCUCUAGAUUGAACAGAAUUAAAGCUGAGAAAAUAUUGAGUAUAGUAGCCCUCUUUACAGAAAAUGACGCGAAAGUUAAUUUAGAAAGAUAUAUUCUUGAUUAAUCCAUUUUCUGAAGUUUUUUAUUUUGUAUGGUCAAUUAUACCUUCAUACUAAAAAAAAAAAAAAAAAAGAGAAAAUAUGUAAUCCAUGAAUGGUUAAUUUUGUUUGUUUGUUUUUUUUUCUUAAAUAUCAUUCUUUUUCGGCCACCCAAGGACAUUUUCACAAAUACCUUUUGUGUGCAGAAGUCUUCCAAACCAUCAAUGGAAAAAUAAAAAAUAAAAAAAACACGGUCCAGUAUACCUCAAAAUAUCAUUGAUGACUUUUCUGGUCUAAUGCUAUGUAAAUAGUAUGUUAAGUAAAACAUAAUCAGUUCAGUACCUCACAAAUAAUUCGCAAUAUCUACAAAAUACUAUAAUGGCUACAAAACAAAUCCUGCUUGCAAAUUGUCAAGGAUACCUAUCCGUUCGCUUGACAAGUCAUUUGAAUAAAUAUUGUUCACAUUCCUUACUCUGUCAAUUAUCCAAAGCACCAUCAACUUUAGUUUGAAUAGUAUACAUGCCAUCACCGUUACCAAGAAUCAAGCAUGGAAGGGUCAUUCUAUAGAGUGCAGAACAUGACUCUAUGCGGUAGUCAAUUUGACACACGACGAACACCAUAUGCUGCAUAACAUACAAAUUAAUUUCCCAUAUGUGAUGCAAUUUUCUCCUCAACAUAUGCGCAAUUCUUUCCAUUCCGGCAUUUACACUCAAAUUUUCCUUCCUUUCUCUUUGUGGUUGAAUCUUACACCACAACUCAUGUGAUGCAAUCUCCUCUCGCUGCCUAAAUUGCACUCUCAGCAAAGCAGCAUAUGUAAGCAAGCUUGAAGAUAAUCUUGCUGCUCUGCAGAAGAACGGCAAAAGUUAAUCGAAGCAAGGAAUGAUGUAUCAGAAAAUAUUUGGUGGAGAAUUCAGCACAAACAUAUUUCGGAUGAUCAGAAUCAAUAAAACCUGGUGGUUGUGCCAUAUAAACAUCUUUGGAAAGCUGACCUUGAAGAAAGGCGUUAUUGAUAUCCAAUUGAUGAAGAGGCCAGCCAUGACUAACAUCAAUACUAAGAACAAGCCGUACUGUGGUGGACUUAACAACUGGACUGAAAGUGUCAUAAUAGUCCACACCAGGCCAUUGAUUGAACCCUUUGGCAACAAGAUGAGCUUUAAACCUGUCAACAGAACCGUUGGAAUGUCUUUUAAUACAAAAAUCCAUUUGCAGCCAACAAUAUUGGAAGGGAUGGGAGGUGGAACAAGCUUCCAUGUCCCGUUACGAACAAGAGCAUCAUACUCUUCUGACAUAGCUGGACGCCAGUGAAGAUUUUUGAUAGCUUGCGUCACAGUUGUAGGUUCACAAUCAGAAGAAGGGCUAAAAUGAGCACGGAGGUUAAGUUUUUGUAACGGCUUGUGAAUCUUAUUUUUAGCUCGGGUAGUCAUAUCAUGAUGACUUGUGGGGCAAUGAUCUAGUGGAGUUUAGGAAGAUGAUUGAACAGGAAGUGAAGAAGUGCUUUGUGUAGAGGUAGAAGUAGGUUGGGAGGAUUGCUGCGGAGAUGUUACCGGUAGAGAAGAAGGAGCAGUACACGGUGGCAACUCCAGAGGGCCCACAAUAGAUGGAGUAGGUGCCGACAAUGGAGUACUAGGAAAUGAAACAGGAAGAAUUGGUGGAACACUUGCAUAAUUAGGAGUGGUAGAUGAGCUUGUAAUGAUUUGCAUGGAAAAACAAACUCUACAAAUUUAACGUGACGUGAAAUAAAAAUUUGAAAGGUGGAUGGGUCAAAACAUAAAUAAGCACUUUGAGAUAAAGGAAUAUCCUAGAAAAACACAAGGCUUAGAGGGUGGUUCGAGUUUAUGUGAUGAAACACAAACAUUCAAAAAAUUUUAAGUUUAUAUUAAUUAGGAGUGGUACCAAAAAUUAAUUAGCUAUGGGGUUGUUGGAUGUGUUUUGGAUAUUUACAGUUAAGUUUGAGUAUCUCAACUUAAAAUUUGUAGUUUUCACUUGAAAAAAUUCAGUUAAAUUUUGCAAUGCAGACUGAUUGAUUUAUCAGUUUAACGUGUGCCAGGAAUGAAGAACUGGAAUAUCACCGUCAAGCAAGCACCCUGUGGAGCAAUACCAAAGAAUGCACAAUCUGGCUUUGCUAGGUAACACUGGAGGCUUUUUGAAAAGUGCUUCACGCUCACUUGCACAGAUUGAGCAUCCCCUCUGGAUAUUGCCCUCUCUGAUCGAGUCUGAGCACUCAAAUUUUGGUCCUCAGAGGGAGCUACAGUUUUCUCUCCACUAACCAACAAUAUUCUAAACUCAGCACCUAGUGUGAUCAGAGUUGUUGAUAUUUGCAAAUGGAGAUCCCCAUAUUUGCAAAUGGAGACAUUUAACAAAUCACCAACAUGCUUCAUCCGGUCCACGAAAUUCUGCAACUGAUGCAAAUCUGGAACCUGAACCAGAGUCGGAGGUAUAUCUUGAGCCAUAUCUAAAGCAGUUUGAAGUUCAAGACCUUGAGCCCUUGACAAUGGUUUUGAAAUUGGAACAUCUUGGAUUACUGCAGACUUGUACCCCUUGGUUUCAAAGGUAAGGAAAGGCAUUGCUUGAGUACAAUUUGGAGGCAGCUUCUUCACCAAUUUUAUUUGGAGGCGAUUGGCAGCGGAUCCAGCUGCACCAAUUUCAGAGCAACUACUGACACUACUUCGAACAGCACACUGAAGAAGUGAUAUGUCUACGGCGAAGGCAAUGCAGUCCUCAUUUUGGCUUGAGACACAGUAAUCAUCGAAGAGAGUUUCCUUGUGAAACUGGGCAACACAUUGAAUCCCUUCGGCACUGAGAAGGUUGUGGAGGAAGUAAGCUUUCUCUCUAGUAAGGAAGAGGUGGCAUACAUUCCCCAUUUUGUCUAGGGCAGGUAGGAAUCUUUUUUCUAAGAGAUUUACUUCAUUCUCUGUGAGAAAUGCUUUGAACUUCAUCCCUCUGUCUCUAUCCUCACUUAUCAGUAAAAUAGUUGAAAGCGCUACAAGGAGAGAAAAGAAGAGUAUUAAGAUAUAUAUAUUAUAUAGACAAGAAAAACAUUAGAUGUCGAUCUUACAAGCUAAUACUUCAAACAAUAUCCUAGAAAGCUAAAAACUGCAAGAUGGCUUGAAAUUUGAAAAGAGCACGUGCUUUUCCUCCUUAACUUGAGAAAAUGUUUAAUAUAGUGCACCUUACAGAAGCAUUUAAGCAAUUAGAACUUUGCACAAAAACAUCAAGAAGACUAAACAAGUCAGAUGCAGUGUAUUUGUCCAAGCACAAAUUGCAUUUUGUCCUCAACUUUAAUAUUUAUUGAUGAGAAUCAAUACAGGUCCCUCAUUUGUUAUAGAAAGCUUUCUUGUAGUCUCACCAGUUAAUAUGGAUAUUAGAUAAGGAAACUUUAUUAGGUUGCGAGGGUAAAAAAGGAAAGAGAUAUCAUUAUUUUAUUAUCGAUAAUUAUUAAAUUUUUUUCCAAAAAAAAGAACAAGCAAGGAUAUUUUAUUGUCAAUUGCAACCUUUAAUUUUUUUAAAUGCUAUUAGAAACACAAGAUAACAAAAAUGUAGUGAGAUGGGAUCUCCUGCAUGCCACUCUGGUUUAGAACACAAAGAAUGUGUCUGCAUAAAUAUCCUCUGAAAUUGAACAACCCACAAACACAAAGCACCUCCAAGUCGGAGGCAUUGUACAAAACAUCAAAAGCCCUUGAAUCCUUCUCGUUGCCACCAACCUCGAAUUCUUCCUUCACUAUGUAUGUUAUAGGUCCAUCAGAACUAAUAUGUUUUGUGCUAUAGUAAGAGUACAUAGCCUCCACCUCCAUCUGAAACUUCCUUAACAUUUCAUUUGUGUACAGUUUUGAGAGUUGAAAUUCAUAGUAACAUCUUGGUUUCCGGAUACAACUUGAAUUUCUUGAAUCCAUAUCUGCCAAGGCUACCAGUUGAUAAUUCGCCUGCAGUGCUUGAUCAUACUUGUCUAAGAAUUCUUUCAAAGGAGUAUUCUUAUCAAGAUAUCCUUCAAAGUAUGAAGUAGAAACCUCAUUCUGCAGGAACGAAAACACUCCUGAUAAAAAAGCUUCCUUCAAAUAAAUAGGAGCCCACCUUUUAUGAUCUUCAUAUAAAGUUUGAAUCCAUCCGUGAUCCUUUAUUCCAUGACAUUGAAUCAUGUCUUCCCAAGCUGCUUCAAAUUUCUCAGGCCUGAGAGAGUGAUAAAUUGCUCUAUGUAAUGCAGCUUUAAUAGCUUCAUAUUCAAACAAUCCUUGGAGUUUCUCUGGAAUUUUUUUGCAUGAUGCAUGACAAUGAAAAGAAAUGAUAAGCUCUUGGGAAAACAUCACCAACAGCAAUUUGCAAGAUUCUACAUUGGUCAGUGAUGAUUGUUUGUGGAGAGCGCCCUAACAUACAUGUAAGCCACGCCGUAAACAACCAUGUAUAUGAUUCUAUGGUCUCACUGGCAAGUAAACCACAACCCAACAACACUGAUUGUCCAUGAUGAUUCACCCCAAUGAAUGAAACCAGUGGUACAUCAUAUCUUUCAGUCAGGCACGUAGUAUCAAUUAAGACCACAUCACCAAAGUACCUAUAUGCAACUCUUGACCUGGUAUCAGUCCAGAAUAGGUUUUUCAAGCAUCCCUUUUCAUUUAGAUCCACUACAUUAAAAAAGUUUGGAUCUGUCAACUGCAAAUGACAAAAGAAACUCUGGACAGCUUGUGCAUCUCCUGGUUUAAGCUUCAAUUGAUUUGAGCUAUUAACAUUAUUUCCAAAUACUCCAUUAACAUCUACCAUUUCCCUUGGUAUCAAUGAUAAGAGUUCGAAACAGUUUAAUUUUUUGAACUUCUUCAGCACUAUCUAAAUGCAAUGUUCUUUUGGUUCCAAUACCUAUGUGCUUAUGUGACUUGUAAAACUUUCCGCUUCUUGGGCUUAACAAGUGGUUAUGCUCAAGCUCGACUUCAAUGAUUCUCCACCUUUUGGUUUCCAUCAACCUAAACUUUAUCAUUGCUGGACAGCCAGUUCUUGUUUCUGGUCUUGGGCGGUUUGCCUCGCUUUUCUUCUUGAAGCCUGCACUACUACAGCUCAGCUUUCCUCUAUACUUUUCUCUACUCUUUCGGUACCAUGGAUUGCUAACUCUAACACCAAAACCCUGUUCCUUGGCAUAGCAAUUGUAAAAGUAAUAUACAUCAUCAUACAUCUCAAACUCCAUUCCAACAGUAGGAGGCAAGGGAUUUUGGAUUAUCCCAGUUUGUCCAACAUAUUCAGUCAUCGCACAAUCUCCUACAACCUCAAAAUCAUCAGUGUCAUCAUCACCUACUGGUUCGGUGUUGAGAGAAACUUCAUCCAUCUACAAUGGAUGUUCAAUGAAGUGAGCUUUAAGGAGAAAAAGCAAAAUCUGUUCAAGGAAUGAUAAUAUAAUCAUACAGUUACUUUCACAAAGCUUCAUAUUUCAUCACUGCUUUACCAACAUGCAACUGCCAGAGAACAAACAGACAUGUCAUAGACGCUUGAAUUAAGUAUUGGUACAAAUGAGCACACAUCAUGUGGGACAAAAUUUCAGUCACUAAACCCAAUACCACUUUUUACAUCAUACCAAGGAACAGAUUAAACCCGACACCUUCUUUUAAACCAUACCAAGGAACAGAUUAAAUCAUCAAUGAAAAAUUAAUCACAUAAUAACUUAACCAGACAAAUGAAGAGCCUGAAACAGCACAAAACUUGAAUCUGAUUAUGAUAAUUGUUGAGUCCUUGUAUCUACAGCUUUCCUUCAAUGAUAAGACAAUGAACAUAAACGAGACACAAAAAAAUUAUUUUAAACUGACAGCCCAUGAUAUAAAUCAAACAAAAUCAACUCCUUUUUUUACACAUUACAUCUCAUAUUCAUUUACAUUGAAACACAAAAAGGAAGCAGGAGUGGGAAAAAAACAACAGCAGAGGAACUUAUUUCCAUAAGGUUUACGAAAUAAGGAAUCUAUUAAAACCCAAAACUUGAGGUCACCACUAAGAAUUUGGUUCUCAUUAUUUUUUUCUUCAUUUUUCACCAAUUGAUGAACUUAAAAUACAAUCAUAAAUGAUAAAACCCCAUCUCCAUCUUUUUGAACUAGAGCUAAAGCAAAGCAUUUUAAGAUGUUUCAUCAUUUUUUUUUUUAAAAAAAACUCAAUAGUACAAUGUUUUUCAAUGCUAAAUGCACAAUUCAAUCUUCUCCUAAUUUACUCUAAUAAUCUCUUAAUUAAGGAAGAUUAAGCUUCAGUUGUAAGCUAAAACAAAUUUCUUAAAUCAAGCCCCAAUGCUUUAUGCUAUUCAACAAGGGCUCAUAAAUGAUAAAACUACUUCUAUAAAGAUACCCAUUUUCUAAAUUAAUUUCACAAACUGAAAUCAAACUCCUGAAACGUAACGAGCAUUAAUAUAAUCAAGCCCGAACAAGAAUUGAAAAAUGAUACAUAAACUCGUUUACACAUUUCGACAGACACUUUGCAAUCAAUGAGCAAAAAAUUAAUGGAGAAGAUAAAAUUCAAACGAAACAUGCCUUACAUUGAUAAAUUAGAAGGGCAAAAGAAAUUUUAGUACGAUAUGCGAUCAGGGUCUUGCCACGGUGAUGUUAUUUGUGAAGUUCGAGCGACUCAGCAGCCUUCGAGGUUGAAAAUUUGAUUGACCAAAAGCUUCCCGUUCGUUGAUUCUCUAAUAGUAGAAACGAGACUGGCAGUAUACACAAGAAGUUCGCCGAUUUUAAAUUCCGUUGUUUGAGAUGGAAAAUUUUUUGAAAAAAUUAAUGUGUUCGAUGAAAAUCAAAAUCUCAAAAACCUCUUGUUUUUCAUUUUUUUGGAAAAAACCAUUGAGAUCCUUACUAUUUUUUCUUAUAUCAUCUUCCUUAAUAAUUUGCAAAGUCUAUCGCAUAGCACCCAUGUAUGAUGUAUGCUGCGUUGUAAUUUACAAAAUUGCACAUGAAUAAAUCCAGCUAAAAUUUGUUAAAAGAAAAUAAUAAUAACAUGUUAAAACUUUAAAAUUUGAUUAUUCGAAGAAAUUUUAAUUUAGUUAAGUAGGUGACAUGAUAAUAAAUAGAUACGUAUAAUGUCCGAGAUUUUUUAUAAGAUUAAUAAAUAUGAUAAAUUUGGAUUAGUUCAAUUUUGACAUAAUUCAUAAUAAACACAGCUUGCUAAUCUAAAUUGCCACCGUUACUCAUCAUCAGGUACCUGUUUGAAAAAUAAUUACAAACAAUUUUAUUUGUGUUGUUUCUCUAAAAGUUUGAGACACAAAUGUUAUUUCAAAUUGAUAAAAGUACGAAAAUUCCCCCUUGCUCUUCAACUAAAAAUGAAACAUGCAAAUAUACACACUAAUUUAGAUGUGUGAAUAACAAAUAUGGAACGACACAUGCAAAGUCAUCUGUAUAAUUGAAACGCCAUGCACUAGUAGUAGGUAAGAGAAACCAAGGUUGAAGUUGCUCCAAUGGUUACUGUUAAUUUAUUUUUAUUUAUGAUUUUUUUUGUAAAAUGUAAGAAAUAUGUAGAAAUGUUGCCAGCAAUGAUUUUGGAACUUUGCAUAAAAUUUUUAUCAUUAUUGUUUUUGGUAUUAAGAAAUCCGAGGCGGUGAUUAGACGUAUGUUGCAACAAUUAAGAAAUUUCUUAUUGGAGAUAAUUUGGUAGGUUUGCAGCAAUUAGAGAAUAAUUUUCCUGCCAGUUAAUCAAUCAAUAAUAAAUUUCAAAUUGCAGAAAAUAAAAUAAUACAGCCUCACUUAGAAUCAUCUUUUCUAUCUCUUUCAAUUGUGGCAAUCAUUUGCAACAAAUAAAUCAAUUUGAUGCACAUCAUUUCCCCAAUUCAAAGUUCAAGUCACUGCUCAAUUACAGAGUAGUUAGUGGACAUGCAUGCAUGUUUAAUUAAGUACUGCAUUGUAGUAUCGAAAAUCAUAACAUCUCACCAAUAUCAGAUUAUUAACCAUGGAAAUCAUAUCACAAUAUCAUAUAGAAUUCACAAAUCUGAAAAUCAUCACCAAACAAGUACCCAGAGAAAUAAUCUCGUCAUAUCCAGACCUCAACGGACGGGCAAUGACGUACUAUUUGGGUAACGUCACACCCUGGAGCUACACGGAUAAAUAGGAAAAUACCAUCUCAUAUCUCAUCAUAUUUGUGCAUGCAUAAUCUAGUCCCCAAGGGACAAAAGCGCCCAAGCACACGGCCCAAAGCCUCUAUGUGUACUCAGACGGGCCCCAAAGGCCUGUAUCUCAUAUGUAUCAUAUGUAUCAUUUGUAUCUCAAUAUCUGUUUGUAUCUCAUUUCCGUAUAUCUAUAAUCAUCAUACCGCAUGCAUAUGCCCCCAAAAGACAAAAGCGCCCAAACACAUGGCCCAAAGCCUUUAUAUGUGUUUAGACGGGUCCCAAAAGCCUCUUAUCUCAUCUUAUCUGUAUCACUGUAUCUGGAGAGAAGGGUACUGUCUAAUGAUUUAAAAAACAAUCAUUAUACUCAUAUUUACAUACCUCUUAAUCAUAUUUGAAAUCAUAUCACAUUUGAAUCCACUUUUCUAAUCUUUAAAAUAUUAUCAUGCUUUAUUCAAAGUCGAUACGCAAAAUCAAUAACCAAACAUUUUAAAUCAAAUUAUUAACCAUGGAAAUCAUAUCACAAUAUCAUAUAGAAUUCACAAAUCUGAAAAUCAUCACCAAAUAAGUACCCAAAGAAAUAAUCUCGUCAUAUCCGGACCUCAACGGACGGGCAAUGACGUACUAUCUGGGUAACGUCACACCUUGGAGCUACACGGAUAAAUAGAGAAAUACCAUCUCAUAUCUCAUCAUAUCUGUGCAUGCAUAAUCUAGUCCCCAAGGGACAAAAGCGCCCAAGCACACAGCCCAAAGCCUCUAUGUGUACUCAGACGGGCUCCAAAGGCCUGUAUCUCAUAUGUAUCAUAUGUAUCAUUUGUAUCUCAAUAUCUGUCUGUAUCUCAUAUCCGUAUAUCUAUAAUCAUCAUACCGCAUGCAUAUGCCCCCAAAAGACAAAAGCGCCCAAACACAUGGCCCAAAGCCUUUAUAUGUGUUCAGACGGACCCCAAAAGCCUCUCAUCUCAUCUUAUCUGUAUCACUGUAUCUGGAGGGAAGGGUACUGUCUAAUGAUUUAAAAAAUAAUCAUUAUACUCAUAUUUACAUACCUCUUAUCAUAUUUGAAAUCAUAUCACAUUUGAAUCCACUUUUCUAAUCUUUAAAAUAUUAUCAUGCUUUAUUCAAAGUCGAUACGCAAAAUCAAUAACCAAACAUUUUAAUAAAAUACCAAUGCAUAAAUAAAAUUCAUUUCGAGAAAUCAUUAAAUCAGAACAUUUAAAAUACUUAUUUCGCAAACAUGCUUUACUAUCAUCGCUAACUAUGAAAAUAAGUUUUGUAUAUUCCACUUUCAGUGAUGGUGUUCACGGUCGGUUAUCGUCCAUAUCUGCAGACCGAUUCUCGCUCGCGAAUCCUCCUAAAUCAAGGAAACGACAUAAUUAUUUUUUGUAAAUCGGAAUUAUGACUAAAUUUUAUGCAAUAAACUCAAAACGAACAUCUAUUCAUAAUUGACAACUCCUAUAUCCAUAAAAUUACUAAAAUAUCCUUGAGUCCGUAGAUCAUUAACAUGCUCCGAAAUCGUAAAUCACUGAAUUACCCUCGGAAUCGUAAUUACACCCGAUCCUCAAUUAUAGGAAUUACUAACAGAUCCACAGGCUUAGAAAUUACAAAAUUGCCCUCGUAGUGUGAAAUUACCAAAAGCCGGAAGUUGGUCAACAAUGGCUAGGAAGCUCAAAUCGUAAAGUUCCAAUCACGCUGAGUUCAAUGGUACCGGCGGUGAGCUCCAACGCGCGACAACGAUGCCAGAAUCUAGCUCGGCAGCCGUGAAUUCCACCAAUCGACCGGCGGCACAACAGUGACUCUCGGUGCCUAUGGAUGGUCGAAAAUGGAAGAGGGAGCCGUGGGGAACAAAAUCCAACCGGUGGUGUCACCAAAACCGGUGAAAAUCCCGGCGGAGCAAAGUGAAACAGUCGCGGGUUUCAUGCUUCGAUCGCCGGUGUUCCGAUUGGUUUUUGGCGAGGAGGAUGGCAAGGGAACGACAGCCGGCUUCUAAGCUUCAGAUUGGUACCAAGCUCGGCCGAAACGAUGGCCGGAAAUGGGAGAUAUGACCGGGUCAAGGUCGCGGGUUCCGGGUCGGGUUUUUUGGUCUGUAGUUGGGUCGGUUUGGUAGCUUCUCUCUCACUCUCUGUUACACGUGCAUAUGUUUCCUCUGUUUCCAGCUUAUUCUUUUGCUUUUACUAACUUCUUAACCGCCUCAUACUUAUUCAUUUUUAAUUCACAUAUGUUACAAUAAUUCCCGAGUAUUAAAUAACCAGUGGUCAUAAUUUUUGUACAAGAUUCUUUUUUUUUUUUGGAGAUCGUUAAAAGUGGUUGACGAUCCAUUUCGUAAUAUCAUAGAGGGAUCAUCAAUUCCUUUUCUUUUCUGUGGCUAGGCAACACUUUUUGGCCAAAGUAAGGAAAUCUAUUUUAGGUAAUGUAAAAACCAGUUGUAGGAUGUAAUAGUUUAUUAUGCACUGACAAUAACUUUUUGUAUAAUUGUCAGUUUAAUGAAUGCAAGAGGAACUCUGUUGGCAAAUUCAUCCAAGAUAGAUGCUAAAAUUAUUUAUGCAUGCCAGUUGCCUUAACUAAGUUUUCUCAGCACUGGUUUUGAACAGGAAAAUGAAUAUGCAAUUUGUAUAUUGUGCCAUAGUGGAGAAUUUGGAUAUUCUUAUUUAAGUAACAAGGAGAUUAUUUGCCUCAUCUUUAAACAAUGAAUCUUUGAGAGAUGAGGAGUGGGUGAUUGGAUGUGUCUUCAUGUAAUUGUUCAUUUAUUUGUAUUUUGAACUGUUAUGAAAAUCUUUAUAUGCCAAAUUAGUAAUACAAGUAUUCAGAUGAUUUUUCCUAUUGAUCAUGCAUUUGUAUCUGCCCACAACCAUUGUAUAUCACUUUAUUCUGAUGCGCAAGCAUCUGUAAUUUAGAAGAAAAGAAAUAAUAAUCAUAUUUUAUUGCUUGGUUCAUGAUUAUUAACGAUUAUGGCUUUAAAAAUCUACAAAUUUCUUGUGUUCAUGUAUGAAUGUGCCAAGUUUGCUGUAUCUUAGAUUACCUUCUUCCAAGGUAACAAGUUCAUAUAUAUAUAUUUUUUAAAUCAUUUUCCAUUACAGUUGAAUUUCAAGUGUUAGUUUUGUUAUUAGUACCUGGUUUCCUGUUAUAAGGAUCUAAUAAACAGUGUACGGAUAUGUGCUCUACUUUUGGAGGGCUUCCACGUGAAAGAAAAUUACAACAAUUGAAUUCUUCCGGAGGAUAUGGUAAUUAAUUUAUUUUCUCAACUUCUUGUAAGACUAAUAUAUUUCCUUCAGUAGGCACAGCAUGGUGGGAAGGGUUUUUAUUGAAAGAAUUCUGAUAUUUCUUAGACUUUGUUUUGGAAGGGGGUGGAGGAAUUUCUCAUCCAUAUAUGGUUACUUGAUUAGCUUUUGACUGUAUUGUCUCUGUCGUGCAAAGGAAAAUCUAAAUACUAACGAUGGGGAAUUGCUUAGGCACCCAAAAGGCAGAAAUGAAUUACAGAAGGAAGUUUUUGCUGCUUUAUUUAGUGCUGCUGAGAAAUCUGAUGAAUUUCCUGAAAUUACGGUGAAGACCGAGUGGAGGUCCAAAGCAUUAGGAAAGGUGGUGAGUGAACUGCCGGAGGAAUUUGUACCAAAAUACAAGGCUAAUGUGGUGCACUUGCAGCAAGAUAACCAGACCGGUAUGUGCUCUUAUAUUAACUAUAUUGACUGGAUUUGUGAGUGUGUGCAUUUUUUUGUGUAUACUCACUUUUGUAUUUAUGCAUAUUAACAUGUGUAGGAUUCUUGAUUUCUGCCACUUACUGGAGAACUAGUGGAAAGCUUUAUAUUGAUAUAUCUGCAAUAACUAAUGGAAACUAUGAUAUGAAUAUUUUCUCUCACCUGGGGAGCUGUGUAACAGAUAUACUUUGUGGCUCUGGAAUGCUGAAGAUUCUGCAAUAACUAAUGGAAAAUAUGAUAUGAAUAUUUUGUCUCACCUGGAGAACUUUGUUACAGAUACCCUUUGUGGCUCUGGAAUGUCUAAAGAAUGCUUUAGUUAGAUCAAAUAUCUUUUAGUUAGAAAAGAUAAAAUUCUCUGAGUCUGAAAGACUGAAACAUUUUGCAUAUUUUGUGAAAGGGAAAUAUCUGUUGAUACUAGCUCAUGCAUUGAGGUAAUAUCGAUGUUAAAGAAAAACAGCAAUGAUUUAUGAUAUAGAAUUGGGUUCACUUGCUUCAAAUGCUGGUCUGAUCAACCAUAUCAACCUGUAAUGAUUCUGCAGAAAUAUAUAUACAUGGAGAAAGUAGCUAAAUUUUUCUUUCAUUUAUGGGUUCGGUCUUUUUUCCCCUUAUUUUUCAGCUUUCCUUCUCCUGAAGUAUGUUAACAAUUGCAGAUAAUGAUGAAGACGACAGCUUCCGGGCUCUCCUUAGAGCCGUGAUGGAAUAUAGGGGCACAAUGAAGGAAUAUUGUAAAGCUGUAGGUACUUUUUCUCCUUUCAUUUAUGUUUUCUCACACAUUUUGUAUAUGCCCUGAACAUGCACCUUUGUAUGUAUCAAUUGACUUUUAAAUUUUAAAAGCCAUAAAGUAAGAAUACGGUUCCUUGUCAGGCUACUGAUGACAUUCGCUCAGGGGGAUCAUGUUCGAGCAGGAAAAUUUCUAGAACAGGUAAGGUUUCCAUCUACAGCCAUCCAUUGACAGCAGAUACAUUUUCAUUCAGCAGACUCUGUUAGCAUUCAAGAUGCUGGCAGAUUCACUUGAUUCUUAUUAGCUUGUUUAGUGGCAAAGCCUAUAACCUGUAUUUCAAAGCCAAGUUGUGCUAUUGAUUAUGUUAACUUUUUUGUUAACAUAAAAUGAUAUGGAGGAAAUAAUCAGUGUUGGAAAAUUAGGUGAAAAGAUGAUGUCAAAUCUUGAACCUCUUACGAAACUCUAAGUUCUUUACUUGAAGAGGCUACGAAAUUUGAACAGCGUCUACUCGAAGGCCUUGCCAUUCCCUGAUGCAUGCAGAAUUUUUGUAUUUAAAUGCCCAGAGCUUAAGAAGCUGCCACUGGAUCUUGAAGGGGCAGACCAAGGUAAAAAUCUUAUCAAGGGAAAGGAAGAUUGGUGGAAACAACUUAAUGGGAGGAUCAAGUAACUCAGAAUGCAUUGCUUCCAUUUUUUAAAUUGACUGACAAGUGAUUGAACGGGGCAUCAUCAACAUCAUCAACAGGGAUGGAGAGAUACCGGAGCAGAUCAGCAGGGUUUGAAUAUGACCUUUGGCGGUUGCUUUUUUUUUGUGAUUUUUUUUUCAUUUUUUCCUUCCUGUCAUUUUAUCAUUUCUUUCUCUGUUUCUAUUGCGGGUGUUACUGCAUGCUUACUGUUGCUUGACAAAGUUUGCUAGCUUUUUGUUUGCAGUGUUGCUAUACACUCCGAGUCAAGCCUCGAAAAUUUAUUAAACGAAGCCGUUUCGACAGUAACAAUUCUUUUCUUUUCCCUUUGCAUGUCUCUUUCAUCUGCUGUUUCUCUAUCACUUUUCAUUUUUGAUUUCCUUGCUUCUCAGCUGCCCCUAAAUUGUUAUUCUAGCAAUAUACUUUCUCAUCUUUGAAUUUUCAUCCUUGAGUACUCCCACAGCCGUAAUUUCAUCAUCAUAGACUUCACUUGGAAUGCUGUAUUUUUUCGAUUCUUGAGCUACUUCAAUUACAUCUUAGUAUAGGAUCCUCAUCUUCCUUUAUUUCUUCAUCUUAUGAGGUAAUAAAUGGAUUUCACAACUCAUCUACUUUUAAGCAAUUACAUAUUAUACCUUGAAUGAUUCAACUGUUCUGACAGUUAAAGAUUUUAUGCUCAACCUGCAGUGCUACGAACAUUGUCCAUGAAAGAUGAGUUUCAGCAUAUAAAAUGAAAUAUAGAUGUUUAAUCUAAAAUAACCCUUCACUGCCAGAAACCUAGGUCACAAAAUUCACAGAUAAUGAUAAAGAGCUAAAAAAUUUGAAAAACUCUACAGAUCACACAUCAAGCAAGAUAUCAUGUUUUUUUCCCUCAUUCAGUGGUGAUUGAUUCGCUUUUUGAUGAUGGAUAUGGUAUAAAAGUGUUGACCCAAUUUCAAGCAAACACAAAUAGAAACACAAACACAAUCGGGACUAGAGUUGUGGGCGAUUAUCUUAGGUGUACAAGUGAAACGGUGGUGGCUGUCGAUGGUGGUAGUGGGGUGGUUGGGUAUGCGUGAUGGCUAGAUUUUAGGACAAUAAUGAUUGGAGUUGACCUCAAUCAACGAAGGAAAGUGACAACAAUUUUGACAUCAAACGGUGCAUUUUUUAGCUUAGUAAAAUGGAGCCGUUUCGAUUUUGGGGUUUAAUCCGGGGUUUGACUCGGUGCAAGUAUCAUUUUCCUUUUGUUUAUUAAAUUUUUUUAUGGUCACAAAGUAUCACUCGUUCUAUUUGAGAGUCAUGUGAAUCAAUUUUUCAAAUUUUCAAUUUUAAAUUUUGUGGUCAAUGUGAAUUCAAUUUCAUUUGUCUCCUGCAAUUAUGAAAAAAUUAAAUAGUCAUAAUAUGGAAAAAUACACCGGUAAAAACUUUGUAAAAGCUUCGGAGUGAUACGGGGAAUUCACUUACUACUAAGGACAAUUGGUGGCAAGCUAUUCCAUUCAUUUUAUGUCCAUCCAUCUAUUUAGUUAUUGAAGAUAAGUGGUCCAUUUGUAAAUUUCAGAUUGUCUCUCUCUCCCUCUUGAAAUAACAAUAUUUAAUAUAUCUCAUAAAUUAUUAUAAAUUUUAAUUUACUCUCGAUUUAAAAUGGAGCAUGUCGAUAAAUUUUUUUUCUUCUUAAUAAAAUUGACGUAAGUUGUGUUUACAGUAGUUUGAAGUUUGAAAUAUUUUAAAGAUUAUUAUUCUAUAAGGGAGUAAUAUGAAAUGAUAUUUACUUUUCAUGUGUGAAAUGAAAAAGGACGAAGCAAGUGUCCCUGCUUUUAUUUUAUUUCAAGGAGGAGUCAUCUCACAUACUUUAGCUCUUAACAUUACAUUUUUUCUGGUUACAUUUUUUAUUUAUUUAUUUUUUUUUUUUUACACAUGCGUGUGGGUUGCUUUUCUGUAAGCUCCUUAAUAUAUAUUUAAGACAAAUCAUGGAAGAGAUGGGAUUAUAUCAAGAUGAUCAAAGAAUGUUAAAAAAGAAAAAAGAAAAAAAAAAGAAGUAAGACACUGAAAAUGGAGAAGAGAUGGAAGCAAAAGAUAUUCCAAAACAAAGCAAUCUAUCCCCUUUCGAGGGCAGACUUAUCAGGUUUAAAAAAGUACACGCUUUGGAUUGGUAGUUGCAAUCAAGGGAAAAUAAAUAGGAUCCAAUGAAAUUUAAAUCUCGGAGAAAAUAAAUAAUCAUGCAGAUUUUCAAGAUUUUAAUAAGGGAUACUAAUAUCUUAUUUUGAUUAAUAAUAUCCUUUCAUUGUGUUAACUCAAAAAAUAUAUAUUUUAAUGUUUUGCAAUAAACAGAAACGUACUAUUAAAAUGAAUAUAUAAAGAAUUUAGAAAAUUUUGAAUGUUAUAUAAAAUAAUUUUAAGAUAAUGCGUGAGAUAUAUUUUAUUAAUUUAAAAUGUUAUUUUACCUAAAAAAUAUGAUAAAUUAAUAAUUACAUAUUUGAAGUUAUUUUAAAUAUUAAAAAAAUUUAAUAUUAUUAAUCUUUUAGAUAGAUUAAAUUAUUUUUUAUAAGAGAUAGAUUAAAUUAUUUUAAAAUACGUUAAUUGUUUUUACUUUUAACGUUACCGGCCUUUCUUUUAUUUUAUUGCAAAUUAAUGCUAACAAGAAAAAGCUAGAUCAUAUUCCACAAAAGCAAAAGUGACAAACACAACCAGCUGGAAUCUUUUAAUUACUAUUCAAUAAUUCGAGACGAUUAGGGUCUUUUAUUAAACUACAAAUUGUAUAGUCUUUUUAAAAUUGUUAUAAAUUGGUGGCACCUACAAUCCUCAAUAAUUGUACCGAUAUUCACAAGUUGGUGGCCCCUACAAUUCUGUUCGGAUAAUUUAACUGUGCAAGUGCUCAUUCACAAUAAUUGUUUUGUUUUUUUUUUCUGCAUUCCCUUUCAUGCUCUUAAUAAUUGAAGAGCAUACUUUUCAUUUUCAAAUGUGGAGCCGCAGCUAAUGUCGCUAAUUUAAUUUGGGAUUAAAUUAGGGGACCAUUAUAUUGCAGUGUGCACUAAUUUUUGUGUUUAUCUAAACUCCUUAAAUUUAAGACAUAUUAUGGCAUAAAUAAGAAUAUAACAAUAGCAAAAGAGUUAAAAAGUGUAGAGAAGAUCUUGCAGAAAUAUAAAUAAUAUCUAUUUUAAAAUAAUAUCAAUAUUUAAAAUAAUUUUUAAUAUUUUAUGAUUCAUUAGAUAUAUUUUAUUAUAUUAAAGUAAAUUUUAUAAUAAAUAAAAACAUACUAUUAAAAUGAAUAUAUAGAAAAUUUAGAGUAUUUUAAGUAUUAUAUAAAAUAAUUUUAAUAAAAUAUGUGAGAUAUUCAUAUUUUAUUAAUUUAAAAUACCAUUUAACCUAAAGAUUUAUUUAUGAUAAAUUAAUAAUUAUAUUUUUGAAGUUACUUCAAAUAUUAAAAAUAUUAAUAUUACUAAUCUAUUAGAUAGAUUAAAUUAUAUAUAUUAUUUUCUAUUUAUUAAAAAAUUUAAAAUUAUUUUUAAUUACUAUUCAAAAAAUAUAAUGAUAAAAAAGAAUCUUAACAUCUUUAUUAAAAAUUUAAAAAUUUACAUGAUCAAUUCUCUAAAUAUUUAGGGUUAUAUGUGAACAACGGUGGAGAAGCUUUAUUUAAUAUUAUUGAUUUAAAUAAUAUGUCAAUUAAAAAUGUACAGAGAAGGAAAUUUCGGUGGGUAUUUUAGUCUUUUCAGCAAUUAUCAUGAUCAGAUCAGCCUUUAGCCUUGAAUCGUCGGUCAGAAAAGUUUUAAAAUUAACGCUAACAAGAAAAAGCUAGGUCAUAUUCCACAAAAGCAAAACUGACAAAACAACCAGCUGGUUUCUUUUACUAAACUACAAAUUAAAAGUGGAUUCUUUUGAAUGCAAGUGGGACAGACGAUUAGGCUCUUUUUAUUAAAGGCAAGUAAAAACUAGUCGAAUAGUCUUUUUCAAAUUGUUGUUUUAUUAUUUUUCCUUCAAAAGUUAGUGUGGCUCAUGUUUGCAGGUGCGAAUGUGGGUCCCGAAUCAUUACUAAAAUUUCUAUUCCACAGCCCACCGCAGCUUCAGUUAAUCAAACUCAAAUCAAUUUUCUUUCUUAACAAAAUAUUCCAAAGAUGUGUAGCAUUUUUCAGAUCACAUGCGAUGGUGCUCUUUUCAAUCGUUGCUUGGAUUGCUUUCUUGGAAAAGCAGCAUACAUACGUAACCUCCAAGAUAAUGUUGAUACCUUGGGCACUGAAUUGGGAAAUCUGAUCGCUAGAAAGAACGAUCUGAUGAGGAGGGUUGUCGAUGCUGAACGGCAACAAAUGAGAAGGCUGGACGGAGUGCAAGUGUGGGUUUCGAGGGUGGAUUCUGUUAAAACUGAAGCUGAUCAAUUUAUAAGAGACGGCUCUCGAGAAAUUGAAAAAUUAUGUGUUGGAGGCUACUGUUCCAAGAAUUGCAUGUCAAGCUACAAGUUCGGGAAAAAAGUGGCUAAAAAGCUACGGGAUGUGCGGACUUUAAUCAGUGAAGGAGUUUUUGAGGUGGUGGCUGACAGAGCUCCAGAGUCUGUAGCAGAUGAAAGACCUACUGAGCGAACAGUAGUAGGCUUGCAAUCACAACUUGAACAAGUCUGGAGAUGUCUUGUAGAAGAAUCAGCGGGAAUCAUUGGCCUAUAUGGUAUGGGCGGUGUUGGUAAAACUACACUACUGACCCAUAUCAACAAUAAAUUUCUCGAGAGUCCAACCAACUUUGAUUGUGCGAUUUGGGUUGUAGUUUCAAAAGACCUGCGACUCGAAAAAAUUCAAGAAGAUAUUGGGAAAAAGAUAGGUUUGGUUGGUGAUUCAUGGAAGAGUAAAAGUGUAGAGGAGAAAGCUGUCGACAUCUUCCGGAGUUUAAGAGAGAAGAGAUUUGUAUUGUUGUUAGAUGAUAUAUGGGAGCGGGUUGAUUUAACAAAGGUGGGCAUUCCACUUCCCGGACCAAAAAAUACUACCUCAAAAGUCGUAUUCACAACCCGUUUCAUCGAUGUUUGUGGUAGCAUGGAAGUUGACAGGAAGUUUCAAGUAGCAUGCUUAUCAGAAAAGGAUGCUUGGGAACUGUUUCGAGAAAAAGUUGGGGAGGAAACUCUUCAGAGUCAUCAUGAUAUCGAUGAGCUAGCCCAAAUUGUGGUCAAAGAGUGUGGUGGUUUGCCACUCGCACUUAUUACUAUUGGUCGAGCUAUGGCCUACAGAAAGAAAGCGGAGCAGUGGAGACGUGCAAUUGAAGAGUUAAGGAGAUCAGCUUCAGAGUUUGCAGGUUUGGGAAAAGAGGUUUAUCCUCUUUUAAAAUUCAGCUAUGAUAGUUUGCAGAAUGAUACGGUUAGAUCUUGUUUCUUGUACUGUUGUUUAUAUCCUGAAGAUUAUGGCAUUCUUAAAUGGGACUUGAUUGAUUGUUGGUUUGGCGAGGGAUUUUUUGGGGAAUCUGACAGGUCUGGUGCAGAAAACCAAGGAUAUGACAUUUUGGACACUCUUGUUCGUGCGUGUUUAUUAGAAGAGGUGGAAGAUGAUGAAGUAAAAAUGCAUGACGUUAUUCGUGAUAUGGCUAUAUGGAUAACUUGUGAAAUUGAGAAGGAGAAGAGAAACUUUUUGGUUCGUGCAGGUGCUGGAUUAAAAGAUGCACCGGGUGUUAAAGGAUGGGAAAAUGUGAGAAGAUUGUCAUUGAUGCAAAACCAAAUUGAAACUCUGGCAGAGGUUCCCACAUGCCCUCAUCUCCAUACUCUAUUUCUUGACUUUAAUAGGGGGUUGGAUAUGAUCGCGGAUGGCUUCUUUCAAUUUAUGCCUUCUCUCAAAGUUUUGAAGAUGUCAAACUGUUCGAAUUUGAAAUUACCUGUUGGGAUGUCAGAGUUGGGUUCAUCACUAGAACUUCUUGAUAUUUCAGAAAACAGCACAAGAGAGUUACCGGAAGAGUUAAAGAAGUUGGUAAAUCUGAAAUGUUUGAAUUUGAGGUGGACAGAGCAUUUAAAUAAAAUUCCACGGCAACUAAUAUCAAAUUCUUCAAGGUUACGUGUGUUGAGAAUGUUCGCUACUGGCCGGUUCAAUUUUCAUGAAGCACCAGAAGACAGCGUUUUAUUUGGUGGGGGUGAAGUUUUGAUACAGGAAUUGCUCGGUUUGAAAUAUUUAGAGGUAUUGGAGUUGACCUUGGGAAGUUAUCAUGCUCUCCAAAUUCUUUUGAGCUCAAAUAAGUUAAAAAGUUGUAUUCGAUCUCUUUACCUCGAGUUGACCGGAGAUACAACGUCAAUUAUUGAUGCUACGGCUUUCGCAGAUCUAAACCACCUCAAUGAAUUACGGAUUGAUAAUGGUAUUGAGUUGGAAGAGUUGAAGAUUGAUUAUACGGAGAUAGUACGAAAAAGGCGGGAACCUUUUGUUUUCCGCAGCCUUCAACGUGUUACCAUAGCGGAGUGCCAUAAAUUGAAAGAUGUGACAUUCCUCGUUUUUGCUCCAAACCUCAAGUCUCUUCGGCUAUUCUAUUGCGGUGCUAUGGAAGAAAUAAUCAGCGUCGGAAAAUUUGCUGAGACUCCUGAGAUGAUGGGACAUAUAAGCCCUUUUGAAAAUCUCCAAAUGCUUGAUUUACAAGGUUUGCCACAUUUGAAGAGCAUCUUCUGGAAGCCAUUGCCUUUCACUCAUCUGAAAGAAAUGGAGGUACUUAGGUGCGAUCGGCUUGAAAAGCUUCCACUCGAUUCCAACAGUGCAAAGGAGCGCAAAUUUGUUAUUCGUGGAGAAGAAGACUGGUGGAACCGACUUCAAUGGGAGGAUGAAGCCACUCAAAUUGCUUUUCGUUCCUGUUUUAAAAGUGAUGCUUUAUUUAUAUCUUAUUCGUGAAAAGUGAUUUAAUUUCCUGCCAAAAGACGAACGAGAAGAACAAUAGAGUCAAACUAAUGCUCACAUAAAUUUCCCGUAAGAAUAUAUAAUUAGAUUGGAAUGCACACCUCUAGAUUGAACAGAAUUAAAGCUGAGAAAAUAUUGAGUAUAGUAGCCCUCUUUACAGAAAAUGACGUGAAAGUUAAUUUAGAAAGAUAUAUUCUUGAUUAAUCCAUUUUCUGAAGUUUUUAUUUUGUAUGGUCAAUUAUACCUUCAUACUAAAAAUUUCUGAAGUUAUAAAUUAGUGCAACUUGACAAUUUUUACUGAUGAUAUCUUCUAUUUUUCCCUUUUUUUUUUUUUCACUUUCAUAGACUGGCAGCGGAUCCUGCGGCACCAAUUUGAGAGAAUAUACUGACACUACUUCGAACAGCAAGCAGAAGAAGUAAUAUGUCUACGGCAAAGGCAAUGGAGUCCUCAUUUUGGCUCGAGAUGCAGUAAUCAUCGAAGAGAGUUUCCUUGUGAAACUGGGCAACACAUUGAAUCCCUUCACCACUGAGAAGGUUGUGGAGGAAGUAAGCUUUCUCUCCAGUGAGGAAGAGGUGGCAUAUACCUUCCCCAUUUUGUUGAGGGCAGGUAGGAAUCUUUUUUCUAAGAGAUUUACUUCGUUCUCUGUAAGAAAUGCUUUGAACUUCAUCCCUCUGUCUCUAUCCUCACUUAUCAGGAAAUAAGUUGAAAGCACUAUGAAGAGAGAGAGAGAGAGAGAGAGAGAGAGAGAGAGAGAGAAUUAAGAUAUAUAGACAAGAAAAAUAUUUGACGUUGAUCUUACAAACUAAUACUUCAAGCAGUAUCCUAGAAAGCUAAAAACUGCAAGAUGGCUUGAAAUUUGAAAAGAGCACAUGCUUUUCCUCCUUAACUUGAGAAAAUGUUUAAUAUAGUGCACCUUACAGAAGCAUUUAAGCAAUUAGAACUUUGCACAAAAACAUCAAGAAGACUAAACAAGUCAGAUGCAGUGUAUUUGUCCAAGCACAAAUUGCAUUUUUUCCUCAACUUUAAUAUUUAUUGAUGAGAAUCAAUACAGGUCCCUCAUUUGUUAUAGAAAGCUUUCUUUCUUGUAGUCUCACCAGUUAAUUCAGAGGUCUAUAAUCAUCUUGCAAAGUUAAGGGCAUUUCUUUUGAUCUAAAGUCUUUGCAUCACCACCUCAUCACACGCCAAGCCAAUAUUCCAUUUACCUCUACAACAAAAAGUUUUAAUUAAACAAUCCUAAUGCACGCAGCCAAAUAAAAUGCAGUAAGAAUAUUCAACUUAAAAAUCUGAAAGCCAACUUGGUGAAUUGCCUCCUUAGGUGAAGUUCCAUGCUUUACUAUAGUUGACAGAACUCAGCAAAAGCUUCCAUACAACAGAUUUUGAAAAUGAUGAUGCCAACAGAUACUCAUUCAAUGCAUUGAAACUCCAAAGGUUCAUUGUUCAUAGAAGUUUACAGAGUUUUGGUCAUCAAAUAGCUCAGACCUAAUCCCAAACAAAAAAUGAGUGAAAAUUAGAUCACGAGCAGCUAAUUGUAAAUUCUAACUUAACUCUUCAUCUCCUUUGUAAACAAGAAACAAAAUGGAGACACGCAAAAUGAAUAUGGAGAAAAUUUGAACUCAAAUGAAAUGAGGGCAUGAAAGCAAACAAAUGGCAUGCACCAAAAAACCAAGCCUCAAUCAAAAACUAAUUAACCAUUAAGAAAAAAAUUGGUCAGAGAAUGAACUCCAAAUUCAGGAGUCAAGCAAGAAGCUUUCAUUAUUAUCAAAGUCAAUUAUCUUUGUUAGUAUGCGAGUGUGACGACUAUAGGUUGUUCUUUUUCUAAUGUCAUAUGAUUCCAAUUUUAGGUACAGGGCAUCUCUCUCUCUCUCUCUCAUCGCUAAGUGGAUAUUUUUCUCUUUUGUCAUAUACUUUAGUUAUUCUUCAAUUUACUAACUAAAAUGAAGGCCGCUUUAUUAAGAAGUUAUAUCCAGUUAUAUAAUUUGUUGUAUUUAAUAUAUGUUUGGGCUCAUAAUUUUUUUUAAAAAUAUAUAUUUCAUUCUCCAUAAUUUUUUCCCAUCAUAGCUACGAAACGUCUUAGUUUCGACUAAAAUCCUAAAAUUGGUCCUUAAUUGAAUAUGCAUUGCAAUUUGCAAAUGUAAUAUUGUGAAUGGGACACUGGAGAUACCAAAAUGGUCAAAUGCGAAAUAAGUUAGGAUUGUACGAUGUAGUUUGUAUUCAUAUUCAAUGCCUUUUUUUUCAAAAAACAAAUUGAAAUGCCAUUACUAAACGAUUCUUGAUGAUGGGAGCCACCGUGCCAGCUUUGUCGCUGAUUUGGUAUUAUUCUUAACUUGCAGAUAGUUGUGGAUAUGAUAUGCAAAAAGGUAAGGACUAUAUCUUCUUGAUGGAGGCCUCUGAUUUUUUCCCUUCUAUGUAAUUUAGUAAAUCGCAUUUUCCCUUGUGAUUGAUAUAUCAUACCAAAGUCAAGUCUUAAAUACUGCUGUCAUAUGUUAAGGUUCAACUUCCAUUUUGAUUAACGUCCAUUUGCUGCUGCUUCCAAAAGUGAGAAUGAGAUACUUUGGUUAAUUUCAGUAGUUGAACCCAAUAGAGUACUUUAUUUAGAUCUUCAUGGUUCAAAGGCCUGAAAAAACUUGCCGGUAUUUGCAAAAUGACAUUCUGUGCUUUUAUUUAGGCUUAUUAUUUAAGUGAUAAAAACUCCCGUAACCUGCUGUCAAGAAAAUUUCAGAUUGUUAAAAGACAACAUUUUGUUUCAGCCAAAAAUGUUUGUUUCGAUUAAAGACUUGAACCAUUUUCAUUUAACCUUGAUUGUGAUGCUUUACAUUAUGCAUGUUCCUCUCAAUCAAUAAAAGUUGAGGUCAUGAUUUUAUAUUUCUAUUUUGUAACUUGAAAUAAUUGGUCUGCCUGUUUCUGUAGCUUGAUAACAUGAAUUUUUCCUUCUGAAGUUAAUUUGAUCAAUAAAGUAAUUCUUCGGAGAUGAUAUGCCCAUUCUAUAGUCAUUUUCUUAGGUAACAUGUUUUUUCUUCACUCUUCAGAGCAUGUCUAAACUAAUUGAUCGCUCAGCGGAGACUUUGGGUGAGAAGACAAAAUUUCUUGGUAAAUCCUCUAAAAAGGUAUGCAUAAUUCCCGAGUAUUAAAUAAUCAUUGGUCAUAAUUUUUGUACACAACUCUUUUUUUGGAGAUCGUUAAAAGUGGUUGAUGAUCUAUUUUGUAAUAUCAUAGAGGGAUCAUGAAUUCCUGUUCUUUUCUGUGGCUAGGCAACACUUUCGGGCCAAGCUAAGGAAAUCUAUUUUAGGUAAUGUGAAAACCAGUUGUAGGAUGUAAUAGUUUAUUAUGCCCUGACAAUAACUUUUUGUAUAAUUGUCAGUUUAAUGAAUACAAGAGGAACUCUGUUGGCAAAUUCAUCCAUGAUAGAUGCUAAAAGUAUUUAUGCAUACCAGUUGCCUUAACUAAUUUUUCUCAACACUGGUAUUGAACAGGAAAAUGAAUAUGCAAUUUGUAUAUUGUGCCAUUGUGGAGAAUUUGGAUAUUCUUAUUUAAGUAACAAGGAGAGUAUUUGCCUCAUCUUUAAACAAUGAAUCUUUGAGAAAUGAGGAGUGGGUGAUUGGCAGUGUCUUCAUGUAAAUGUUCAUUUAUUUGUAUUUUGAACUAUUAUGAGAAUCUUUGUAUGCCAAAUUAGUAAUACAAAUGUUCAGAUGAUUUUUCCUGUUGAUCAUGCGUGUGUAUCUGCACACAACCAUUGUGUCCCACUUUAUUCUGAUGCACAAAUAUCUGUAGUUUAGAAGAAAAGAAAUAAUAAUCAUAUAUUAUUGCUUGGUUCAUGAUUAUUAAACGAUUAUGGCUUUAGAAAAUCCACAAAUCCUUUGUGUUCAUAUAUGAAUGUGCGAAGUUUGCUAUCUCUUAGAUUACCUUCUUCCAAGAUAACAAGUUCAUAUAUUUUUUUUAAUCCUUUUUCAUCACAGUUGAAUUUCAAGUGUAAGUUUUGUUAUUAAUAGCUGGUUUCCUGUUAUUAUGAUUUCAUAAACAGUGAGAGGAUAUGUGCUCUACUUUUGGAGGGCCUCCACAUGAAAGAAAAUUGCAACAAUUGAAUUCUUCCGGAGGGUAUGGUAUUUAAUUUAUUUUCUCAGCUUGUUGUAAGACUAAUAUAUUUCCUUCAGUACCCAAAAGGACAGAAAUGAAUUACGGAAGGAAGUUUUUGCUGCUUUAUUUAGUGCUGCUGAGAAAUCUGAUGGAUUUCCUGAAAUUACGGUGAAGACGGAGUGGAGGUCCAACGCAUUAGGAAAGGUGGUGAGUGAACCGCCGGAGGAAUUAGUACCAGAAUACAAGGCUAAUGUGGUGCACUUGCAGCAAGAUGACCAGACCUGUAUGUGCUCUUAUAUUAACUAUAUUGGUUGGAUUUGUGAGUGUGUACAUUUUUGUGUGUAUACUCACAUUUGUAUUUAUGCAUAUUAACGUGUGUAGGAUUCUUGAUUUCUGCCACUUACUGGAGAACUAGUGGAAAGCUUUAUACUGAUAUAUGUGCUAUAACUAAUGGAAACUACAAUAUGAAUAUUUUCUCUCACCUGGAGAACUGUGUAACAGAUAUAAUUUGUGGCUCUGGAAUACUGAAGAUUCUGCAAUAACUAAUGGAAAAUAUGAUAUGAAUAUUUUUUCUCACCUGGAGAACUUUGUAACAGAUACAUUUUGUGGCUCUGGAAUGUCUAAAGAAUGCUUCAGUUUAGAUCAAAUAUCUUUUAGUUAGAAAAGAUAAAAUUCUCUGAAUCUGAAAGACUGAAACAUUUUGCAUAUUUUGUGAAAGGGAAGUAUCUGUAGAUACUAGCUCAUGCAUUGAGGUAAUAUCAAUGUUAAAGAAAAACAGCAAUAAUUUAUUAUACAGAAUUAGGUUCACUUGCUUUAAAUGCUGGUCUGAUCAACCAUAACAACCUGUAAUGGUCCUGCAGAAAUAUAUAUACGGGGAGAAACUAGCUAAAUUUUCCUUUCACUUAUGGGUUUGGUCUUUUUUUCCCCUAUUUUUCAGCUUUCCUUCUCCUGAAGUAUGUUAACAAUUGCAGAUAAUGACGAAGAGGACCGCUUCCAGGCUCUUUGUAGAGCUGUGAUGGAAUAUAGGGGCACAAUGAAAGAAUAUUGUAAGGUUGUAUGUACUUUCUCUCUUGUCAUUUAUGUUUUCUCACACAUUUUGUUUAUGCCCUGAACAUGCAGCUUUGUAUGUGUCAAUUGCCUUUUACGUUUUAAAAGCCAUAAAGUAAGAAUACAGUUCCUUGUCAGGCUAUUGAUGCGUUCGCUCAGAAGGGUCAUGUUCAAGCAGGAAAACUUCUAGAACAGGUAAGGUUUCCAUCUACAGCCAUCCAUUGACAGCAGAUAUAUUUUCAUUAAGCAGACACUGUUAGCAUUCAAGAUGCUGGCAGAUUCACUUGAUUCUUAUUAGUUUGUUUAGUGGCAAGGCAUAUAACCUGUAUUUCAAAGCCAAGUUGUGCUAUUGAUUAUGUUAACUUUAUUGUUAACAUAAAGUGAUAUGGAGGACAUAAUCAAUGUAGGAAAAUUAGGUGAAGAGAUGAUGUCAAAUCUUGAACCUCUUACAAAGCUCCAAGUUCUUUACUUGAAGAAGCUGCCAAAUUUGAAGAGCGUCUACUGGAAGGCAUUUCCAUUCCCAGAUGUAUGCAGAAUUUUUGUAUUAAUGCCCAGUUCUUAAGAACCUGCCACUGGAUUUUCAAGGGGUGGGCCAAGGUAAAAUUCUUAUCAAGGGAAAGGAAGAUUGGUGGAAAGAACUUCAAUGGGAGGAUCAAGCAACUCAGAAUGCAUUGCUUCCAUUUUUCAAAUCAACUGACAAGUGAUUGAAGGGGGCAUCAUCAACAUCAUCAACAGAGAUGGAGAGAUUCUGGAGCAGAUCAGCAGGGUUUGUAUAUGAUCUUUGGUGGUUGCUUUCUUUUGUGAUUUUUUUUUUCUUCCUGUCAUUUUAUCAUUUCUUUGUCUCUUUUUUUAUUGCUGAUGUUAGUGUAUGCUUACUGUUGCUUGACAAAGUUCGCUUGCUUCUUGUUUAUUAAAUUUUUUAUCGUCACAAAAUAUUACUUGUUCUAUUUGAGAGUGAUGUGAAUCAAUUUUCAAUUAUAUAUUUUGUGGUCAAUGUGAAUUCAAUUUCAUUUGUCUCCUGCAAUUAUGAGAAAACUGCAGAGUCAUAAUAUGGAAAAGUACACCAGCAAAAACUUUGUAAAAGCUUCGGAGUGAAACAGGGAAUUCACUUACUACUAAGAACAAUUGAUGGCGAGUUAUUCCAUUCAUUUUAUGUCCAUCUAUCUAUUUAAUUAUUAAAGAUAAAUGGUCCAUUUAUAAAUUUCAGAUUGUCUCUCUCUGAAAAUAACAAUAUUUAAAAUAUCUCUUAAAUUAUUAUAAAUUUUAAUACACUCUCGAUUUAAAAUGGAACAUGCUGAUGAAAUUGUUUUCUUCUUAAUAAAAUUGAAAUAAAUUGUGUUUGCAGUAGUUUGAAAUAUUUUAAAGAUUAUUAUUUUAUAAGGGAGUAAUAUGAAAUGAAAUUUACUUUUCAUGCGUGAAAUGUUGAAAAAGGACAAAGCAAGUGUCCCUGCUUUUAUUUUUAUUUUAAAGUGGAGUCAUCUCACAUACUUUAGCUCUAUCAUUACAAUUUUUCAGGUUACAUUUUUAUUAUUUAUUUAUUUUCUUUUUUACACAUGCAUGUGGGUUACUUUUCCGUAAGCUCCUCAAUAUAUAUUGAACCCAGCGAAGAAUGUUAUGGAAGAGCAAAUUAAUGAUAUUUCUGAUAGAGUCUAUUUGAUUAUGUAGCCUGAAUGGAUGUCUUGUUGAAAGAUAUCUCAGUGCAUUAGUUCAUCCUUGUCUGUCAAUGUGUUUUUAAUGGUUUUUCCAAUUGUUUAUUAUUAUAGAUUGAUUGUAAAUUGAUAUGAAAAUUUGAUAUGAAUUUAAUGUUGAAAUGUUUUCUCUUUAGUGGAAUGAAUUUAAAAGUGCAAAAGAUUAUUGCACACAGAGAAAUAAACAUAUAUGCUUUAUAACUUUAGCAAUCGAUUCUUUUACAGCUGGAAACAGAGAUGAUGAUUAUCAUAAGGAUGAAGAAAAGUAGUGCGUUAGACGAUUAGACUCUCUUAUUAAAGGCAAGUAUAAAGUAGUGAAGAAUCCAAUAUCUCUAUUGUCUAGUCUUUUGUUUAAUUCUUCUUUUAUUAUUUUUCAGAAUAAUUUUUGGUGAUUACAAUCGGGUUAUUAUUCAGAGUUAUUGUUAUCUUCUGGGGCAGUUUCUGUUCAUCGAAUUCAUUAAUUAAAAUUUUAGAACUCUUAUCAGAAGAAUAUUUUUCGGUUAUCUUUUUUAUGUUCUAAUUCCAAUUGUAAGAAGUAGCCAUUUUAGAAUUUGGGUCUUGAAUCGAAUUUCAAUGCAUGAAUUAAUAUUAAAAAAAAAAAAUUCACUACUCGCAGUUUAGGUUACAAAUUACUUUUUGGAAAGUUGACUUUGGAAUGUUUGCAAAGAAAGAGACUAACAUAUUUCCAAUUACACUAAAUCUCUAUUAUGAUAAUGUUAAGACUAAAUUAAUUUAAAUAAUUUUUAUUUGAAAAUUAUAUCAAACGCAGUCUAAUUUUAUUAAUUUUAAGAAAUAAUAAUUAUAAAAAUUAUUGUUCUGACUUAAUUAAUACAAGUGAUAUAAAAGUUAAGUGUGCACUAAAUCUGUUUUAAUUUUUUCCAGUAUAACUAACAGAGGUCAUUACUAGAAUUAUAUUACUAGUCUAUUAGAUAGAAAAAAUUACUUAUAUUGUUUUAUAUUUAUUAAAAAAUUUAAAGCCAAUUUUUUUAAUUACUAUUUAAAGAAUAUUAUAAUUUGAAAAAUUUUAAUAUCUUUAUUAAAAAUUUAGAAAUUUACAGUCCUCUAAAUAUUUAAGGCGUAACUGUCAUUUUCUCAAGAAGCUUUAUUUAAUAUUAUUGAUUUAAAUAAUAUCUUAUUAAAAAUGUACUGAGGAGAAAUUUUGGUGGGUAUUUUAGUCUUUUCAGCAAUCAUCAUGAUUAACCUUUGGUUGGCCUUGAAACGUCGGUCAGAAAAGUUUUAAAAUGCUUAAUUGUUUUUCACUGUUAACGUUAGUGGCCUUGAAAUUGCUUAUAUUUUAUUAAAAAUUAAUGCUAACAAGAAAAAACUAGAUCGUAUUCCACCCCCAAAGCAAAAGUGAUAAAACAACCGGCUGUAUUCUUUUAUUAAACUACAAAUUAAAAUGGAUUUCUUUAAUUAAAGUGGAUAUCAUUUAAUUAAUGUUUGAACAUUAAAGUUCUGAUAUAUAACCACUAUGCCGACCACCUAAUUGCUGCUAUUUAAUUUCGUUCCAGUUCUCUCUCUCUCUCUUUUUCUUUUUUUUUUGGGCCAAGCAAUAAAUAGUAAAAAUUCAAUAAAAGCAAUAUUAAUGCUGCAAGUGAGUCAUGUUAUUUAUUGUCAAUUAGGAAAUGUGAACCUAAUUUGAUUGCAUCCCUUUAAUCAUUUAAUAAUUAUGUAAGCACCAUCCCUUUAAUUAUUUAAUAACUAGAAAAUAGAACACUGCGUUUCACGCGGCUUUGAAAAAAGAAUUUAGUAUUAUCUUUUUUUCUUACUUUACACUUGAUGAAACUGAUAAAAAAUAUGAAUUGAUUUUUUUUAAAGAUGAGGCAGCCUUAUAAAAAAUAAAAAAAGCUAUUAGCCAGCAAUACAAAUAAAGAAGGAAUGCAAGAUAAAGAAUAAAAUGAGAGAAUAUAUUAUAGAGUGAUCUUAUUCAUUCUAAUUGUGUGUGUACAAAACAAAAAGAUGAGCUCUCCUUUUAUAACUACAUAAUUACUUCAUGAAAUUAAUGAAAAAUUAUGAAUCAUAAUUUCUUGUGAGAUAGUGGGAGUUAUUGGGAAGCUAAAAGUUGCUAAUGGGAGAUAGUGGGGAGACUAAGAGAUAUAUAUUAUGAACAUCUACAUUUAUUUUAAUAAAUUCAUAACACUCCCCCUUAAAUGUUCAUUACAAAGAAUAUGCCUCAUUAAAAUCUUUACAUAAUUGUUAUUGUGUAAUAACAAUCAAAUUAAUUAUAAGAAGAUGAAAAGCCAAAUCUAACAGAAAAUUUCUCUAUUUAUUAGAUAAUAGAGAAUAUAGCAAGAUGAGAAAUGGUAAUGCCACAUCAUCUCCUCACGUCCCAACUUUAUAUAUAUAUAUAUAGAUAAUAUAUAUUAUUCCUGUCCUACAUUCACAUAUUUAAUUGUCCUUUUGAAAAUAUUCAUGAGUUAGGCCAAGUAAAGUCAAAGAAAUUGGGAAAAAGGAACAAAAGGACAAACCUAAAUUAAUUGAACCUAAUUCAUGAAAAUGCACACUUUUGUGUUGCGGACGGCGGACCCUAAAGCUUCGUUGUUUGCAGCUGCAAUUAAUUCUUUUCCUUCAAAAGUUAGAGGCUCGUGUUUACAGUGGGUCCCGAAUCGGACGUACCUAAUAAAUCUUUUAAAAAAAUUUGCCGUAUAAAGGACAGAGGUCAUUACUGAAAUUUCUCUUCCACGGGCAAUUACAGCAGCUUCAGUUAAUCAAACUCAAAUCAAUUUUCUUUCUUAACAAAAUAUUCCAAAGAUGUGUAGCAUUUUUCAGAUCACAUGCGAUGGUGCUUUUUUCAAUCGUUGCUUGGAUUGCUUUCUUGGAAAAGCAGCAUACAUACGUAACCUCCAAGAUAAUCUUGUAGCCUUGGACACUGAAUUGGGAAAUCUGAUCGCUAAAAAGAACGAUGUGAUGAGGAGGGUUGUCGAUGCUGAACGGCAACAAAUGAGAAGGCUGGACGGAGUGCAAGUGUGGGUUUCGAGGCUCGAUGCUGUUAAAACUGAAGCCGAUGAACUUAUCACAGACGGCUCUCGAGAAAUUGAAAAAUUAUGUGUUGGAGGCUACUGUUCCAAGAACUGCAGGUCAAGCUACAAAUUCGGAAAACAAGUGGCAAGAAAGCUACGAGAUGUGGAGACUUUAAUCGCCGAGGGAGUUUUUGAGUCGGUGGCUGAGAGAGCUCCGGAACCUGUGGCAGAUAAAAGACCCACUGAGCCAACAAUAGUAGGCUUGCAAUCACAGCUUGAACAAGUUUGGAGAUGUCUUCUUGUAGAAGAAUCAGCGGGAAUCAUUGGCCUAUAUGGUAUGGGCGGUGUUGGUAAAACCACACUGUUGACCCAUAUCAACAAUAAAUUUCUUGAGAGUCCCACCAACUUUGAUUGUGUGAUUUGGGUCGUAGUUUCAAAAGACCUGCGACUUGAAAAAAUUCAAGAAGAUAUUGGGAAGAAGAUAGGUCUGUUUGAUGGUUCGUGGAAGAAUAAAAGUGUUGAGGAGAAAGCCGUAGACAUCUUGCGGAGAUUAGGAGAGAAGAGGUUUGUAUUGUUGUUAGAUGAUUUAUGGGAGCGGGUUGAUUUAACAGAAGUGGGCGUUCCACUUCCCAGCCCACAAAAAUACUACAUCAAAGUCGUAUUCACGACCCGUUUCAUUGAUGUGUGUGGUAGCAUGGAAAGUCACAGGAAGUUUAAAGUGGCAUGCUUAUCAGAAGAGGAUGCUUGGGAGCUGUUUCGAGGAAAAGUAAGGCAAGAAACUCUUGAGAGUCAUCAUGAUAUCGUUGAGCUAGCCCAAACUGUGGCCAGAGAGUGUGGCGGUUUGCCACUCGCGCUUAAAACUAUAGGUCGAUCUAUGGCCUACAGAAAGACAGCUAAGGAGUGGAGACAUGCAAUUGAAAUGUUAAGGAGAUCAGCUUCAGAGUUUGCAGGUUUGGGAGAAAAGGUGUAUCGUCUUUUAAAGUUUAGCUAUGAUAGUUUGCAGAAUGAUACGAUUAGAUCUUGUUUCUUAUAUUGUUGUUUGUAUCCUGAAGAUUAUGGCAUUCUUAAAUGGGAUUUGAUUGAUUGUUGGAUUGGUGAGGGAUUCUUAGAGGAAUCUGACAGGUUUAGUGCAGAAAACCAAGGAUACUACAUUGUGGGCACUCUUGUUCAUGCAUGUUUAUUAGAAGAGGUGGAAGAUGAUAAAGUAAAAAUGCAUGACGUUGUUCGUGAUAUGGCUAUAUGGAUAACCGGUGAAAUUGAGAAGGAGAAGCGAAACUUUUUGGUUUGUGCAGGUGCUGGAUUAAAAGAGGCACCGGAUGUUGAAGUAUGGGAAAAUGUGAGAAGAUUGUCAUUGAUGCAAAACCAAAUUGAAACUCUGUCAGAGGUUCCCACAUGCCCUCAUCUUCUCACUUUAUUUCUUGACUUUAAUAGGGAGUUGAAGACUAUUGCGGAUGGCUUCUUCCGAUGUAUGCCUUCUCUCAAAGUUUUGAAGAUGUCAAACUCUGGAAAGCCUUGGAAAGGUUUGGAAUUAAAUUUGGGGAUGCCAAAGUUGGGUUCACUACAGCUUCUUGAUAUUUCACACACCUGCAUACAAGAUUUACCGCAAGAAUUAAAGUUGUUGGUAAAUCUGAAAUGUUUGAAUUUGAGGCGGACAAUUUGGUUAAAUAAAAUUUCAUGGCAACUAAUAUCAAAUUUUUCAAGGUUACGUGUGUUGAGAAUGUUCGCUACUGGCUGGUUCAAUUUUCAUGAAGCACCAGAAGACAGCGUUUUAUUUGGUGGGGGUGAAGUUUUGAUACAGGAAUUGCUCGGUUUGAAAUAUUUAGAGGUAUUGGAGUUGACCUUGGGAAGUUAUCAUGCUCUCCAAAUUCUUUUCAGCUCAAAUAAGCUAAAAAGUUGUAUUCGAUCUCUUUACCUCCAGUUGACCGGAGAUACAGCGUUAAUUAUUGAUGCUACGGCUUUCGCAGAUCUAAAACACCUCAAUGAAUUACGCAUUGAGUCGGCUACAAAGCUGAAAGAAUUGACGGCUGAUUAUACAGAGAUAGUUCGAAAAAGGCGGGAACCUUUUGUUUUCCGCAGCCUUCACCAUGUUACUAUACAAAGCUGCCAGAAGUUGAAAGAUUCGACAUUCCUCGUUUUUGCUCCAAACCUCAAGUCUCUUUCGAUAGUCAAAUGCAAUGCUAUGGAAGAAAUAAUCAGCGUCGGAAAAUUUGCUGAGACUCCUGAGAUGAUGGGACAUAUAAGUCCUUUUGAAAAUCUCCAAAUGAUUGAUUUACUAGGUUUGCCACAUUUGAAGAGCAUCUUCUGGAAGCCAUUGCCUUUCACUCAUCUGAAAGAAAUAUCUGUGCGUUAUUGCCCUAAUCUUAAAAAGCUUCCACUCGAUUCCAACAGUGCAAAGGAGCGUAAAUUUGUUAUUCGUGGAGAAGAAGACUGGUGGAACCCACUUCAAUGGGAGGAUGAAGCCACUCAAAUUGCUUUUCGUUCCUGUUUCCAACCCUUGUUCCUGAACAGUGGUCGCAAAAUUUGAUUUCUGGUGAGUGCGUUUGUCUUUUAAAAAGAAUAAUUUAAAAGAAAUUUAUUCUUGUCGGUUUCUUCACUGUUUUUAUUUCAGUUUCUCUCUCUCUCUCUCUCUCUCUCUCUUUUUGUCUUCUGCAAAUCACAAUUACAUUUUUAUUCUUGUCGUUUUCUUCACUGUUUUUAUUUCAGUUUCUCUCUCUCUCUCUCUCUCUCUUUUUGUCUUCUGCAAAUCACAAUCAAAUGUUGAAUUAAUGGAAUUAAUGCUUCAUAAAUUUGCCGGCACUGCCAUUACUUUUUUUUGGGGGAUCGAAUUGAUACUUUAUUUAUAUCUUCUUAGCGAUUUAAUUUCCUGUCAAAAGACGAACGAGAAGAACAUAUGACUUAAACCAAUGCUCGCAUAAACUUGCUGUAAAAAGAUAUAAUCUCACUGAAAUGCACACGCCUAGAAUGAAUAGAAUUAAAACAGGGAAAAUAUUAAGUAUAUUAGCCCUCUUUACUGAAAAUCAAAUGACAGUAAAUUUUUUGAAGUUUUGAUUUUCUAUGGUCAAUUCCACCUUUUGCAAUUUCUUCUGUUCUAACAAAAACCAAUUUCUUUGUUCAAGUAUUUUCGUUUGGAUAUUAAUAAUUCUCCACCGAAAGAGUGAACUCUUGCUCAAAGGGAUCUCUAAUAAUACAUAACAUGAUUAUUUUCGUUUGAAUAAUUGAUUUCUUGAUUGAAUUGUCGUGUAAUUGAUUUAUGGGGGAUGACACAUCAACAUACUUGAAAAUACACUAAUCUCAGCAUCAUCGGUUAAUAACUUUUAGAUUUAUGGGUAAUCAAUAGUUAAGAUUAGUUGUCAUUAAUACUAAAUAAUUUUUACUUUUUUUGUCUCUUCUAGAGGAUCUUCUAGAAAAAUGCAUCCACAAUUAAAUUUAAUACUUUACAUAAUAAACAAAGCCUAAAUGUUAAAUUUAAGAAACUGCAUUGUAUUUCAGUUGAAGUUGACUUUAAUAUUUAGGGUAGAAAAACAAUUAAUUUUAUUUUUUGAAAUGUCCAUAUUCAGAGCACAUUUCAAAAAGACUCAAUAAUUUCUCAUAAAUUUCAAUUAAAAAUAUUCAAUUUGUUGUUUCAGUUCUUUUAUUUUUUAUUUUUUCCGACAUGAAAGCGACUUAAUGUUACUAAAUUGGGUGGUCUUUGGAUUUUCAUGACCCAAUAAUUGGAACAAAACAAUUUUCUCAAGCGCUCUCCCGCAACAUUUUAUAAUUGAAGCCGCUGCCCCGCCCGUGGUUUCAAACUUUUUUCUUUCUCCUUGUUUAAAUUAAUGGGAGCAGCCUCCGUCCUUGACUAGUUGACUGCUUGUCUUCUUUUUUUUAUUAAUUAAUUAAUUCAGCCGCCCCCCUUUCUUGUCCCAAUAUCUUCUACUUUCGGUUUCCUUUUAUUAUCUCUUUAUUUUUAAAAAAUGCUUAUAAUAAUAAUAAAAUAUAAAAUAUAAAAAUAAAAAUAUAAUUUAUCAGAAAAUUAAGAUAAAGAAAUAUUAUAAGCACAUCAAUCAACAAGUGAAAAAAAAACAAUUUUAAUUUACAUUAAAUAUAAACUUUCAGUGUUAAUCAACUUUUCUAAAUAACUAAAUUAAAAAAUUAAUUGAUUUAAUUGUGGUGUAAUUGAUUUGUAGGGGAUGAAUCAGCAGCAUCAUCGGUUAACGCUUUCAGAUUUAUAGUUAAUCAAUAGUUGAGAGUUGUUAUCACUAACGCCGUGUAUUUUUUAAUGUUUUUUCUCUCUCCUACAGCAUCUUCUAGGAAAGUGCAUCCGUUGCUAAAAUUUAGUAUCGUAAAUAAUAAACCAAGAAUAAAUAUUAAAUCUAAGAAACUGUAUUGCAUUUAAUAUUUAAGGGAGAAAAAUAAUUAUAGUGUCUUUAUUAAUCAGUAAAAAAAAAAAUUAGAAUCAUAAUAAAUUGUAUUGUUAUUGAUGUAUUUAUUUUAUUUUAUACUCAAAAUAAAUUAUUUUAAAUUAUUAAAAUAAUUUAAAAUUAGUAUUUUAUUUUAUACUCAAAAUAAAUAAUUUAAAAUUUUCAUUUCUUGUUUAUUUCGCAAGUUGUUAUUGCCUAAUGCUAUGUCAACUCGAACAUUAGCAUUUUUUUUUUUGGUCCUCUUUUAACGCAAAAUUAGUGUAGGUUAAGUAACAUAAUCAAUAUUAGGACAAUUUGAAAUCCCUAUGGGUGCGUUUGGUACACUGUAUUGUAUUAUACUGUAUUGCAUUAUUUUAAUGCUGAUGUAUUGUAUUAUGUUGUAUUGCAUUAGCACUGUAUUAUAACAAUGCUAUACAAUAUUUGGUGUUACAUUGUACUGUAUUAGAUUUUAAUUAUAUUAUAUUUAGUGUUACAAUUGUUGUAACAUAAACACGACCAAAAUAAAUUGUACUAAAUAAUCUAAGUAAGAGUUCUGUAGUAUAUGUAAUAAUACUAUUUAUAUUAUUAUUAUUAAUAAUUCUAAAUUAAUAUUAUUUAAUUUUAUUCAUAUUUAAAUAUGUAUUAUUAGUUUAUUAAAUUAUUUAAAAUAAUUAAUUUAUAUAUAUUAAUUAUUGUAACUUAAUUAAAUAAUGUAAUGCUAUAUUAUAUUUUUAUAUACUAUUUAAGUAUUUAUUAUUAAUUAUAUUUAAUUAUAAAUUUAUUAAUAAAUUAUAAUAUAAAAAUAAAAAAUAAAAAUUAAUAUUGUAUAAUAUUAUAUUAAAUUAAAGUUUUAUUUUUAUUACUAUUAUUAUAAAGUAAAAAAAAAAAAAAGGGAAGCUACUGACUUUUGAAACACAAAAGUCAGUAAUACAACCUAAUCACGAGGGGGGGCGCGGGUUUUGAUAAUGCGGCAAAAGCUGCAUUGUAAUGCUGCUCAAUGCAAUCCAUUUGAUCACCAAACACAGGUAUAUUUUAACUAAUGCUGGGCCCACAAAAUAAUACAAUGCAAUUCCGCAUGCCAAACAUACCCUAUGGGUGCGUUUGGUACACUGUAUUGUAUUAUACUGUAUUGUAUUAUUUUAAUGCUGGUGUAUUGUAUUAUGCUGUAUUGCGUUAGCAUUGUAUUAUAAUAAUGUUGUACAAUGUUUGGUGUUACACUGUACUGUAUUAAUUUUUAAUUAAACUAUAUUUGGUGUUAUAUUGUAUUGUAUUAAUUUUUAUAAUUAAUUAAAUUAAAUAAUUAAAAAAUAAUAUUUAUUAAUACUUAGAAAAAUAAUAAAUAUAGAAAUCUUAAUUGUAGAAAUUUAACAAAUUUUUUAGUAAAUAUUAAAAAUUAAUGAUUAAAUUUCUAAAAUUUGUAUUAUAAUUAUGAUAAAAUAAAUUUAUAAAAUUUAAUAUUAUAUGUAAAUAAUAAAUUUAGAUUAUAAUUAAUAUUAUAAUUGUUAAUAUAAAUUAAUAAAUUAUUAUUCAAUAAUAUUCAAUUAUAUUUUAAUUUACAAUAUAUUAUUAUUUUUACAUUUUAAUAUAUUAAUAAAUUUAUAAUUUAACAUAAAUAAUUAUAAAUUUAAAUAAUAUUAAUUUUAAAAUUAAUAUUAAUGUAAAUAAUAUUAUAAUAUUAAUAUAUUAUUUUUAUAUGAAUCAUUAAUAAAUAAAAUAAUAUUAUCAUAUAAUUUAUUUUUAUAUUUUAUUCAUUAUAUUAAUAUUUAAUAAUAAAAUAAUUUAUUUUUAUAAUAUUUUAAUAAAAUAAAUUUGCCUCAAUUGAGGCAUUAACUGUUGCCUCAAUUGAGGCAAAAAGCUUCCGCAUCCCUCGGGUUUGCGUAAUGCGGCCCCAUGCCUCAUUAUGCUGCAUUAUAAUGCAGCAUAAUGAGGUGUCAAAUUUUGCCAAACAUGUUCUUGGUAAUAAACUAAUGUGAAUAGUAGUAUAAUACCACAUAAUCUCAUGCACCAAACACGCCCUAUGUGUAUUAUUCACGGUAUCUAUGAGGGCUUAUCCUUUUGCUAGAACAAACUCUAGCAAAUUGUCAAAUGUGCUUAUCCUUUCCCUUGACGACUCAUUUUAAAAUUGUCACUCAUUUUAAAAUUGUCUUUCAAUGCACAAACACAGACAUAACCGCCGACAUCGAGCACCAAGUUUGGAAUUUAAUUGAUAAGCAUACAUUUGAUAAAUUAAUGAAAAGUUUGGAGAGUAGUUUUGAUCACCCUUGAUUAGGACGGUAUUACAAAAAAGAUCAAAAAGAAAACAUCGUCUCUCUUCACAAAAAUAAAUAUUUUCCGUUAGAAUUUAAUACAAUAAUAUUUUUUUUGAUUAAAAUUUAAUUAAAUACACAAAUAAAUUAUAUAUUUUUUAAAAAAAUUUACACCCAGUCACAAGGCUGGCUAUUAAACUUAAAGGGUGGAAGCUUCGGAGACUAAAGUUGGUAACUUCUCCAAGUGGUCUUAAGUUGACCGGAACUACCCAGACUUUAUGUUUGGUAGCCUAGACCUGAUCGGACCUAGGCCCAAGUUUGGUCUUAAAGUCCACAAUUAAAUUAAAAAAAAAUUAUUUGAUUUGUAAUUGAUUUAUGGGGAAUGAAUCCGCAGCCCUAAAAUUACACCAAUCUUGACAUAAUGACAUCAUCGGUUAAAAACGUUCAGAUUUAUGGUUAAUCAAUGGUUUGAGAUUUGUUAUCAUUAAUGCUAGAUAUUUUUUAACAUUUUUUUCUAUCUCUCUUCUCCUGAAGGAUUUUCUAGGAAAAUGCAUCCACAACAAAAAUUUUAAAUUGUAAACAAUAAACAGAGUAUAAACGUUAAAUCUAAGGAACAUCGCUGCAUUUCAGCUGAAGCGAACUUUAAUAUUUUACGGAGAAAAAUAAUUAAGUCUUUAAUGUGAUUUAUUGAUUAAUAUAUAUGACUAAUUUUUUAAAAGAAGAUGAAGGAUGAAGCUUAAAAAUAUAAAUUAUAGAAUUAAUUUAUCUCUUCAAUAAAUCUAAAGUUUAUUUUUUUUAUUACAUGCUUCUAUUUUAUUUUUAUUCCAUGUUAAUGAAUGGAGAUUUAAAUCCAUUUUGGAUUUAUAAAGAUGUUUAGAUAUUUAAAUCCACGUGUGAUUCCAAACUUGAACCUUUUUUUUUUUUUUUUCUAAUUAAUGCAAACAGCCGCCUCUUUGACUGCUUUUCUUCUUUGUUUAUUAAUUAAUUAAUUCAGCUGCCCACCUUUCUUUUCCUAAUGUUUUCUACUCCCAAAUUUUUUUAAGGACAAGGCUACGUUGCAGACGCUGUACCUAACAGCUGCACCUUCGCCAGCUUAAAAAAGGGUGCAUUUGGUAAGCAACUUUUCUUUCGUGUGCAUAUGUGUCCUGCCACCAUUGGGUGUGUACGUAACAGAUAAUGUACCGUAACAAGCUCCUAUUUUUAAAUUUGUUUAUAAUGAUAAAAUAUAAAAAUUAAGAUUAAAAUGUAAUGUAAUGUAAAAUUAAAGGUGGAAGAGUAUUAAAAUAAGGCUAAACCUAUGUUACGUUUAACGUAACAUACAUUUAAAUAUAUAAAAUAUCAAUGGAAACCCUCAAAUUUUAUGGAAACUAUAUUAAUAAAAUUAAAAGAAAUAUUUUUAAAUCUGAAAGAAGAAAUAAAAGAUAUAAAGCAAGAGAUAGGAAAACUAAAAAUAGAAAUAUCUGUAAAAGAAAAAGGAAAAGAAAAAUUAGAAAUAAAAGAAACAACUCCAACUGAAUCGAAUUCAGACUAAUGGAAGAUGUAUUAGAAACUUUAACUGAAAAAUUCAGUGACAUAAAUCUUAGUGAUUUAGAAGACUUUGAAAAAGAAUAUUAGAUAAAAAUGAAUACUGCUGGAGGACCAGAAAUGAAACCUAAUGUAGCAUAACCAAGUCAUAGAUAUGGUAUAAAUAAAAUGAAAAAUAAACCUUUUUACGAGUAUAUACCUCCUAUUAAAAAUACUCCUUGGAAAAAAGAAUACAAACCAAAUCAAGAUACAUUAACCCCAAUAAAUAAUGCUGGAACAUUUUUAAAUCUAGAUUGUAAGAUAGACAUUCGAAAGGCGUUAGCAGAAUGGGUGUUACAAAUGAAAUUAUUUUUUAUAUUUAACGGGUCAAAGGAUGACUAGAAUGUAGAGACUGAAGAAGAAAAAAUAGAUAUAUUUGUUGAAAUCUUAAUAGCCAGUUUUUCAGGAAAUGUGUUUAAUUGGUGGAGAGGAUUAAGCGAUGAUACACAAAACUUAAUAAAAGAUUCAACCAAAUAGCAUUUAGAAAAAAUAAAGCCUUAGGAAUGGAAAGGAUAACUGAAUACAUAGCUAGUGAAUUUUUAGGAGAAGAUUGGCUAGAAAAAUCGGGCAUAUAUGAAAAUUUAAAAAUUUAUGAUAAAAAGAUCUUAGUGUUUUUAUUAAAAAAUUAAAAUUUACAUGACUAUUUCUUUAAAUAUUUAGGGCAUAUAUGAACCACGGAGGAGAAAAGCUUUAUUUAAUAUUUUAGAAUAGUUUUUGAUCAGUACAAUUGGGUCCUUAUUCAGAAUUAUUGUUCUCUUCCGCAACAGUUUUUGUUUAUCAAAGUCGUCAAUUAAAAUUUUAGAAUUCUUAUCAGAAGAAGUAGUCGUUUUAGAAGUUGGGUCUUGGAUCAAAUUUCUACGAGUGCAUGAAUUAACAAUAAAAAAAUUUCAUUACACACGGUUUAAGCUACAAACUACUAUUUGCACAGUUGACUAUAAAACUUACCUCCAAUUACACUAAACCUCUCUAUUUGGUAACGUUGAGACUAAAUUAAUUUUAUUAGCAUGAAAAGAUGAUAGAAAUAUAAUUAUAAAUAUUAUUGUUGUUAAUCAAUUAGUACAUGUGAUAUAAAGGUUAAAUGUGCACUAUAUUUAAUAAUUAAUUAGUGGAGCAUGUUAAACAAAAUGUUAAUGUAUAUUUAUAUAGUGUUAGGAAUAUGCAAAGUCAAGUCCUCAAUUUGCAUUAUCCUGUAUAGAAUAUUACUCUAAAAAUGUUUUACUAUAAUUGGCUUAGAACAUUUGUAAAGAAAAAUAAUAAUAAAAUAAUAAAUAACAUACACCGUCACAUAGCACCUAGACAAUGAUAGAAAAUUAUUAAAGAGAGUGCAAACAAUUAAUUAGAGAUUUUUAUGAUGACUUUUAAUAUUCAUGAUAAUAACAAAUAAAUACAUGUAUCACUUUUUUAAAAUAUUAAAUUUGACUGCUCCAUUAAUAAAUUAUUAUUGUAAUUCAGACUCUAUCUAUAUAUCCUUGCACUAAGAAUAAUUAAGGUAACGUUUGUUUUUUAACUUAAUGACUUAAAGUGACUUAACUUAAUUAAUUAAGUUAAUUAGAGGUGUUUGUUUUAUAACUUAAUGAGACUUUUUAGAUAAUUUUGACUUAAUAAAAUAAGCUAAUUUUUUUUGGCUUUUUACUUAAUGGAGAAAUCUGAAUUAAGUCAAUUACUUGCUAAUGUCAAAAAUAUCCUUGUUUUAUAAUUUAUUUUUCAUGUCUAUCCCAAAACUCGCCCGUAGAUAUUUACCCCACAUAAAAAUAUCCCUGUUUUUUUCUUUCUUAUAUUAUAUACGAUAAAAUUUGAAAUUUAUAGUAUUUUAUAUAUUAAAAUUCUAAAAUAAUUAUGUAUUCACUUGAAUAUAGUUUUACUUAUAAAUGUUAAAAUAUGAUGGUAUUUAAUAUAUUAUUUAUUUGACAUUCAAAUUUAAUAAGGAUACAAAUGUAAAAGUACAUAUUUUCAGCUUUUUAAAUUGAAAAAAAAUAACUUAAUAUUUAUUUUCUGAGAUUCAGACGAAAAAAUAAACAUAUUAUUCAGAUUCAUACAUUCAGAUCUAUUCAGAAUUCAAACUAAUUCAAGUCUAUUCAAAUUUUAGACAAAAAAAUAAACGCCACCUAAGUCAUAAUAAAAAUUUUCGUAACUACAUCUCGUUUCUUCCUCAUAAUAAUAAUUAGAUUGGUUCGAAUAUUAUAACUAUAUAGAUUUAGUGUAUAGCCACAUCCAAUUUAAAUAUUGACCCAAUUGGGAUGGUCCCCAAAAAAAAAGAUUCGUUAAAGGAUAAUUCUAAUUAUUUUUACUUCUCAAACGUUAGUGGGACGUUUCUAUUAGCGCACUCGUAAGCCAAGUUGUCAAAUAUUUAUACUAAACUACAAUUGCUAACAAGAAAAAUCAAGAUCGUGUUAAGCAAGUGGGUCCCGAAUAGGACGUGCAAAUCUCUCGUAAGUCAAGUUGUCAAAUGUUUAUAUAAAACUAACAAUUACUGACAAGAAAAAUCAAGAUCGUAUUAAAAAUGGGUCCCGAAUAGGAUUAUCUUUUUAAGAAUAUUAUUAUUUUAUUAUUAAAAUUUUAUUAAUAUAACAGUAUUAAAAUUUAUUAAAAAAUAUAUUUUAUUAUUAAAAUUUUAUACCGUUAUCAAUUUAUUAUUAUUUUAUUAAAAAAAUUAAUAUUUAACAAAAAUUGAGAUAAAAAUUAAUUUUUGUUCUCUGUCUUUAUUUAUUUAUUUAUUUUUUUGGGUCUUCUGCAAAUCACAAUCAAAUGUUGAAUUAUAAAUUUGCCGGCAUUGCUUUUUUUUUUUUUUUUGGGCCGGGGGGUGGUGUUGAAUUGAUGCUCUGGGUUUUUGACUUUUGUUGUCAAAUUUUACUCUGUUUUUCCCAAAUUGAUGCUANNNNNNNNNNNNNNNNNNNNNNNNNNNNNNNNNNNNNNNNNNNNNNNNNNNNNNNNNNNNNNNNNNNNNNNNNNNNNNNNNNNNNNNNNNNNNNNNNNNNNNNNNNNNNNNNNNNNNNNNNNNNNNNNNNNNNNNNNNNNNNNNNNNNNNNNNNNNNNNNNNNNNNNNNNNNNNNNNNNNNNNNNNNNNNNNNNNNNNNNNNNNNNNNNNNNNNNNNNNNNNNNNNNNNNNNNNNNNNNNNNNNNNNNNNNNNNNNNNNNNNNNNNNNNNNNNNNNNNNNNNNNNNNNNNNNNNNNNNNNNNNNNNNNNNNNNNNNNNNNNNNNNNNNNNNNNNNNNNNNNNNNNNNNNNNNNNNNNNNNNNNNNNNNNNNNNNNNNNNNNNNNNNNNNNNNNNNNNNNNNNNNNNNNNNNNNNNNNNNNNNNNNNNNNNNNNNNNNNNNNNNNNNNNNNNNNNNNNNNNNNNNNNNNNNNNNNNNNNNNNNNNNNNNNNNNNNNNNNNNNNNNNNNNNNNNNNNNNNNNNNNNNNNNNNNNNNNNNNNNNNNNNNNNNNNNNNNNNNNNNNNNNNNNNNNNNNNNNNNNNNNNNNNNNNNNNNNNNNNNNNNNNNNNNNNNNNNNNNNNNNNNNNNNNNNNNNNNNNNNNNNNNNNNNNNNNNNNNNNNNNNNNNNNNNNNNNNNNNNNNNNNNNNNNNNNNNNNNNNNNNNNNNNNNNNNNNNNNNNNNNNNNNNNNNNNNNNNNNNNNNNNNNNNNNNNNNNNNNNNNNNNNNNNNNNNNNNNNNNNNNNNNNNNNNNNNNNNNNNNNNNNNNNNNNNNNNNNNNNNNNNNNNNNNNNNNNNNNNNNNNNNNNNNNNNNNNNNNNNNNNNNNNNNNNNNNNNNNNNNNNNNNNNNNNNNNNNNNNNNNNNNNNNNNNNNNNNNNNNNNNNNNNNNNNNNNNNNNNNNNNNNNNNNNNNNNNNNNNNNNNNNNNNNNNNNNNNNNNNNNNNNNNNNNNNNNNNNNNNNNNNNNNNNNNNNNNNNNNNNNNNNNNNNNNNNNNNNNNNNNNNNNNNNNNNNNNNNNNNNNNNNNNNNNNNNNNNNNNNNNNNNNNNNNNNNNNNNNNNNNNNNNNNNNNNNNNNNNNNNNNNNNNNNNNNNNNNNNNNNNNNNNNNNNNNNNNNNNNNNNNNNNNNNNNNNNNNNNNNNNNNNNNNNNNNNNNNNNNNNNNNNNNNNNNNNNNNNNNNNNNNNNNNNNNNNNNNNNNNNNNNNNNNNNNNNNNNNNNNNNNNNNNNNNNNNNNNNNNNNNNNNNNNNNNGAAGGGUCUCUAAUCAAUAGCUGGAAGCAAUUGAGAAGGCGGUUGCUACAGUGAAUUCAAAUGUAAAAUGUUUGCUAUUCUUCGAUUUGGUUAAUGAUUUCGUAUGAAUAUUGUUGUUCCGUUGAGUUGCAUGCGAAUUCAAAUGCAAAAUAUUCUUCGAUUUUCAAUUUUGAAAUCAAAUUUUUUUUUCCUUCUCAAGCAUGUUAUGCAGAAACGAUUGUCAUGUUAUGCAGAAACGAUUUUUACUAAAUCAUUUUUAACAAACUAUUGAAAUUAAACCACUGGAAUAAGAAUUGUAAGGAUUUAUCGUAAGCUUACUAAUACGAUAAUUCUGAAACUAUCACCUUUUUUUUUUUAUUUGUUGCAGGGAAACCCAAAUUUUGUAUUUUGUCAAUUUCAUCUGAUAUGGAAUUUAUUUCCUCCCUAAAGAUUUAUCAAACUGCUUCUCUUCCCUGCUUCAAUAUCUUUAUGCAAUUACGAUCUCAUAGGAAAAGAGAGUUUGGGUUGUAUAUCUUAUAGUAUUUAUUUAUUUUUUGUUAAAAGAAAUUUAUUUUAAAAUAGUUUAUAGCAACAGUUUUUAUUUAACAAUAAUGAGGAAGGAUUAUUAUAGGUUCAAAUAGUUGUUAGAACAUUAUAAAAAAGUCCAUUUACUAUCAAAUGUUUUAAAUUGGUGCAACGUGAUAAUUGUCUCAUAUAAUUUUUUAAGGGUAAAAACUCGUUUCAUUCCCAUAUUUUAAGAUUAUUACUCAUUUAGUCUUUAUAUUUUUAAAAAUGUUUCAAAACAUUCAUACCCUUAAAUUAUUAACAUCUCUGCUGUUACUUUUUAUUUUUUUUUGACUUGUUUUUACAAUAUUGCCCUCUUACAAUAAUGUUUCUUUUUAUAAAAUUAAUAAAAAGAAAAAAAAUUAAAUUAUCAAUUUAACCCCAAAAAUAAAAUAAAAAUAAAAAGAAUAAAUAUUAAUUUUUGUGAAAGUUUACAUGUGUCCAAAAUAAAUUUUAUUGUAAAAAUAAUUAAAUUGCCUUUUUUUUGGACAUUAGUAAUAAAAAAAUUAAUAUAUUAAUUCCUCAGCAGUGUGUUACAAAAAAGUAAAAUAUAUUAAUUUUGUUUUUAUUUUAGACAAUGAGAUAGAGAAAAGUACAAGAUAAAGGAAAGGACUUCAAAACUCACUGUUCAUCAUAAUGCCCUUUGCCUUUAAAAAAAAAUCAUUCUAAUAUUUUAUAACACAUAAAAUAUAAUCCUAAGAUAAAUAUAAUAAUACAUAUUUUAAACUAAUCUCGAUAUUUAAAAUAUGUUUUAAUAUUUUAUAAUCUAUCAGACAUAUUUUAUUAUAUUAAUGUAAAAUUUAUAAUAAAUACAAACAUAUUAUUAAAAUAAAUAUAUAAAAAAUAUUUAUUUUUUAUAUGUUUACACUGAGGACUCUCUUUAAUUCAUUUAUUUUCUCUCUCUCCAAACAGGUACUGUCUUCAGUUAGCAAUGCUAUGAUAGUAAUCCAAUUCUCUUCUCCCCCACCUGAGCGAGAUUUGAAUUUGAAUCCCUUGUUUUUCACCCACUCUGUUUUUUUUCACGCAAGAUUUGACAAUUUGAGUUAAAAAAUAUGGUCCAAAACUUGAACACGUAUCUUUUAAUUGUAAUAAAAGUUCUUUAAGCUUUGGAGAUGGCAUAUAUAUGGCUGGAAGUGUCCUUUUCUUUGACCUAGAGGCAGCACCAAGCUAUCCAGCAUCAUCAUUUUUCAAGUGGGUCUUAAAUGCCUAGAAACGUUGGUGUUUCUUGAUUUAAAGAUGACACAUGCUAUAAGUGUGAAUGGUUUGGCUAAGCCUAAAUUUAAAGUCUACUCAAGUCGCAUUCAGGAUCAUGGAAAUUGGAAAGGGAGAGAUGAUAGCAAGAUUUAUAAUAAACAAUUAACUUGGGUCCUCAGUGUACAAAGCAAAUGCCACGCAAGCGAUAGCCGGCCCAGCCCAGAAAACCCAGUGGCGAUCCCAGAGAUGGCCUCCUCUAACGAGUGCUGGGCCCAAAAAUCUUUGCGGGUUGAGCCCAGCUCCGGCAUAGCCCUUUUGAGCAGUAACAGUUGUCGAGACAAAAACCAGAAGACCCAACACUGUUCCAAUGACAAUGCAUACGGUAAACUCUGCCAAGAGCCUUGGCUUGUCUGGAGUCAAAAGCCAUCCACACAGAAGCAAAAAGGAACACAAACGAGCAAAUUAUCUCAAGCCAAAGGGCCUGCCUAGUCCCCAAGCCGAUCUCAACAGGCCCAUCUGGCCCAGGUACGACAACAUUCAGGGUGCAGCCUCCAAGUUGUCAAAUAUUUAUAUUAAACUACAAUUGCUGACUAGAAAAAUCAAGAUCGUAUUACAAGUGGGUCCCGAAUUGGACGUGCCUAAAUCUUUUUAUAAUUUUCCCAGUGUAGCGGACAGAGGUCAUUACUAAAUUUCUCUUCCACACGCCACAGCAGCUUCGGUUAAUCAAACUCAAUCAAUUUUCUUGGCUUCUCCGCUUAUCAAUAUUACAAGGUAUGGGUAGCAUUUUUCAAAUCACAUGCGAUGGUACUAUUUUCAAUCGUUGCUUAGAUUGCUUUCUUGGAAAAGCAGCAUACAUAAGUAACCUCCAAGAUAAUCUUGUUGCCUUGGAGACUGAACUAAGGAAACUAAUCGCAGCAAAGAACGAUGUGAUGACGGCGGUUGUCAAUGCUGAACGGCAACAAAUGAGAAGGCUGGACCAAGUGCAAGUGUGGGUUUCGAGGGCGGAUGCUGUUAAAAAUGAAGCUGAUGAACUUAUCAGAGGCGGCUCUCAAGAAAUUGAAAAAUUAUGUCUUAGAGGGUUCUGUUCCAGGAACUGCACGUCAAGCUACAAGUUCGGAAAACAAGUGGCUAAAAAGCUACGAGCUGUGGAGACUUUAAUCGCCGAAGGAGUUUUUGAGGCGGUGGCUGCCGAGGUGGUGCCUGAGAGAGCUCCAGAGCCUGUAGCAGAUGAAAGACCUACCGAGCGAACAGUAGUAGGCUUGCAAUCACAACUUGAACAAGUCUGGAGAUGUCUUGCAGAAGAAUCAGCGGGAAUCAUUGGCCUAUAUGGUAUGGGCGGUGUUGGUAAAACUACACUAUUGACCUAUAUCAACAAUAAAUUUCUCGAGAGUCCAACCAACUUUGAUUGUGUGAUUUGGGUAGUAGUUUCAAAAGACCUGCGACUUGAAAAACUUCAAGAAAAUAUUGGGAAAAAGAUAGGUUUGGUUGAUGAUUCAUGGAAGAGUAAAAGUGUAGAGGAGAAAGCUCUCGACAUCUUCCGGAGUUUAAGAGAGAAGAGAAUUGUAUUGCUGUUAGAUGAUAUAUGGGAGCGGGUUGAUUUAACAAAAGUGGGCGUUCCACUUCCAGGACCACAAAAUACUACCUCAAAAGUCGUAUUCACAACCCGUUUGAUCGAUGUUUGUGGUAGCAUGGAAGCUGACAGGAAGUUCAAAGUAGCAUGCUUAUCAGAAAAGGAUGCUUGGGAACUGUUUCGAAAAAAAGUUGGGGAAGAAACUCUUGGAAGUCAUCAUGAUAUCGUUGAGCUAGCCCAAACUGUGGCCAAAGAGUGUGGUGGUUUGCCACUCGCACUUAUUACUAUCGGUCGAGCUAUGGCCUACAAAAAGACAGCCGAAGAGUGGAGACACGCAGUUGAAGUUCUAAGAAGAUCAGCUUCGGAAUUUGCAGGUUUGGGAAAAGAGGUGUAUCCUCUUUUAAAGUUUAGCUAUGAUAGUUUGCAGAAUAAGACGAUUAGAUCUUGUUUCUUAUAUUGUUGUUUAUAUCCUGAAGAUUAUGGCAUUCUUAAAUGGGACUUGAUUGACUGUUGGAUUGGUGAGGGAUUCUUAGAGGAAUCUGACAGGUUUGGUGCAGAAAACCAAGGAUACUACAUUGUGGGCACUCUUGUUCAUGCGUGUUUACUAGAAGAGAUAGAAGAUGAUAAAGUAAAAAUGCAUGACGUUGUUCGUGAUAUGGCUCUAUGGAUAGCUUGUGAAAUUGAGAAGGAGAAGAGAAACUUUUUGGUUUGUGCAGGUGCGGGACUAAAGGAGGCACCUGAUGUUAAAAGAUGGGAAAAUGUGAGAAGAUUGUCAUUGAUGCAAAACCAAAUUGAAACUUUGUCAGAGGUUCCUGCAUGCCCUCAUCUCCAUACUCUAUUUCUUGCCUCUAAUAAUAGUUUGCAGAGGAUCACCGAUGGCUUCUUCCAAUUUAUGCCUUCUCUCAAAGUUUUCAAGAUGUCAAACUGCGGGAAUUUAAUUUUGGAAUUACCUUUUGGGAUGUCAAAGUUGGGUUCAUUGGAACUUCUCGAUAUUUCACAUACCUACAUACAAGAGUUACCACAAGAGUUAAAGUUGUUGGUAAAUCUGAAAUGUUUGAAUUUGAGGUGGACAAGCGAGUUAAAUAAAAUUCCACGGCAGCUAAUAUCAAAUUCUUCAAGGUUACGUGUGUUGAGAAUGUUGGGUACUGGCUGGUUCAAUUUUCAUGAAGCAUCAGAAGACAGCGUUUUAUUUGGCGGGGGUGAAGUUUUAGUACGGGAAUUGCUCGGUUUGAAAUAUUUAGAGGUAUUGGAGUUGACCUUGCGAAGUUAUCAUGCUCUCCAAAUUGUUUUGAGCUCAAAUAAGUUAAAAAGUUGUAUUCGAUCUCUUUACCUCCAGUUGACCGGAGAUAGAAAGUCGAUUAUUGAUGCUACGGCUUUCGCAGAUCUAAACCACCUCAAUGAAUGAUUGAUUUUUAAAGGUUUUGAGUUGGAAGAAUUGAAGAUUGAUUAUACAGAGAUAGUACGAAAAAGGCGGGAACCUUUUGUUUUCCGCAGCCUUCACCGUGUUACCAUAGAUUCGUGCCUUAAAUUGAAAGAUUUGACAUUCCUCGUUUUUGCUCCAAACCUCAAGUCUCUUUCGCUAUUCAAUUGCCGUGCUAUGGAAGAAAUAAUCAGCGUUGGAAAAUUUGCUGAGGUUCCUGAGAUGAUGGGACAUAUAAGCCCUUUUGAAAAUCUCCGAAGUCUUCGUUUGUCACAUUUGCCAAAUUUGAAGAGCAUCUACUGGAAGCCAUUGCCUUUCACUCAUCUGAAAGAAAUGGUGGUACAUGGGUGUGAUCAGCUUAAAAAGCUUCCACUCGAUUCCAACAGUGCAAAAGAGCGUAAAUUUGUUAUUCGUGGACAAGCAGACUGGUGGGACCGACUUCAAUGGGAGGAUGAAGCCACUCAAAUUGCUUUUAGUUCCUGUUUCCAACCUUAACUUGAUUUCUGGUUAGUGCUGUUUCCUUAACUUUUACAUAUAUUCUCGUCGUUUGCUUCGUGCAAAAUACUAGGUCUUUUGUUCUCUGUUUUUAUUUCGCCCAUUUUUUUUUUUUUUUUUUGUCUUCUGCAAAUGACAGACAAAUGUUGAACUAAAAGGAAUUAAUGCUUUAUAACUUUGCCGGCAUUGCUUUUUUCUUUUUCUUUUUUGAUUUUUUGGGGCGAGGGGGGAUCGAAUAGAUGCUCUGGUUUUUGACUUUUUGUUGUCAAAUUUUACUCUGUUUUUUUCAAAUUGAUGCUUGAAUAUUUGAAUCAAAUUAAUGCUCACGUAAAUUUGUUCAGUUGCCGUAAAAGGAUAUAAUUACACUGAAAUACACAAACUCUAGAAUGAAUAGAAUUAAACAGAGAAAAUCUUGAGUAUAUUAGCCGUCUUCACAUAAAAUCAUAUGAAAAUUAAAUUUUGAAGUUUUUAUUUUCUAUUUUUAAUCAUACCCUUUAUAAUUUCUUCUGUUCUAACUACAAUAAAAUUUUUGGUUCAAGGAUUUUUAUGAGGGGUAUUAAUAAUAGUCCACCAAAAGAGUGAACAGUUGGAUGCUGCCCUAAGGGUCUCUAAUCAAUAGCUGGAAGCAAUUGAGAAGGCGGUCGUUACUGUGUACAAAGCCAUGCAGUAUUUGCUAUUCAUCUUAGUAAUUAUGAAGCUUUGGUAAAAUUUUCAAACAAAGUUGACAUGUUAUUUUGAGAUUUGGUUCAUGAUUUUGUAUGAAUAUCGUUGUUCCAUUGAGUUGUAUAUGAAUUCAAAUGUAAAAUAUUCUUUGGUUUUCAAUUUUGAAUUCAAUUUCUUUUCUUAAGCAUGUUGUGCAGAAAUGAUUUCUACUAAAUCAUUUUUGAUAAACUACUUAAAUUAAACAACUGCAAUAAGAACUGUUAAGGAUUUAUCGUAAGCAGACUAAUAUGAUAAUUCUGAAACUAUCAUUUUUUUUUUCAAUUUGUUGCAGGGAAAGCCAAAUUUUGUAUUUUUCAGUUUUAUCUGAUAUGGAAUUUAUUUCCUCUACACUAGCUACCUAAAGAUUUAUCAAAUUGCUUCUCUUCCCUGCUUCAAAUUAAUAUCUUUAUGCAACUACAAUCUCAUAGGAAAAGACAGUUUGGGUUGUAUUUAUUAUAGUUUUUUUUUUCGUUAAGAGCAAUUUAUUUUAAAAUCGUUUAGUAGUAACAGUUUUUAUUGAAUAAUAAUGGGGUAGGAUUAUUAUAGGUUCAACUAGUUGUUAGAACAUUAUAAAAAGUCCAUUUACUAUCAAAUGCUUUAAAUUGGUGCAACAUGAUAAUUGUCCCACAUAAUUUUUAAUAAUAUAUAUGGCCCAUAAAUUUAAUAUGAAUAAAUGAGUUUCGAUAGUUAAAUUUGAUACGAUUAUUAAAUAAGUUAUAUCCAUGUCAAUUCGACUUAAAAUCUGGUAAAUUUAGAUUUAGAGUUUAUAACAUGAUAACUUGUUUUAUGACAUGAUUUACUAAUCAAUUAAUAUUAAAUUAUAUUUUAGCCAAUCAGAUAUGUGGUACAUUUGUCAAAUUUUAAAAAUUAUUUAUUUAUAUAUGAAAUAAAUUUGACUAGACUGUGUGUAGGUAAUAGUGCAUAAUUUCUAAAAAAAUGUAAUAAUAACACGUUAAAAUGUUAUUUUUAUGAAGAAAAAUUGAAAUUUUAUUAAAUAGGCGACACAAUAAUAAAUGGGUUGAGAUUAUUUACAUUUUAAGAAUUACUCUGAACAUUAUUUUAUUUUAUAAAUUUUAUAUUACAAAAACACCCAUAGUUUAAUUUACCAUUAAGAACAAUUUUGUGCGAUUAAAUAAAAUACAUUACUCUUUACCCUUUCACUACAUCGACAUAAAUCCUAAUUGUUAUGUUUCUAAUUUCUUUGAUAUGCUUAUUGAAGUCCACAUUAUAAUCAAUUUUAAACUAUUAUACCACUUAAAUACAUUUUAGAAUGAGAAGUUUGGUUUUCUUCAUGGGCUGCCUUGCUGAUGCUGUUAUUGAAACUAUCGAACUUAAUAAUUUUAUGGCCAAAAUGAUAUAUGUUGAACCAGCUUUUACAUCGAAUUCUACCACCAUAAAAAAUCGUACUUGUAACAUCUCAAGGUUCCAAUUUAUCAAAAGUUAAUCAUUCAUAUUUGUUAGUUCCUAACAGUCACAAGAGCGUACAAGCCAAUUUUUGUAGCUCCUUUUUCUGCAGUAGAUUCAAGUAUAUUAUUAUCAAGCAUUUUUGUUACACCCUUAAUUCCUUAUCAUCAUCCCUUCAUUCAGAGCAACUAAACAGAGGUCAAUGUCAUUAUGUUAGAGUUACGAGGAAGAGUACUGCCAAAAAAGUUCUUUGUAUGGGAUUUAAUUUUCUGGGUUUGUAGUGAUGAACAAAUUGAGGGUUGUUUUGGUAUUUUCAAGAGUGUAUUGAGUGAAAAUUAUUUUUAAAAAAUUUAACAAAUGAGUGUAAUGAGUAAAAAAGUGUUUAAAGUAUUUUUUAGAGUACAAAUAGCUCCACCUUAAUAAAUGAGUUCUUGUAAAAAUUGAGAUUAUUGAUAUAAUUAUUAAAUAGGUUGGAUUGAAGUUAGUUUAAUUUUGACAAGAUAAUAAGACGACGCGACACAAAUACAACCAACCAGUCAACCCAAAUUGCAACCUUUUACUAAUAAAAGAUACCUGUUUGAAAAGUAAUUAUAAGCUAUCUUCUUUGUGUUAUUUCUCUAAAAAUUUGCGGCACAAAUAUUAUUUCCAUGGAGAAAAGUACGAAAUACCCGCUUUCACUUCAGCAGAAGCAAAGCAAAGCUAUGAGCCAUCUCUGUAUAAUUGAAACGCCAUUGCUAAACGGUUCUUGAUGAUGGGUGCCACCGUGCCAGCGUUGUCGCUGAUUUGCAUGAUUUAUUAGUUGUUCAGAUGGCGGAUUUUGUACUGUCACUUUCAUUUCAUUCUUGAGAGCCACGUACAAUACUAGGUGGCAUUGAAGUUGCCCCAGUGGUUAGUUUUCUGAUUUUUUUUAAUUCAAAUUUUUAUGUUUUAGAAAAAUGUAAGAAAUAUGUAGAAAUGUUGACAGCUACAAUUUUGAAACUUUGCCUAAAAUUAUUAUCGUUGCUUAUUGUUUCUUAGCUAAAGAGAAAUCCUAGAAACAUGAAAUUAUUAUUCUAUGCUUGUUUUAAUAUUAUACAUUAGCAGGUUAAUUAAAAAUUAGACGUGAAUACAACAAGAGAUAAGUGGAGAGAAUUUGGUAGUCGACCGCAUUUAGAAUUUAAUUUUUCUUUUAGCUGCCGAUCAUUAAAUUUUAUAUUUCAGAAAAUUAUACCUAGAAUAUUUCAAGGAUAUACUACGAAGAUUAUGAAGGUUUGAUUACAUGUCACUAUCAAUUGCCUCAAUCAUUUGUAGUAAAUUAAUUAAUCAUUUUGCUGCAAAUGAUUUCCUAUUAAAAAAUUCAAGUCAGAGCUGAAUUGCACAGUAGUUAGUCGUGCUUGCAAUUCAAAUCAAGUAUUGUAUUUUCUGCCUGAUUUGGUUGAUUCAACUAUGUGCAUUUGCAUAAUGGAGAUGCUUAUGAACGUUGUAGUAUAGAAAUCGAAACGUCUUGUCUUUUGCUAAGCCCAGAAGCAAAGUUCUUUGUAUUAUACUCAUCAGUUUUCUUCGUUCUCUUCGUUGAAAUUUUAUCCAAACAGCGGUUUCUUCGAAUUUUUGCCCUCUCUUACAUUUUUAAAUCUAUCAAAGAACGGUUACCUGAGAAGAUUGCCAUCAGGUAUUUCGAAAUUGAUUUCACUACAAUACCUUAAUCUAUCAGAUUUUAAUCUAUCAGAUGCUCCCGUCACUCAGUUGCCAAAAGUGACAAAAGCCUUAGUAAAUUUUUAGAGUAAAAACUCAUUUAUUCCUUAUAUUUUAAGAUUAGUAUCUAUUUAGUCCUUAUAUUUUGAAAAAUACCUUGAAACAUCACUGCCAUUAAAGUAUUGAUACCCUUACCGUUACUUUUUAUUUAUUUUGGCUUAUUUUUACAAUAUUACCCUUUAAUAAUAAUUUUUUUGUUUAGACAUUAAUAAAAAUAAAAUAAUUAAAUUACCAAUUUAAUCCUAAAAAAUAAAAAUAAAAAUUUAUAUUAAUUUUUAAUUGUAAAAAAUUGUAUGCAAACUACCAAAUGUGCAAACGGUGCUUGCAAAAAAAUUAAUAUAAAUUUUUUAUUUUUAGGGUUAAAUUAGUAAUUUAAUUAUUUUAUUUUUAUUAAUGUCCAAAAAAUUAGUAAUUUAAUUAUUUUCUUUUUAUUAAUGUCCAAAAAUUAUUAUAAAAGGGUAAUAUUAUAAAAGUAAGCUAAAAGAAAUGAAAAGUAACGGUAGGGGUAUCAAUACUUUAACGGUAGGGAUGUUUCGAGGUAUUUUUAAAAAUAUAAAGAGUAAAUGGACACUAAUAUUAAAAUACAGGGACUAAAUAAGUUUUUAUCCUAAAUCUUUAAGUGUUUGAAUUGGAGUACAUAAAUUAUCUCUCUACAAUUCAAAAACAACAGAUUUGUUACUUUUCAACGCUACAGGUUCCGCGAAUAUUCAGUUGUGGUUAUCUUGUUGAAACACCAGAAAAUAGCGUUCUAUUUGGUGGUAAUGAAUUCUUGGUUGGGGAGUUACUUAGUUUAAAACAUUUAAAUGUAUUAAGCAUCGCCUUAAAAGGUUUUUCUACCGUCCAAAAAUUUAUGAGCUCCCAAAAGUUUCAAAGUUGUACAAAAUGUUUGGAGCUUAUAGACAGUGAUGAUUCAAAGUCGUUUGCCAUGGCAGAGUUGAAGCAUCUUGAAAAACUAGGUAUUUCAAAUUGUGGAAAUUUGGAAGAGUUUAAGUUCUGCUGUGUCGAAGUUGGAAAAACUUGAGAAGAUUUUUGUUUGAACAGCCUUCACCAAGUUAAGAGAAAGGCUUGUCAUAAAUUGAGGGAAGUGACAUGGCUUGUGUUUGUACCAAAUCUUAAGGUUAUUCAGAUAGAAAAAUGUAUGGAGAUGGAGGUUGUUGGGAAAGAGACUACCACAAGCAGCUAAAAAUUAAGCGAAUACAAAAUUCUUUCUCUCUUUGUGUGAUUAAAAUAGGAUGUGCACCACAAACAAAUAAGCAGAAAAAUAAACCAAUAAAUGCAAAGCAAAAACCAACCACAAGAGACACCGAUUUUUAAGUAGAAAAUUUAAAUUGGGAAAAAUCACAGGAUAGUAGUCUGAUAUAAACUUCUACUAUAUUAAUGAGAUUACAACACAAAUUCUUCUCCAGAUAAUACUAGAUGCUAACAAUAUUAAAAUUCUCAACAAUCUUAGUUUAUAAUAAUAGAUCUAAAAUCUAUUUCUUCAAUAAGUGAGUAUCUCAAAUAAUAGCUACUGAGAGAAUAAAAUACAGAUCAACACCAGUAGAAAUAUAGAGGGCAAUGUCAGGAACUUACCCUCCAAAUUUAGGACUAAUCAGAGCUAAAAUAACCUUUUGAUUGUUGAAUCAAAGAUUGAAAACCAAAAAAAAAAAAAAUAUCUCUUUCUCUCGCAGUGUCUUCUCACUUUCGCAAAAUGUCUACAGCUCUCGCGAUUCUUUACUUAUUUCCUUAGUUAAUUUCAUCCAAGUCCAAAAUUUUACAAUAAUUACACAUCAAGCAAAUUAUUUUGGACUUUGAACUUUUUGGUCCACUGAAGUGAAAUGGACCUUACAAAUCUCCCCCUCCAUCUCAUCUAAGGGGCACCACCAAGCCCGCUCUCUACUUACAGCUUUCCAGCUUCUCCUUGGGUAAUGACUUUAUCAUCAUAUCUGAUGCAUUCUUCGUUGUGUGAAUUUCUCCAAGCUGCAACUGUUUCUACUCAAGCACGUCUUGUAUCCAAUGAUACUUCAUAUCAAUAUGCUUCGAUUUCAAAUGAUAUGUUGAAUUCUUUGCCAAGUGGAUGACACUUUAACUGUCACAGUACACAACAUAACUAUCUUGAUUAACACCUAGUUCUUGUAGAAAAUUCUUCAUCCACAAGGUUUCUUUGUAACUUUCAGUGAUUGUAAUAUACUCUACUUCUGUAGUAGACAAAGCAACACACUACUAAAGUCUAGACUGCCAUGAAACUGCUCCUCCUACAUAGGUGAGCAAAUAUCUUGAUAGAGACUUUCUAGAAUCAACAUCUCCUGCCAUAUAUGCAUCCGUAUCUACUUGUAAUAUAGGUUUGUCACCACCAAAACAUAAACAUGCCUUGGAAGUGCCUCUGAGAUAUAUGACAAUCUACUUUACUGCUGUCCAGUGUUUUUUACCCAGAUUAGAGGAAAACCAGUUGACUACCAACUGUUGAAGCGUACCUCAAACUACCAACUGUUGAAGCAUAAAAAACUCUUUUUAUCUCUUGCUUCUCUUUCUCACUUAUGGGACAAUGCUUGAAACUAAGCUUGAAAUGACCUGCAAGUGGAAAAUAAACAUAUUUUGCUUUGUCCAUAUUAUAUCUUUUAAGAACUUUUUCAACAUAUGCUUCCUGAGAUAACCAUAAAUUCCCAGUUUUUCUGUCACGAGAAAUCUUCAUGCCAAGAAUUUGUUUCGCCGAUCCCAAGUCCUUCAUUACAAAAGACUUGCUAAGCUCUCUCUUCAAAUUGUCAAUCUUACUAGUAUCCUUGCCAACAAUCAACAUGUCAUCCACAAAAAGUAAAAGAAUAAUAAAAUCAUUAUCACUAAACUUUUUCACAAACAUACAAUGAUCACACAUUGUCUUGCAAAAGCCAUGAUUCUCCAUAAAAGAAUCAAACUUCUUAUACCACUGUCUUGGUGCAUGUUUCAGCCCAUAUAAAGUUUUUUUCAAUUUGUACACAAGUUCUUCUUUACCUUUGACACUGAACUCUUCAGGUUGUUAUAUGUAUAUUUCCUCCUUUAAGUCAUCGUGUAAGAAAGCAGUCUUUACAUUGAAUUGUUCAAUUUCCAAAUCCAAGCUAGCUACUAAUCCCAGAGGUGCUUGCUCAAUUGGUUCUGCUGGACCAUUAUUAUUAUCCUCUCCAGCUCCCCUAUGAUCAUCAUGAACAACAUGUGGAGAAACCGAAGUUGGAAUAAUAAGAAUCUCUGGAGAUGGCUGAGACUUAUCAUUUUUUUUUCAUCACCAACUAUCUAAUUUUUAAGAAACACAACAUCUCUAAUUCUGAUUACUUUUCUUGUCACUGGAUCCCAUAAUCUGUACCCAAAUUCUUCAUGUCCAUAGCUUAAGAAAAUACAUUUCUUGGCUUUAUCAUCAAGUUUUGAUCUCUCAUCUUUAGGGAUAUGAACAUACACUCUGCACUUAAACACCCUCAAGUGUUUAUAAGAAACAUCUUUCCCAAUCCAAACUCUUUUAGGUACAUCGUCAUCUAAUGGAGCUUAAGGAGAAAGAUUAAUCAAAUCAACUACAGUACGCAUAGCCUCCGCUCAGAAGGAUUUAUAAAGCUUGGCAUCAGAAAACAUACAUCUGACUAUCUUUUCAAUUGUUCUGUUCAUUAUUUCUGCAACACCACUCUGCUGAGGGGAUUUUGGUACAGUUUUCUUAAGUUUGAUUCCAUGAGAUCUGCAAUACUGCUCAAAUGGUCCUCUGUACCCACCAUCAUUUUCUGCCCUGACACAUUUCAAUUUUUUUCUUGUCCCUCUCUCAACAUAAGCACGAAAGAAUUUAAACAUAGUAAGCACGAAAGAAUUUAAACAUAUCAAGCACUUAAUCUUUAGAUUUUAAAGCAAAAGUCCAUACUUUUCUAGAACAAUCAUUAAUAAAAGUCAUAAAAUAAAGUGCACCUCCUAUUGAUCUAUUUUGCAUCAUGCAAAUAUCAAUGUGAAUCAAAUCAAGGAUUUGUGACUUUCUAGAUGGAGAAAAGCUUUUAAAAGUUACUUUAUGUGCCUUUCCAGCUAAACACUAAACACAAGUCUUGAGGGACGUACCUACAAAGCUUGGUAGAAAUCCUUUUUUGGCAAGAGUUCCUAACCCUUUCUCACCAAUGUGACCAAGCCUUUUAUGCCAUGUCUCAAUGUCAGAAUUGUUUACAGCCAUAUUCAUAUAUUCUUUCUUGAUUUUGGCUUCUAUUACGUAGAGGGUGUUCAUUUUCUUUCCUUUAGCCAACACUAGAGAGCCUUUGGUGAGCUUUCAUUUUCCUUCACCAAAUUAGUUAGUAUAACUAUCAUCAUCAAUUUUUCUUGUGGAGAUCAAAUUAAGACGAAUAUCUAGUACAUGCAAGCUUUUUUGUGGAGAUCAAAUUAAGGCGAAUAUCUAGUACAUGUCUGACAUCUUUAAGGAGUAGCUUAUAGCCAACACUGGUUUGAAGCAAAUAUCUCCUAUGCCCACAAUCUUGGAUGCCCCCUCAUUUCCCAUCCGAACAUGGUCAUAAUUACCAUUAACAUAGGAUGUGAAGUAAUCAUGAUGUGCAGUUGUUGUGCAAAUUUUAAUGUACUCGCAAGCGCACGAAUCUAUUGUAGUAUAGAUCAAUGGUGACGAGUGUCGAUCCCACGAGGAGGUGGAUUUUAAUUGUGUAUAGAAUUAAUUUUGCAAAUGGUUGAUUGGAUUUGUGGUGGAAAUGAUUUGGAAUAUGCUAAAACUUAAAUUAAAAUGGCGAGAAUAAAUUCUAAAAUUGGAAUUGAAAUUGCGAGAAUAAAGUUGAAGAGAAUUCUAUUGAAAUGACGUACUUGGGUAUCUGGAUCCGUAUCAACAUGCAUCAUGGGCUAAAUAAUGCGUAUUAAUGCCAAUUAAAUCAUGAGGGGGGAAUCCACACCUCAUGAACCACGCUCUAAUCAAUAUGGUGCUAAGGGCUUAUCGUGCCAAAUAAUAAUAACCUUGUACUAGAGAGCCGGUGUAACCAAGGCGGUACUAGACAAGAUUAGUAUUAUUUGUCGACGAGAAGUCAAAACAUCCACAAAAACUAGAGGGGAAGAGAAAAUAAAUUUACCAAAUAAAGCCCAUGACACAUGUUGAGACUUCACCUUCAACCCAAGCUUAAAAGAAAAUUAGCUACUCAUAAUUGAACUAAGGGCAAAAUGGGAAUUUAUUAAAAUACGAAGAAAAUACAAGAUAGAGAGGGAAUUACAGAAAAUGGAUCCCAAAAAUGGAUUCAGAGAUAUCAAAUUAGGGGGGGAGGCCCCCUUUUUAUAGAUACAUGGAGUAAAUCAUGGCAAUCGGAUUAAAAACAGUUUGGACGCUCAGGAUUGCGCCACGUCAUCAGUCAACAGUCCACGGUUUGACCACGCGGAUGAACAGUAAUACGGUUUGACCCAUAUGAACAGUACGCGGUUUGACCCGGAUGAACAGUAACGCGGUUUGGUUGAAAAUAAUCCUGUGUGAUGCAUGCACCGUACGCGAGAUUUUUUGUCCACUGAUAUGCUGCCACGUCACCAUCAACAGUACAUAAGAAUUUUAGUCCAACAGGAUCGUGACACCUCAUCAGUCAAUGCCACAUCAUCGAUCCGUCUAUGUGAGCAGUGCCGUGAACAGUAACAUAUACAGUACCGUAUACGUGAAUAGUACCGUACAUGUGAAUAGUGCUAUUUUUCCUUUUAUGCUCCUCCUAAGGUUUUCGACCGUCCUGAGUUCAAAAGUGAUGUCCGUUUUACCGUCUGAUCUCUCCUUUAUUGUGAAAUCACUAUAAUACCACUAAAAUACAUAAAAUACUUAAUUAAAAUAAAACACAUGUAAUUAAAUCACAAGAAGGUUAAAUACAUAAAAGUAAGGGUUGUUAGUAAGACUUGAAAUGUAAAAUGAUGGUUUUCUCCUUUAUAAAUAUGCAUUUUCUAACACUCAACAGCAGUAACCACGAUGUGCAGUAACAUCAAACGAAGCACCCGAAUCAAUCACCCAAUUACUGGUAUGGCAAGUAAGAUUUAUAGAGCUAUCAUUAUAAGCAAUGCCCAUAUCACCAUUAAUUACGGCUGUAACAUUCUCUUUGUCAUUUUUCUGACCAUCGCCUUUUUCUUUCGCAUGUUCUCUUUUCCACAAUUUACACUACCUUUUUACAUGGCCCAUUUUCUGACAAUGAAAGCACUUAGCUUCUCCUAUGGGACUUAGAUCUUCCUCCAGGGUUAUCAUUAUUCUGAUGACGGAAAUUUCUGCUUCGACUUCUCCCCCGUCUUUUUUGGUUUUCUGAAACAAGUGUAGCUGACUCAGAGGGAACUACUUCAGCAUUCUUUCUUCGAGAUUCUUCAUUCCGCAGUCUAUCUGUAACCAUAUCCAAGUUUAAUUUACCAUUCGGUGCCGAAUUAUUCACUGACACCACUAAUGUCUCCCAACUAUCAGGUAAAGAACUAAGCAACAACAAUGCUUGUAACUCGUCAUCUAGAAUAAUCUUCAUAGUAGUCAACUGAUCAACCAAACCCUGAAACUCACUAGUGUGUUCAGUAAUACUGUGGCCUUUUUUAUAUUUCAAGUUAACAAGCCUUUUCAUUAGAUUGACUUUAUUUUGUGCUGUUGGCUGCUCAUAAAUUAUUUCUAAUUUUCUCCAAAGAACAUCAGCCUUGGAUUCCUUCGCGACAUGAUGGUACACACUCUGAUCAAUCCAUGACCUAAUAGUGCCCACGGCUUUCUGGUUCAAUUGAGCCCAUUUCUUAUCAUCUAUAUCAACAAGUUUAACUUCAUCACCUUCAAUAGGUUCAUGUAAGUCUUUCAUGUAGAGCAAAUCUUUCAUUCUAGACUUCCAAAUAUCAUAAUUCCACGACUCAAUUUAAUCAUGAACGCCAAAGACUCCUCUAUUUCAACCACAUAAGUAAUAAAAACACACAACCUGGCUCUGAUACCACUCUAUUGGGAAAACGACUACCACAAACAGCUACAAAUUAAGCGAAAAUAAAAUUCUUUUCCUCUUUGUGUGAUUAAAAUAGGAUGUGCACCAUAAACAAAUAAGCAGAAAAAUUAAUCAAUAAAUUCAAAGCAAAAAUCAACCACAAGAGACACCGAUUUUAACGUGGAAAAUUCAAAUCGGGAAAAACCAUGGGACAAUAGUCCGAUAUAAAUUUCCACUAUAUUAAUGGGAUUACAGUACAAAUUCUUCUCCAGAUAACACUAGAGGUUAACAACAUCAAGAUUUUCAACAAUCUUGGCUUACAAUAAUAGAUCUAAAAUCUAUUUCUUCAAUAAGUGAGUAUCUCCAAUAACAGCUAAUGAGAGAAUAAAAUAUAGAUCAACACGAGUAGAAAUGUAAAGGGCGAUGUCAGGAACUUAUCCUCCAAAUUUGGGAGAAAUCAAAGCUAAAAUUAUUUUUCGAUCGUUGAAUCAAAGAUUGAAAACCCAAAGAAAAAAAAUAUCUUUUUCUCUCGCAACGUCUUCUCACUUGCGCGAAAUGGCUACAUCUCUCGCGAUUAUUCACUUAUUUCCUUUAUAUUUUUUUUGGUUAAUUUCAUCCAAGUCUAAAAUUUUACAAUAAUUACACAUCAAGCAAAUUAUUUUGGACUUUGGGCUUUUGGUCCACUGAAGUGAGAUGGACCCUACAGAAGCAAUAAUCAGUGCAAGAAAAUUAAGUGAAGUUCCAGAGAUGAUGGCAGAUCUAAACCCUUUUGUAAAACUCCAAUAUCUUGGCCUCCGAAUUCUACCAAAAUUAAAAAAGCGUCUAUUGGAAUGUGUUGCCCUCUCCACAUGUCAGGGAAAUUUUUGUAUCUGAAUGCCCAAUUCUCAUUAGAGGAGAGGAACACUGGUGGAAUAAGUUGCAAUGGGAGGAUGAAGCAACCUAUAAUGCUUUUCUUCCUUGUUUUGGAUCCAUUUGAUGGGCAUCAACAUGGAUUAAUAUUUUGCAGCGAACCAAUUUGAAUAAAACUUACGGUAAGUGCUUUUCCAUUUAUUGCAUAUUUAUAUCUAAUUUUUGUUUUCCUUUAUGGUUAAAUUUUGCCCUGUAUAUGUUGUUGUACGGUGACAUUCUUGAAUCAAUUAUUAAUUUUUUUAAUUCUCGUCUCACAACCACCCUUUUGAUCAUGAGGAUAUGCCGAUAUCAAAGAGUCAUAAUUUGGGAUACAAAUGUAAGAAUUAGGCAGAUGACAUGUUGUUUCAAAGCUUUCGAAGAAGGACUAAAUAUGUCAUUGAAAGCCUCCAAUUUUGCGACUGAUUUUUUUUUAAUUUGUUAUUUUUAUAGGUGGCAAAAAUACCCGUCUGAUUUGGACUCGGCUGAUUUGGGCCGGGUACGGAGUAUGAAGCCGGGUUGGUCCUGGGCAUCACUUGAAACUCGGAACCUGGAUUUUAUUAAAAAAUAUUAUAAAUAUAUAUUAUUUUAAAUAUCUAUAUUUAUUAGACUCAUCUAUUACAUAUAUCUAAUUUCAUUGAAAUAAAUUUAAAAAUUAUAAAAUUACCAAUAUAUAUAUAUAUAUAUAAUAUUAAAAAAGUAUAAAAUCUGAGUCCUCAGAUUAAAACCCAGUUCAAGUGUCUAAAAAAUACAUGUGGACCGAGUUUGAACAUUGCGAUACCCAGACCCAAACUUGGGUUUUGCCAACCCUAGUCUUUUAAAUUGCUUGAUUGUAAUGUUUUAGUAUAGAAAAAUGAUAGCCAAGACAACAAUAAGAGGGCACAUUGUGCAUGCACAAUAGUGGAUAAUUUCGGCAUUCCAAAUCCAAUUAGGGUGGAUAACCUUUUAUUAGUAUUAACCUUCUCUCGUAUUCAAGUAAUGUAAAAUAUGCUUAGAAGCUGUGGAUCCCCCUUUAUAAGUGUUGGGCUUAUGCCAAACUCGAUUGAUGUGGGAUGCCUUUAUAGGCAUCAAGUUUUCUCCCAUACACUUUAUGUUAAAAAUAAUAAUGAUAAAAUAAAUCCAUUUUAAAAUAGACUUCUUUUUCUUUUCUAUAUAAACAAACUCAUUCUUCAAAUCAGUUGUGGGUGGAAGGAGUGAGUAGAGAAGAACUGGGCCCCUUUCGUUCCUCUAAAAACCUCACCAAACCUCUCUUGUAAGCUUCUCAGUGUCCCUCUCAAUAUUUCUUAUGAUCUCGUUUUUUAUUGAAUCACUUCUUUUGUGUGCUGCAUUUUUGUGUGUCGUAUUUGGGUUUAUCUUAUCUGGAAUCCUGUUAUGAUUGAUGGAACAAGUAAUCGAUUUUUGGUUUAUUUGGAAUGGAAUUAUGGUUUAUUUGGAAUGGAAUUAUCUGGGUGUAACGGAUUAAAUUAUGACAUUGGGGAGAAGGCACUAAGGGGUUUGCUUGACACAUUUGGUUCUGUGUUUACUCUGAAAGAAAUAGCUUUUGCUUAUCGUAAUGCAAGGCGAAAUCCCGAUUUGGGUGGUGAAUUUCUCUAUCCCAAUUGGGCUGGUGAAUUUCUCUGUGACAAAUAGGCAAACAGCUCAACCUCUUUUAUCUAUCUUCUACUAGUGAGGCAAGGGAUAAAAAGUCUUCAAAAUCAUCAAAUAGUAACAUCUUCGAGAAUUCAUUUUAUGCAAAUGGAAAAUCUAGACCUUCUAAGACAAAAUGGCGUCCAGUAUCAAGAGGUACCGUUUCAAGUUUUCUUGGUAAAAAUUAUGUAAACUUGCACAGCCAGCUAAUGGCACUUUUCUAGUUUUCUGGCAUCAAAGCCAUUGAAGUCGUAUCCAAAGGAGUUUCCCAUGUCUGCACUUUGUGGAGAAGGAACUAAACAAAAACAAUCAAAGGAUGACCAUUUGCAGAAGGAUGUGGAAGAUUUUCUGUUUAAAUUGCUAGGAGAAGUGUUCCAGCUGAAUAGGGAUGUGAUUCGGGAAGUUCCAGUAAUGUCUUAAAUAUGUUGAUGCCAAUUUAAUAUAUAUUGUCAUUUUCAAUGUUCUUUCUUUCUUUCUUUAUCUUCUUUUCUUCUACUUCUUCUUCUUUUUCUUUUCGUGUGCAUGUGAUCACUAAUUUGUUAUUAUACUUAACUUGCAGGUAGUUGUGGAUAUGAUAUGCAAAAGGUAAGGACUAUAUCUUCCUGAUAGAGGCCUCUGCUUUUUCCCUUUUAUGUAAUUUAGUAAAUCUCAUCUCCCUUUGUGAUUGUUAUAUCAUAUCAAAGUCAAGUCUUAAAUACUGCUGUCAUAUGUUAAGGUUCAACUUGCAUUUUGACUAACAUCCAUUUGUUGUCGCUUCCAAAAGUGAGAAUGAGAUACUUCGGUUAAUUUCAGUAGUUGAACCCAAUCGAGUACUUUAUCUAGAUCUUCAUGGUUCAAAGGCCUGAAACUUGCCCGUGAUUGUAAAAUGAUAUUAUGUGCUUUUAAUGCAAUAGGGGGAACAAGGUGUCAAAGGAAUUAGCAGAUUCUAUGGCAGAUUCUAUGCCUGUACAACUGUAACAAUUAUCCUUAUGAUUGUAAAUCUUAUAUGUUUUCCUUAUUUAGGAUAUACUAGCUGUAGGCUAUUUUAGAUAGUUAUGUAUAUGAUAGUUUAGCUAUGUUUAGGGCUAAACAUAAGCUUGUAUUCAUAGUAUAUAAAGGGAAUUCUCUUCUAAGAGAAAGCAUAACUUUUGCUCAAAAUUCUCUGAGUUUAUCAUGGUAUCAGAGCCUCAGUUCUGAAUUCUCUUCUUCCUAGUUCAUUCCCUUGUUCUUAGUUAUUCUUUUUUUUAUCAAGUUAUCUCAGCCUCAUGUCUUCAGACAAGUAUGAUGCUUUUUUGAUCCGUUUUAAUGGCACAAACUACUCAGCCUGGGCAUUUCAUUUCGAGAUAUUUGUCAAAGGCAAAGAUCUAUGGGGACAAGUUGAUGGCAGGAAACCUGCCCCUGAUAAAGAGAUAGACCAGGAUGGGUACGCCAAGUGGGAAGUCAAGGAUGCUCAAAUCAUGGCAUGGAUUCUAGGAUCUGUGGAAUCCAACUUCAUCUUGAAUCUUCGACCCUUCAAGACUGCAGCAGGAAUGUGGAAUCAUCUAAAGAAACUCUACAGUCACACCAACACUGCUCGUUGAUUUCAGCUUGAACAUGAGCUAGCCAAUCUCCAACAAGGCAGUCUCUCUAUUUCUGAUUUUUAUUCUAUCUUUAUGAUUAUUUGGGCUGAAUAUACUGAUAUAAUCUAUGCUACCUUACCUCCGAAGGUCUUAGUUUUGUUCAAUCUGUACAUGAAACUACUAAGAGAGAUCAAUUUAUGAUAAAACUGAUAUAUGAAUUUGAAAGCACUAGGUCCAAUCUUAUGAAUUGAGAAUCUGUCCCUUCCUUGGAUACAUGCCUCAAUGACUUAUUUCAUGAGGAGCAACGACUUCUUACUCAAAAUACCAUGAAACAAAAAAAAUCUACUUCUGUUCCUAUGGCUUAUGCAGCUCAAGGCAAGCCAAAAGGUAAGGACAUCAGUAUAGUUCAAUGUUUUUGUUGCAAAGGAUUUGGACAUUACGCUUCAAAUUGUUCAAAAAAAUUAUGCAACUAUUGCAAAAAAGAUGGACAUAUCAUUAAGGAAUGCCUUACUCGACCCCCCAAGAAAUCUGAAACAACAUAUGCUACCUCAGUUGGUUCUUCUAGUGAUGGUAGUUCUGUGGAUACAGCACAUUUGACCCAAAGUGCUCCUGUUCCUGUUCAAUCUGUGACCCCAUAAAUGAUUCAACAAAUGAUCAUUAUUGUAUUCUCCUCAUUAGGACUCUCAGGUAAAUCACCCACUAGAUCUCCUUGGUACUUUGAUUCUGGGGCUUCCCAUCACAUGACAAACAAUGCUAAAUUCUUCACCAAUGUAAGUAAAUACCUUAGAAAUCUAAAAAUUCAUACAGCUGAUGGCAACUCUUUACCUAUCACAGCCACUAGUGAUGUUUCUUUUUCUAUAACCAAUGUCUUUGUCUCUCCUGGUCUUCCUACUAAUCUUGUUUCAAUCGGUCAGUUAGUUGACAAUAAUUGUAAAGUAGAAUUCUCUAAAUCUAGUUGUGUUGUGCAGGAUCAGCAGUCAGGGAAGAUGAUUGCCAGGGGGCCUAAAAUAUGACGUCUUUUCCCUCUCCAAUUUGCUAAGUCUCCAUGUUUCUCUUUGCCUAUCAUCACUUGCAAUUUUACUAAGGUUAAUUAUCGAGCAUGGCAUAAACGUCUAGGACACCUAAACUCUAAUGUAUUUUAUGCUUUGCUAAAUUCUGGUUUACUUGGGAAUAAAAGAUCACCAUCCCUUAGUGUUGUUCAAUUUGAUUGCAAUUCUUGCAAGCUUGGAAAAAGUAAAAUUCUGCCAUUUCCCACUCACACACCGAAUGUUGUCCAGCCUUUUGAUUUGAUACAUAGUGAUGUGUGGGGUAUGGCGCCUGUUACAUCUCAUGCUAAUUACAAGUACUUUGUCACUUUUAUUGAUGACUAUAGUCGCUUCACAUGGAUUUAUUUUCUACAUUCUAAAGAUGAAGUGUUCUCUGUUUUCAAGCUUUUUCAUGCAUAUAUUCAGACCCAAUUUUCUACUAAUAUCAAAAUUCUUUGCUUUGAUAAUGGGGGUGAGUAUAUGUCUCAUUUAUUUUAAGAAUUUUUGCACACCAAUGGUAUAAUUUCUCAAAGAUCUUGUCCUUCAACCCCUCAACAAAAUGGGGUGGCUGAAAGAAAGAACUAUCACCUUCUCGAUGUUGUCUUCAUUUGUACCCUCUCGUUUUUGGUGUGAAGCUUUCUCCACUGUUGUCUAUCUCAUCAACAGAUUGUCCUCUCAUUCCUUGAACCAUGUCUCCCAUUUCUUUCAGUUAUUUGGCCAUACACUAAGUUACUCUCAUCUCCAUACCUUCAGUUGUGUGUGCUAUGUUCAUCUUCCUCCAUAUGAGCGUACAAAACUCACAGCCCAAGCUGUGAAAUGUGCUUUUCUAGGAUAUUUUAUGCACUAAAAAUGUUUUCUUUGUUAUGAUCCAAAUUUGCAUCAUAUAAGGGUUUCUCGAAAUGUGAUUUUCUUUGAAAAUCAGUAUUUCUUUUCCGCAUACCACGACGAUUCUUCGCCUUCAUUUUCUGUUUUGCCAAAGUUUACUAACCCUUCUGCAGAUUCUGCACCUUCUAAACCUAUCAUAGUCUAUCAGCGACGCAAGAAUUUAGUACCUCUCGGGCCCCCUCCAGCAACUUCCCUGAAUGUUGAUCCAGUUCCAGCAACUGCACCUGAACCUUUCAGACAUAGUACUCGGGUUCGUAGACCACCAGAUAGGUAUGGUUUCACCUCUCCAUUAUUUUUGACAGCCACUUUGUCUUCUAUUCUUAUUCCUUCAUCAUAUAAACAGGCAAUAGAGCAUGAAUUUUGGUGAAAAUCUAUUGAAUCAGAACUUCUUGCACUUGAAGAAAACCAAACUUGGGAUAUUGUUUCAUGUCCUCCAUCCGUGAAACCCCUUAGUAGUAAGCUAGUGUUUUCUAUCAAGCUGCGUUUUAAUGAAUCCAUAGAUCGUUACAAGGCUCGGUUGGUGGUUCUUGGCAACAAGCAAGAAUAUGGCCUAGACUACGAUGAGACCUUCGCGCCGGUAGCCAAAAUGACCACUGUUCGAACAAUAUUAGCCCUUGCUGCAUCACAAUCAUGUUCUUUACAUUAAAUGGAUGUAAAGAACGCUUUCCUACAUAGUGAUCUCAAGGAGGAAAUUUACAUGAAACUUCCCCACGGUAUGACUACUUCCUCUCCUAAUGAUGUUUGCAAACUAAAAUGUUCGUUGUAUGGGUUGAAGCAAGCACCGCGAGUAUGGUUUGAGAAGUUUCGAUCAACUCUUUUCAGUUUUUCAUUCACUCAAAGUCAGUAUGACUCCUCCUUUUUUUUUUCCAACAGACAUCUAAGGGCAUCAUUGUUCUCCUUAUUUAUGUGGAUGACAUCGUUAUCACUGGUUCUGAUAUGGAGGCAAUUUCUAAACUUCAGAAUUUGUUGCACUCUAUUUUUCACAUGAAAGACCUCGGUCAACUCACCUAUUUUUUGGGGUUAGAGGUGCAUUAUCUGCCUCAAGGUAUCUUCUUGAAUCAACACAAGUAUAUUCAGGAUUUAAUUUAAUUAGCUGGACUUAUGGACAAAAAUUCUGUUGACACCCCAGUGGAACUUAAUGUGAAAUAUCGACAAGACGAAAGGGAACUACUUCAAGAUCCUACUUAUCUAUCUAACUAUCACCCGCCCAGACAUCUCUUAUGCUGUCCACACCGUUAGCAAGUUCAUGCAAGCCCUUCGACAUCUCCACGUAUCCACAGUCCGCCGCAUCAUUAGAUAUAUUCUUGGCACUCUUAACUGCAGUUUAUUCUUCCCUACUGGUUCUUCACUCCAACUACAAGCCUACAAUGACGCAGAUUGGGCUAGCUGCCCGGACACGAGAAAAUCUACUUUGGGAUGGUGCAUGUUUCUUGGUGAUGCCCUUAGCUCUUGGAAAUGCAAAAAGCAAGACUCAGUCUCCAAAUAAUCCACUGAGGCAGAAUACCGCGCCAUGUCUGUAGCCUGCUCCAAGAUCAUUUGGUCGCGUGGUCUCUUAACAGAGCUUGGUUUCUCACAACAUCAACCUACUCCCCUACAUGCUGACAACACAAGUGCCAUCCAAAUUGUAGCCAACCCUGUCUACCAUGAGCGCAUGAAACACAUAGAGGUUGACUGCCACUCUAUUCGAGAGGCCUAUGACCACCAAGUUAUCACCCUCCUGCAUAUCUCCACUACUCUACUGAUUACGAAUAUCUUCACCAAAUCCAUGACAUGUCAGCGACAUAACGUUCUUGUUAGCAAAUUGAUGCUUGUAGAUUUACCAGCAUCAAUUUGAGGGGGGAUGUCAAAGGAAUUAGUAGAUCUUAUGGCAAAUUCUAUGCCUGUACAGCUGUAACAAUUAUCUUUAUGGUUGUAAAUCUUAUAUUUUUUCCUUAUUUAAGAUAUACUAGCUGUAGGCUAUUUUAGAUAGUUAUGUAUAUGGUAGUUUAGCCAUGUUUAUGGCUAAACAUAAGCUCGUAUUCAUAGUAUAUAAAGGGAAUUCUCCUCCAAGAGAAAGCAUAUGAAAGAAACUUAGUUCUAUAUUGUUUGGUAGGCUAGAAAAUGAAAGAAAAUAAAAGAAAAGCUUUGCAAAGAAAACUGUUAGAUCCUUUUAUUAUACCAAACUUACAGUUUAAUGACUAAAAAUUGAUAUUUAUAUUGAGCUACAAACUCUUCACACACACACACGAGAUUGUUGCAACACAUAACCAAUUGCUGUAUAACUAACUUGACACAUCAGCUCAACCAGCUAACUAACUUUGACAGGUCAGCUUAAUGAUUUGAUCUGAUACAACCAGCUACACAGCAACAUCAUGCUCUGCUCCAGCUUCAUCUAAUUCACUAACAACUUUUGCUCAAAAUUCUCUUAGUUUAUCACAGGGAAGUAUAGCUUUGGAAAAGGCCGGAUCAAUAACUAUGGAGAGAUUUAUAAGUGAUAAAAAUUCCCGUAACCCGCUGUCAAGAAAAUUUCACAUAGUUAAAGACGCCAUUUUGUUUCAGCCAAAAAUGUUUGUUUAAUCUGCCAAAAAUGUUUGUUUCGAUUAAAGACUUGAACCGUUUUCAUUUAACCUGAUUGUGAUGCUUUAUGUUAUGUAUGUUCCUCUCAAUCAAGAAAAGUUGAGGUUCAUGAUUUUAUAUUUCUAUCUUGUAACUUGCAAUAAUAACUGGUCUUCUUGUUUUUGUAGCUUGAUAACAUGAAUUUUCCUUCUCAAGUUAAUUUGAUCAAUAAAGUAAUUCUUCAAAGAAAAUAUGCCCAUUCUAUAAUCAUUUUCUUAGCUAAUAUGUUUUUUUUUUGUUUACUCUUCAGAGUGUGUCGAAACUAAUUGAUUGCUCGGCAGAGACUUUGGGUGACAAGUCAAAAUUUCAUGGUAAAUCCUCUGAAAAGGUAUGCAUAAUUCCUGAAUAUUAAAUAACCAAUGGUCAUAGUUUUUGUACACGACUCUUUUUGUGGAGAUCGUUAAAAGUGGUUGAUGAUCCAUUUGUAAUUUCAUAGAGGGAUCAUCAAUUCCUUUUCUUUUCUGUGGCUAGGCAUCACUUUCGUGCCAAAGUAAGGAAAUCUAUUUUAGGUAAUGUAAAAAACAAUGGUAGGAUGUAAUAGCUUAUUAUGCACUGACAAUAACUUUUUGUAUAAUUGUCAGUUUAAGGAAUACAAGAGGAACUCUGUUGACAAAUUCAUCCAAGAUAGAUGCUAAAAUUAUUUAUGCAUGCCAGUUGCCUUAACUAAUUUUUCUUAACACUUGUAUUGAACAGGAAAUGAGUAUGCAAUUUGUGUACGUGCCAUUGUGGAGAAUUUGGAUAUUCUUAUUUAAGUAAGAAGAAGAGUAUUUGCCUCAUCUUUAAACAAUGAAUCUUUGAGAAAUGAGGAGUGGGUGAUUGGAAGUGUCUUCAUGUAAAUGUUCAUUUACUUGUAUUUUGAACUAUUAUGAGAAUCUUUUAUAUGCCAAAUUAGUAAUACAAAUGUUCAGAUGAUUUUUCCUGUUGAUCACGCGUUUGUGUCUGCAGACAACCAUUGUAUAUCACUUUAUUCUGAUGUGCAAUUAUGUAUAGAUUAGAAGAAAAGAAAUAAUAGUCUUAUAUUAUUGUUUGGUUCAUGAUUAUUAAACGAUUAUGGCUUCAAAAAAUCUACAAAUUCCUUCUGUUCAUAUAUGAAUGUGCCAAGUUUGCUAUAUCUUAGAUUGCCUUCUUCCAAGAUAACAAGUUCAUAUGUUUUUUAAUCCUCUUCAAUCACAGUUGAAUUUUAAGUGUUAAGAUUUGUUAUUAAUACCUGGUUCCCUGUUAUUAUGAUUUUUAUUAUGAUUUCAUAAACAGUGUACGGACAUGUGCUCUACUUUUAAAGGGCCUCCACGUGAAAGAAAAUUGCAACAAUUGAAUUCUUCCGGAGGGUAUGGCAUUUAAUUUAUUUUCUCAACUUCUUGUAAGACUAAUAUAUUUCCUUCAGUAGGCAGGGCAUGUUGGGAAGGGCUUUUAUUGAAAGAAUUCUGAUAUUUCUUAGACUUUGUUUUGGAAGGGAGGUGGAGGGAUUUCUCAUCCAUAUAUGGUUACUUGAUUAGCUUUUGACUGUAUUGCCUCAGUCGUGCAAAGGAAGAUCCAAAUACUAAUGAAUGAGAAUUGGUUAGAGACCCAAAAGACAGAAAUGAACUACAGAAGGAAGUUUUUGCUGCUUUAUUUAGUGUUCCUGAGAACUCUGAUGAAGAUGGAGUGGAGGUCCAAAGCAUUAAGAAAGGUGGUGAGUGAACCGCCAGAGGAAUUGGUACCAGAAUACAAAGCUAAUGUGGUGCAUUUGCAGCAAGAUAACCAGACUAGUAUGUGCUCUUGUAUUAACUAUAUUGACUGGAUUUGUGAGCAUGUUCAUUUUUGUGUGUAUAAUCACUUUUGUAUUUAUGCAUAUUAAUGUUAGUAGGAUUCUUGAUUUCCUCCACUUACUGGAGAACUAGUGGAAAGCUUUAUAGUGAAAUAUCUGCAAUAACUAAUGGAAACCAUGAUUUGAAUAUUUUCUCUCACCUGGAGAGCUUUGUAACAGAUGUACUUUGUGGCUAUGGAAUACUAGAGAUUCUGCAAUAACUAAUGGAAACUCUGAUAUGAAUAUUUUCUCUCACCUGCAGAACUUUGUAACAGAUACACUUUGUGGCUCUGGAAUGUCUAAAGAUUUUGUCUGCUUCAGUUAGAUCAAAUAUCUUUUAGUUACCUACAUUAUGGAAAAGAUAGAGUUCUCUGAAUCUGAAAGACUGAAACAUUUUGCAUAUUUCGUGAAAGGAAAAUAUCUGUAGAUACUAGUUCAUGCAUUGAGGUAACAUCAAUGUUAAAGAAAAACAGCAAUAACUUAUUAUAUAGAAUUAGGUUCACUUGCUUUAAAUGCUGGUCUGGUCAACCAUAUGAACCUGUAAGUGUAUCUGCAGAAAUAUAUAUGGGGGGACAAACUAGCUAAAUUUUCCUCUCAUUUCUGGCUUUGGUCAUUUUUUCCCCUUAUUUUUCAGCUUUCCUUCUCCUGAAGUAUGUUAACAAUUGCAGAUAAUGACGAAGAGGACAGCUUGCAGGCUCUUCGUGGAGCUGUGAUGGAAUAUAGGGGCACAAUGAAAGAACAUUUUAAAGCUGUAGGUUCUUUUUCUCCUGUCAUUUAUAUUUGCUCACACAUUUUUCAUAUGCUCCAAGCAUGCAAGUUUGUAUGUGUCUUUGCCUUUUAAGUUUUAAAAACCAUAAGGUAAGAAUACAGUUCCUCGUCAGGUUAUUGAUGCAUUCACUCCGGAGGAUCAUGUUCGAGCAGGAAAACUUCUAGAACAGGCAAGGUUUUCCAUCUACAGCCAUCUAUUGACAACAGAUACAUUUUCAUUCAGCAGACACUGUUAGCAUUCAAGAUGCUGGCAGAUUCACUUGAUUCUUAUUAGUUUGUUUAGUGGUAAAGCAUAUAACCUGUUUUUCAAAGCCAAGUUGUGCUAUUGAUUAUGUUAACUUUAUUGUUCACAUAAAGUGAUAUGGAGGAAAUAAUCAUUGUAGGAAAAUUAGGUGAAGAGGUGAUGUCAAAUCUUGAACCUGUUACAAAACUCCAAGUUCUUUACUUGAAGAAGCUACCAAAUUUGAACAGGGUCCACUGGAAGGCCUUGCCAUUCCCUGAUGCCUGCAGAAUUUUUGUAUUUAAAUGCCCAGAGCUUAAGAAGCUGCCACCGGAUCUUGAAAGGGCAGGCCAAGGUAAAAUUCUUAUCAAGGGAAAGGAAGAUUGGUGGAAACAACUUCAAUCGGAGGAUCAAGUAACUCAGAAUGCAUUGCUUCUAUUUUUAAAAUCAACUGACAAGUGAUUGAAGGGGGCAUCAUCAACAUCAUCAACAUGGAUGGAGAGAUUCAGGAGCAGAUCCGCAGGGUUUAUUACGACCUGUGGUGGUUGCUUUUUUGUGACUUGUUCCCUUUCAUUUUUUCACUUCCUGUCAUAUUAUCAUUUCUUUGUCUCUGUUUCUAUUGCUGAUGUUGCUGCAUGCUUGCAGCCCUUGACAAAGUUAGCAAUGCAAUAUAGAUUUUGAAAUUAAAUUUUGUAUGUUCGGGACAGUCACAAAGUACUACUUGUUCUAUAUGGGGGUGAUGUGAAUCAACUUUUCAAUUAUAUAUUCUGUGGUAAUUGUGAAUUCAAUUUCAUUUGUCUCCUGCAAAUUAUGAAGAAAGUGCAGAGUUAGAAUAUCGAAAAGUUCACUGGCAAAUACUUUGUAAAAGCUUCGGAGUGAAACAGGGAAUGCACUUGCAACUAAGGACAAAUUGGUGGCCAGCUAAUGCAUUCAUUUUAUGUACAUUCAUCUUUUUAAUUAUUGAAGAUAAGUGGUUCGUUGCUUUUGUUGUAGAAAAAAUUCAGACGACCUCAAUUGUGAGAUGAAAAUAUUUAAAAUAUCUCUUAAAUUAUUAUAAACUUUAAUUUAUCUUAAUUUUAUUUAAAAGAUAAAAGAAAAAUGUGGUAUAUGGGUAAAAAUUUUUUUAUCUUGUUAAUAAAAUGAAAUAAAUUAAAAUUUACAAUAAUUUAAAGUAUUUUAAAAUUAUUAUUUCAUAAGAGAUUAAUAUGAAAUUAAUCCUUUUUACUUUUUGAAUGUGAAAGGACAAGAAAAGAGAAAGCUAGUGUCACUGCUUUUUAUUUUAUUUGAAAUCGGAGUUAUCCCAUAUACUUUACUACUUUAGCUCUAACAUUACAAUGUUUUUAGGCUACACUUUUAUUUUUCUUUUUCCCCCUUUUUUUAUACAUGCAUGUGGAUUACUUUUCUCUAAGCUCCUUAAUAUUUAAGACAAAUCAUAAAAGCAAUUGAAGCAUAACAAGAUGAUCAAAACAUUUAACCGAAAAAAAAAGAAAUAAAACAUUGAAAAUGGAGAUGUUGAUUAAUUUAGAAGAGAUGCAAGCAAAAAAUAUUCCCAAAAAAAAAAAAAAAAAAAGCAACGUUAGUUCAUCCAUGUCUGUCAAUGCGUUUUUUAUGGUUUUUUUUUUCCAGUUGUUUGUUGUAAUAGAUUAAUUGUAAAUUGAUAUAAACUUGAUGUUGUAAUAUGUUCGCUUUUGUGGAAAUAAAUUUCAAUAUUCAAGAUUAUUCAAGUCUUAUCUAGUAUGUGUUCGGUUGUGUUGUCGAUAAUUUUACAUUCUAAUAAGUUUUCACCUAAAAUAUUAGCAUGAGUAGUAGUCCUUAAACCUUUGGUCAAAAUUAUUGUUAUUGUUUCUUUUAGAGGAAAUUUUUUUAUUAAAGCCUCGUUAACACUAUUCCUUAUUAAGAUUAUAAGUUAGUGUCGGUGCAGGAUUUGCAGCGACAAAUCUUGUCUAGCCACGUGUCAAAAUACAAAUAAAUCAAGGGAAAGCACAUGACAUGGAUUAGGAUCCAAUAAAAUUUAAAUCCCAAGGAAAAGGACAACUGUAUCCUAAAGUUUCAAUAAGAGAUACUGGGAUAUCUUUUGACUAAUGUUAUUUUUUGGCUUUAUUAAUAAAAAGAUCCAAUAGUUUAUAACAAAUAAAAAUAUAGUAUUAAGCUAAAUGUGAUAAUUUACACAUUUUACAUAAUUUCAAUAAAAAUUUUUUUAAUGUUUUACAAUCUAUCAGACAUAUUUUAUUAAAUUAAUAAGAAUUUUCUUAUAAAUAGCAACAUAAUAUUAAAAUAAAUUUAUAAAAAUUUAAAUGUAAAAUAAUUUUAGUAUAAUUAAUACGCGGGAUAUAUUUUGUAAAUUAUAAAAUUACUUAACCCAAUGAUUUUUAAAAAUCUUUAAAAUAAAUAAAAAUAAAUUAUUCACAUUUUGAUGUAAAUAUUUAAAACAUUUUUAUACAUUAGUCCACAAUUAUUUAUGUUAUAUUUGUAUUUAUUAGAAAUUUUGAAAGUCAAAUGUUUUUUACCUCUAUGUUAUUAGAAUUAUUGCACACAGAGAAAGAGCCAUAUAUGCUUUAUAACUUUAAAAUCGAUUUGUUUUAUAGCUGGGAAUAGAGAUGAUCAUUAUUAUAAGGAUUUUUUAAAAAAAGAUAAAGAAUAUUAAUGAUUAGCGAAAUCUCUAUGGAAAUUGAAUUUAGUAAGAAAAAAUUGAGCUGAUUUUAGUGGUAUAGUAAUAUUUUAUAUAGAGAAAAGUAAAAGCUGCACCCAAGGUUAAGGGAAAUGGUCAAAAUUCUUUUUUAAUCAUAAUACCCUUUUUCCUAGAUAAUUUAAAAAUUUUACUCUAAUAGUUUAUAAUAAAUAAAAACAUAUAAUCCUAAAAUAAAUAAAAUGAUAUAUAUUUUAAAAUAAUCUCAAUAUUUAAAAUAUAUUUUAACAUUUUAUAAUCUAUUAGAUAUAUUUUAUUAUAUUAAAGUAAAUUUUAUAAUAAAUACAAAACAUACUAUUAAAAUAGAUAUAAAAAUUUUAAAGUAUUUUGAAUAUUAUAUAAAAUAACUUUAAUAUUGUUAAUGCAUGAGAUGCAUUUUAUUAAUUAAAAAUUCUAUGUAACCCAAAGAUUUAUUUAUAAUAAAUUAAUAAUCAUAUUUUUGAAAUUAUUUUAAAUAUUAAAAAAUAUUUUAAUAUUACUAACUAUUAGAUAGACUAAACUAUUUAUUUUAUUUUCUAUUUAUUAUAAAAUUUCAAAGUUAAUCUUUUUAACUACUAUUCAAAAGAUGUUAUGAUAAAAACAGAAUUUUUGUGUUUUUAUUGAAAAUUUGGAGUUUACAUCUAUUUUUUCAAAUAUUCAGGGUGUAACUGUUUUUUCCCUUUUAUAUAUACGAACGGUGGUGAGAAAGUUUGAUUUAACGUUAUUUAUUUAAAUAAAAUCUCAGUUAAAAAUGUACAGAGAAGAAAUUUCGGUUGGUAUUUUAGUCUUGGUAAUCUCUAUAUUAUAUGCAUAUAAGAUACAUCAUUCUCACAUGAAUAGUAUAUGUGUGAGAUCCAUAUAUUAUUCAUGUGAGGGAGAUGUAUCUUAAUAAGAUAGAGGGAUCCGUUAGUCUUUUACCAAUCAUCACGAUUAGGCCUUGGCCUUGAAACAUUAAUUGUUUCACUUUUAGCGCUAGUGGCGUUGAAAGUUGUCAAGAAAAAGCAAGACCAUAUUCCACAAAAGCAAAAGUAACGUAGGCUCUUUUAUUAAAGGCAAAGUAUAAAGUAGUCAAGAAUCGAAUAUCCUGUCGUCUACUCUUUUUUAAAUUCUUCUUUUAUUAUCGUUUAGAAUAGUUUUUGGUAAUUACAAUCAUUAUUCAGAGUUAUUGUUAUCUUCCGGGGCAGUCUCUGUUCAUCGAAGUCGUUACCUUUUUUUUAAUGGAUCAGUUCCAGUGGUAAGCAGUAAUUUUCUUAGAACUCGGAUCUUUAAUUCGAGUUUCUGUGUGAAUUAAUAAUAAAAAAUUUUCAUUACACGCAAUUUAAGCUACGAAUUACUUUUUGCAAAGUUGAAUAUGGAAUUGGAGAAAUUAAGUAAUUUAGAAUGUUGGUAAAAAUUGACGAACAUAUCUCCAAUUACAGUAAAACCUCUCUACAGUCAUAACAUUAUAACAAAAUUAAUUUUAUUACUAUGUUGAGGUAAUAUAGGUUUAGUUACAAAAUUAUUGUUUUAAUAUGGUUAGUGUCAAGUGAUAUAAAGGUUAAGUAUGCAGUACAUUAAUAAUUAAAUAAUGAAGUGUCAAAUCUAAUGUAUAUAUAUUAAUGAUAUAGAUAGACAUAGUUUUAAAAAACUAAUUAAUGUAUAUUUAUGUAGUGUUAUGAAUAUGGAAAGUCAAGCCUACACUUUACAUUAUCCUUAAUUUUUUCUCUCAGUUAAAUUCUACAAAUAUUGUACAAUGGUUGGGCAAGAACUCUAAAUUAAGAAUAAAUUAUUGUCACAAAUAAUUUUAGAAAAUAUUUUAUUUCGUCUUAAACCUUUAAUAUAAAUAAACAUAUAUAUAUAUAUAUAUAUAUAUAUAUAUAUAUAUAUGUGUGUGUGUGUGUGUGUGUGUGUGUGUGUGUGUGUGUGUGUGUGUGUGUGUGUGCAUAUUUUGCAACGUAUAGAUAAUUGUUAGUAUAUGGAGACAAGUCUUUUAAGGUAGGACCUAGGAAAAUUUAUAACUUACUACACUGUGGAGUUUUUAUUCCUUUUUAUAAUUGGCUCAUAUUGAUACAUUCUUACACAAAAUAUUACCAUUGACAUAUUUUACUACAAUUAGUUUAGAACAUUUGUUAGGAAAAAAAAGAAAAGAAAAGAAAACAUCCCUUGGAUGUAGCUCUCCUGACUAUUUAAAUCUUUUAAGGAAAAAAAGAAAAAAGAAAAACUGGCACAUUCAAAUCUUGAAGCAAUUACAUUAAAAUCUCUCCAUAAUGAUAGGAAUAAUCUCCAUUUAGUAAUAAAAAAUUUUGUUCGCAAUUUAGGCAGAGUUAUAAAUAAGAAUAAAAUCCUCAUUGUAAUAAGUUAUAUUUAUUAUGGAUCCCAUCCUAAGGAAUUCGUCUCUAUAUAGUAAUAAUUAUUUGCAUAUUAUAAAUAUAUAUGUUGCAUUAGAUUAAAUGAACUUGUCUCCACAUACUACUUAGACAACGAGAGAAAAUUAUUAAAGAGAACACAAAUAUUUAGAUAUUUUUAAGAUUACUUUGCAUAUUUAUAACAAUAAUACAUUGAUAUAUGUAUUAGUUUUUUGAUAUAUUAGAUUUAACAUGCUCUAUUAAUAAAUUAUUAAUACGAUGCAUAUUCAUCUCUAUAUCCUUGCAAUAAAAGUAACUAAGUUAUAACAAUAAUUAUUAAUAAAUUAUUAAUACGUUGCGUACUUCAUCUCUAUAUCCUUACAAUAAAAAUAACUAAGUUAUAAUGAUAAUUUUUGUAACUACAUACUUAUUAGGUUUUAACUACUUCAUAAUAAUAAAUUAGUUUCGUCCUAAUAUUAUAAUUAUGUAGAGUUGUAGUGUAUAGACACACCCAAUUUAAAUAGUAUAUCAAAUAAAAUUGUCCCCACGAAAAAGAAAAAAGGGGUAAAGGAUUCUCAUUUCUUCAAACAUUAGGAUCACGUUUGUACAAGUGCGAUGCCUUUCUUUUGAAGGCAACGUCAGUGGGUACCCAAUAGGACGUGUGUAAAUCUUUCCAAAAUUUCUCUGGUAUAACGGACAGAGAUCAUUACUUUUCUCUUCCAUAUACCACAGCAGCUUCAGUUAAUCAGACUCAAUCAAUUUUCUUGGUUUCUUCGCUUAUCAAAAUUCCAAAAUAUGGGUAGCAUAUUUCAAAUCACAUGCGAUGGUGCUUUUUUCAAUCGUUGCUUGGAUUGCUUUCUUGGAAAAGUAGCAAACACAAGUAAGCUCCAAGAUAACCUUGUUGCCUUGGAGACUGAAUUGGGAAAACUAAUCGCAGCAAAGAACGAUGUGAUGAUGAGGGUUGUCAAUGCUGAACGGCAACACCUGAGAACGCUGGACCAAGUGCAAGUGUGGCUUUCGAGGGUGGAAGCUGUUGAAACUGAAGCUGAUGAAUUGAAAAGACACGGCUCUCAAGAAAUUGACAAAUUAUGUGUUGGAGGCUACUGUUCCAAGAACUGCGCGUCAAGCUACAAGUUCGGGAAACAAGUGGCUAAAAAGCUACGGGAUGUGCAGACUUUAAUCGACGAAGGAGUUUUUGCGGCGGUGGCUACCGAGGUGGUGCCUGAGAGAGCUCCAGAACCUGUAGCAGAUGAAAGACCCACUGAGCCAACAAUAGUAGGCUUGCAAUCACAACUUGAACAAGUUUGGAGAUGUCUUGUAGAAGAAUCAGUGGGAAUCAUUGGCCUAUAUGGUAUGGGCGGUGUUGGUAAAACUACACUAUUGACCCAUAUCAACAAUAAAUUUCUUGAGAGUCCAACCAGUUUUGAUUGUGUGAUUUGGGCCGUAGUUUCAAAGGACUUGCGACUCGAAAAAAUUCAAGAAGAUAUUGGGAAAAAGAUCGGUUUGGUUGAUGAUUCAUGGAAGAGUAAAAGUGUAGAGGAGAAAGCUCUCGACAUCUUCCGGAGUUUAAGAGAGAAGAGAAUUGUAUUGCUGUUAGAUGAUAUAUGGGAGCGGGUUGAUUUAACAAAAGUGGGCAUUCCACUUUCCGGACCAAAAAAUACUACAUCAAAAGUCGUAUUCACAACCCGUUUCGUCGAUGUUUGUGGUAGCAUGGAAGCUGACAAGAAGUUCCAGGUGGCAUGCUUAUCAGAAGAGCAUGCUUGGGAACUGUUUCGAAAAAAAGUUGGGGAAGAAACUCUUGAGAGUGAUCAUGAUAUCGUUGAGCUAGCCCAAACUGUGGCCAAAGAGUGUGGUGGUUUGCCACUCGCACUUAUUACUAUUGGUCGAGCUAUGGCCUUCAAAAAGACAGCCGAGGAGUGGAGUCAUGCAAUUGAUGUGCUAAGAACAUCAGCUUCUGAGUUUGCAGGUUUGGGAGAAAAGGUUUAUCGUCUUUUAAAGUUUAGCUAUGAUAGUUUGCAGAAUGAGACGAUUAGAUCUUGUUUCUUAUAUUGUUGUUUAUAUCCCGAGGAUUAUAGCAUUCUUAAAUGGGACUUGAUUGAUUGUUGGAUUGGUGAGGGAUUCUUAGAGGAAUCUGACAGGUUCAGUGCAGAAAACCAAGGAUACUACAUUGUGGGCACUCUUGUUCAUGCAUGUUUAUUGGAAGAGUUAGAAGAUGAUAAAGUAAAAAUGCAUGACGUUGUUCGUGAUAUGGCUCGAUGGAUAGCUUGUGAAAUUGAGAAGGAGAAGAGAAAAUUUUUGGUUUGUGCAGGUGCUGGAGUAGGAGCGGUGUCAGAUGUUGAAGGAUGGGAAAAUGUGGGAAGAUUGUCAUUGAUGCAAAACCAAAUUGAAAUUCUGUCAGAGGUUCCCACAUGCCCUCAUCUCCUCACUUUAUUUCUUGACUUUAAUUAUAAAUUGGAGAUGAUCACCGAUGGCUUCUUCCAAUGUAUGCCUUCUCUCAAAGUUUUGAAGAUGUCAAACUGUGGGCAUGUCAAAGUUUUGAAAUUACCUUUUGGGAUGUCAAAGCUGGGUUCACUACAACUUCUUGAUAUUUCACAUACCGGCAUAAGAGAGUUACCAGAAGAGUUAAAGUUGUUGGUAAAUCUGAAAUGUUUGAAUUUGAGGUGGACACAUAUGUUAAAUAAAAUUCCACGGCAGCUAAUAUCAAAUUCUUCAUGGUUACGUGUGUUGAGAAUGUUCGCUAUUGGCUUUGAAAAUUCUAAAGAACCAUCAGAAGACAGCGUUUUAAUUGGUGGGGGUGAAGUUUUAGUACAUGAAUUGCUCGGUUUGAAAUAUUUAGAGGUAUUGGAGUUGACCUUGCGAAGUUAUGAUGCUCUCCAAUUUUUUUUGAGCUCAAAUAAGUUAAAAAGUUGUAUUCGAUCUCUUUUCCUCAAUAAGCUGGGAGAUACAAAGUCGAUUCAUGCUACGGCUUUCGCAGAUCUAAAGCAUCUCAAUGAACUAUGCAUUCGUUCGGCAGUGGAGUUGGAAGAAUUGAAGGUUGAUUAUACAGAGAUUGCGCCAAAAAGGUCGGAACCUUUUGUUUUCCGCAGCCUUCACCGUGUUACUAUGGAGCGGUGCCAUAAAUUGAAAGAUUUGACAUUCCUCGUUUUUGCUCCAAGCCUCAAGUCUCUUUCGCUAUACGGUUGCAAUGCUAUAGAAGAAAUAAUCAGCGUUGGAAAAUUUGCUGAGACUCCUGAGGUGAUGGGACAUAUAAGCCCUUUUGGAAAUCUCCAAACGCUUUAUUUAACUGAUUUGCCAGAGUUGAAAAGCAUCUACUGGAAGCCAUUGCCUUUCACUCAUCUCAAAGAAAUGACGGUACAUGGGUGUAAUCAGCUUAAAAAGCUUCCAUUCGAUUCCAACAGUGCAACAGAGCGUAAAUUUGUUAUUCGUGGAUACACACUCUGGUGGAACCGUCUUCAAUGGGAGGAUGAAGCCACUCAAAUUGCUUUUCGUUCCUGUUUCCAAUCUCAUGAAAUAUAAAUUCCUGAGCGGUGGUUGCAAAAUUUGAUUUCUAGUGAGUGCUUUUUUCUUAAACUCUUACAUAUAUUCUCGUCGUUUGCUUCGUGCAACGGACUAGGUUUUUAUUUCAGAUUCGUUUUUUGUCUCCUGCAAAUCACAAUUAAAUGUUGAAUUAUAUGGAGUCAAUGCUUUAUAAAAUUUUCAAGGCACUGCCAUUUCCUUUUUCUUUUUCUUUUUUUUUUUGGGUCGAAUUGAUGCUCUGGCUUUUUACUUUUUGUUGUCACAUUUUGCUCUGUUUUUUCAAGUUGAUGCUUGAAUAGUUGAAUUCAAUUGAUGCUCACAUAAAUUUGUUUAGUUGCCGCAAAAGGAUAUAAUUAGACUGAAGUACACACUUCUAGAAUGAAUACAAAAUGUUAAGUAUACUAGCCCUCUUUACAGAAAAUCAAAUGAAAAUCAAUUUUUUGGGGCUUUGAUUUUCUAUGGUCUAUUAUAUACUCUUUUUAAUAUCUUCUGUUCUAACUAUAACCAAAUCCUUUGUUCAAGGAUUUUUAUUUGGGGUAUUGAUAACUGUCCACCAAAAGAGUGAACACUUGGAUGCUGCUCAAGGAUCUCUAAUCAAUAGCUGGAAGCAACUGAGAAGGCGGUCGCUACUGUUUACAAAGCGAUGCAGUAUUUGCCAUUCAUCUUAAUAAUUAUGAAGCUUUGGUAAAAUUUUCAAACAAAGUUGAACACAUGUUGUUUUGAGAUUUGGUUCAUGAUUUUGGAUGAAUAUCGUUGUUCCGUUUGAGUUGGAUGUGAAUUCAAAAUCUAUAUAUUCUUUGGUUUUCAAUUCUGAACUCAAUUUCUUUUUCUCAAGCAUGUUAUGCAGAAAUGAUUUUUUACUAAAUCAUUUUUGAUGAAUUGUUUAAAUUAAACAAUUGGAAUAAGAAUUGAAAAGGUUUAUCAUAAGCAUGCUAAUAUGAUAAGUUGUUUUAUGAACGAUUAAUUAAUUAAUCAAUUAAUAUUAAAUUAUCUAUUAGUCAAUUAGAUAUGCGUUACAUGUCAUGUUUAAAAAUUAUUUAUUUAUAUUUCAAACAAAUUUGACUGGAUGUUGUGUAGGUAAUACUACAUAAUUUCAAAACAAAAAAAGUAAUAAAAACACGUUAAAUUUUGUUUUUAUGAAGAAAAAUUUAAAAUUUUAUUAAAUAGGUGAAAAUAAUAAAUGGAUUCGUGUAUGGUUUGAGAUUCUUGACAUAAUUAUGAAAUAAGCCGGAUUCGACUUAGUUCAAUUUUGACGCGAUAAGAAGACGACACCACACAAACACACGAUAAGAACCGUUACCUGAGAAGAUUGCCAUCAGGAAUUUUGAAAUUGAUUUCACUACAAUACCUUAAUCUUUCAGAUACUACCAUCACUGAGCUGCCAGAAGAGCUAAAAGCCUUGGUAAAUCUUAAGUGUUUGAACUGUACACAAAUUAUCUCUCUACAAUUCAAAAACAACUAAUUUGUUACUUUUUCAAUGCUACAUGUUCUGCGAAUAUUGAGUUGUGGUUAUCUUGUUGAAAUAUCAGACAAUAGAGUUCUAUUUGGUGGUAGUGAAUUGUUGGUUGGGGAGUUGCCUAGUUUAAAACGUUUAAAUGUAUUAAGCAUCACCUUACAAGGUUUUUCUGCUGUCCAAAAACUUAUGAGCUCUCAAAAGUUUCAAAGCUGUACAAAAUGUUUGGAGCUUAUAGACUGUGAUGAUUCAAAGUCUUUUGCCUUGGCAGAGUUGAAGCAUCUCGAAAAACUAGUUUUUUGAAUUGUGGAAGAGUUUAAGUUCUGCUUUGUUGAAGUUGGAAAAGCUCAAGAAUGUUUUCGUUUGAACAGUUUUCACCGAGUUAAUAUAAAGGCUUGUCAUAAAUUGAGGGACGUGACAUGGCUUGUAUUUGCUCCAAAUCUUACAGUUAUUCAAAUAGAAAAAUGUAUGCAGAUGGAAGUAAUAGUCAGUGCAAGGAAAUUGGGUGAAGUUCCAGAGAUGAUGGCAGAUCUAAACCCUUUUGCAAAUAUCUUUGCCAGCGAGUUCUACCAAAAUUAAAAAGCGUCUAUUGGAAUGAGUCACCCUUUCCACAUGUCAGGGAAAUUAUUGUAUCUGAAUGCCCAAUUCUCAAGAAGCUUUCACUCGGUUUUAACAAUGCAAAGGAAUCUAAAAUUGUCAUUAGGGGAGAGGAACACUGGUGGAGUGAGCUGCAAAGGGAGGAUGAAGCGACCGUUAAUGCUUUUCUUCCUUGUUUCGGUUCCAUUUGAUAGGCAUCAACAUGGAUUUAUAUUUUGCGGUGGACAACUUGUGGUAAGUGCUUUUCCAUUUAUUACAUGUUUAUAUCUAACUUUUGUUUUCCUUUAUGGUUAAAUUUUACUGUAUAUAUGUUGUUAUACGGUGACAUUCUCGCAUCAAUUAUUAGCUUUUUAAUUCUCUUCUGGCAUUAAUUGCCCUUCUGAUCAUGUAGGAUAUGCCGAUGUCAAAGAGUAGUAAAUUGGGAUACAAAUGUAAGAAUUAGCCAGAUGACAUGUUGUUUUGAAGCUCUCUCGAAGGACUAGUUAUGUCAUUCAAAGCAUCCAAUUUCGCUACUUUUUUUUUCAUUUGUUGCUUUUUAUAUUUCUAGAUAGCUUGAUAUUCGGCCAAGACAUCGAUAGGAGGGCACAUUGUGCAUGCACACUAGUGGAUGAUUUGGGCAUGCCGAAUCCAAUUAGCGUGGAUGACCCUUUAUAAGCAUCAGGCUUCUCUCAUACCAGAGCAAUGUAGAAUAUGUUUAUAAACUGUGGAUUACCCUUUAUAAGUUUAGACUUCUUCUAUACUCGAGCGAUGUGGAAUACCUGUAUAAGCAUUAAGCUUCUCUCAUACACUUUAUGUUAAAAAUAAUAAUAAUAAUAAUAAAAUAAAUCCAUUUUAAAAUAGGCUCUUUUUUUCUUUUUUUAUAUAAACAAAAUGCAUUCUUCAAAUCAAUAGUGGGUGGAAGAAGUGAGUAGAGAAGGACUAGGCCCCUUCAUUCCGCCUAAAACCUCACCGAAACCUCUCUUGUGAACUUCUCAGAUUCUCUCUCAAUAUUUCUUAUGAUCUCGUUUUUGAUAGAAUCACUUCUAUUGCAUGCUGCAUUUUGUGCGUCGUUUUUGGGUAAUAUCUUAUCUGGAAUGCUGUUAUGAUCAAUAGAACAAGUAAUCAAUUUUUGGUUUGACGGAAGUCGAUUUAUUUAUUUACUAUUGUUUUUUAUUUGAAAUUUUGACAGUUGUGUUUCAUUCAUUUCUUUCCUUCUUUUUUUAUUUUAUAUUUAUUAUGUAUAAUUGUGUUUCAUUUGAUAUUGAUCAUACUGUAGAUAACUAUGUGAUUGUAGCUGGGGAUUUUAAGUUUUGUGAAUUCAAGAAACUGUCAAAAUGCUAGUGAAAUUGGGACCUUUAUUCAUAAGCUUGUGGUUUUCAAAAGUAGCCGGGUUCAACUGAUGAAGUUCCUUUUUGGGAUUCUUUUUUUUCUAGGCUGCAAUUCGGAUAUGUACCUGAUAGACAAUCUUUUGUGAGUUUAGCAUAUCUUCUCCGAUUUUGUCUUUUAUUCCCCAACUUUACAGCUACACACCAUGAAUGCUGGGUGAUUGUACAGAAAAUUUGUGUUAGAACAAAAGCAUUGUGAAGGAGUUUCUGUGCUAUAAGUUAUUGGCUUCAGCUUUAUUGGCAUUAAUUGGGUAGAUUAUGUGUUACAGUGAUUCAAUUUGUGAUCCACACUUUAAUUUUCUCUUUUCCCCAAUUAUUUAUGUCAAAUUCAAAUCCAGAAGCAUGCGCUGAUUUUUUUUUUUUUUUGUGAUAAUCUGUGAAGUUUAUUUGGAAAGGACGUAUCUGGGUUUAAUGGAUUAAAUUAUGACAUUGAGGGAAAGGCACUAAAGGUUUUGCUUGACACAUUUGGUCUGUGUUUACUCUGCAAUAAAUAGCUUCGCUUAUCAGAAAUCCCUAUUUGGCUGGUGAAUUUCUCUGUGACAGACAGGCAAACACCUAAACCGCUUCUAUCCAUUUUUCUGCUGGUGAGGUAAGGGGUAAAAAGUCUUCAAAAUCAUCAAAUAGUAACAUCUCUGAGAAUUGGUUUUAGAAAAAUGGAAAAUCUAGACCUACUAGGACAAAAUGGCGUCCGGUAUCAGGAGGUACCGUUUCAAGUUUUCUUGGUAAAGAAUAUAUUAAACCUGCGCAACCAGCUAAUGGCACUUUUCUGGCAUCAAAGCCAUUGAAGUUGGAUCUAAAGGAGUUUUCCCAUGCCUGCAUUGUGCAGAGAAGAAACUAAACAAAAACAAUCAAAGAAUGACCAUUUGCAGAAGGAUACGGAAGAUUUUCUAUUUAAAUUGUUAGGAGAAGGGUCCCAGCUGAACAGGGAUGUGAUUCAGGAGGUUCUCGGUAAUGUCUUAAAUAUACUGAUGCCAAUUUAAUACAUAUUGUCCUUUUCAAUGUUCUUUCUUUCUUUCUUUUUUUUUUCCUUCUUCUUCUUUUUCUUUUCGUGUGCAUGUGAUCACUGAUUUGGUAUUAUGCUUAAGUUGCAGAUAGCUGUGGAUUUGAUAUGCAAAAGGUAAGGACUAUAUCUUCCUGAUGUAGGCCUCUGCUUUUUCCCCUUCUAUGUAAUUUAGUAAUUCACAUCUUCCUUUGUGAUUGUUAUAUCAUAUCGAAGUCAAGUCUUAAAUACUGCUGUCAUAUGUGAAGGUUCAACUUGCAUUUUGAUUAAGAUCCAUUUGCUGCUGCUUCCAAAAGUGAGAAUGAGAUACUUUGGUUAAUUUCAGUGGUUGAACCCAAUAGAGAACUUUAUUUAGAUCUUCAUGGUUCAAAGGCCUGAAAAAACUUGCCCGUAAUUGUAAAAUGACAUUCUGUGCUUUUUAUGCAAUAGGGAACAGGGAAGUAGAGCUUUGGAAAAGCCUGGAUUGAUAACUAUGGAGAGACUUAUUAUUUAAGUGAUGAAAAAUUCCCAUCGCCCGCAGUCAAGAAAAUUUCAGAUAGUUAAAGACUCCAUUUUGCUUCAGCCAAAAAUGUUUGUUUCAAUUAAAGACUUGAACCAUUUUCAUUGAACCUGAUUGUGAUCCUUUACGUUAUGCAUGUUCCUCUCAAUCAAGAAAAGUUGAGGUCAUGAUUCUAUAUUUCUAUAUUGUAACUUGAAAUAAUAAUUGGUCUACUUGUUUCUGUAUCUUGAUAAUAUGAAUUUUCCUUCUCAAGUUAAUUUGUUCAAUAAAGUAAUUCUUCAAAGAAAAUAUGCCCAUUCUAUAAUCAUUUUCUUAGCUCAGAUGUUUUUUCUUCACUCUUCAGAGCAUGUCAAAACUAAUUGAUCGCUUGGCAGAUACUUUGGGUAAGAAGACAAAAUUUCUUGGUAAAUCCUCGGAAAAGGUAUGCAUAAUUCCCGAGUAUUAAAUAACCAAUAGUCAUAAUUUUUGUACAUGACUCUUUUUUCUCUUUUUUGUGGAGAUCAUUAAAAUUGGUUGAUGAUCCAUUUUGUAACAUCAUAGAGGGAUCAUCAAUUCCUUCUCUUUUCUGUGGCUAGGCAACACUUUCAGGCCAAAGUAAGAAAAUCUAUUUUAGGUAAUGUGAAAACCAACGGUAGGAUGUAAUAGUUUAUUAUGCACUGACAAUAACUUUUUGUAUGGUUGGCAGUUUAAUGAAUACAAGAGGAACUUUGUUGACAAAUUCAUCCAAGAUAGAUGCUAAAAUUAUUUAUGCAUGCCAGUUGCCUUAACUAAUUUUUCUUAACACUUGUAUUGAACAGGAAAAUGAAUAAGCAAUCUGUAUAUUGUGCCAUUGUGGAGUAUUUGGAUAUUCUGAUUUAAAUAACAAGGAGAAUACUUGCCUCAUCUUUAAAUGAGGAGUGGGGGAUUGGAAGUGUCUUCAUGUAAAUGUUCAUUUAUUUGUAUUUUGAACUAUUAUGAGAAUCUUAUAUGCCAAAUCAGUAAUACAAAUCUUCAGAUGAUUUUUGCUGUUGAUCAUGGGUUUGUGUCUGCACACAACCAUUGUAUAUCACUUUAUUCUGAUGUGCAGGUAUGUGUAGCUUAGAAGAAAUGGAAUAAUAAUCAUCUAUUAUUGCUUGGUUCAUGAUUAUUAAACGAUUAUGGCUUUAAAAAGUCUACAAAUUCCUUCUGUUCAUAUAUGAAUGUGCCAAGUUUGCUAUAUCUUAGAUUAUCUUCUUCCAAGAUAACAAGUUCAUAUUCUUUUUAAUCUUUUUCCCUCACAGUUGACUUUUAGGUGUUAAGAUUUGUUAUUAGUCCCCUGUUAUUAUGAUUUCAUAAACAGUGUACGGAUAUGUGCUCUAACUUUGGAGGACCUCCACAUGAAAGAAAAUUGCAACAAUUGAAUUCUUCCGGAGGGUAUGGUCUUUAAUUUAUUUUCUCAACUUCUCGUAAGAUUAAUAUAUUUCAUUCAGUAGGCACAGCAUGGGGGGAAGGGUUUUUAUUGAAAGAAUUCUGAUAUUUCUUAGACUUUGUUUUGGAAGGGGGGUGGAGGGAUUUCUCAUCCAUGUAUGGUUACUUGAUUAGCUUUUGACUGUAUUUCCUCAGUCAUGUAAAGGAAGAUCCAAAUACCAACGAAGGAAUAUUGCCUAGACACCCGAAAGACAGAAAUGAGCUACAGAAGCAAGUUUUACUACUUUAUUUAGUGCUCCUGAGAAAUCUGAUGGAGACCGAAUGGAGGUCCAAAGCAUUGGAAAAGGUAGUGAGUGAACCGCCGGAGGAGUUGGCACCAGAAUGCAAGGCUAAUGUGGUGCACUUGCAGCAAGAUAACCAAACCGGUAUGUGCUCUUAUAUUAACUAGACUGACUGGAUUUGUGAGUGUGUGCAUUUUUUUGUGUAUACUCUUGUAUUUAUGCAUAUUAAUGUGUGUAGGAAUUUCUGCCACUUACUGGAGAACUAGUGGAAAGCUUUAUAUCGAUAUAUCUGCAAUAACUAAUUGGAAACUAUGAUAUUAAUAUUUUCUCUCACCUGAGGAACUGUGUAACAGAUAUACUUUGUGGCUCUGGAGUACUAGAAAUUCUGCAAUAACUAAUGGAAACUAUGAUAUGAAUAUUUUAUCUCAACUGGAGAACUUUGUAACUUGUAGCUCUGGAAUGUCUAAGGAAUUUUGUCUGCUUCAGUUAGAUCAAAUAUCUUUUAGUUGCAUACAUUAUAGAAAAAGAUAAAGUUCUCUGAAUCUGAAAGACUGAAACAUUUUGUAUAUUUUGUGAAAGGGAAAUAUCUGUAGAUACUAGUUCAUGCAUUGAGGUAACAUCAAUGUUAAAGAAAAACAGCAAUAAGUUAUUAUGUGGAACUAGGUUCACUUGCUUUAAAUGCUGGUCUGGUCAACCAUAUGAACCUGUAAGUUCUGCAGAAAUAUAUAUACGGGGAGAAACUAGCUAAAUUUUCCGUUCAUUGAUGGCUUUGGUCAUUUUUUUCCCCUUAUUUUUCAGCUGUCCUUCUCCUGAAGUAUGUUAACAACUGCAGAUAAUGAUGAAGAGGACAGCUUGCAGGCUCUUCUUAGAGCCAUGAUGGAAUAUAGGGGCACAAUGAAGGAACAUUGCAAAGCUGUAGGUUCUUUUUCUCCUGUCAUUUAUGUUUUCUCACACAUUUUUUAUAUGCUCCAAGCAUGCAAUUUUGUAUGUGUCAACUGCUUUCUAAGUUUUAAAAACCAUAAUGUAAGAAUACAGUUUCUUGUCAGGCUAUUGAUGCAUUUGCUCAGGGGGAUCAUGUUCGAGCAGGAAAACUUCUAGAACAGACAAGGUUUUCCAUCUACAGCCAUCUAUUGACAACAGAUAUAUUUUCAUUCAGCAAACACUGUUAGCAUUCAAGAUACUGGCAGAUUCACUUGAUUCUUAUUAGUAAUGUUUAGUAGCAAAGGAUAUAACCUGUAUUUCAAAGCCAAGUUGUGCUAUUGAUUAUGUUAGCUUUAUUGUUCACAUAAAGUGAUAUGGAGGAAAUAAUGUGAAGUGAUAUGGAGGAAAUAAUCAAUGUAGGAAAAUUAGGUGAAGAAAUGAUGUCAAAUCUUGAACCUCUUACAAAACUCCAAGCUCUUUACUUGAAUAAGCUACUAAAUUUGAACAGGGUCCACUGGAAGGCCUUGCCAUUCUCUGAUGCAUGCAGAAUUUUUGCAUUUAAAUGCCCAGAGCUUAAGAAGCUGCCACUGGAUCUUGAAAGGGCAGGCCAAGGUAAAAUUCUUAUCAAGGGAAAGGAAGAUUGGUGGAAACAACUUCAAUGGGAGGAUCAAGUAACUCAGAAUGCAUUGCUUCCAUUUUUAAAACAACCAGCAAGUGAUUGAAGGGGGCAUCAUCAACGUCAUCAACAUGGAUGGAGAGAUUCAGGAGCAGAUCAGCAGGAUUUAGUACGACCUGUGGUGGUUUCUUUUUUGUGACUUUUUUCCCUUUCAUUUUUUCACUUCCUGUCAUAUUAUCAUUUCUUUGUCUCUGUUUCUAUUGCUGGUGUUGCUGCAUGCUUGCUGUCCUUGACAAAGUUAGCUAGUUUUUUUUUUUUUAAUUAAAUUUUGUAUGUUCGGUCGGGACAGUCACAAAGUACUACUUGUUCUAUAUGGGGGUGAUGUGAAUCAACUUUUCAAUUAUAUAUUCUGUGGUAAUUGCGAAUUCAAUUUCAUUUGUCUCCAGCAAAUUAUGAAGAAAGUGCAGAGUUACAAUAUGGAGAAGUUCACUGGCAAAUACUUUGUAAAAGCUUCGGAGUGAAACAGGAAAUGCACUUGCAGCUAAGGACAAAUUGGUGGCCAGCUAAUGCCUUCAUUUUAUGUACAUUCAUCUUUUUAAUUAUUGAAGAUAAGUGGUUCGUUGCUUUUGUUAAGAUUAUAAGUUAGCGUCGGUGCAGGAUUUGCAGCAACAAAUCUUGACUAGCCACGUGUCAAAAGCACAAAUAAAUCAAGGGAAAGCACAUGACAUGGAUUAGGAUCUAAUAAAAUUUAAAUCCCAAGGAAAAUGACAACUGCAUUAUGAAGUUUCAAUAAGGGAUACUGACUAAUGAUAUUUUUUGGCUUUAUUAAUAAAAAAAGAAUAUUUUAUAACAAAUUAAAACAUAAUAUUAAGCUAAAUGUGAUAAUUAUAUACAUUUUAAAUAAUUUCAAUAAAAAAACAUUUUAAUGUUUUACGAUCUAUCAUACAUAUUUUAUUAAAUUAAUAUGAAUUUUUUUUUAUAAAUAGCAACAUAAUAUUACAACAAAUUUAUAAGGAUUUAAAUGUAAAAUAAUUUUAGUAUAAAUAAUACGUGGGAUAUAUUUUGUAAAUUAUAAAAUUAUUUAACACAAAGUUUUUUAAAAAAUAUUUAAAAUAAAUAAAAAUAAAUUAUUCACAUCUUGAUUUAAAUAUUUAAAAUAUUUUUAUAUAUUAGUCUACAAUUAUUUAUGUUAUAUUUUUAUUUAUUAGAAAUUUUGAAAGUCAAAUGUUUUCACCUCUAAGAGAAAGACACAUAUGCUUUAUAGCUUUAAAAUCGGUCUGUUUUAUAUCUGGAAACAAAUAUAUCAUUAUUGGUAAGGAUUAAAAAAAGGGAUAAAGAAUAUUAAUGAUUAAUGAAAUCUCUAUGGAAAUUGAAUUUAGUAGGAAAAAAUUGAGCUAAAUGAUUUAGACAUUUAGUGGUAUAGUAAUAUUUUAUAUAUAGAAAUGUAAAAGCUGCACCCGAGGUUAAGGGAAAUGUUCAAAACUCUUUUUUACUCAUAAUACCCUUUGUCCUAACUAACUUACAAAUUCGACUCUAAUAUUUUAUAAUAAAUAAAAAUGUAAUCCUAAAAUAAAUAAAAUAAGAUAUAUUUUAAAAUAAUCUCAAUAUUUAAAAUAUACUUUAAUAUUUUAUAGUCUAUCAGACAUAUUUAAUUAUAUUAAAGUAAAUUUUGUAAUAAAUACAAACAUACUAUUAAAAUAGAUAUAUAAAAAAUUUAAAGUAUUUUGGAUAUUAUAUAAAAGAACUUUAAUAUUGUUAAUACGUGAGAUAUAUUUUAUUAAUUAAAAAUUCUAUUUAACCCAAAGAUUUAUUUAAGAUAAAUUAACAAUCAUAUUUGUGAAAUUAUUUCAAAUAUUAAAAAAUAUUUUAAUAUUACUAACUAUUAGAUAGACUAAACUAUUUAUAUUAUUUUCUAUUUAUUAUAAAAUUUCAAAAUUAAUCUUUUUAACUACUAUUCAAAAGAUAUUAUGAUAAAAAUAAUUUUUUUGUGUUUUUAUUAAAAAUUUGGAAUUUGCAUAACUCUUUUUUUAAAUAUUGGGGUAUAGCUGUCUUUUCCCUUUUAUAUAUACAAACCACAGUGGUGAAAAAGCUUGAUUUAAUGUUAUUUAUUUAAACAACACCGAUAUUCACACCACAUUGAGCACCAUAGUUUUUUUUUUUUUUUUGAAAAGAAAGUACACCUUUCAUUGAAUUAAGAGAAAAGAAACAAAACAUCCUCUGGAAAUUCAUCCAGCCAAAUACAAGGGUCUGACUUUUUGAAAGCCAACUUUGCCAAAUCAUGCGCUAAAAAGUUACACAUCCUAAGGACGUGCUGAGCUUUAAAAUUCUGAAAGAUUUUCUUAGCUUCUAUAAUAUCAAAAAUCACCCAAAAGGUGUCUGUCAAAGUGCUUCUCUUGUUAUUGAUUAGCUCUAUCACCCCUUUAGAAUCAGACUCUAAGAUAACUGAAGUUGCCCCUGCCUUGGCAGCUGCCUGCAUUCCCCACAAAACAGCUUUUGCCUCACUCAACUCCACAUCUCCUGAGCUCUUAAAAGUGCUAACAGCUGCAGCAACUGUUUCUCCCUUAUGGUUUUUAACUACUGCUCCCAGCCCAGCAAGAUAAUUCACCCUAUCCAUAGCAUCAUCAACAUUUACCUUAAGCCAUCCUUCUUCGGGUGGACUCCAUUGGCUUUGCUGAACAUUGUUUUGUUCUGCUAAGAAAUCCUCUUCUGACAUUGAGCACCAUAGUUAAGUACAAAACGGUGCGUUUUGUUCACGCAUGUUAGUAAACACCCACGCAACUUACACACAUACGCGCGGCUCACAACACGCGCUCUCCUCGCCCUAAAUCUCACCUGAUUGAAGCCACAAAUUUGGCCACGUUCUCCCACAGCUCUCUCCGUUCUGACCGUUUACUCUUCCUCUAGCCCCAUCGAUUACAUCUCUCAUAGCACCUCAUUCAACCGACGUAAUUGCCAGAAAACAACCUACCUGGUAAUAAAAGUCGAUUCUCUUACAAUUUUGGCCCAAAAAAAAAAAUUGCACAACUGAAAAAUCAAAAUGCCACUCUUUAAAACCAAAAAUCAAUUUUGGGCCCCCUUCAUCACCGCCUUCACUCUAGAUUUUUUCAAUCCACUUUGUCGUCAAAACCGUGGUGUUCUUAAACCAUUAUUAUAUUCACCAUCCCCUUAAUCACAUCCAACCAUCCCCAUUAUUCGUUUGUCAAACACGCUGUUCUCUUCCCAAAUUAAUUAAUUAAUUAAUGACAGACAGGAACAAAAGUACUUUAAAUCUCUGCCAAAUCGUAUUGUUAUUACUUCUUCCGAGUCGAGGCCACGUCGUUCUCGAUGGAAACCAUUGCUUUUUAUUACCACUCUUGAGGAGUUCGAAGCAUUCUCGACGGAGACCCGCGCAAGCUGUGGAAAGAGAGAGAGUCAACGGUGAAAAGAGAGCAUGGUGAGAUGUGUGAGCGACGGGGGGAGAGAGAGAGAGAAAGAAAGCCGACGGAGAGAGCACAUAGAGCUGAGAUGCGUGAGUUGGGUGAAGAUUUGGUGAGCGUUGUGUCAGUUGCCCGUGUGUUGUGUGAGCUCUGUGCCAUGUGAUAUGCGUGCUACUUUGAGAAUUUAUAGAUAGCACAAAACUCAAUCUAUAUCCAAUUCAUACCUAGAUAGAUGCGGAUUUGACUCAAUUUAUAUCCAAUUCGUCAUUUGCGAACUAAAAAUUUUUAAUUCUCUCAAAUUCACAAACUAACUAAAUAAAUAAAAAUUUAAUAUAAAAAUAACUGUACUACCGAUCAAAUUUAAAAUUAAAUAAUAUUUAAAUAAAUUAAUUGUUUAAAUAAAGUUAGAAAAUACAUUCAAAAUUUUAAAAUAUAACACAGUAAAAAGAAAAAAUCUCAUUUGUUUAGACCUAUGUAUGAAAAUUAAUUGUUUAGGAAUCUAUAUUUAUUUAUUUUUAUAUUAUUAUCGGAUAAGAUAUAAUAUGGUGUUAAUGUAACUAUAUUUUAACUUAUUUAUUUAUAAGACCAAUGCUAUAUGUACAAGUUUAAUUUUUUAAUUAAAUAAAUAUUUUUUUUUGCGGAAUUGUGGAUUUUUGCGGAUUUACAAAAGUAAAUCUAUAUCCAAUCCACCGACUAUGGAUUUUCAAAUUUUCAAAAUUUCAAAUUUUCAAAUUUUCAAAAUUUCAAAUUUUCAAAUUUUCAAUCCAAUCCAAUCCACCAAUUCACAAAUUCGGAUUUUUACGGAUUAGAUUUCUACAGAUUAAACGAAUUGAGCAGACCAUAUUUGAUUUUGAACAUUGCUAAUUUGUAUGUUAAGUAUAACAUAAUCAAUUAUUUGGAUAAUCCCUUGUGUUUUAUCUCUAAUUAGAGCAUCAAUCUUCACAAUAUCUACAAAGCUACAAUGGCUACAAAACAAACCUGCUUGCAAAUUGUCAAGGAUACUUAUCCUUUCUCUUGACAAGUCAUUUGGAAAAAUACUGUCCCUUGGCGGCUCCAUGACUUCUCUGCUCCUCCUUUUGGUCUUAAUGUACGGUUGCAUAAUGAUAGUUUAGGCCCUUUAGGGACUACUUUCCCUGGGGUUGUUAAGUCUUAGCUUGUGCUAGGCUCGUUUUUCUUACCAAAAAAAAAGGGAAUACUUCUCCUAUAAGAAAUAAUCUCUAUAUAUAGGGUGGUUGGAUUCACUUGUUUACAUAACAGAUCAAUUAGUUCUCUGUAAAUAGAGAGUUUCUAGUAUAAGAGAAACGGUAGAUCUAUUGAGAGAUUAUGUGUUAUUAAAAUUUUAGUUGCGAAGAAAAGUACUAGAGUGAUUGUAUUAAUUUUUUACAUAGUAGAUUUUUCUAUCGUCAUCUUUAUGGCUGUGAUUUUUCUUCCAUAUAGAAGUUUCUCACGUAAAUUUUUAUGUUGUGUGAUUAGUUUUAUUCUCUAUCUAUUUUUUGUUUAAUAUUUUAUUUGUAAGAUGCUGGAUGGGAUUAAAAUUUCUUAACAAAUAACGGAUUAAAAAUCAUGAAGAAAAAGCUCAAGAGAUCUUCAAGAUUUGAAGUGUGCAAAAGUUCAUAUUACUGCUAGAUGAUAUAUGGGAGCGGGUUGAUUUAGUAAAAAUGGGUGUCCCUCUUCCUAGAUCAGAAAACAGCACAUCCAAAGUGAUAUUUACAAACCCGUUCUGAGGAAGUUUGCGGCUUAAUGGAAGUUCGUAGGAGUUUUAAAGUGGCGUGCUUAUCAAAUAAAAAUGCUUGGGAAUUGUUUCUAUACAAAGUUGGGGAAGUGAAAGAAAACAGAGAUGUACUGUUUGGUUGAAUAGAAAAUUACAGAGAAAAUUCUCAAUACUUGUAUUUGAUAAGAUUCAAUUCUUAAGAGCUUUUACAAAUCAGUACAAGUAUUUAUAUUAUUCCUUACACGUGAGAAUUGCUAGUAACUCACUAACUAACUAACUUUCUUUGAGCUGGAUCACUAACACUUGACUAAUCACACUGAGCUGUUAUUCUUCACUAACAACCUUCUGCUGACGUGGCUUCACCAAGCUACUUGAAUAAUGAGCAGCCUUGACAGCCCCCCUCAAACUCAAGGGACAAGACAUGACGUUGAGUUUGGCCCUAAGAUAGUUAAAAUGGAUGAAUGAGAGUGGCUUGGUCAUGAUGUCAGCUACCUGCUCCUCACUUGGUAUAUAUUGAAUGUUUAGUUCUCCAGCAAGAACUUUGUUUCUAACAUAAUGAAUAUCAAUCUCAAUAUGCUUUGUUCUUGAGUGGAAAACUGGAUUGUGAGCUAACUCUGUUGCACUGAGAUUGUCACACCAAAUAACAGGUUUCUCUAUGCAUUGUAAUUUCAACUCAGAAAACAGUGAUUGCAGCCAGCUUAUCUCGGCACUUGCUGAGGCUAGGGACCUAUACUCACUCUCUGCACUGGACCUAGCAAUAACAGGCUGCUUCUUAGACGACCAAGAUAUCAGAUUAUGACCAAGAUAGAUGCAAUAGGCUCCAAUCGAUUUUCUGUCAUCCAGAUCCCCUGCCCAGUCUGCAUCUGUGAAUCCUGUUAGUUUCAGAUCACCAUCCUUAAUAAUUUUGAGUCCAUAGUUCUGUGUAGCCUUUAGAUAUCUGAGCACUCUUUUGCAAGCCAUAAGGUGCUGCAGUGUUGGUGCAGAAACGUAUUGACUCAGCUUGUGAACACUAAAGGCAAUUUCUGGUCUUGUUAAUACCAAAUAUUGCAUCCCACCAACAAUGCUUCUGUAAUGUGUUACAUCUUCAACAUAACAACCAAGAUUACCUUGAGCUUCCUUCUGUAGCUUCAUUCCUGUACUCAUAGGAGUAUCAAUAUCUUUGCAAUUUAUCAUCUCAACUCUUGACAGCAGAUCCCUUAUGUAUUUCCUUUGAGAUAAGAAAAUACAAUCUUUAUCAUACAGUACUUCAAUGCCUAAGAAAUAAGAGAGAACUCCAAGAUCCUUCAAAGCAAACUUUGUACUGAAUUCUGUAAUGAAUUUUUCCAGCUCAAAGCUAUUUGGUCCUGUUAUUAAAAUGUCAUCAACAUAUAUAAGAACUAGAAUCAUAGAUGACUUAUUUAUUUUCAAGAAUAAGGAGGUAUCUGAGCUGGAAUUUGUGAAUCCCCACUGCAACAAACAGCCUUUCAACUUAUCAUACCAAGCUCUUGGAGCUUGUUUAAGUCCAUAAAGAGACUUGUGAAGCUUGCAUACAAAGUCUGGUUUCUCAAAGCUGAUAAAUCCCUCUGGUUGAUCCAUGAACACUUCCUCUGUUAAGUCUCCAUUAAGAAAGGCAUUAUUCACAUCAACUUGCCUUAUCUUCCACUGAUUCAUCACAGCUAAACUCAAGACUACUCUUACAGUUGCUGGUUUUAUGACAGGACUGAAAGUUUCAAAAUAAUUCACUCCUAUAAUUUGUUGAAAUCCCUUUGCAACUAACCUAGCUUUGUAUUUAGCUACACUUCCAUCAGUGUUGUAUUUAACCCUAUACACUCAUUUGUUUCCAACAACUCUUUGAUCAUUUGUUUUUGGCACUAAGGACCAUGUACCACUCUGCAUCAAAGCUGCAUAUUCUUCUUUCAUGGCUGUAAACCAUUUUGGGUUUUGCAUAGCCUCAUAUACAGAAUCAGGUUAUUUGUGAACAAGGGUUGCUGUAUAAAGCUUUGGUUUGAAGAUACCAGUUUUGCUUCUGGUAGUCAUUGGAUGUGUAUUAGGUUGGACUGGAAAAGAUAUAUCAGGUGUAGGUUGAGCUAAUAAGGAUAUGUCAGGUGCAGGUUGUGGUGAAUUUUGAGGCUCUGUAGAUGGUUCAAUAAAUGUGGUAUGUGUUUGUGAAUAGGAAUGUUGAUUGUCAGUAUGAAAUGGAUUAUCUGAAUGUUGUGAACUGCUGCUGGUAGAAAUUGCAGAUAGAGGAUUGCAUGAGCUAUUUCCAUCUGAUACUGGUGUUGUAGAUAAUAUGGUCAGAUGAAACACUGGUUGGGGUGUAAGGGAUUGACUCGAAUAAGAUGAUGAUUCAUUAGAAUGAAAAACUGAGUCUGUAGAAUAAGGAAAUGUUGACUCAUAAAAAACAACAUGUCUGGCUAUGUACAUCUUGCCUGAUGAAUGCAAGCAUUUGUAACCUUUGUGAACUGGACUGUAGCCAAGGAAAAUGCAUUUGCUUGAGUGAUAAUCAAAUUUGUGUUUGUUGUAAUCCCUUAGAUAAGGAUAACAUGUGCAACCGAAACACUUGAGCAUGCUGUAAUCAGGUUUAAGUUUAAAAAUUGUCUCAUAUGGGGUAAGAAGUUUCAGAGCUGUUGAGGGUAAUCUGUUUAUAUGGUAAACAGCUGUAAGAAAAGCAUCCCACCAAAAUUUAAAUGGUAGCUUAGCUUGUGCUAAUAGGGUUAGUCCUAGCUCAACAAUGUGUCUAUGUUUUCUUUCUACCACCCCAUUUUGGUGAUGUGUAUAAGGACAAGAAUGUCUGAAAAUGAUUCCACAUUGGUUUAAGAAUUGAGUAAAUGAUCUGUAUUCUCCCCCCCAAUCAGAUUGCAGGUUUUUAAUGGGGCUGUCAAAUUGGUUUUCAACCUGCAAUUUGAAUAGUUUGAAUACAUCUAAUGCCUCAGAUUUCAACUUAAGAGGAUAAAUCCAAGUGUAUCGGCUAAAAUCAUCAACAAAACUUAUGUAAUAGACAUAGCUAUCUCUAGAAGGUGUAGGUGAGGGUCCCCAUAGGUCUGUAUGUAUAAGCUCAAGGGGUUUUGUUGUUUUGGUUUCUGUGCUGGGAAAAUGCAGCCUAUGGGAUUUGCCCAUUUGACAUGCUUCACAGAUAUGCUCAAGUGUUUGUUUUAUGUUAUUUCUUGAGAGAUUAACUGAAGUAAUUCCUUUUAGCAAAUGCAUUAGAAUUUGAGAAUUAGGAUGGCCAAAACGUUUGUGAAGAAGAAGAAUUUUAUUAUUCAAUGCAUCACAAGAUGAAAUGUAGCUGGAAAAUUUAUUUAUUGAUGCAUUACAAACUGUGACACAACUGGAAUCAUUAUUCUGAGUGUUUUUAAGAACACUUGAAUCAAAAGAACAUGCAGAUAACAUUGACAAAGGUUGAGUGGAUGAAGGUUGACCCAUGUAAGAACAAGGAAGAGACUCAGAUGGUCUUAGAAGUAGCUUAUACAAUCCUUUCUCAGCAAUUCCUGUCAGAAGCACUUGCCUCUUCAGAGAAUCCUUCACAUAGCAAACAUUAUCAACAAAUUCAAUAGAGAUAUUGUUAUCAGCAGUUAAUUUUGAUAUGCUGAGCAGGUUCUUUGUGAUAUCAGGUACUAAUAACAUGUCAUUCAGUAAGAUAUGUGUUGGUUUAUAUGCAGCAUUUGAUCCUUUAUAAGUAAAACAUGGAUUACCAACAUGAGUUAUAGGCAAACCUUGGCCAUUGCCGAUGACAAGUUGAUUAGAUCCUCUGAAUUCCUCUCUGACAUUCAUGUUGGCCAUACUGUUAGUCAAGUGAUGUGUGGCACCAUUGUCAAGGUGCCAUCCUUCAUCAGCAGGCCCUUCAUAGUUGGUAAGAUAGGCUUCAGGAAUUACUGUGUCUGUUGAUGGAUAAGAGGAGAAGGAUAAAGGAUUGUAGCUUGAGUAGGGUGCAGCAUACUGUUCUUCAGUUGAAGGAGCAGCAUAGGUUAGAGAUGGAUCAAAGUUAGCUGUGUAUGCAGCCUUAGAUUCAAAAGAUCUGCCCCUUCCAAAAUGCCUAGGUAAUGGUUGAGGAUUGUCAUCAUAUCUAUGCCAGCAUUCAUCUGCUGCAUGUCCUGUUUUGUGGCAUAUCUGACAUAUGGUUGGUAAUUCAUCAGCAUGCAUGUUAGCUGAAGGAUGAAAGUUUGGCUUCAUAGGUGGCCUAAAAGGUUGCAUCAUCUGGCCCCUGCCAUAACCCCCAACAUUACCAACACCAGGUGAAAAACCUCUGGGAUGUGGAUUGUGAAACAUGCCUCUUCCAACAUUAAAUCCUCUAGUCAUAGGUCGACCAUAAUUUCCAUUUCCAACAACACCUCUUCUAAAAUUUCCUCUCAUAUAAGGAUGAUUCACAUUCAUUGUGCUAUAGUUUGCAUUAAACACAGUUUUGGCACUUUGAUUUUGUUCAAGUCUAGCUUCAUGAGUCAGUAAUAAUGCAUAAGCAUCAUCAUAGCUCAUCUUAUUAGCUGUGAUUAUGGAAGCUAGAUCUAGAUAACCUGAACCUAAGCCAUUCAAAACUCUCAUUAACAGAUCCUUUUCAGUGAUUACAUCACCAGCACAAGCAAGUUUGUUGGCGAGUAAUUUCAUUUUAGCACAAUAUUCCUCAACAUUCAUUGAAUCUUUUCUUAAGAUAUUCAUUUCAUAUCUGAGUUGCAUAAUCUUAGCCUCAGAUUGAACUCCAAACUGUUUUUCAAUAGAUCUCCACACAUCAAAUGAAGUGUCAUAGCUAAGAACAGAACUAAGAAUACCUUCACUUAUAGUUGAGAGCAGCCAGCCAAGGAGUAUUUGAUCUUGUGCUCUCCAGUUGCUGUAGGCUGGAUUUUCAAUGCUCUCACCAGAUCCUUCGAUCAUUGAAUCAACUAGAUACUGUUCUGGAAUAAUUUGCGGCUCUAGAAUGAAUCUUUCAAGGCGAUUUCCUCUGAUUGAAGUUACCACUUGUUUGCGCCAAAGCAAGAAAUUUGAUCGAUCAAGUUUCACAGUUGCAGCAAAAGUAAAUGAUGUUUGUGUAUGUUGAUUUGAGUUUAUGAUUGUUUGAUUUGAGAUUGUAUUGCUUGAGCUGGCCAUUUGUGGCUCUGAUACCAUGAAAGAAAACAGAGAUGUACUAUUUGGUUGAAUAGAAAAUUACAGAGAAAAUUCUCAAUACUUGUAUUUGAUAAGAUUCAAUUCUUAAGAGCUUUUACAAAUCAGUACAAGUAUUUAUAUUAUUCCUUACACGUGAGAAUUACUAGUAACUCACUAACUAACUAACUAACUUUCUUUGAGCUGGAUCACUAACACUUGACUAAUCACGCUGAGCUGUUAUUCUUCACUAACAACCUUCUGCUGACGUGGCUUCACCAAACUGCUUGAAUAAUGAGCAGCCUUGACAGGAAGAAACUUUGAACAAUCAUCCUGAUAUCCUUCAGAAAGCACAAUAGUUGUUAAGGAGUGUGGUGGUUUGCCACUUGCACAUUUUACCAUCGGUCGAUUUAUGGCAUGCAAGAAGACACAGCCGAAGAAUGGAGAUAUGCUAUUCAAGUGUUCAAUUCGUCCGCUUCCCGUUUCCAGGUCUGGAAGAAUGGAUAUAUACUCUUGUAAAAUUCAGUUAUGAUAGUUUACCCAAUGACACAAUUACACCUUGUCUGUUAUAUUGUAGUUUAUAUCCAGAAGAUUGUUGCAUUUCUAAAGAGAAUUUGGUAGAUUGUUAGAUCAGUGAAGGAUUUUUUAAUGAGAGUGAUUGGUUUGGAGAAAAAAUCAAGGAUACUUCAUUUUGGGCAUUCUUCUUCACGUUUUUUUUUGGAAAAGGGAGGAGAUUGUGAAAUGAAAAAUGCAUGCAUGACGUUAUUCGUGAUAUGGCUUUGUGGAUCGCAUGCGACUAUGAGAAGGAGAAGGAGAACUUUUUGGUUUACGCUGGUGUUGGUUUAACUAAGGUACCGGAUAUUAGAGAUUGGGAAAAGGUAAGGAGAUUGUCAUUGAUGAAAAAUAAAAUUGAGAAUCUAUCCGAGGCUCAUACAUGCCCUCAUCUCCUCACUUUCUUUCUUGACGAUAAUGAGUUUCGGAAGAUCCCCGGUGAUUUCUUCCAGUUUAUGCCUUCUCUCACUGUUUUAAACUUGUCAUGUAUUAAACUAAAGUCAGUUCCUUUAGGGACUUCAAGGUUGGUUCCACUACAACAACUCGAUCAUUCAUAUUCAAGCAUAAAAGAGUUGCAAGAAGAGUUAAAUGCCCUGAUUAAAGUUAAAUGCUUGAAUAUAGAUCAUGUAGAGGAGCUAAUUACAGUUCCACAACAACGGAUAUUUAAUUUUUAAGGUUAUAUGUGUUGAGAAUGUUCGAUACUAUUAGUUUAAAUUUUCAAGAAGCAUUAAAUAAAGACAGCAUUUUAUUUGGUGGGGAGGAAGUUUAAGCAGAGGAGUUGCUCGGUUUGGAAUAUUUGGAGGUAUUGAGCUUCACUUGAGAGGUGUUCGUGCUCUCCAAUUUAUUUUGAGCUCACAUAAGCUACGAAGUUGUACUCAAGCGCUGUUCCUCCAAUCCUUCAAUAAUUCGAUAUGGCUUGAUAUUUCACUUUUGGCAGAGUUAAAAGCACCACUGCAGAUUUAAGUAUUUUUGGCUGUAGAAAAUUGGAGGACUUGAAGAUGGAAUAUACAGGGGGAGCGAAAAACAAGCGGCAACCUUGUGUUUUCUAAGGCCUACAUACAGUUCACAUAGAGGUUUGUUCUAAAUUGAAGGACUUAACAUUCCUUGUUUCUGCUCCAAAUCUCAAGAACUUGGAAAUACAAAAUUGCCCUGCUGUGGAAGCAAUCAUCAGUGUGGGAGAAUUUGCGGAAGCUCUAGAGGUGGUGGAAAAUCUAAACCCAUUUGCAAAACUCCAGUAUCUUGGACUAGAAAAUCUGCCAAAUGUGGAGAGCAUCUAUUGCAAGCCUCUGCCCUUUCCAUGUUUGAAAAGAAAUGACUGUGGAUAGUUGCGGUUGUCUUAAAAAGCUUCCACUCUACUCCAACAGUGUAAAAGAGUGUACAAUUGUUAUUUCAUCAUUCGGAGAGUUAAUGGUGCAAUGAGAUUUGGCAGUUAACUCUCGUGGGAAGAGCUUGAAUGGGAAGACGAAGCCACUCGAAUUGCUUUUCAUUCAUGUUUCAAAUCUCUGAUUGGAUUGGAGAUUGCAUUUCGCCUCAGGUUCGUACUUUUCUUGAAUUUUUCUUGUUAACUUCAUUUGUUCAUUUAUCCAUUUUUUUUUAAAGGAAUCAGAAGGGUUAAUAAUUUUGGUUGUGUUAGGUCGACUUCUAAUCACGAGGCAGAAGGAGUUGAGAUGAAGUUUAAUUUUGGUGGAGAAAUUGUUUGAUUUAAAAAAUUUAAAUGAGUUGACCAUCAUUCUUUAGCAUAUUUGUAUGAACAGGAGUGUGUAAAUAUGCAAACUGUCCAGCUGUAUGUGUAUAGCGUAAUAAUUUUGAGGAGUUAAAACAUUGAAGAAUAUUGAUGUUUCCAUUGUCAAACCAAAUAUACUUAAUUACUUGAGGAUAAUGAUUACUGCUAAUACAUUUGCUAAUACAUUUGCAAAGAAAAAAACAUGCCUAUUGAAAAACUCAUCUUAUUAGCAACAGCAUUAUAAGUAGUAUCCAAUCAUAGUUUCAUGCAAGAUUUUGAGAUUUUUCAAAUGCUGAUUCCGGGAAUGGAGAUUAAUAGAUAAUGGAGACAGGUUGACUGCAAUGGCUAAUUGCAAGAGGGAAUUUUAGUCGUAAAAACAGACCAACUAGCAAAGCAAAUUCCAAAUCUUGGAAUGAAGUGGCAAAAAAACGAAACAAACAAAUGGCAAGAGGAAGUGACUAUACAAUAAUAACAUCGACUUGCAAUUCAACAUUUAUACAGUUUUACUCACCAAGAAAAGAGAAAAUUACAAUAGCAAUUUGGCUACUAGAAGAUGUUCAUUCAUGCUUAUGCCUGUCAUAUGGAUUUGAAACAAGGAGUAAAAGCAUUUAGAGUGGCUUCAUCCUUCCACUGCAGCUCAUUCCACCAGUGUUGCUCUCCCCUAAUAACAAGUUUGCGUUCCUUGGCGCUGUUGUAAUCGAGUGGAAGCUUCUUGAGGUUCGGGCAUCCAGAUACAAACAAUUCUAAGAGAUUUGGAAAGUGCACUUAAAUUCUUAUGAAUUGCUUAAGUAUGCAAGCAGCAGAGCAGAAAACAAACAACCUUUUCAUAUAUUAUAAUAACAUGAAUAAUCAGAUAUACACAUCCUUCACAUAUUUAUACUAAACGUGAAAAAUGGUAGCUUGCUCAAAGGGAAAACAGAAAUGAAUAAAACAAAAGAUUACAGCUGCACUAGCCAAUCAUUGGAAACAUUCUAGAAACUCCAGCUUGCAGUAUUCACGUGUAAAUAUUCUCCUGCAUAACAGUUUUGCCAGCUCAUUGAAUACACCUCAACUUCUUCAUCAGCUGGUUGCUGGAUAUGGCUGCUCAGGUGGCAUGCCAGCAUGGCCUUUGGGUCAAUUGUUGACUCAUCUUCAUAAUCUGAAUUCUCAACACCCUCUCUCAAACUUAAGGUCUUGUCGAAGACAUUAAGUUUGCUUCUAAAUUGACUGAACUUGUAAUAAGGCAAUGGCUUGGUUAAUAUGUCUGCAACUUGAUCUCUGCUGGCUACAAAACUGAUUUCCAGCUCUCCUUGAGUGACUUUGUCUCUAAUGAAAUGAAGGUCUAUCUCAAAAUGCUUUGUCUUUGAGUGAUACACUGGAUUUGUGGCUAUUGCUGCUGCACUUGUGCUAUCACUUAAGAUCAUUGGAACUCUUUGCAUCUUGAUUUCCAAUUCACCAAACAGAGAAUUUAUCCAAGUGAUUUCAGUAGUACACAAAGCUAUGGCCCUGUACUCGGACUCAGCUGUCGAUCUUGCUACCAUGCCUUGCUUUAUUGAGCUCCAAGCUACUAAAUUGUCUCCCAAAAACACACAAUAUCCACUUACUGAUCUUCUGUCAUCUGGAUCACUAGCCCAGUCAGCAUCAAUAUAGGCUAUCAAAUCUAGAUGUUCUGACUUCUGGAACUUUAAGCACAUGUUUGCAGUGCUCUUUAGGUACCUCAACACUCGUUUGCAAGCUGUCCAGUGAGAUUGUCUUGGGUCAGACAGGUAUUGGCUAAGCUUGUUCACAGAAUAUGCAAGCUCUGGUCUUGUUAGAACAGCAUAAUGUAGACUUCCUACAACACUCCUAUAAAAUGAAGGAUUGUCAAGUUUGGUGCCUUCACCCUUCUUUAGUUUCUCUGCUGUGCUGAAAGGUGACUCUAUUCCCUUGCAAUUCUCCAUCUCUGUUUUAGCUAAUAGGUCUUGAACAUAUUUAGCUUGAGAGAGCAAAAUGGAGUUCUGAUUUCUUAUAACAUGUAUCCCAAGGAAGUAGCUUAAAUUUCCAAGAUCUUUCCACUUAACUUUCCUAUCACUUCCUCAAUACCCUUGCUGUUAUUUCCAGUCACAAUUAUGUCAUCUACAUACACAAGCACAAUGAUUAUUUCAGCACUGCUUCUUUUGAAGAAUAGAGAAAUAUCACACUUGGAGUUGUUGAAUCCCCAAGAGCACAGAGCAUUCUUUAAUUUGUCAAACCAUGCUCUGGGUGCUUGUCUCAGUCCAUAAAGAGCUUUCUUGAGCUUGCAUAUGUGGUUUGGUCUUCUCCUAUCCUCAAAUCCCUCAGGUUGUGGCAUGUACACUGUCUCUGUCAAAUCUCCAUUCAGAAAUGCAUUAUUUAUGUCAACCUGCCUCAACAGCCAAUCAUUACUUACAGCCAAAGUUAAAAUGAUUCUGAUUGUUGCAGCUUUGACCACAGGGCUGAAAGUCUCAUUAAAGUCAAGUCCUGGUGUCUGCAGAAACCCCUUCAAGACAAGUCUAGCUUUGUAUCUAUUUAUGGUGCCAUCUGGAUUUUCCUUUACUUUGUACACCCAUUUGUUGCCAAUGAGUUUGUAGUUCUGGUCAUGUGGAAUUAAGGUCCAGGUUUGGUUUUUGACAAGAGCAUUAUAUUCAUCCUCCAUUGCUCUUCUCCAUUUAGGAUCUUUCAGUGCCACAGUGGAGUCAGGGGGUAAGGAAGUUUGAGAUUGAGUGGAUAUUUGAUAAACCUUUGGCUUGCAAAUCCCUGCUUUUGACCUUGUGAUCAUGGGAUGUAAGGAGGCUUGAGUGUUUGGUUAUGUUAUGAGAGGCAAGGUGCAAUUUUCUACUGAGGUGUUUGGUGAGAGUUCAACAGGUGAGUGGUUGUCUGAUAUAGAGUUGAAGCUCAAAUUCUAACAAGCUCCAUCUUAACUAAAACUUGGGAGCUGUUCUGAGUUUCCAGCAGUGGCCUGAGAUUAACUAUGAGCUGCAUUUUGCUGUGUUGACUCAGGGGGAACAGUAGUGGAGAAAGAUACAACUUGAAAUUUUUCUAGAACUGUGGGGGAAUCAUUUUGGUCAGUGAGCCUUUGCUUGCAGAAAUUUGAGUCAUUUUGAAAAGGGAAUGAAUGAUCAUUAAAUUGACACUGGCUGAAAUGUAGAUCCUCCCAGAAUGAUGCAUGCAAAUGUAACCUUUGUGACUGAUGCUAAUGCCUAGUAGUGUGCACUUGAAAGUGUGAAAAUCAAACUUAUGCUUGUUGUAGGGUCUUAAGUAUGGAUAGCAUUCACAACCGAAAACUUUAAUUUGGGAAUAAUCUGGUUUGGUGAGAUAUAACAGCUCAAAUGGAGUUUUAUUUUCAAGAAUAGGUGAGGUUAAUCUGUUUAUGAUGUAGGUGGCAUAGCUGAAAGCUUCUUGCCAAUAUCUCAAAGGCAUUUUUGCUUGGGCUAGUAAUGUUAGGCCAGUUUCCACAAUGUGUCUGUGCUUUCUCUCCACCUUUCCAUUUUGUUCAUGUAAAUAAGGGCAUGAGUGUCUUAAGGCUAUUCCUUCUUUCUUGAGAAAGGGUUCGAAAGUUUUAAACUCCCCACCCAUGUCUGUUUGUAAAGCCUUGAUUCUUAAAUUUAGCUGAUUUUCUACUUGGUUUUUAAACACAAUGAAUGUGUCAAGGGCCUGUGAUUUUGUUGUUAAGGGAAACAACCAUGUGUAUCUUGUCUUGUCAUCCACAAAUGAUAUGUAAUAUCUGUGUCCAUGGGUAGAUGGAAUAGGUGCUGGUCCCCAGAGAUCACUAUGUAUUUGUUCUAAGGCUGUGCUGGUCUUGGUUUCAAUGCUUUUAAAGUUUAGUUUUGAUUGCUUUCCAUACUGACAAGCAUUACAGAAUGAGGGAAAUAUAUUUUUAUUUAAGUUGAGCUGAUUACAAGAUAAUAGAGUAUUUUUCAGAACUGACUCAUUUGGAUGCCUCAGCCUAUGGUGCCAGAGAUCUAUUUCAUUUGUUCUAAGAUCCCUACUGCUUGUAUCAGCUCUACUGGACUCGACAACACUGGCACCAACACUGGCACCUAAAGACUCAUUACUACUGAAAUUGAAACAUGCCAUUGACAUUGGAUUGCUAAUGCAACUUAUUGACUUGGGUAUUGGAAAUGAAGAUAACUCAGCAGCAUAAGUAACCUUGUUGCCACUCAAAUGAGUUGGCAUGCAUAGCAGCUCAUAUAGUCCAUCUCUAGCCACUCCUUUCACCAGAAUUCUCCCUUGGCUCUUGUCCUUGAUGAAGCAAACAGAUUUUUGAAACUCAACAUCAAUAUCAUUAUCAUGAAGCAAUUUGGAAACACUAAUGAGAUUUUUGGUAAUAUCAGGUACAAACAAAAUAUGAUUUAAUUUGAUGUGUUUGUGUGGACUGUAAGUGGGCAAUAUAGAAUAACCAAUGUGAGAGAUAUGAAGUUUGUUACCAUUACCAACAGUGAGCUUGUCAUUACCUUGGUACUCUGAGUUCAGGUUCAUGUUUCCAAUAGCAUUGGUCACAUGAUUUGUGGCACCACUGUCAAGGUACCAGGCAUUGCUGUUUUGUCCUUCUGUUGUGGCCAUGUAGGCUCCUCUCCUCCUAUUUAGCUGUGGCACAUAAUUUUUCUUAAACCUAUGCCAGCAUUCAACAGCUGUGUGCCCCAUUUUGAAGCAGAUUUGGCAUGGACCCUUUGAUUCAGAACCUUCACCUUCUGCAGCAGCUUUGCCUUUGCCUUUGUCUUGAAUAUUUUGAUUUCCCUGACCAUGACCACCAUUGCCACCAUUUCCAGUGCCACCACCAGGAUUUCUGAAGACUAUCCCAGGUUGUUGCUGACUGCCAAAUCUUUCACCAUUGCCCCAGUUCCUCCUGCCAUUUCUCAUCUGUGUGAAGUUAGCCUCAAGAAUCCCUGGGCUGAGAUUUUGCUCAGUCCUGGUUUCUUGGCUGAGGAGCAUGCUGUAGACCUCUGACAAUGAAGGAGUUUCUGGCAUAGAGUUAAUGUUAGUGACAACAGAGUCAUAUUCAGAUCAUACUCCAGCUAAGACACACAUAAUAAAGUCCUCAUCACUCAUGUUAUUUCCAGCUGCUCUGAGUGUAUUUAGGAUAGUUUUCAUCAUGGAGUAAUAAUCAUGGAUUGUAAGAGAGCCCUUUUUAGUGGUUUGAAUCUGUGUCCUCAAAUAUAGGAUUCUAGCUCUUGUUCUUGCACCAUACUGAUUGGUAAGAGUUGUCCAAACUUCAUGUGAAGUAGAACAAUCCACCACAGUGCCGAGGACACCCUCACUGAGAGAUGAGAGCAACCAGCUCAAAAGAAUGUGGUCCUGUUUCUUCCAGAUUUGAUAUUCUGGAUUUUGGUGGGUAACGGUAGCUUGGUUAGGUCCAGGACUGGUGAAAUAUCUGGGGGGACAGGUAUAGCUUCCAUUUAUGAAGCCUUCAAGCUCAUUUGCUCGUAUGCUGGAGACCACUUGUGAUCUCCAGAGCAUGAAAUUGUUCUGUGUUAACUUGAUGGGAGUGGUGAACACAUAUGUGUUGCUGGUGAUAUGUUGGGUAGGAGAUGGGUUCAUUAUGGUCACAUUUCUUGUGUUAUUAUCUGGAUUCUGAUUGUCGAUAUUUUCAGGUUGGUUUUGAUUCAAAUCAUUUGGUUGAUCAUCUGGAUUUUCCAGAGUUUGAUUCAUGUUUGUUUGUGAAUUUCUGCUGCUUUCCAUAGCUCAAAAGUUGCUCUGAUACCAACUUAAAUUCUUAUGAAUUGCUUAAGUAUGCAAGCAGAAGAGCAGAAAAAAAAUAACCUUUUCAUAUAUUAUAAUAACAUGAAUAAUCAGAUAUACACAUCCUUCACAUAUUUAUACUAAACGUGAAAAAUGGUAGCUUGCUCAAAGGGAAAACAGAAAUGAAUAAAACAAAAGAUUACAGCUGCACUAGCCAAUCAUUGGAAACAUUCUAGAAACUCCAGCUUGCAGUAUUCACGUGUAAAUAUUCUCCUGCAUAACAGUUUUGCCAGCUCAUUGAAUACACCUCAACUUCUUCAUCAGCUGGCUGCUGGAUAUGGCUGCUCAGGUGGCAUGCCAACAUGGCCUUGGGGUCAAUUGUUGACUCAUCUUCAUAAUCUGAAUUCUCAACAAUGCAUUCAAACAGAUCUUCUUCAAAUUUCUUAGAACUUGCAACCGAAGAUAUUGGAGUUUCGCAAAAGGUUUUAGCCCUGUAACUUCUUCCACUUUCCAAACACUGAUUAUUUCUUCCAUCUCAUAACAACGUUCUACAUGGACCAUCUUCAGAUUUGGGGCAAAAACAAGCCAUGUCAUCUCCCUCAAUUUACUGCAAUAGUCUAUGGUAACACUUUGAAGGCUGUUGAAACCAUAAGUUCUCUUGUUGUUUGAACUUCUGCAUAGUCAACCUUUAGCUCUUCCAAACUUGUACAAUACACAAAAUCUAGUUUGUCAAGAUACUUGAGAUCUGCUAUGGACAAAAUAUUCCAUGACCUUGAAUCCUCACAGCGUCGAAGCUCUAAAGCAUAUUUACAACUCUUGUACUGUUGGCAGCUCAAAAGUCUUCGUAGAGCAUAAAAACUUCUUAACGUGACGCUUAAUACAUUUAAAUGUUCCAAAGUAAUCAACUCCUCUACCAAAAUUUCACUACCACCAAAUAGAACGCUAUCUUCUGGUACUGUAUUAGCAGAGCCACAAUCUAGCAUCCUCAACACCUUUAACCCAGAAAAAUUACAAAGCAGUUGCCGUGGAAUCGUAUGGAGAUAACGCAUGUACUCCAAGUUCAAACACUUUAGAUUUUUCAAGGCUUUUAAUUCAUGUGGUAACUCUUUGAUGAAAGUUUCUGAAAGAUUAAGAUAUUGUAGUGAAACCAAUUUUGAAAUUCCUGAAGGCAAUUGACUCAAGGAGCGAUUCUUUGAUAGGUUUAAAACUUUAAGAGAAGGCAUAAAAUCGAAGAAAUCACUAGGGAUAGUAUCUAACAUAUUAAUGCCGAGGAACAAAGUUAUAAGAUGAGGGCAUAUUGGAGUUAUUGGUAAAAUCACAAUUUUAUUUCUCAUCAACGAUAUCCUUCUCUUAUCUUCCCAUUGUUUAACCUCGGGUGGUUCAGUUAAUUCAAUACCGGCAGAAACCAAAAAGUUUUCAUUCUCCACUUCACAGGCUAUCCACAAGGUCAUAUCACGAAUCACAUCAUGCAAUUUUACAUAAUCUGAUCCUGCUUCUUCCAAUAGGCAUGCAUGAACAAGAACACCAAUAAUGUAGUAUCCUUGGUUAUGUACUCCAUUAAUUCCUUCAUAUUCCUUCAGAAAACCCUCACCAAUCCAACACCCUAUCAAUUCAAUUUUGCUAAUUUGAUAAUCCUCAGGAAAUAAACUACAGUAUAACAGACAAGAUCUAAGGACGUCACUAGACAAACUAUCAUAACUGAAUUUUAAAAGACGAAACACCUCUUUCUCCAUACCUGGAAAUUCAUAAGCUGAUCUCCUUAACAUCUGAAUUGCAUAGCUCCAUUCUUCGGGUGUCUUCUUGCUGCUCAUGGCACGACCGGUGGUAAUAAGUGCAAGUGGCAAACCACUACACUCCUUUGCCACAGUUUUGGCUAACUCCGGAAUAUCGGGAUGACUUUCAAGAGUCUCUUCUCCGACCUUCUUUAGGAACAAUUCCCAAGCAUCUUGAUCUGCCAAACACUCCACCUUGAACUUUUUUUGAGCUUCCAUGAGGCCACAGACGUCCACAAGACGAGUCGUAAAUGUUGAAAGUCAUGGCUGGCGCCGGCCAUCUAGAUGGCCGGUGCCAACCAUUCAACAUUCAACACGGCCCGCCAUUAUUGGUGGUGCCGUGUUGAAUGACUCCAUAAAAAAAAAAAAAAAAAAAAAGAGCCAAAAUUUUGGCUAUAUAAAGAGGGCUUCCCACCCUCAUUUAUAAUCCAAUCUUGAGAGAGCAAUUUAGGGAGUUGAGAGAGAGUUUAAGAGCUUGCAUUUAUAAGCUCUUAUUUUAGUGAUUUGAGAGUUUGGGUGUAUUGGGGUUUUGGGUAGUGAGCUAAAAUACUACAAUACUUGUAACUCCUUUUCACUAGUAAAAUAUUUCCUUCUGUCUUUGCCCAUGGACGUAGGCUAAAAGCCGAACCACGUAAUUUCUGGUGUCCUCUAUUGUGCUUGUUCUUUAUUUUAUUUCCAAUUUCAUUUUAGCUGCGGUCCUGCUUCACCCACCAAUUUCCUAACAGUGGUAUCAGAGCUAUUGGUUGUAUUUUUGGAGUCGGGAACUGUUCACGUAAGGGGUACUAUUCACGUAUACGACACUAUUCACGUAUACUGUACUGUUCACGUAUACGGGUUUGUUCACAUAUACGGUACUGUUCACGUAUACGAUACUAUUCACGUAUACGGUACUAUUCACGUGAAACGGGGAAGCGAUCCAAGAAUUUUCCGGUGCAAAGCAGGGAAUAGUAGUGUGAGAAAAGCAACUGUGGUUUUGUACAUGUCUAGGAAAGUUCUGUCACAAAGGCGAUAAGAGCUUAAGGAGUCUGGGUUUUAAGUGGGACCAUUGUGACCCCUCCAGUCUUUCCUGGGAACUUUCCUGGUGUGCAUUCUCACACAUACUCACAACUAUUCAAGGUGGUAUACUAGCUUGUGUGCAGUAUUUAUCAACAAAAUGGCGGCAAAGUAUGAAAUUGAGAAGUUGAACGGAAAUAAUUUUUCGUUGUGGAAAAUGAAGAUGAAAGCUGUAUUGAGGAAAAAUAAUUGUUUGGCAGCAAUUGGAGAAAGGCCCAUGGAGAUAACUGAUGACAAGUGGAACGAGGUAGACGGUAACGCCAUUUCUGAUCUACACUUGGCACUUGCGGAUGGUGUAUUAUCUAGUGUGGCAGAGAAAAAUACGGCGAAGGAAAUAUGGGAUACUCUCACAAAAUUGUACGAGGCCAAGUCACUACACAACAAAAUCUUCUUGAAGAGAAAACUAUAUACUCUUCGAAUGGCGGAAUCUACAAUGGUGACCGACCACAUCAACACUUUGAAGACUCUAUUUUCACAACUCACAACGUUGGGUCAUAAUAUAGAGGAGAAUGAACGUGCAGAGCUUCUACUUCAAAGUCUACCAGAUUCGUAUGAUCAACUCAUCAUCAACCUGAUGAACAACAAUCCAGUGGAAAGUCUAGUUUUCGACAAUGUUGCAGCCUCCGUAUUAAAUGAGGAGAGCAGACGGAAAAAUAAGGAAAACAGACAAGCAAGUUCGCAGCAAGCAGAGGCGCUAUCGGUGACGAGAGGGAGAUCAACGGAACGUGGCCCCAGUGGGAGUCAAAGUUAUGGUAGAUCAAAAUCCAGAAGUAAGAAAAAUGUUAAAUGCUACAACUGUGGCAAGAAAGGGCACGUCAAGAAAGAGUGUUGGAGUAACCAGAAGAGAAGAGAGGGUAAAGAACCUGAGUCAUCAAAUGCUCAGGGGUGUGUAGCAAGUACCUCGGAUGAUGGCGAAAUUCUCUACAGUGAGGCAACAACUGUUUCAGAAGGCAGAAAACGACUUUCUGAUGUCUGGCUUAUAGACUCAGGAGCUACCUGGCACAUGACCUCUAGGAGAGAAUGGUUCUACACAUAUGAACCUAUCUCAGGAGGAUCUGUAUAUAUGGGUAACGAUCAUGCCUUGGAGAUCGCUGGUAUUGGUACUAUCAAAAUAAAAAUGUUUGAUGGUACAAUUCGCACAAUUGGGGAGGUACGACAUGUCAACGGCCUAAAGAAAAAUCUAUUGUCUUUAGGACAAAUGGAUAGUCAUGGGUACAAAACUCAUGUGGAGAAUGGAAUUAUGAAGAUCGUUAAAGGCGCGCUUGUAUUAAUGAAGGCAGAAAAGAUCAGUGCUAAUCUAUUCAUGCUUAAAGGAGAAACACUACAGGAGGCUGAUGCGUGUGUCGCGUCAAAUGGAGAAGAAUCAACGAUGAUGUGGCAUCUCAAACUCGGCCACAUGUCAGAACAAGGCUUGAAGAUUCUCUCUGAGCGAAAAUUGCUUCCGGGGCUCAAAUCAGUAAGUUUACCAUUUUGCGAGCAUUGUGUUAUAAGUAAGCAGUAUAGAUUAAAAUUCAGUAGAUCUAUUGCUAGAAGUAAAUGCAUUCUAGACUUGAUUCAUUCUGAUGUUUGGGAAUCACCGGAUAUAUCCAUGGGAGGUGCAAAGUACAUGGUGACUUUCAUUGAUGAUUAUUCCAGAAGAUGUUGGGUGUAUCCAAUUAAGAAAAAGUCAGAUGUAUUUCCUGUGUUUAAAGAAUACAAAGCGCGGGUGGAACUUGAAUCUGGUAAAAAGAUCAAGUGCUUAAGGACAGAUAAUGGUGGAGAAUAUACAUACGACGAGUUUCUUGCUUUCUGUAAGCAAGAAGGUAUUCAGAGGCAAUUCACGGUGGCAUACACUCCUCAACAAAACGGAGUAGCAGAGCGGAUGAACAGAACUCUUACAGAAAGAAUAAGAGCUAUGUUGAGGACUGCUGGUUUACCCAAUUCAUUCUGGGCAGAAGCAGCCAAAACCGCCUGUUAUAUAGUAAAUCGGUCGCCAUCUACAGCUAUUGGGUUGAAGACAGCGAUGGAGAUGUGGACUGGAAAGCCAGCUGAUUAUUCCUACCUACAUGCAUUUGGAUGUCCUGUGUACGUGAUGUACAAUGCCCAAGAAAGAACAAAGCUGGAUGCAAAAUCUAGAAGAUGUAUCUUCUUGGGGUAUGCUGAUGGAGUAAAGGGGUAUCGUCUGUGGGACCCCACUGCCCAUAAGAUCGUCAUCAGCAGAGAUGUUAUCUUUGUAGAAGAUCAACUACAAAGAAAAGAUGGAGAUGAUGGCACUGUAAAAGAAAAGUCAGAGACUGUACCAGUAUAUGUCGAAAAUAAUCUAGAAGAUUCAGAUUCUUCUGAAGCAGCACCAGAGCACGAGGAACAAGAACCAGUCGAGUCUGAGGCUCCAGAAGUUCGUCGGUCAACUCGUGAGAGACGACCACCGGCGUGGCACUCGGAGUAUGUCACAGAGAUCAACGUUGCAUACUGUCUUCUAACAGAGGAUGGAGAGCCUUCAACUUUCCAUGAAGCUUUAAACAACUUAGAUGUUGCUUUGUGGAUGACAGCAAUGCAGGAAGAAAUUGAAGCUCUACACAAGAACAAGACAUGGGAACUUGUACCACUACCACACGGAAGAAAAGCCAUUGGAAACAAAUGGGUCUACAAGAUCAAACGUGAUGGCAAUGACCAAGUGGACCGGUAUCGUGCAAGAUUGGUGGUGAAAGGAUAUGCUCAGAAAGAAGGUAUUGACUUCAACGAGAUAUUUUCUCCGGUGGUUCGACUCACAACAGUCAGAAUAGUCUUGGAGAUGUGUGCUACAUUUGAUCUACAUCUUGAGCAGUUAGAUGUUAAAACUGCAUUUCUUCAUGGAGAACUUGAAGAAGAAAUAUAUAUGCUCCAACCAGAAGGUUUUGCAGAAACAGGAAAGGAGAACUUGGUUUGCAGGUUGAACAAAUCUCUAUACGGUCUCAAACAGGCGCCGAGGUGUUGGUAUAAGAGAUUUGAUUCCUUCAUCAUGAGCCUUGGAUACAACAGACUCAGUUCAGACCAUUGUGCAUAUUACAAGAGGUUUGAAGAUAAUGAUUUCAUCAUUUUACUGUUGUACGUGGAUGACAUGUUGGUAGCAGGCCCCAACAAAGAUCAAGUCCAAGAAUUGAAGGCACAAUUGGCUAAGGAGUUUGAAAUGAAGGACUUGGGACCAGCAAACAAGAUUCUAGGGAUGCAAAUUCACCGAGACAAAAAUAACAGGAAGAUUUGGCUUUCACAGAAGAAUUACUUGAAGAAAAUCUUGCGGCGCUUCAACAUGUAAGAUUGUAAGUCAAUUUCUACCCCACUUCCUGUUAAUUUCAAAUUAUCCUCAAGUAUGUGUCCUAGCAAUGAAGUGGAGAGGAAGGAGAUGUCUCGAGUACCGUAUGCAUCAGCAGUGGGAAGUUUAAUGUUCGCUAUGAUAUGUACUAGACCAGACAUUGCACAAGCAGUGGGAGCAGUCAGUCGAUACAUGGCGAAUCCUGGUGGAGAGCAUUGGAUAGCUGUAAAGAGGAUUCUGAGAUACAUCAGAGGAACCUCAGAUGUUGCAUUAUGUUACGGAGGAUCAGAGUUUACUAUCAGGGGCUAUGUGGAUUCAGAUUUUGCAGGAGAUCUUGAUAAAAGAAAAUCCACUACUGGUUAUGUGUUUACACUUGCAGGAGCAGCUGUAAGCUGGGUUUCGAAACUGCAGAUCGUUGUGGCUUUANNNNNNNNNNNNNNNNNNNNNNNNNNNNNNNNNNNNNNNNNNNNNNNNNNNNNNNNNNNNNNNNNNNNNNNNNNNNNNNNNNNNNNNNNNNNNNNNNNNNAUAUUCUUGAUUAAUCCAUUUUCUGAAAUUUUUUAUUUUGUAUGGUCAAUUAUACCUUCAUACUAAAAAUUUCUGAUGUUAUGGGGUUGUUGGAUGUGUUUUGGAUAUUUGCAGCUAAGUUUGAGUUUAUAUCUCAACUUAAAAUUUGUAGUUUUCACUUGAAAAAAUUCAGUUAAAAAUUGAUUGGUAGAAUUGUGAAGAAGUUUAAAUUUUUAGUUCAACCCGAUUGCAUAUUUAAGAACAUCUCAAAUGAAUUGCUUACUGCUAUCAUCAUCAUAAUUGUCAGAGAUGGUUAAUUGAUAGACUAUGUGCCUGGGUCGAGCACUGGAAGCCUGCAAUGCAGACUGAUUGAUUUAUCAGUUUAACGUGUGCCAGGAAUGAAGAACUGGAAUAUCACCGUCAAGCAAGCACCCUGUGGAGCAAUACCAAAGAAUGCACAAUCCGGCUUUGCAAGGUGACACUGGAGGCUUUUUGAAAAGUGCUUCACGCUCACUUGCACAGAUUGAGCAUCCCCUCUGGAUAUUGCCCUCUCUGAUCGAGUCUGAGCACUCAAAUUUUGGUCCUCAGAGGGAGCUACAGUUUUCUCUCCAAUAACCAACAAUUUUCUAAACUCAGCACCUAGUGUGAUCAGAGUUGUUGAUAUUUAUAAAUGGAGAUCCCCAUAUUUGCAAGUGGAGACAUUUAACAAUUCACCAACAUGCUUCAUCCGGUGUACAAAAUUCUGCAGCUGAUUCAAAUCCGGAACCUGAACCAGAGUCGGAGGUAUAUCUUGAGCCAUAUCUAAAGUAGUUUGAAGUUCAAGACCUUGAGCCCUUGACAAUGGUUUUGAAAUUGGAACAUCUUGGAUUACUGCAGACUUGUACCCCUUGGUUUCAAAGGUAAGGAAAGGCAUUGCUUGAGUACAAUUUGGAGGCAGCUUCUUCACCAAUUUUAUUUGGAGGCGAUUGGCAGCGGAUCCAGCAGCACCAAUUUCAGAGCAAAUACUGACACUACUUCGAACAGCACACUGAAGAAGUGAUAUGUCUACGGCAAAGGCAAUGCAGUCCUCAUUUUGGCUUGAGAUGCAGUAAUCAUCGAAGAGAGUUUCCUUGUGAAACUGGGCAACACAUUGAAUCCCUUCGCCACUGAGAAGGUUGUGGAGGAAGUAAGCUUUCUCUCUAGUGAGGCAGAGGUGGCAUACCUUCCCCAUUUUGUCGAGGGCAGGUAGGAAUCUUUUUUCUAAGAGAUUUACUUCAUUCUCUGUGAGAAAUGCUUUGAACUUCAUCCCUCUGUCUCUAUCCUCACUUAUCAGGAAAUAAGUUGAAAGCACUACGAAGAGAGAGAGAGAGAGAGAGAGAGAAUUAAGAUAUAUAGACAAGAAAAAUAUUAGACGUUGAUCUUACAAACUAAUACUUCAAGCAGUAUCCUGGAAAGCUAAAAACUGCAAGAUGGCUUGAAAUUUGAAAAGAGCACGUGCUUUUCCUCCUUAACUUGAGAAAAUGUUUAAUAUAGUGCACCUUAUGGAAGCAUUUAAGCAAUUAGAACUUUGCACAAAAACAUCAAGAAGACUAAACAAGUCAGAUGCAGUGUAUUUGUCCAAGCACAAAUUGCAUUUUGUCCUCAACUUUAAUAUUUAUUGAUGAGAAUCAAUACAGGUCCCUCAUUUGUUAUAGAAAGCUUUCUUUCUUGUAGUCUCACCAGUUAAUUCACAGGUCUAUAAUCAUCUUGCAAAGUUAAGGGCAUUUCUUUUGAUCUAAAGUCUUUGCAUCACCACCUCAUCACACGCCAAGCCAAUAUUCCAUUUACCUCUACAACAAAAAGUUUUAAUUAAACAAUCCUAAUGCACGCAGCCAAAUAAAAUGCAGUAAGAAUAUUCAACUUAAAAAUCUGAAAGCCAACUUGGUGAAUUGCCUCCUUAGGUGAAGUUCCAUGCUUUACUAUAGUUGACAGAACUCAGCAAAAGCUUCCAUACAACAGAUUUUGAAAAUGAUGAUGCCAACAGAUACUCAUUCAAUCCAUUGAAACUCCAAAGGUUCAUUGUUCAUAGAAGUUUACAAAGUUUUGGUCAUCAAAUAGCUCAGACCUAAUCCCAAACAAAAAAAGAGUGAAAAUUAGAUCACGAGCAGCUAAUUGUAAAUUCUAACUUAACUCUUCAUCUCCUUUGUAAACAAGAAACAAAAUGGAGACACGCAAAAUGAAUAUGGAGAAAAUUUGAACUCAAAUGAAAUGAGGGCACGAAAGCAAACAAAUGGCAUGCACAAAAAAACCAAGCCUCAAUCAAAAACUAAUUAACCAUUAAGAAAAAAAUUGGUCAGACAAUGAACUCCAAAUUCAGGAGUCAAGCAAGAAGCUUUCAUUAUUUCAGAAGCUCCUGUACAAAUUAAUAAGUUAUGCUCUUUGGAAGCAAAACCAAAUUCCAAGAGAAACAGAACCCAAAAAAUUUGCAAUUAUUCGCAAAGGAAGUGAAGCACAGGAUUCUAUCACACAUAGGAAUUUUAUAACAAGAGAUCGAUAUAUCGAAUUAGAAAACUCAAUUCGAAUUUGUGUGAAAAAUCAAAAUUAGAAGAUUUCACAUUUCGAGAGGAACAAGCAACAGAUGAGUUUAAUUUCAGCCAUAACAUGCUAAAAAUGCUACACUUAACGGUUCCUUGUCAGCUAUUGAUGCGUUCGCUCANNNNNNNNNNNNNNNNNNNNNNNNNNNNNNNNNNNNNNNNNNNNNNNNNNNNNNNNNNNNNNNNNNNNNNNNNNNNNNNNNNNNNNNNNNNNNNNNNNNNAAGGGUCAUGUUCAAGCAGGAAAACUUCUAGAACAGGUAAGGAUUCCAUCUACAGACAUCCAUUGACAGCAGAUAUAUUUCAUUAAGCAGACACUGUUAGCAUUCAAGAUGCUGGCAGAUUCACUUGAUUCUUAUUAGUUUGUUUAGUGGCAAGGCAUAUAACCUGUAUUUCAAAGCCAAGUUGUGCUAUUGAUUAUGUUAACUUUAUUGUUAACAUUAAGUGAUUUGGAGGACAUAAUCAAUGUAGGAAAAUUAGGUGAAGAGAUGAUGUCAAAUCUUGAACCUCUUACAAAGCUCCAAGUUCUUUACUUGAAGAAGCUGCCAAAUUUGAAGAGCGUCUACUGGAAGGCAUUUCCAUUCCCAGAUGUAUGCAGAAUUUUUGUAUUAAUGCCCAGUUCUUAAGAAGCUGCCACUGGAUUUUCAUGGGGCGGGCCAAGGUAAAAUUCUUAUCAAGGGAAAGGAAGAUUGGUGGAAAGAACUUCAAUGGGAGGAUCAAGCAACUCAGAAUGCAUUGCUUCCAUUUUUCAAAUCAACUGACAAGUGAUUGAAGGGGGCAUCAUCAACAGAGAUGGAGAGAUUCUGGAGCAGAUCAGCAGGGUUUGUAUAUGAUCUUUGGUGGUUGCUUUCUUUUGUGAUUUUUUUUUUCUCAUUUUUUUACCUUCCUGUCAUUUUAUCAUUUCUUUGUCUCUUUUUCUAUUGCUGAUGUUAGUGUAUGCUUACUGUUGCUUGACAAAGUUUGCUUGCUUCUUGUUUAUUAAAUUUUUUAUGGUCACAAAAUAUUACUUGUUCUAUUUGAGAGUGAUGUGAAUCAAUUUUCAAUUAUAUAUUUUUUGGUCAAUGUGAAUUCAAUUUCAUUUGUCUCCUGCAAUUAUUAAAAAAAUGCAGUCUCAUAAUAUGGAAAAGUCGACCGGCAAAAAUUUUGUGAAAGCUUCGGAGUGAAACAGGGAAUUCACUUACUACUAAGGACAAUUGGUGGCGAGCUAUUCCAUUCAUUUUAUGUCCCUACAUCUAUUUAAUUAUUAAAGAUAAGUGGUCCAUUUGUAAAUUUCAGAUUGUGUCUCUCUGAAAAUAACAAUAUUUAAAAUGUCUCUUAAAUUAUUAUAAAUUUUAAUUCACUCUCGAUUUAAAAUGGAACAUGCUGAUGAAAAUUUUUUUCUUCUCAAUAUUCAAUAAAAUUGAAAUAAAUUGUGUUUGCAGUAUUUUGAAAUAUUUUAAAGAUUAUUAUUUUAUAAGAGAGUAAUAUGAAAUGAAAUUUACUCUUCAUGCGUGAAAUGUUGAAAAGGACAAAGGAAAGUGUCACUGCUUUUAUUUUAUUUCAAAGUGGAGUCAUCUCACAUACUUUACCUCUAUCAUUACAAUUUUUCACGUUACAUUUUGAUUUAUUUAUUUCUUUUAACACAUGCAUGUGGGUUACUUUUCCGUAAGCUCCUUAAUAUAUGUUUAACACAAAUCAUGGAAGAGAUGGGAGUAUAUCAAGAUGAUCAAAGCAUGAGACAAAAAUAUUUAAGAAGUAAAACACUGAAAAUAGAGGAGAGAUGCAAGCAAAAGAUAUUCCAAAGAAAAGCAAUCUAUCCCCUUUCGAGGGCAAACUUAAUCAGGUUUAAGAAAAGUACAUGUUUUGGAUUGGUAGUUGCAGCCUUGCAGGAUAAUUGUUUUUGCCAUUAUAUUAGUUGGAGGAGUUGAACCCAGCGAAGAAUGUUAUGGAAGAGCAAAUUAAUGAUAUUUCUGAUAGAGUCUAUUUGAUUAUGUAGCCUGAAUGGAUGUCUUGUUGAAAGAUAUCUCAGUGCAUUAGUUCAUCCUUGUCUGUCAAUGUGUUUUUAAUGGUUUUUCCAAUUGUUUAUUAUUAUAGAUUGAUUGUAAAUUUAUAUGAAAAUUUGAUAUGAAUUUAAUGUUGAAAUGUUUUCUCUUUAGUGGAAUGAAUUUAAAUUGAUUGAUUGUAAAUUGAUAUGAAUUUAAUGUUGCAAUGUUUUCUCUUUAGUGAAAUGAACUUAAAAGUGUAAAAGAUUAUUGCACACAUAGAAAUAAACAUAUAUGCUUUAUAGUAUAACUUUAGCAAUCGAUUCUUUUACGGCUGGAAACAGAGAUGAUGAUUAUCAUAGGGGUGAAGAAAAGGACAAAAAAUAUUAAUAAAUGAUCUUAAUGUUCCACAAAAGCAAAUCGUAAUAUUCCACAAGAAAAAGCAAGAUCUUAAUGUUCCACAAAAGCGUUAUUUAUUUUUUUUGGUGAGCCACGUGGAGCUCAAUUAUCAUUGUCUUUACUUUAAAAACGUUAUUUUAUUUUAUUUUCUUACAAAUUAAUGCUAACAAGAAAAAGCAAGAUAUAAUAUUCCACAAAAGCAAAUCGUAAUAUUCCACAGAGGAAUAAGAUCCACAAAAGCAAACAACUAGCUGGAUUCUUUUAUUAAACUACAAAUUAAAGUGGAAUCGUUUACUAAACAACAAAUUAAAGUUCAAAUAUUUAAAUAGUAGUGCGUUAGACGAUUAGGCUCUUUUAUUAAAGUCAAGUAUAAAGUAGUCCAGAAUCGAACAUCUCUAUUGUCUAGUCUUUUUUUUUUUUAAUUCUUCUUUUAUUAUUUUUCAGAAUAUGUUUUGGUGAUUACUAUUGGGUUAUUAUUCAGAGUUAUUGUUAUCUUCCGGGGCAGUUUCUGUUCAUCGAAAUCGUUAAUUAAAAUUUUAAAACUCUUAUCGGAAGAAUGUUUUUCCGUUAUUUUUUUAUAUUCUAAUUUCAAUUGUAAGAAGUAGUCAUUUUAGAAUUUGGGUCUUGAAUCGAAUUUCAAUGCAUGAAUUAAUAUUUUAAAAAAAUUUACUACAUGCAGUUUAGGUUACAAACUAUUUUUUGCAAAGUUGACUAUGAAAUUGGAGAAAUUAAGUAAUUUAUAAUGUUUGCAAAGAAAGAGACCAACAUACUUCCAAUUACACUAUAUCUCAAUUAUCAUAAUGUUAAGAUUAAACUAACUUAAAAUAAAAUUUAUUUAAAAAGUUUAUCAAACGCAGUCUAAUUUUAUUAACUUGAAGAGAUAAUAGUUAUAGAAAUUAUUAUUCUAACUUAAUUAGUAAAAGUGGUAUAAAGGUUAAGUGUGCACUAAAUCUAUUUAAAUUUUUUUCCAGUAUAACUAACAGAGGUCAUUACUAGAAUUAUAUUACUAGUCUAUUAGAUAGAAAAAAUUAUUUAUAUUGUUUUAUAUUUAUUAAAAAAAUUUAAAGUCAAUCUUUUUAAUUACUAUUUAAAGGAUAUUAUAAUUAAAAAAAUUUUAAUGUCUUCAUUAAAAAUUUAAAAUUUUAUAUGACCGUUAUCUAAAUAUUUAAAGUGUAACUGUCAUUUUCUCAUAUAUAUAUAUAAUUUCAUCAACCCCUUAUACUUUAUGUUAUUUAUAUUUUAUUCAUGAAUAUUAUAAAUUUUUUGAAAUAUAAAAUUUCGUUUAACCCUUUAUACUCAAUUUUAUUUUAUUAAAACCCUAGAGUAUGAAUUCGUCCCUAUAAUAUUAAAUUCUCAAAAUAACUUCCAUUUAAUUAAAAAAUAUAAUUAUUAUUAAAUGAAUUAUAAUUAUUAUUAUUAUGUUAUUAUAAUCAUAAAAAGCGAGAUCAUAUUCCACAAAAGCAUAAGUGACAAAACAACCAACUGGAUUCUUUUAUUAAUCAACAAAUUGUAUAGUCUUUUUCAAAUUGUUAUAAAUUGGUGGCCCCUACAAUCCUCAAUAAUUGUACCGAAAUUCACAAGUUGGUGGGCCCUACAAUUCUGUUCCGAUAAUUUAACUGUGCAAGUGCUCAUUCACAAUCUUCCAGGUCAUGCUCUUAACAAUUGUUUUUUCUUUUCUGCACGCCCUUUCAUGCUCUUAAUAAUUGAAGAGCAUACUUUUCAAAUGUGAAGCCGCAUCUAAUGUCGCUAAUUUAAUUUGGGAUUAAAUUACGGGACUAUUAUAUUGCAGUGUGCACUAAUUUUUAUGUUUAUCUAAACUCUUCAAAUUUAAAACAUAUUAUGGCAUAAAUAAGAAUGUAACAAUAACAAAAGAGUAAGAAAGUGUAGAGAAAAUCUUGCAGAAAUAUAAAUAAUAUUUAUUUUUAAAAUAAUAUUAAUAUUUAAAAUAAUUUUUAAUAUUUUAUGGUCCAUUAGAUAUAUUUUAUUAUAUUAAAAUAAAUUUUAUAAUAAAUAAAAACAUACUAUUAAAAUGAAUAUAUAUAGAAAAUUUAGAGUAUUUUAAGUAUUAUAUAAAAUAAUUUUAAUAAAAUAUGUGAGAUAUUCAUAUUUUAUUAAUUUAAGAUACCAUUUAACCUAAAGAUUUAUUUAUGAUAAAUUAAUAAUUAUAUUUUUGAAAUUACUUCAAAUAUUAAAAAAAUUAAUAUUACUAAUAUAUUAGAUAGAUUAAAUUAUAUAUAUUAUUUUUACUUAUUAAAAAAAUUUUAAAAUUAUUUUUAAUUACUAUUCAAAAAACGUAUUCAAAAAACAUAAUGAUAAAAAAAUCUUAACAUCUUUAUUAAAAAAUUAAAAACUUAUAUGAUAAAUUCUCUAAAUAUUUACGGUAUAUGUGAACCACGGUGGAUAAGCUUUAUUUAAUAUUAUUGAUUUAAAUAAUAUGUCAAUUAAAAAUGUACAGAGAAGAAAUUUCGGUGGGUAUUUUAGUCUUUUAAGCAAUUAUCAUGAUCAGAUCAGCCUUUAGCCUUCAAACGUCGGUCAGAAAAGUUUUAAAAUUAAUGCUAAAUUGUUUUUCACUUUUAACGUUGGUGGCCUUGAAAUUGCUUGUAUUUUAUUAAAAAUUAAUGCUAACAAGAAAAAGCUAGGUCAUAUUCCACAAAAUCAAAAGUGACAAAACAACCAGCUGGUUUCUUUUACUAAACUACAAAUUAAAAUAAAUUUUUUCGAUAAAUUACAAAUUAAAGUGGAUUCUUUUGAAUACAAAUGGGACAGACGAUUAGGCUCUUUUUAUUAGAGGCAAGUAAAAACUAGUCAAGAAUCGAACAGUCUUUUUCCAAUUCUUGUUUUAUUAUUUUUCAAAACUAGUUUUUGGUAAUUACAACCGGGUCAUUAAUCAUUAUUCAGAGUUACUGUUAUCUUCGGGGGCAGUGGGUAAAAGAUAAUUACUAACUGUUUUUCCUUCAAAAGUUAGCGGCUCAUGUUUGCAAGUGUGAAUGUGCGAUGCUCUUUUCUUAAAGGCCAUUACAGUGGGGCCCGAAUCAGACGUGCCUAAAUCUUUUUAAAAUUUUUGCCGUAUAACGAACAGAGGUCAUUACUAAAAUUUCUCUUCCACAGCCUACAGCAGCUUCAGUUUAUCAAACUCCAUCAAUUUUCUUUCUUAACAAAAUUCCAAAGAUGUGUAGCAUUUUUCAGAUCACAUGCGAUGGUGCUCUUUUCAAUCGUUGCUUGGAUUGCUUUCUUGGAAAAGCAGCAUACAUACGUAACCUCCAAGAUAAUCUUGAUGCCUUGGACACUGAACUGGGAAGACUAAUCGCUAAAAAGAACGAUGUGAUGAGGAGGGUUGUCGACGCUGAACGACAACAAAUGAGAAGGCUGGACGGAGUGCAAGUGUGGGUUUCGAGGGUGGAUGCUGUUAAAACUGGAGCCGAUGAACUUAUCACAGACGGCUCUGAAGAAAUUGGCAAAUUAUGUGUUGGAGGCUACUGUUCCAAGAACUGCAGGUCAAGCUACAAGUUCGGAAAACAAGUGGCUAAAAAGCUACAAGAUGUGAAGACUUUAAUCGCCGAGGGAGUUUUUGAGGCGGUGGCUACUGAGGUGGUGCCCGAGAGAGCUCCGGAACCUGUAGCAGAUAAAAGACCCAUUGAGCCAACAAUAGUAGGCUUGCAAUCACAGCUUGAACAAGUUUGGAGAUGUCUUGUAGAAGAAUCAGUGGGAAUCAUUGGCCUAUAUGGUAUGGGCGGUGUUGGUAAAACCACACUAUUGACCCGUAUCAACAAUAAAUUUCUUGAGAGUCAAAACAACUUUGAUUGUGUGAUUUGGGUCGUAGUUUCAAAAGACCUGCGGCUUGAAAAAAUUCAAGACGAUAUUGGGAAGAAGAUAGGUCUGUCUGAUGAUUCAUGGAAGAAUAAAAGUUUUGAAGAGAAAGCUGUGGACAUCCUGCGGAGAUUAGGAGAGAAGAGAUUUGUAUUGUUGUUAGAUGAUUUAUGGGAGCGGGUUGAUUUAACAAAAGUGGGCGUUCCACUUCCCAGCGCACAAAAUACUACCUCAAAAGUCGUAUUCACAACCCGUUCCAUUGGUGUUUGUGGCAGCAUGAGAGCUAGGCCGGUUAAAGUGGCAUGCCUAUCAGAAAAGCAAGCUUGGGAACUGUUCCGCGAAAAUGUUGGGGAAGAAACUCUUGAGAGUGAUCAUGAGAUCGUUGAGCUAGCCCAAACUGUGGCCAAAGAGUGUGGUGGUUUGCCACUCGCACUUAUUACUAUUGGUCGAGCUAUGGCCUUCAAAAAGACAGCCGAGGAGUGGAGUCAUGCAAUUGAUGUGCUAAGAACAUCAGCUUCUGAGUUUGCAGGUUUGGGAGAGAAGGUGUAUCGUCUUUUAAAGUUUAGCUAUGAUAGUUUGCAGAAUGAGACCAUUAGAUCUUGUUUCUUAUAUUGUUGUUUAUAUCCCGAGGAUUAUGGCAUUCUUAAAUGGGACUUGAUUGAUUGUUGGAUUGGUGAGGGAUUCUUGGAGGAAUCUGACAGGUUUAGUGCAGAAAACCAAGGAUACUACAUUGUGGGCACUCUUGUUCAUGCGUGUUUGCUAGAAGAGAUGGAAGAUGAUAAAGUAAAAAUGCAUGACGUUGUUCGUGAUAUGGCUCUAUGGAUAGCUUGUGAAAUUGAGAAGGAGAAGAGAAACUUUUUGGUUUGUGCAGGUGCUGGAUUAAAAGAGGCACCGGAUGUUAAAGGAUGGGAAAAUGUGAGAAGAUUGUCAUUGAUGCAAAACCAAAUUAAAACUCUGUCAGAGGUUCCCACAUGCCCUCAUCUCCAUACUUUAUUUCUUGCCUCUAAUAUGGAGUUGGAGAUGAUCGCGGAUGGCUUCUUCCAAUUUAUGCCUUCUCUCAAAGUUUUGAAGAUGUCACGCUGCUGGAAUUUUCAAUUACCUGUUGGGAUGUCAGAUUUGGGUUCAUCACUAGAACUUCUUGAUAUUUCACAUACCACCAUAAGAGAGUUACCCGAAGAGUUAAAGUUGCUGGUAAAUCUGAAAUGUUUGAAUUUGAGGUGGACAGGUGCGUUAAUUAGAAUUCCACGGGGACUAAUAUCAAAAUUUUCAAGGUUACGUGUGUUGAGAAUGUUGGGUACUGGCGGGUUCAUUUUUUAUGAAGCACCAGAAGACAGCGUUUUAUUUGGUGGGGGUGAAGUUUUGAUACAGGAAUUGCUCGGUUUGAAAUAUUUAGAGGUAUUGGAGUUGACCUUGGGAAGUUAUCAUGCUCUCCAAAUUCUUUUGAGCUCAAAUAAGUUAAAAAGUUGUAUUCGAUCUCUUUACCUCUAUUUGACCGGAGAUAAAAAGUCGAUUAUUGAUGCUACGGCUUUCACAGACCUAAACCACCUCAAUGAAUUAUGGAUUGAUAAUGGAAUUGAGUUGGAAGAAUUGAAGAUUGAUUAUACGGAGAUAGUACGAAAAAGGCGGGAACCUUUUGUUUUCCACAGCCUUCACCUUGUUACGAUAUAUAGUUGCCAUAAAUUGAAAGAUUCGACAUUCCUCGCUUUUGCUCCAAACCUCAAGUCUCUUUCGCUAUUCAAAUGCCGUGCUAUGGAAGAAAUAAUCAGCGUCGGAAAAAUUGCUGAGAAUCCUGAGAUGAUGGGACAUANNNNNNNNNNNNNNNNNNNNNNNNNNNNNNNNNNNNNNNNNNNNNNNNNNNNNNNNNNNNNNNNNNNNNNNNNNNNNNNNNNNNNNNNNNNNNNNNNNNNNNNNNNNNNNNNNNNNNNNNNNNNNNNNNNNNNNNNNNNNNNNNNNNNNNNNNNNNNNNNNNNNNNNNNNNNNNNNNNNNNNNNNNNNNNNNNNNNNNNNNNNNNNNNNNNNNNNNNNNNNNNNNNNNNNNNNNNNNNNNNNNNNNNNNNNNNNNNNNNNNNNNNNNNNNNNNNNNNNNNNNNNNNNNNNNNNNNNNNNNNNNNNNNNNNNNNNNNNNNNNNNNNNNNNNNNNNNNNNNNNNNNNNNNNNNNCACUGUUUUUAUUUCAGUCUCUCUCUCUCUCUUUGUCUCUGCUAAUCACAAUUAAAUGUGAAUUAAUGGAAUUAAUGCUUCAUAAAUUUGCCGGCACUGCCAUUACUUUUUUUUUUUUAAUACAAAUUGAUACUUUAUUUAUAUCUUCUUAGCGAUUUAAUUUCCUGUCAAUUGACGAACGAGAAGAACAUAUGACUUGAACCAAUGCUCGCAUAAACUUGCUGUAAAAAGAUAUAAUCUCACUGAAAUGCACACGCCUAGAAUGAAUAGAAUUAAAACAGGGAAAAUAUUAAGUAUAUUAGCCCUCUUUACCGAAAAUCAAAUGACAAUAAAUUUUUUGAAGUUUUGAUUUUCUAUGGUCAAUUCCACCUUUUGCAAUUUCUUCUGUUCUAACAAAAACCAAUUUCUUUGUUCAAGUAUUUUCGUUUGGGUAUUAAUAAUUCUCCACCGAAAGAGUGAACUCUUGCUCAAGGGAUCUCUAAUCAAUAGCCGGAAGGGCGCCGAGACCUGAUCGGACCUAGGCCCAAGUUUGGUCUUAAAGCCUGGGCUUGAGCCUGGCAAUUAAAUUAAAACAGUAAUUGAUUUCUUGAAUGAAUUGUCGUGUAAUUGAUUUAUGGGGGAUGACACAUCAACAUACUUGAAAAUACACUAAUCUCAGCAUCAUCCGUUAAUAACUUUUAGAUUUAUGGGCAAUCAAUAGUUAAAUUAGUUGUCAUUAAUACUAAAUAAUUUUUACUUUUUUUGUCUCUUCUAGAGGAUCUUCUAGAAAAAUGCAUCCACAAUUAAAUUUAAUACUUUACAUAAUAAAGAAAGCAUAAAUGUUAAAUUUAAGAAACUGCAUUGUAUUUCAGCUGAAGUUGACUUUAAUAUUUAGGGUAGAAAAAAAUUAAAUCCUUAAUGUGUUUAAUUUAUAUCACUUGUGUCAUUAAAAUUUUCUAGUCACCCUAACCAAUUACAUCUCAACCCACUUUUUUUUGGAUGAUUUUAUUUUUAUACUAUUAUUUUCAACAUUUUUUUUUCCUUUUAACACCAACAUUAGUGUAUGUUACGUAACAUAAUCCAUAUUUGGAUAAUUUGAAAUUUGUUUGUGUUUUAUCUCAAAAUAGAGCUUCAAUCAAUUUGUACCUCAUAAAUUCACAAUAUCUGGCAGGGCUAAUAAGACCAAACUCUGGCAUAUUAUCAAAUGUGCUUAUCCUUUUGCUUGACAUGUCAUUUUAAAAUUGUCAUUCAAUGCCAAAAAAAUCACAUCAACUGAUGGCCGACUACUUUAAUUUGAAAGCAUGCAUGCGAUCGCCACCAAUAAUUAUAACUUAAUUGUUAUAUUGAAAUUUUUUUCUUUAUAAUUUUUAAGUUUAAUACUGCUACAUGUGCGGCACAUAAGUUGGAAAAUAUAACAUAAAAUUUGAAAAAUGUGUAGUUUUCGUUCCUUUUUUUUCUUAAAAAUGGGGAAAAAGAAUGUAAUUUUGUUUAAAUUACUGUUGUGAUAACAAUUAUUAUUUUAUUGAUUAAUUGGCAGAGAAUCGUUAUGGUUUCGCAUGGUUGUUAAAACAUUGGAAAAUCCACUACAUCAUCCGAUAAUAACUUUCAGAUUUAUGGUUAAUCAAUAGUUGAGAUUUGUUAUCAUUAAUGUUAAAUAUUUUUUUAAUAUUUUUUCUCUCUCCUAGAGGAUCAUCCACAGUUAAAAUUUAAUAUUAUAAAUAGUAAACAAAGUAUAAACGUUAAAUCGAAGAAACUGCAUUGCAUUUCAGCUGAAGCUAACUUUAAUAUUUAACAGAGAAAAGUAAUUAAGUCCUUAAUGUGCUUUAUUUACCCAUAUAUAUGGCUAAUUUUUUAAGAUAAAGGGGAAGGAUGAUGCUCAAAAAUAUAAAUUAUAGAAUUAAUUGAGCUCUCAAGUAAGUUUAAAGUUCAUUAUUUUUAAUUACAUGUUUAUAAUUUAUUUUUAUUUCGUAUUAAUCUAUAGAUCUAAAUCCACUUUGGAUUCAUAUACAUAUAUAGACAUAAUGUGUAUGUUAAUCUAUAGGUCUAAAUUCACUUUAGGUCUAUAUAGGUAUUUUGACAAAUGUACUCCAAUCAUAUUGGCAAGUUCUAACUACUAUAUUGGUAUGUCAAUAUUAUCUCUAAUUGCCCUAUACAUUCAGAAAUAAUCUAGAUAUACAAAUUAACAUAAAAUAAAAAUAAUUGGUAGAAAAUAUAAAUUAUAAACAUGUAAUUGAAAACGAUAAACUUUAAAUUUACUUAAGAGAGUAAUUAAUUUCAUAGUUAAAAUCUUUAAAUUUUACCCCUCAUCUUAACUUAAGAAAAUUAAUCACUUAUUUUAUUUAACAAAGAAGAGAUUUUUUUCCCCUAUAUUUCCCAAUUAUUUCUCUCCCUCUCGCUCCCGUAAGUUAUACAACUUGAAGUGAAAUAUGAGUGGUCUGAUUCUAGCUUAAAUAAUUUAUUGUGACAUGCUAUCUAAGGACAAUACAUUACCUAGCUCUACAUAUUUUAUUUAACCUCCGGCUCACCCUGUGCAAACUUGCCUUCCCCUACAAGACAAGAUUAAUCAAUCUAUCAAGUCUCAAAUUCAAUUUGGAAUAUGACCAUCGUACGUUCUUGUUCUUCCCUCUUUACGAGUGCAUUCCCCCCAACCUCAAGCUCCCUCUCUCGUCUUCAAUGUCACUGCCUAUAUCCUUGUGUUGUUCUAGUUUGAAAUAGUGGCUUCCACAAUUUCAGGGCCCCCAAAAAUCCAGAAACAUAGUAUUCAUCACGAUGACAAAUUUUUUGGCAGGCAGGUGCUUCCUGACUUUCACACGGUAAUUCUCAAAUUCUGAUUUCACCAUAUUUUAAUUACUGAUUAGCAUAUAUUCAAGUGCUCUCCAUUAUAAUAGAAGCCGCCGCCUCACUCGUGAUUCCAAACUUUAUCUUUUUUCCUUUUUUAAAUUAAUGCAAGUAGCCGCUGUCCUUUUUAUUAAUUAAUUAAUUAAUUCGGCCGCCCACAUUUCUUUUCCUAAUGUCUUCUACUGUCGAUUUUCUUUUAUUUUCUUUUUAUUCUUAAAAUAUGCUUAUAAUAAUAAAAUAUAAAAAUUAAAAUUAACAUAUCAAAAUAUAAUUUAACAGAAAAUUAAGAUAAAAAUAAAAAAAAUAAAUUAUGAGCAUAUCAAUCAAUAAAUGAAAAAUAAUAAUUUUUAUUUUUAUUAAAUAUAUAUUUUUCAGUAUUAAUCAAUUAUUUGAAUAAAUAAAAUCAUUUAAAAAUAAAUAAAUAAAUUAUUCUUAAAAAAAAAGAAACUUUUUAUAACACUCACUAUGCUGGUUGUAGGGUAGACGCUUUGGGAACUGAAGCCGGUAACUUCUACAAGUAGUCUGAAGUUGACUGGCAACAACUAUAUUGACAUUUAGACAUAAUGUACUCCAACCGUAUUGGUAUGUUUAAAUGUUCUUACUAUUGUAUUGGUGUGUCAAUAUUAUCUCUAACUGCCCUAUAGAUAAAAAAAUAAUCUAAAUUUAUAAUUUAACAUAAAAUAAAAUAAUUGGUAGAAAAAUAAUUAUGGUUCAUUUACUUAUCAGUAAUCAGAAUAGACUAAAAUCGAAAUGAGUUGUAUUACCGUUGAUGUGUUUAUGUUGUCCUGGAAUCGGAAUGAAUUAUUUUAAGUUACUAAAAUAUCCUUGGUUUGUUAUUCUAAUUAUUAUUUAAUAUUUAUUAUAAUAUUUGUCAUAUCAUUAAAAAGAAAUAAUAAUGAUGAUAAUAUUAUCAUUAUUGUUUGUUACAUUAUUAUUAUUCAAAAAAAUUAUUGUUAAUAAUAAUAAUUUUUUUAUUUCAAUAAUAAUAAUGAUAAAAUUAAUAAUAAAAAACAUGACAACAACAAUAAUUAUUUAUUAUGCCAAAAAAUAACAAUAAUAAUAAGAAUAAUAAUCAUCAUCAUUUUUUUGCCAAAGAAAUCAUCAAACCAGACAAGAAAUCAUCAAAAAUUGCUAUUUCAAUUUAGGAAGAAGUUCUUUCGGUGUGCUAGCGAUGGGAGAUGUUGUGGCUGCGAUUCGGGGAGCUAAUAGUUUAUUGCACUAAUAACGGCAGGUGCUGCUGCUUGAUGCGAGGUCCAUGGCCAGUUGUCAGCAGUUCGACUUUGGCAUGGGCGCUGCUGGUUCGAUUUUAGGUGUUGUCUAAUUUCAUUUUCAGGAUUUUAAUUUUAUUUUUUUCUUUUAUAUUUUCAUUAAUUAAUCAGGGCAAAGUUUGAUUUUAGAAUUUGGAAUGAAGGUAAUUUUGUUAAUCAUGGAAAUGAGAUUUUGAUUGUCGAGAAUGAACUUACACAAGCAACUGCAAAUUAAGUGAAAACAAAACGCUUUUUCUCUUUGUGUGAUUAAAACAUGAAAUAUACCAUAAAUAAAUAGGUAAAAAUUAAAUCAACACAAUCCAAAACAGUAAACCAAUUAUAAGAGGCACAAAUUUUUAUGUGAAAUACCGAAAACGGAAAAAACCACAACAUGUUAGUAUGAUAUAAUCUUCUACUAUAUUAAUGGGAUUAUAACACAAAUUCUUCCCUAUAUUACACUAGAGAUUAACAACAUCAAGAAUCUCAAUAAUCUUAACUUACAAUACAACCUAAUAUAUGUCUCUCUAAUAAAUAGAUAUCUAAAAUAACAAUCUCUAAUAAGUAAGUAUCUCAAAUAACAGUCUCUAAUAAGUAGGUAUCUCAAAUAAUAGUUAAUAAGAGGAUAAAACAAAAAUUAAGAUUAGUAGGAUGUGUAUAAGGCGAUGCUAUCAACUUAUCUUCUAAAUUUGAGAAAAAUAGUUAAAUUCACUUUUUUGAUUGUCCGACCAAAGAUGGAAACCUUGCCCCAAAACCAAAGGAGUCACCAUUGUGUUUCUCUCUCUCUCUCUCUCUCUCGUUCUUUUCUUCUACUUUUCUUAAUGUUAGCCGCCACUUGCUUUUAUUCUUUAUAGCAUUUAAAAAGUUACUUUUAAUGGUAAAUUUCAUCUAAGUCCAAAACUUAGUGAUAAUUGCACACUAAACAAUCCUUUUUGGACUAUAGACUUUUGGACCUCCAAAUGAGACGAAUACAACAAAUCUCCCCUUUUAGAUCAUGUAGGAGGCACCACAAGCCCACUCUCUGCAUAUAGCUUUUUAACUUCUCCUUGAAUAAUGACUUUGUCAUCAUACAUAACUCAUUCUCCGUUGUGUAAAUCUUCUCAAGCUAUAACCGUUCUUUCUCAAACACGUCUCGUAUCUAAUAAUACUUCACAUCAAUUUGCUUAGAUUUCGAAUGAUAUAUCAAAUUCUUUGAACGACACUCUGAUUUUCGCAGUACAUAAUAUAGUUGUCUCAUUUUAUACCUAGCUCUUGUAGGAAAUUCUUCGUCCACAGUAUUUUUUUGCAACCUUCAAUAAUUGUAAUAUCAUUUGCUUUAGUAGUAGAAAAGACAACUUAUUACUAAAGUUUAGAUUACGAUGAGACUGCUCCUCCUGCAAAAGUGAGCAAACAUUCUAGUAGGAAUUUUUCGGAAUCAACAUCUCCUACCAUAUCUAUACACUUGUAACACAGGUUUGUCACCACCAAAAUAUAAACAUGCUCUGGAAAUGCCUCUAAGAUAUCUGAGAAUUUUUCACUAUUGUCCAGUGCUCUUUACCGGGAUUGAAGAGAAACCACUAACUACACUAGUUGUAUAAGUAAUAUCUGGUCUUGUACAAAUUAUGGCGCACACCAAACUGCCAACUGCUGAAGCAUAAGGAACUCCUCUCAUGGAGAAAUGGGUUUUGCUCUUGAGAUUUUUGGGAACAUGAAGAAUAAAUAUGUAAUUUCUUGGACUGCCAUUGUUUCGAGGUAUAUAAACAGAGGACAAGUCUAUAUAGGUCGACAGUGGUUUGCUCAGAUGCCAGAACGAGAUUAUGUCUUAUGGACUGCCAUGAUUGAUGGGUACCUUCGAGUGAAUAGGUUCAAAGAGGCUUUGACGCUUUUUCAGGAGAUGCAAACUUCAAAUAUAAUGGGAGACGAGUUUACCAUUGUUAGCAUUCUUACAGCUCGUGCGAAUCUGGAAGCACUAGAUCUGGGAGAAUGGAUAAAGACUUAUGUUGAGUGUUAGAAAAUGCAUAUUUAUAAAGGAGAAAACCAUCAUUUUACAUUUCAAGUCUUACUAACAACCCUUACUUUUAUGUAUUUAACCUUCUUGUGAUUUAAUUACAUGUGUUUUAUUUUAAUUAAGUAUUUUAUGUAUUUUAGGGACAUUAUAGUCAUUUCACAAUAAAGGAGAGAUCAGACGGCAAAACAGACAUCACUUUUGAACUCAGGACGGUCAAAAACCUUAGGAGGAGCAUAAAAGGAAAAAUGGCACUAUUCACAUGUACGGUACUAUUCACGUGUACGGUACUGUCCACGUUACUGUUCACGAUACUGUUCACAUAGACAGAUCGAUGACGUGGCAUUGACUGAUGAGGUGUCACGAUCCUGUUGGGCUAAAAUUCUUAUGUACUGUUGAUGGUGACGUGGCAGCAUAUCAAUGGACGAAAAAUCUCGCAUACAGUACAUGCAUCACACAGGAUUAUUGUCAACCAAAUCGCGUUACUGUUCAUCCGGGUCAAACCGUGUUACUGUUCAUCCACGUAGUCAAACCGCGUACUGUUGACUGAUGACGUGGCGCAAUCCUGAGCGUCCAAACUGUUUUUAAUCCGAUGGCCAUGAUUUACUCCAUGUAUCUAUAAAAAGGGGGCCUCCCCCCCUAAUUUGACAACUCUGAAUCUAUUUUGGGAUCCAUUUUCUAUAAUUCCCUCUCCAUCUUGUAUUUUCUACGUAUUUUAAUAAAUUUCCAUUUUACCCUUAGUUCAAUUAUGAGUGGCUAAUUUCCUUUCAAGCUUGGGUUGAAGGUGAAGUCUCAACAUGUGUCAUGGGCUUUAUUUGGUAAAUUUAUUUUCUUUUCCCCUCUAGUUUUUGUGGAUGAUUUGACUUUUCGUCGACAAAUAAUAUUGAUCUUGUCUAGAUACCACCUUGGUUACACCGGCUCUCUAGUACAAGGUUAUUAUUAUUUGGCACGAUAAGCCCUUAGCACCAUAUUGAUUAGAGCGUGGUUCAUGAGGUGUGGAUUCCCCCCUCAUGAUUUAAUUGGCAUUAAUAAGGAUUAUAUAGCCCAUGAUGCAUGUUGAUACGGAUCUGGAUACCCAAGUGCUUCAUUUCAAUAGAUCUAUCUUCAAUUUCUUCUCGCCAUUUUAAUUUAAGUUUUAGAAUAUUCCAAAUCAUUUCCACCACAAAUCCAAUCCCCGAUUCACAAAAUUAAUUCUAUACACAAUUAAAAUCCACAUCCUCGUGGGAUCGACACUCGUCACCAUUAGUCUAUACUACAAUAGAUUCGUGCGCUUGCGAGUACAUUAAAAUUUACACAACAACUUAUAUUGACAAAAACAAAGUCAAGAAUGAUGUAUUUGCGGGGAAUGCUUUGAUAGACAUGUACUGUAAAUGCCGAGAUGUUGAGAAAGCUCAAAAGGUAUUCAGGAAGAUGCUUUGAAAGGACAAAUUCUCAUGGACGACCAUGAUUGUUGGCCUUGCCAUCAGUGGCAAUGGUGAUAAAGCUCUUGAUAUGUUUUCCCAAAUGCUUAGGGCUUCGAUCAAACCGGAUGAGGUAGCUUAUGUUGGUGUUCUGUCUGCCUGUACUAACAAUGGUAACGAAACUUUUGUGAUAAAUAGUUGCAACUUAAGGUGAGAAUUGGAGGAAAGGAAAUAGACUGAAGUUGUUCAAUCAUCGGUCGUCUCUAUUUGGUUUUCUCCGAUAUCUCAUCUUCAGUUUUGACUCAGAUUCUAUCUUACCACUUAGGGGUGGGCAAAAUCGGGUUCGGGUCAACCCGAUCGGGUUUCGGGUUGUUCGGGUUAGACAAGGAACAAUCCGAACAUAACCCGAAUUAAUGACCCGACCCGAACUUAGUUCGGGUCGGGUCAUUAAUUCGGGUUAUGUUCGGGUUGGAUUUAAAAUGGGUAGGAUUGAGUUCGGGUCAAUUUGGGUUAGUUCGGGUCAAUUCGGGUCAGUUCGGGUCAAUUCGGGUCAAUUCGGGUCGGUUGAAAUCGGGUCAGUUCGGGUCAAUUCAGGUCAGUUCGGGUCGGUUGAAAUCAGGUCAAUUCAAGUCAGUACGUUUUUUUUUUUUAAGAACCCGAUCGGGUAUUCGGGUCGGGUCGGGUUUGACCCGAACCGAUCACAACCCGAUCGGGUUUGUAAAUUUCAAACCGAUCGGGUUUCGAUCCCGACCCGAUCCGACCCGAACCCGAAAUUUAUCGGGUCGGGUCGGGUCGGGUAAAAUGCCCACCCCUAUUAAUACCACUAGUAAUUACAUAGACUUGCUGCCAAAGGUAAGAAUGAGAAUAAAUUAAAUAGAUUAUGUCGAAAACGAAAUAAAUUUACCAUUGUUCUGUUCAUUCUAUUUGUUUCCUACAGAAUAUUUCUCCAGCCUAAAAUUUUUUGAAUUAGUAAGUUUUUAUCUUAUGCAAGAAUUGUGCUGAGAGUAAUUCCAUUUCUCAGUCUCUUUAUGUUUCAAUGAAGACGUAAAACUUGUGUUCUAGUGCACCAAUGUUUAUGCUUCUUACAAUUUGACUUUAAUUUAGUUUGUAAAACUUUUGUCAAAAAGUACUAAAAAGUAGUGCACCAAACACAAACUUUAUUACAGAGAGGACUUCAGUUAAAUUUUAAGAAAACACUCAAAAGAACGAGUUAUAAAUUAUUAUCGAAAUAUUUCACAUAAAUAAAAGCCAUCCCAUGCUGCAAAGAUCUUGCUAUAAUCACCAAAAACUAUCGGGAGCUUUUAGGGUUUCCAUAAAAAUGUCAUUUCGUUCCAAAAGUCAAUGGUGGGUAGAAAGUGGUGCAAAUGAGACUCAUUGUUAAUGGUAUAAGUUUUUGCUUAAUUAUGUCUUCCCCAAAAUGAUGAUUUAAUUUCCAUUCUCAAUUAAUUUUCAAGUUUCAACACUUUUCUAUGUAGCAUGACAUUGGAAAGAUCUUGUACAGUUGUACUACUAAAAGCUAGCACCACACGUUAGUUAUUGUUAAGUUCUUUUUCAACGUGAAAUAAAGGAAGUAGUCCUUCGUUAAAACCAUUAUAGCCAAAUUUCACGUAAUUGGACAUUUACAGACUUUUAUUUCAAGUUGGAUUUUGGUCCAACAUUUCAAAGUUGGCCCAAUUAUUUUUGUCUGGUCAAGUCCUUCGCAGCUAAGCCCCUCAAUGAAUGAGGGUGAGAUUGCUAAAAAUUACGACAGGUGAUAUUUUAUUAUUAUUAUUUGUUUGAGGGAAAAAAUAGGAAAAGCAAUAGAGCGCCACGUGUCAACCAAUGGAAUGAUUCCUGCACAAUCUAAGGUACCCCACACAAUCCGAGGUACCCCAUAUAAUAUGAGGUACCCCACACAAAUAGGGGUACCCCGCGUAAUAGGAGGUACCCCAUGUAACUCGAGGUACUCGGCAAAGCGGAUGCAAGAGAAUCCUCCGAAAAUAUCCGCCAUGAGAAACGUCUCCGCCUCCUAAAAGAUAUUAUUCAAUUUUGUCAGAAUUAUGAAUAAAAAACGACGCCCUAAAAGGAGGGACAGUCGCCUGCGACCUCUGCCAAAAGUGAAGGACACUGUCCCAAGGACAGUGGUCCCCAACGCCUACCCGACAGCUACUGCAAAGGUACCCUGGACCACUCUCCAGCGCGCGCCACGUUUCCAAAAGAUGAGAUACGCCGCGAACGUGCAGAUAACUGCCCAAAAAUUAUAAAGAGGUAAAAGGACGUUAGUAAAAAAGGGUAUGCCAUGUGGCAGCUGAGGUACUCCAUAUAUAAAGGCGCCUAGGUUUCAUUCUCCAUCAUGUUCUCACUCACCAUUAACACUCGCACUCCAAAAAAUAGGUUUUCUUCAACCUUAAACCCUAAUUUACAGAGGGUUAGUCAGCUCUCUUUACCAUAAAAGCUUGAGUUUGCUAACUUGAGCGUCGAAGUGUGAACGCCGGGGUACCCCGGCUUCACCUCUAACCUCUAUUUCACUGUUUUGCAGGCGUGAAGCUCAUUUGGAAGGACACAUCUCUUAGUUCUAAACCUUUCACCAUUGUUACCACUCUCUCUCCCUUUCUCACCUCCCCUGGAUUUCAGAUACACCACACCGCACACAAUAAACUAGUGAGGUACCCCGUCUCCCAUAAAAAUACAAAUUCAUUGUUCUAGAUAGAUUUGGCUUUUUUUACCCCAAAAUCUGUUGAAAACACUAUUUUUAAUUUUGGGGGAUAAAUCCUCACCAAAGUGAGGAGAUUUUAUCAAAAUCAAAAUAAAAAUAUAACAAGAACUGAAAGUCGGGCAGCCUAAAAGCUAGAUGAACUAAAAGUCAGGCGCCUAAAAACAACCUUAUGCAAAAGAGAAGCAACAUGAGACCGAUCAAGUAAAAGAAUCCACCGCAACACCUAAAUUGGCCAAAUUAUCUGUUGGUAUUACAAGUUUCUUGUUAUAAAAGUGUAGAAUGAAGUAGGUGACAGUAGUUUUAAGUUACAGCUGCAUGCCUAAUCGCAAUAUCAAAUAAUGAUUAAAUAUCAAAUAAUGCUUAAAGUAGUUGCCUAGGCCCGCCACAAUUUAUAUUAACUCUUAAAUUUAUAAAUAAUUAAAUUUUUAAAAGUUUGGAUUUAUAUUAAAAAAUCUUCAUAUAAAUAAAUAAUAUAUGCACUUUUACAACACAGUCUUUAAAUUUAAAUUUUUCUAGAAAAAUCUUCUGUAUAUCUUUUCUAUUAAAAAAUUUCCAUAUAAAUAAAUAAUAUACCUAAUUUAAUUGGACCCAGCACAUCGCAUAUGCAUAGAACACAUUCCACAAAGCCAUGCUAUUCGGAAAUUGACGAAUGAAAAGUGAGGAGGCAGCAGUCAAUGCUAUUUGGGCUUGGCCCAAAAUUGAUUUAUCAGGUUGACGUUUGCCAGGAAUGAAGAACUGGAAUAUCACCGUCAAGCAAGCAACCUGUGGAGCAAUACCAUAGAAUGCACAAUCCAGCUUUGCAAGGUGACACUGGAGGCUUUUUGAAAAGUGCUUCACGCUCACUUGCACAGAUUGAGCAUCCCCUCUGGAUAUUGCCCUCUCUGAUCGAGUCUGAGCACUCAAAUUUCGGUCCUCAGAUGGAGCUACAGCUUUCUCUCCAAUAACCAACAAUUUUCUAAACUCAGCACCUAGUGUGAUCAGAGUUGUUGAUAUUUGUAAAUGGAGAUCCCUGUAUUUGCAAAUGGAGACAUUUACCAAAUCACCAACAUGCUUCAUCCAGUCUACGAAAUUCUGCAGCUGAUUCAAAUCCGGAACCUGAACCAGAGUCGGAGGUAAAUCUUGAGCCAUGUCUAAAGCAGUCUGAAGUUCAAGUACUUGAGCCCUUGACAAAGGUUUUGAAAUUGGAACAUCUUGGAUUACUGCAGACUUGUACCCCUUGGUUUCAAAGGUAAGGAAAGGCAUUGCUUGAGUACAAUUUGGAGGCAGCUUCUUCACCAAUUUUAUUUGGAGGCAAUUGGCAGCGGAUCCAGCUGCACCAAUUUCAGAGCAAAUACUGACACUACUUCAAACAGCACGCUGAAGAAGAGAUAUGUCUAUGGCAAAGGCAAUGCAGUCCUCAAUUUGACUUGAGAUGCGGUAAUCACCAAAGAGAGUUUCCUUAUGAAACUGGGCAACACAUUGAAUCCCUUCACCACUGAGAAGGUUGGGGAGGAAGUAAGCUUUCUCUCUCGUAAGGAAGAGGUGGCAUACCUUCCCCAUUUUGUCUAGGACAGGUAGGAAUCUUUUUUCUAAGAGAUUUACUCCAUUCUCUGUGAGAAAUGCUUUGAACUUCAUCCCUCUGUCUCUAGCCUCACUUAUCAGUAAAAUAGUUGAAAGCGCUACAAGGAGAGAAAAGAAGAGUAUUAAGAUAUAUAUAGACAAGAAAAACAUUAGAUGUCGAUCUUACAAGCUAAUACUUCAAACAGUAUCCUAGAAAGCUAAAAACUGCAAAAUGGCUUGAAAUUUGAAAAGAACACAUGCUUUUCCUCCUUAACUUGAGAAAAUGUUUAAUAUAGUGCACCUUACAGAAACAUUUAAACAAUUAGAACUUUGCACAAAAACAUUCAAGAAGACUAAACAAAUCAGAUGCAGUGUAUUUCUCCAAGCACAAAUGGCAUUGCAUUUUUUCCUCAACUGUAAUAUUUAUUGAUGAAAAUCAGUACAGGUCCCUCAUUUGUUAUGGAAAGCUUUCUUGUAGUCUGACCGGUUAAUUCACGGGUCUAUAAUCAUCUUGCAAAGUUACAGGCAUUUCUUUCGAUUUAAAGUCUUUGCAUCACCACCUCAUCACACACCAAGCCAAUAUUCCGUCUACCUCUACAACAAAAAGUUUUAAGUAAACGAUCCUAAUGCAUGCAGCCAAAUAAAAUGCAGUAAGAAUAUUCAACUUAAAACUCUGAAAGCCAUCUUGGUGAAUUGCCUCCUUAGGGGAAGUUCCAUGCUUUACUAUACUUGACAGGACUGAGCAAAAGCUUACAUACAACAGAUUUUGAAAAUGAUGAUGCCAAUAGAUACUCAUACAAUCCAUUGAAACUCCUAAGGUCCAUUGUUCACAGAGGUUUACAGAGUUUUGGUCAUCAAAUAGCUCAGACCUUAAUCCCAAACAAAAAACGAGUGAAAAUUAGAUCACCAGCAGCUAAUUGUAAAUUCUAACUUAACUCUUCAUCUCCUUUGUAAACAGGAGACAAAAUGGAGACACGCAAAAUGAAUAAGGAGAACAUUUGAACUCAAAUGAAAUGAGGGCACGAAAGCAAACAAAUGGCAUGCGCAAACAAACCAAGCCUCAAUCAAAAACUAAUUAACCAUUAAAAAAAAAAAAGUGGUCAGAGAAUGAACUCCAAAUUCGGGAGUGAAGCAAGAAGCUUUCAUUAUUUCAGAAGCUCCUGUACAAAUUAAUAAGUUAUGCUCUUUGGAAACAAACCUAAAUUCCAAGAGAAAGAGAACUCAAAAAAUUUGCAAUUAUACGCAAAGGAAGUGAAGCACAGCAUUCUAUCACACGUACAAAUUGUAUAACAAGAGAUCGACACAUCGAAUCAGAAGAACUCAAUUCAAAUUUGUCUCAAAAAUCAAAAUUAGAAGAUUUCACAUUUCGAGAGGAACAAGCGACAGGUCAGAUGCAAAAUUUUCAGCCACAACAUGCCACAAUUAACAGUUUAUUUCCAUGGAUUUAGAGAGCUGACUGACCUUUUGGCUUUUGGAAUUGAGAAGAUCGCGGGCCAAAAUGGAAGAGGGAAAGCGAAAGUGCGGGUUUUAAUAGGGUAUUGGAUUAGCAAAUUUAAUUAGUUUGCGAGGGUAAAAUAGGAAAGAGAUAUCACUAUUAACUUUUUUUUUUAUAAGAAAAAAGAAUAAUAAAGAAUAUUUUAUUGUCAUUUGCAGCCUGCAAAUGACAAUAAAUCAAAUACGUCAUACAGAAGCUUAAAGCUGAAUCUAAAAAAUCUAGAGCUCUCAACUACAAAAAUUACACUUGAUGAUCCUCUACAAGAUGAAGCUUGUUCAAUAUCUUAUCCAAAGUUUAUAAAGUAACCUUGUAACGAUCUUGAGAUUGCCUGCCUUCCUCGACGACCUGCACGAUGCGUUUGUACAAAUCAUCAUACCUGUGCACCGGAUUUUUAAUAUCAACGCCACUGCAGCUGUGAUCAAGAACAUAAGAGCGUUUAACAUCUUUUCUCCAUCGAGAAAGAAUGUAGUGAGAUGGGAUCUCCUGCAUGCCACUCUGGUUUAGAACACAAAGAAUGUGUCUGGAUAAAUAUCCUCUGAAAUUGAACAACCCACAAACACAAAGCACCUCCAAGUCGGAGGCAUUGUACAAAACAUCGAAAGCCCUUGAAUCUUUCUCGUUGCUACCAACCUCAAAUUCUUCCUUCACUAUGUAUGUUAUAGGUCCAUCAGCACUGACAUGUUUUGUGCUAUAGCAAGAGUACAUAGCCUCCACCUCCGUCUGAAACUUCCUUCACAUUUCAUUUGUGUACAGUUUUGAGAGUUGAAAUUCAUAGUCACAUCUUGGUUUCUGGAUACAACUUGAAUUUCUUGAAUCCAUAUCUGCCAAGGCUUCCGGUUGAUAAUUCGCCUGCAGUGCUUGAUCAUACUUGUGUAAGAAUUCUUUCAAAGGAGUACGCUUAUCAAGAUAUCCUUCAAAGUAUGAAGUAGAAACCUCAUUCUGCAGGAAUGAAAACACUCCUGAUAAAAAUGCUUCCUUCAAAUAAACAGGAGCCCACCUUUUACGAUCUUCAUAUAAAGUUUGAAUCCAUCCGUGAUCCUUUAUUCCAUGACGUUGAAUCAUGUCUUCCCAAGCUGCUUCAAAUUCCUCAGGCCUGAGAGAGUGAUAAAUUGCUCUAUGUAAUGCACCUCUAAUAGCUUCAUAUUCAAACAAUCCUUGGAGUUUCUCUGGAAUUUUUUGCAAGAUGCAUGACAAUGAAAAGCAAUGAUAAGCUCUUGGGAAAACAUCGCCAACAGCAAUUUGCAAGAUUCUACAUUGGUCAGUGAUGAUUGUUUGUGGAGAGCGUCCUAACAUACAUGUAAGCCACACCCUAAACAACCAUGUAUAUGAUUCUAUGGUCUCCCUGGCAAGUAAACCACAACCCAACAACACUGAUUGUCCAUGAUGAUUCACCCCAAUGAAUGAAACCAGUGGUACAUCAUAUCUUUCAGUCAAGCACGUAGUAUCAAUUAAGACUACAUCACCAAAGUACCUAUAUGCAACUCUUGACCUGGUAUCAGUCCAGAACAGGUUUCUCAAGCAUCCCUUUUCAUUUAGAUCCACUACAUUAAAAAAGUUUGGAUCUGUCAACUGCAAACGACAAAAGAAACUCUGGACAGCUUGUGCAUCUCCUGGUUUAAGCUUCAAUUGAUUUGAGCUAUUAACAUUAUUUCCAAAUACUCCAUUAACAUCUACAUUACCAUUUCCCUCGGUAUCGAUGAUAAGAGUUCGAAACAGUCUAAUUUUUUGAACGUCUUCAGCACUAUCUAAUUGCAAUGUUCUUUUGGUUCCAAUACCUAUGUGCUUAUGUGACUUGUAAAACUUUCCGCUUCUUGGGCUUAACAAGUGGUUAUGCUCAAGCUCGACUUCAAUGAUUCUCCACCUUUUGGUUUCCAUCAACCUAAACUUUAUCAUUGCUGGACAGCCAGUUCUUGUUUCUGGUCUUGGGCGGUUUGCCUCGCUUUUCUUCUUGAAGCCUGCACUACUACAGCUCAGCUUUCCUCUAUACUUUUCUCUACUCUUUCGGUACCAUGUAUUGCUAACUCUAACACCAAAACCCUGUUCCUUGGCAUAGCAAUUGUAAAAGUAAUAAACAUCAUCAUACGUCUCAAACUCCAUUCCAACAGCAGGAGCCAAUGGAUUUUGGAUUAUCCCAGUUUGUCCAACAUAUUCAGUCAUUGCACAAUCUCCUACGACCUCAAAAUCAUCAGCAUCAUCAUCACCUACUGGUUCAGUAUUCAGAGAAACUUCAUCCAUCUACAAUAGAUGUUUAAUGAAGUGAACUUUAAGGAGAAAAAGCAAAAUCAGUUCAAGGAAUGAUAAUAUAACCAUACAGUUACUUUCACAAAGCUGCGUAUUUCAUCAAUACCUUAACAACAUACAACUGCCUGAGAACGUAUAGACAUGUCAUAGACGCUUGAAUUAAGUAUUGGUACAAAUUCAUGUGGGACACAAUUUCAGUCACUAAACCCAAUGCCUUUUUUUUUCACAUCAUACCAAGGAACGGAUUAAACCCAAUACCUUCUUUUACGCCAUACCAAAGAACAGAUUAAAUCAUCAAUGAAAAAUUAAUCACAUAAUAAUUUAACUAGACAAAUAAAGAGCUCGAAACAGCACAAAACUUGAAUAUGAUUAUGAUAAUUGUUGAGUCAUUGUAUCUACAGCUUUCCUUCAACAAGAAGAUUAUGAACAUAAACUACACACAAAAAAUUUAUUUUAAACUGACAUAAAUUUAUUCAGUUACAUUGAAACCCAAAAAAGGAAGCAGGAGCUGGAGAAAAACAACAGCAGAGAAACUUAUUUCCAGAAGGUUUACGAAAUAAGGAAUUUAUUAAGACACAAAAUUUGAGGUCAACAAUAAGAAUUUGGUUCUCAUUCUCUUUUUCUUCAUUUUUCACUUAUUGAUGGAGUUACCAUACAAUCCUAAAUGAUAAAACCCCAUCUCCAUCUUUUUGAAAUAGAGUUAAAGCAAAGCUUUUUAAGAUGUUUUUCCCUAAAAGACUCAAUAGUACAAUGUUUUUCAAUAUUAAAUACACAACUCAAUCUUCCCCUAAUUUACUCUAAUAAUCUCUUAACUAAGGAAGAUUAAGCUCCACUUGUAAGCUAAAACAAGUUUCUUAAAUCAAGCCCCAAUGCUCUAUGCUAUUCAACAAGGCCUCAUAAAUGAUAAAACUACCUCUACAAAGAUACCCAUUUUAAUUUCGCAAACUAAAAUCGAACUCCUGAAACGUAACGAGCAUUAAAACAAACAAGUCCGAACAAGAACUGAAAAAUGAUACGUAAACCCGUUUCGACAAACAGUUUCCAAUCAAUGAGCAAAAAAGUUAAUGGAAAACAUGAAAUUCAAACGAAACAUACCUUAGGUUGAUAAAUUAGUAGCGCAAAAGAAAUUUUAGCGAGAUAUGGGAUCAGGGAUUUUGCCACGGUGAUGUUAAUUGCGACAUUCGGGUGACUCAGCAGCCUUCGAGGCUGAAACUUUGAUUGACCAAAAGCUUCCCGUUCGUUGAUUCUCUAAUUGCAGAAACGAAACUGGCAGUGUACAGAAGACGUACGCUGAUUUGAUAAUUCUGUGAAAAUCAUUGUUUUUUUUCAGAUUUUUAAUGUGUUCGAUAAAAUAUCAAAAUCUCAAAAACUUUUGUCUUUCAUUUUGGGGGGGAAAAACCCAUUGAGAUCCUUAUGUUUUUUCUUAUAUAAUCUGGCUUAAUAAUUUGCAAAGUCUAUUACUUAGCACCCAUGCAUGCUGCGUUCCAAUUUACAAAAUUGUACGUGAGUGCAUCCAGCUAAAAUUUGUAAAAAGAAAAUAGCAAUAACAUGUUAAAAAUGUGAUUAUUAUGAAGAAAUUUUAAUUUAGUUAAAUAGGUGACGAUGGAUAGGUAUAAAAUCUGAGAUCUUUUAUAAGGUUAAUAAAUAUGUUGAGUUUGGAUUAGUUCAAUUUUGAAAUAAUAAUAUUCAAAAUAUCUCUUAAAUCAUUAUAAACCUCAAAUCUAUUUUAAUUUUAUUUAAAAGAUAAAAGAAAAAUAGGUUAUGUUGGUGAUUUUUUAUUAUCUUUUUAAUAAAAAUGAAAUAAAUUGAUGUUUAUAAUUAUUUAAAGUAUUUUAAAGACUGCCAUUUUAUGAGAGAAAAAUAUUUCACUUUUUUUUAGUGUGAAAGGCCGAAAAAGGACAAAGCAAGUUUCCCUAGUUUUUAUUUAUUUGAAAUUGGUCAUCUCAUAUACUUCACCCUUCAACACUAUAAUUUUUUUGGUUAUAAUUUUAUUAUUUUUUCUCUUUUACACAUGCAUGUGAAUUACUUUUCUUUAAGCUCCUGAAUAUUUAAGAUAAAUCAUGGAAGAGAUGAGAGUAUAACAAGAUGACCAAAAUAUGUAACAAAAAAAUUUUAUAAGUGAAAAAUAUGUUAGAGACUUACAGUGGAAGUAAAACUCUGAGGUGAUGUUUGAUUUGAAGAAAAUGGAGGAAAUGAAAAGACUGGAAUGUAGAGGAAAAGAGAGAAAAGGAGAGGAGAGGAGAGUGAAAUUUUUUUCUAAUGUUUGGUUUGUCACAUAAUUAUACAAAGAAAGGAAAUCUCUAAUUUUUUAUUUAGACAAUUUUAACCUUAAUAAGUAUUAAGUUUUCAAUAUUUAUCAUGUGUAUAAUUAAAAAAAAAAGAAGUAAAUGGUAGAAAGCGGUUUCUGAUUCCGGCCACAUCGCCCGCAAUGGAAGGUACUUAUCAGAACAUCAAGAGCCAGCCAUCAUUCCCUAGCCAUCACUGCUGUCGGAACACUGCCGGAAAGCUGCCGAUUGAACCGCGAAAAGUCGUGGAAAUCGCUGCCUCAAAUCGGUGAGUUUCGCCCUUUUCUGGUCACGCCGUCGCCAUGGCUUUGUCCAUCAAGCCUGCCACUUCCAUUUUCAACCAUCCAUAGCCACUAUUAAUUGCCAAAUCACCGCCGAUCAGCGGGAUCUGUGGAAGUUAAAAAGUUUCUAAAUUUUUUUAACUGGAUUUGAACAACAUACGACCAUUUUUUUAUCUCGAUAACGACGUAGUAAUGUUGAUCGUUGGUCGGCAAGUCGUAUGGUAGUGGCAGUGAGUAACACGCGCCAAUCACAUCGGCGGCGGCGGCGGCACUAUCCGGCGACUGUUAAAAUAAUAUUUUAUAUUUUCAGAUUAAAUAAAUUUAUUUUAUUAAAAUUUUUAAAUCAUUAUUUAAAUUUAAUUAAUUUAAAAUUAUCUAUAAUGUUGAAUUGAUAAAAUAAAUUUAUAAAUAAUAAUUAUGUGAUUACAUUAAAUAAGUUAAAAAGUUGAAGGGUUAGUUUUGGAAGAUUUAGUUUCCAACACAAAGGGAAUUUGAAUUCUUCACUUCUUAGUGUGGAAUUCAAAUUCUAUAUUGUAAUAGAUAUUAAAUUUCAAUAAAAAUUAAAUUCUUAUAAGUUAUGUCAAACCAAACAACGAAAAUAAAAAAGAAAUUUAAAUUAUUUUUCUUUCCUCCACCCUCUCCUUCCAACUAAAUACAUCCUGAAAAUAGAGAUAUUGAUUAAUUUAGAAGAGAUUCAAGCAAAAAAUAUUCCAAAAAAAAAAGCAAUAUGUCCCUUUGGAGGGCAAACUUGUCAGUUUCAAAAAAGUACAUGCUUUGUAUUGAUAGUUGUAGGAUAUUUGUUUUGUCACUAUGUAUUAGUUGGAGAAGUCCAGCCUUGUGGAGAAUGUUAUGAAAGAGCAAAGGAUAUUCCUGAUAGCUGAUAGAGCUCUAUCUGAUUAUGUAUCCAGUGAAUGGAUGUGUUGUUGGAAGAUAUCUGAGUGCAUUAGUUCAUAUGUGUCUGUCAAUGUGCUUUUAAUGAUUUUUCCACCUGUUUGUUGUAAAAGAUUAUUGUAAAUUGAAAUGAACUUGAUGUUUUAAUAUUUUCUUCCGUAAAUUGAAAUGAACUUGAAUUAAAUCUCGUUGAAUUUAAUAUUAUCUCCUUAGUGGAAUUUCACCUAGUAUGUAUUCAGUUGUGUUGUCUAUAAUUUUGCAUUCGAGUAAGUUUCACCUAAAACAUUAGCAUGAGUAGUGGCCCUUGAACCUUUGGUCAAAAUUAUUGUUAUUAUUUCUGACUAGAUGUAAAUUUUGUAUUAAAUCUCGUUAACACAAUUCUUAAUUAAAAGUAUAGGUUAGUGUUGGUGCAAGAUUUGCCACACCAAAUUCUGCCUAGCUGUCAAAAGUGCAAAAUAAAUGAAGAGAAAGCACAAAUACACGACUUGAAUAAGGAUACAACGAAACUUAAAUUCAAGAGAAAAUGAUAGCUAUAUCCCAAGAUUUGAAAAAGUAGUCAUGUAGGUUUUUAAGAUUUCAAUAAGCGACUGAGAUUCAAAUAAUAUCCUUUAAUUCUAUUAAUAAAAAACAAAGACUCAAAUAUUUUAUGAUAAAUAAAAAUAUAAUAUUAAAAUAUAUGUGAUAAUAUACACAUUUUAAAUACUUUCAAUCCAAAAAAAUAGUUAUGUUUUACAAUCUAUUAGACAUAUUUUAUUAAAUUAAUAUAAAUUUUCUAUAAAAUAAGAAUAUAAUAUUAAAACAAAUUCACAGAAAUUUAAAGAAUUUUGAAUGUAAAAUAAUUUUAAUAUAUUAAUACGUGAGUUUUUUUAUUAAUAUAAAAAUUAUUUAACUUUAAGAUUUUUUAAAAUCUUUACAAUAAGUAUAACUAUAUUAUUUACAUUUAAAAAUAUUUAAAUAUUAUUAACCUACAAUUAUAUUUGCAUUUGUUAGAAAUUUUUAAAGUCAAAUAUUUUGCACUUCUAUAUUAUUAGAAUUAUUGCACACAAAGAAAGAAACAUAUACGUUUAGAAAUUGUUUUCUUUUAAAAUAGAGAUGAUGAUUAGUAUAAGGAUCAAAAAAAGGAUAAAGAAUAUUAAUGAUUAACGAAAACUCUAUACAAAUUGAUUUUAGUAGGAAAAGAGUGAGAUGAAUGAUUUCUUUUACAGUUAGAAAAAUAGAUGAUGAUUAUUAUAACGAAGAAGAAAAGAUAAAGAAUAUUAAUUAUUAAUGGAAUCUCUAUGCAAAUUGAUUUCAGUAGGAAAAAAAAUGAGUUAAAUGAUUUAGAGUGCGUUUGGAAUUGAGAUUGGACAGCCAUAGAUUUUAAGUUACAACACUGAAGUGUUUGGUAAAUACUAGCUGCUGCAGAUUGAAAGUUAUGUUGAUAUGAUUUUUCACAUGUAUCAUAGAAAAUAUAUUACAUCUUUAAUAAUUUUUUUAAAAUUUGUAUUUGCUAUAUAUUGUUUUUUUUAUAUAGUUAUAACUUUUUUUUUUUCCACAGCAGCUGUAGCUUAAAAGCUACAGCACCUCAAUCUCAAACAAGUCCUUAGACAUUCAUAGUGUGUUUAUUUUUUGGAUUGGUGAAUCAAAAUUAUUGACAACGCUAACUUCAUCUUCACCGUUCGCAAUCCAACAGCAGCAAUUGUCGCCAAUAAUGAUAUCGCCGAUGAUGAUGACAAUAAUAAUAAUAAUAAUAAUAAUAAUAAUAAUAAUAAUAAUAAUAAUAAUUAUUAUUAUUAUUAUUAAUAAUUAAUAUAUUAAUAUAUUAAUGUUAAUAUUAUUAUUAUUAAGAUUAACAAUAAUUAUUAGUAAUACAAUUUUUUGAAUAAAAAUAAUCACAAUAAUUAAAAUACAAAUUAACAAUUAUGACAAUAGUUAAUUAAUGUCUUUUUAGUAAUUUGUAAUAAUCUAACUCAUUUUAAUUCUGAUUAUUACAGUUUAAGUAAAUAAAUUAUUAUGAUUCCUAUUCUCCUUUUCUAUUUUAACUCACUUCGAUUCCAGUCUAUUCUGAUUUUUGUUUAAUAAACGCACCAUUAGUGCUAAAGUAAUAUUUCAUACAUAGAAAAGUAAAAACUACACCUAAGGUUAAGGGAAAGGACUUCAAAACUCUCUUUUGAUCAUAAUACAUUUUGUACUAAUUAACUUAAAGAUUUUGAAUCUAAUAUUUUAUAAUAAAUAAAAAUAUAUUCCUAAAAUAAAUAUAAUAUCAAUAUUUAAAAUAUGUUUUAAUAUUUUACACAUUUUAUUAUAUUAAAGUAGAUUUUAUAAUAAAUACAAACGUCCUAUUAAAAUGAAUAUAUAAAAAAUUUAGAAAAUUUAGAAUAUUAUAUAAAAUAAUUUUAAUAUAAUGCGUGAGAUAUAUUUUAUUAAUUUAAAAUGUUAUUUUACCUAAAAAAUAUGAUAAAUUAAUAAUUACAUAUUUGAAGUUAUUUCAAAUAUUAAAAAAAUUUAAUAUUAUUAGUCUUUUAGAUAGAUUAAAUUAUUUUUUUUAUAAGAGAUAGAUUAAAUUAUUUUAAAAUGCCUUAAUUAUUUUUACUUUUAACGUUACCGGCCUUUCUUUUAUUUUAUUGCAAAUUAAUGCUAACAAGAAAAAGCUAGAUCAUAUUCCACAAAAGCAAAAGUGACAAACACAACCAGCUGGAAUCUUUUAUAAAACUACAAAUUAAAAUGGAUUUUUUUUUUGAUAAAUUACACAUGAAAGUGGAUUCUUUUGAAUAUAAGUGGAGUAGGCUCUUUUAUUUUAUUUUUGAAUAUUGUAUAACGGGACUGUAGACUCUUUUAUUAAACUACAAAUUGUAUAGUCUUUUUAAAAUUGUUAUAAAUUAAUGGCCCCCACAAUCCUCAACAAUUGUACCGAUAUUCACAAGUUGGUGGCCCCUACAAUUCUGUUCCGAUAAUUUAACUGUGCAAGUGCUCAUUCACAAUCUUCCAGGUCAUGCUCUCAAUAAUUGUUUUUUUUUCCUGCAUUCCCUUUGGGAAAUUUACGAAAAUAAUCAUUAAUAUUUUAUUAUUUUUACAAUUAACCGUCUUAAUUUUUUUCUAUCAACAUUAGCCAAAUACAAGUCUUUCUUCCCAAAUUACCCUUCUUUACAGAACAAAACCAACAUUGUUUCUCCCAUAUCGCCAAACCAAAAGCAGCUUUUUAUUCUUAAAUCAUCAGCCAACGGCGACCGCAAAAGACAACGGUAAAAGUGAUAUCCGAUCAUAAUCUAUCCGGAUCCAACACAAAUCUACAUCACUCAGUGGUAUGAAUUAUUUUUUGAACUUACUGAACUCAGUCGGGUGAAUCUGAGUCUGGCGACAGGCUGCCUGUCGCAGUAAAACUUGGUGCGACAGGCAACCUGUCGUACCAAACCUUGGUGCGACGGGCACCCUUGGAGAUUUAUUAAAAAUGUAUUAUUUUAAUAGGACUCAAAUAAUUUUUUUUUAUAAUUUCAGGCUUAAUGGAUUCAGUUGUACUUGAAUUGUGUUACGAUGGUUGGUGGGAGACAUUAGAGAAUGGCUGUAUGGAGUACGUGAAUGGUAAAAAUCGAGCUUUUUUGGUUGGAAAAAAUUACUUGUUUGAUCAGUUAUUGGCAAGAGUAUACGAGGUAUUAAAAAUAAACCCUAAUGACUAUAGUAUCACAAUGAAGACAACUUUGAGGUCUAGUAACACAUUAUAUCGUAUAUGUGCAAUGCCCAUGGAUAUAUGUGAUGAUGAAAUGGUGAGGGUUGUGUUGCAUAUGGCAUCUGACGUAGCUAAUUUUGGAUGCAUUCCUAUAUUCGUGACCACAUCACCUCGACUUCCGAGCGAAGGUAUUGAGCCACAUGUCGAUAUAGAAACUUCGUUUAGAGCAAAUAUGUCUGGCCCCGAUAAUGAUGAAGAGGUGUUGCCAAGGACAAUAUCGCUGCAGCAAUAUUACUCUCCAAUCCACGACAAUUAUGAUAACAUUGAUGAUAAUAGCGUUACGUUACAGGAUGUUGGAGCAACGGUAUUUCCAAUAACAACGUCGUUGGAGCAACGAUAUUCUCCGUAUCACAACAAUGAUUUUCGGGACAAUGAUGAUUUUCAUAAUGAGACAGAGGAGGAUAAUGUUUGUGCAGAACCUUCUAAUAAUACGAGGCGGGGCACUCGUUUCAAUAAUGAUGGUGAUGAUGGAGGAGUCGGUCAUUCGAAUGUUCCGUCGUUUCAGCAUGAGGAUGAGUGUGAAGACAAUACUCCUGUGAAUAACAGAGGCAAUAGACCUAUUCCUUCUAUGGUUCGAUCGAGAAGGAGAAUUGACCCCCUUACAAGUCUUGCUCCAACUUUACCUUCGAACAUGGUUGCUCCAAGCUUUGUUAGCAGUUGUGACUCAGAUGAUAUCAGCGUGGGUAAGCUAUUUGUUGAGAAGAAUGAGCUUAUAUUACAACUACGCAAGGUGGCCUUUAGAGAUAAGUUUGAUUUCAAGAUUGCACGGUCUACUACGACACGUUUCGAGGCUCACUGUUGUUCAGAAUCAUGUAAAUGGCAUAUUCGAGCAACUAGAAGUUCGAACGAGCAAAAUGUUCCUUGGGUGGUGAAGAGAAUUGAUAAUGUACACACUUGUCAUAAUGAGGUAUUGAUUGAUGGACGUCAUCAAGUAAGGAGCCGGGUUGUCGGUCAUAUUAUCGCAGAAAAAUAUAUUCAAGAUAAGAGGAUUUAUACUCCCAAUGACAUAAGAGCAGAUAUGCAACAGGAAUACGGUGUUCAGUUAACAUACCAGCAGGCAUAUAGGGCGAGAGAAGUUGGUCUUGAAAUAGUUCACGGCAACCCUGCAGAGUCAUACAACUUGCUCCCUAAAUACUCUCACGUACUAACUACAACGAAUGAGGGUACAGUCACUCACCUCGAGCAGGAUGGAGAUGGUAAUUUCUUGUACUAUUUUGUAGCACUCGGAUAUUCCAUCAAGGGGUUUAUGCAGUACAUUCGGCCUGUCAUUGCUGUAGAUGGUACUCAUCUAAAGAGAUUAUAUCGUGGAAGCAUGUUCGUGGCAACAUGUCUUGAUGGUAACAAUCAAUUGUAUCCGUUAGCCAUUGGGAUCAUGGAUUCAGAAAAUAAUGAUGCUUGGGAAUGGUUUAUGAUGAAGUUACACGGAGUGAUUGGUGAUAGACCUGAGUUGGUAAUUAUCUCUGAUCGAUGCACUGCCAUAAGGAGAGCCGUUCUUAAAGUAUUUCACAAUGCAACUCAUGGCGUUUGUUUUUACCACGUCAAAGGUAACAUUAAGUCACAAUUUAGAAUGUCCAAAGCUCUUUGGGAUGAAUUUGAGCAUGCCUUUAUUAAUGCAGCAAAAGCAUAUGGCCACGAGGAAUUUAAGAGACAACUUGAAGGGUUGUGGAUGAUCCACUCGGGUGCGGCUGAUUACUUAGAAAAUAAUGUCGGCACGUGUAAUUGGGCAAGGUCUCAGUUUCAAGGUAGGAGGUACAACAUUCUUACCACCAACAUCGCGGAGAGUGUUAAUGCUUUCAUGAGGGAACCUCGAAAAUUUCCUGUUACUCAUCUUGUUGAUCACUUCAGGAAAACAUUGCAGCAAUUGUUUUAUGAUAGAAAAAUUGUGGCUGAAUCAAUGACUACUCGGCUAACAACAUGGGCGGAUGAAAUAGUCACUGAGAGGAGAACUAUAGCUGAAAGAAUGAUAGUUCGGCCGGUGUCUCCGCAUCGCUUUCAAGUUAUAGGCGGUGGGCUUAAGGAAGGGUUGGUUGACUUGCAAAAGAGAACUUGCUCCUGCAGAGUGUUUCAGCUUGAUCAGCAUGUGUGUGCUCAUGCAAUUGCGGCGUGUCUAACACACCGGGUGGAUUUUAUUAACCUUUGCUCGGACUUUUACACUACAGAAUCGUUGGCGAUGGCUUAUGCACAACCAGUGGAGCCAGUUGGUGAUGUGGCUGAUUGGGAAGUUCCAGAUGAAAUUCAGGAGAUGCAGGUAUACCCACCAGUUGAGGCACCACUACCUGGCCGUCGUAAAGAGCUCAGAAUACCCUCGACUGGCGAGGACGUUGACCGGCGGACUGUAAGAUGCGGCCGGUGUCAUGAACUAGGCCAUAAUCGUAAGCGAUGUAAGAAUCCUAUUGCGUCGACUCGAAGUUAGUUGUAUUUUGUGUGUUAUUCGUUGGUUAAAACUAUUAUUGUUUUUGUGUUACAUUGGUUAAAACUGUUAUUGUUUUUUGUAUUUCGUUGGUUAAAACUGUUAUUGUUUUUUGUGUAUUGUACACUUAUAUUCAUAAAACUUUAUUUUAUUUUAAAGUUCAAAAUGUGAGGCAUUAAAAUUAUAUAAACUUAAGUGCGGAAAUUAAAAAAAAUGCAAAUUUCAACAUUGAAAUUACUACAUAGGUCUACAAUAUAAUAUCGUCAUUAAAUAUAUCAACCGCAAUCUUCUUUCUAAAGUACUCGACAUGACUAGCGUUAAACUCCAAUCUAAGCCCGAACAUUAAAUACAUCGUAACCAUCAAUACAAAAACACUGCAAUCGCUAGUUCCGGGCUCUUGUUGUGGUGCGCUCUUAACUGCGAUAACUUUCCACGGGUCUUCACUCCGCAACUCAGGUCGGAUAUUGUAGAAGCCAACAUAUUCCAACCAUCGAGGGAAUAUAACUUCAAGUGGCUUGAAUUUCAACUUGUACUUUUUGUCGUCGCGAAAUGUGAGUAAUGAGUCAUAAAUCCAGACUUUAUUUUUCCGAAAGUCAACUCGUGCUAGUACCCAAUGCGCGCCGUCCAAGUUAACAGGGAUGAGUAACUGCAUAUAAAAAUUAAAAAAACAUGUUCGUUAUAUAUGAAAUUGAAAUACAACAAAGAAAAAGCAACAACUCGAAUAUUUUCAUUAUAGAGCAUGUGAAAUGUAAUAAAAUACACACCAUAUCGACAUCCGUCAUUAAUUUUGACAUUGUGUGCUGUCGCCCACAAAGAUAACUAUUCAAGCGGUCGUCGAAUACCAUUGAAUCAACUGCACAAUUCCUGUUAUUCCAUAACUGAUUCAAGAACACCUAGUACAUAGAUAACCAAGAAAUGCAUAAAUUAAUAAAACUUAAAGGCAAUAAUUAAACAAAUUAAAUAGUAUUUAUAAGUUUUGUCGGCACGUUACCCAAAAAAAUGUGUCAGUAUGUGUGACACGUUGGAGUAAGGCAUUUGGAUACUGCCGUUGUUUCUCGCUAAUCAAGCGGAGAUACUCGUGAAUAUGCUGUAGAGAAACAAAAAUAUUACGAUUUAAAAAAAAAUUAUACACAAAUCCACAACAGUAUACACCACGAGGAAAAUAUAAAUACCUCAUCGCCUAGCCAUCCCAUCGAAGCUGUCCCCAAAAUUAUUUGAAAGAAUGACCGCAGGUGCUGGACUCUCCGGCGGACUCUGCUAUCACCAGUGAACCAUCGAUCAAACUCAGCAAACAAACUAGAGUCCUCCAAUCCUCUCAGUGGAUUUACAUCCACACUCGUACUCAUGUCAAUCGCAUGCUCCAUCAUUUGGGGUCGAGGUAACCUCCGGACGUUCUGUCCACGCCUGACCGGAGGAAUCAUGUAAGGACUGUUAUAAACAUACGACGGUAUGUACGCGCGGCCGAACUUACUAACGCCCGGAGGCACCUCUGUGAACACCUGCAUGCUCUCCCCACUAACAUCCCCGUAUAAACUAUAAAAUGACGUGGGCGUAGACAAAUUUUCAUUGCCCACGUCAGUAUACACUCCAUAGUCAUCCGGGGCCUGUACAUUCGCCAAAAAGAACAUAUUAAAUAAUUAUCAAAUUAAAAGUUAAACGAACAUAAUUAUUUAAUUUAAAUUAGCUUACCGCAUACGAGCGUGCAGUGGGAGAAUCCUUAUUUGGAUGUUUAGAAAAUGUGUCGAUGAAGCCAACAACGGUUUCUUUAAAAUCUUUUAAUUCUGACUUUAUUUCAUACACAUUACGAUCAAUCUUAUCCAGCCGUCGUCGUACGUAAUCAUUAAACUGCUUUGUCCUCGACUAUUACAAAAGAAAAAAAUAAAACUUUAGAAUAACAAUAAAAAAAUAAUAAUUUAUAAAGGAAAAAUAUCGUAUAUUAUUUAUAACCUCAGAAUCCCGUGCGUCAUCAGAGUUGUCUGUUUGCUGCUGGUGGUCAUCAACAGCCACCUCAUCCUCAAAAGUGUCAAGACGCUGCUCUGGUAUUGGGUUUAGUAUGUCGUCAUGAUCAUCAUGCUCGUCCGAUUGUCUUGUAACCGACGGCAUCGCGUUGAUUGAGGGUUGGUGCUGUAUAAAGUAUCAUUUAAAAUUACUAAAUGAAAAGUCAAAAAUUUCGAUAAAAAAAUUUUUAGUACUUACAGUAUACCGACCUUAUGAAUCCAAUCUGGAAUGCUUGGCAAGUAAUCCUUCACAGAGAGUCAAUAUUUUCUGCUACUCUCUUUUGAAUUUGGCUCAAGAGUUUGUAAAAUGUCCGUCUGCCAUAAAUUCAAUUGAAAAAUUUAAGUAAGUAUACCCAACUUAAAUUUAGUAAAGUUAAAAAAUAAGUAAUACAUAUUACUUACAAGACGAGAUUCGUCGUUGAAGAACGAAUAAACCUCCGCAAAGUUGAUUCUCGAAGACGUCAUGGGCUUCCAUUGCAGAAUGCGGGGAAUCUUACUCUUCGUUUUGACGACCCAUGUUGAUGGCAACCCUCCGAUUGCUUCGUAAAUCCAAGCCUACAACAAACCAAAGUGAAAAAUCAAAUAAAACAACUAUCAAAUAUUUAAUACUAUAAAACUUAUUAAUAAACAAAAAAAAGCACCUGCACCCCAGACGUAAAGCCGUAAAGAUUAUAUUUUUCAAUAUUAUGAUCUGAAUUUUUCAACCGAGUCUUCUUAAAUUUCUCGUCUUUCUCGAACAGUGCAUUGUCAAGACUCUCGUAAAUCAUUUCCCACGACAAUAGACCCCAUGGCGCUUUCGGAAGUACUGUAUAUCAUCAACUUGGUCAAGCCAAUCGAAAUUAAUUUGACAGUGAUUUUUUCUUGCAUUUAGUACUCUGUCCGCAAAAUAAAACAGCGCAAUCUUUAAUGCGUCCAUAUCGUCCAUUUCCUCGAAAUUCAACUCCUUAAAUACUGCAUCAAAUUGCUUCACAUUAAUCUUACGAUGCACACCACCAAAAUACGUAUUCCGUAGCCUCUGCUCCAUUUCAUCAUUUUUUUCAUUGGUAUCAACACCAAAUGAAAGUCCAGUAACCAAGCACCAUUCGAUAAUUGACAAGCGAAUCAAAUGCUUACCAAUUUGAAACCAUAACUGAUCCUCACAGCUAUCUUCUUCAUGGGCCACUUGCCGCAGUAAACGAUUGUGCAAAAUUACCCCACUAAAUGGAAAACUUCGGCACUCCAAGAAAUGCCCAAAUAUAUCCUUUUUGAACAUACUCAACUGCCGCUUUGUUAAUUUUUCCUCGAUGGCUUUUACGACCGAAGAUAACAUACACAUGCUCGAAAUUCGACCAGGAAAGUGAUCAGCAUAACGAAAAUACAUCUUGCCUACUUCAAUAUCCGGUGAUUCUGAUUUCGCCAUGUAUCUGUAAUAUUUAUAAAAUUAUUACAUUACAUUUACAAAAUUAUUACCAAACUCUAAUUUUUUGGUGCGACAGGCGCCUGUCGCUCCAAAAAACUGCCUGUCGCACCACAGCUGGUGCUCCAAAAUCGAAAACAAUACUCCCAAACACUACCAACUACCACAAACAUCAUCACCACCACUAUUAAUCUCAAGCUAUAACUAUUAUUAUUCUAAAAUCUCAUUUUAAAUUAAUGAAAAUAAGAAAAAUGACUAACCUAGGUUUUGUUGAAGGUUGUAGAUCGUAGAUCGGAUGCCGGUGAGAGAUGGAGCCGCCGCCGACGAGGGUUGAUGUCGCCGCCGAUGAUGGGAGUUGGAUCGGUUUGGGAGAGAUGAGUGAAAAAGGGAGUGUUGGGGAAGAGAUGAGGGAUGGGUAUUUUGGUCUCAAAUGUUGUUUUAUGGCUAAUGUUGAUAGAAAUAUUUUUGGGGGGUUAAGAUGAAAAAAAACAAAUUUGUUUUGGUUAUUACUGUAAAUUUCCCAUUCCCUUUCAUGCUCUUAAUAAUUGAAGAGCAUACUUUUCAUUUUCAAAUGUGGAGCCGCAUCUAAUGUCGCUAAUUUAAUUUGGGAUUAAAUUAGGGGACCAUUAUAUUGCAGUGUGUACUAAUUUUUGUGUUUAUCUAAACUCCUUAAGUUUAAGACAUAUUAUGGCAUAAAUAAGAAUAUAACAAUAACAAAAGAGAUGCCGGAGCAGAUCAGCAGGGUUUGAAUAUGACCUUUGGCGGUUGCUUUUUUUUUGUGAUUUUUUUCAUUUUUUCCUUCCUGUCAUUUUAUCAUUUAUUUGGCUCUGUUUCUAUUGCGGGUGUUACUGCAUGCUUACUGUUGCUUGACAAAGUUUGCUAGCUUUUUGUUUGCAGUGCUGCUAUUCACCCCGAGUCAAGCUCCGAAAAUUUAUUAAACAACGCCGUUUCGAUAGUAACAAUUUUUUUCUUUUCCCUUUGUCUGUCUCUUUCAUCUGCUGUUUCUCUAUCACUUUUCAUUUUUUAUUUCCUUACUUCCCAGCUGCCCCUAAAUUGUUAUUCUAGCAAUAUACUUUCUCAUCUUUGAAUUUUCAUCCUUGAGUACUCCCACAGCCGUAAUUUCAUCAUUAUAGACUUCACUUGGAAUGCUGUAUUUUUUCGAUUCUUAAGCUACUUCAAUUACAUCUCCCAGUAUAGGAUCCUCAUCUUCCUUUAUUUCUUCAUCUUAUGAGGUAACAAAUGGAUUUCACAACUCAUCUACUUUUAAGCAAUUACAUAUUAUACCUUGAAUGAUUCAACUGUUCCGACAGUUAAAGAUUUUAUGCUCAACCUGCAGUGCUACGAACAUUGUCCAUGAAAGAUGAGUUUCAGCAUAUAAAAUGAAAUAUAGAUGUUUAAUCUAAAAUAACCCUUCACUGCCAAGAAACCUAGGUCACAAAAUUCACAGAUAAUGAUAAAGAGCUAAAAAAUUUGAAAAACUCUACAGAUCACACAUCAAGCAAGAUAUCAUGUUUUUUUCCCUCAUUCGGUGGUGAUUGAUUCGCUUUUUGAUGAUGGAUAUGGUAUAAAAGUUUUGACCCAAUUUCAAGCAAACACAAAUAGAAACACAAAUAGAAACACAAACACAAUCAGGACUAGAGUUGUGGGCGAUUAUCUUAGGUGUACAAGUGAAACGGUGGUGGCUGUCGAUGGUGGUAGUGGGGUGGUUGGGUAUGCGUGAUGGCUAGAUUUUAGGACAAUAAUGGUUGGAGUUGACCUCGAUCAACGAAGGAAAGUGACAACAAUUUUGACAUCAAACGGUGCAUUUUUUAGCUUAGUAAAAUGGAGCCGUUUCGAAUUUGGGGUUUAAUCCGGGGUUUGACUCGGCGCAAGUAUCAUUUUCCUUUUGUUUAUUAAAUUUUUUAUGGUCACAAAGUAUUACUCGUUCUAUUUGAGAGUGAUGUGAAUCAAUUUUUCAAUUUUAUAUUUUGUGGUCAAUGUGAAUUUAAUUUCAUUUGUCUCCUGCAAUUAUGAAAAAAUUGCAGUCAUAAUAUGGAAAAGUACACCGGCAAAAACUUUGUAAAAGCUUCGGAGUGAUACGGGGAAUUUACUUACUACUGAGGACAAUUGGUGGCAAAGCUAUUCCAUUCAUUUUAUGUCCAUCCAUCUAUUUAGCUAUUGAAGAUUAGUGGUCCAUUUGUAAAUUUCAGAUUGUCUCUCUCUCUCUCUCCCACUUGAAAUAACAAUAUUUAAUAUAUCUCUUAAAUUAUUAUAAAUUUUAAUUUACUCUCGAUUUAAAAUGGAGCAUGUCGAUAAAAAAUUUUUCUUCUUAAUAAAAUUGACGUAAGUUGUGUGUUACAGUAGUUUGAAGUUUGAAAUAUUUUAAAGAUUAUUAUUCUAUAAGGGAGUAAUAUGAAAUGAUAUUUACUUUUCAUGUGUGAAAUGAAAAAGGACGAAGCAAGUGUCCCUGCUUUUAUUUUAUUUCAAGGAGGAGUCAUCUCACAUACUUUAGCUCUUAACAUUACAUUUUUUCUGGUUACAUUUUUUAUUUAUUUAUUUUUUUUUUUUUACACAUGCGUGUGGGUUGCUUUUCUGUAAGCUCCUUAAUAUAUAUUUAAGACAAAUCAUGGAAGAGAUGGGAUUAUAUCAAGAUGAUCAAAGCAUGUAAAAAAAGAAAAAAGAAAAAAAAAAAUUAAGAAGUAAGACACUGAAAAUGGAGAAGAGAUGGAAGCAAAAGAUAUUCCAAAACAAAGCAAUCUAUCCCCUUUCGAGGGCAGACUUAUCAGGUUUAAAAAAGUACAUGCUUUGGAUUGGUAGUUGCAAUCAAGGGAAAAUAAAUAGGAUCCAAUGAAAUUUAAAUCUCGGAGAAAAUAAAUAAUCAUGCAGAUUUUCAAGAUUUUAAUAAGGGAUACUAAUAUCUUAUUUUGAUUAAUAACAUUCUUUUAUUGUGUUAACUCAAAAAAAAUAUUAUAAUGCUUUACAAUAAAUACAAAUGUCCUAUUAAAUGAAUAUAUAAAAAAUUUAGAAAAUUUAGAAUAUUAUAUAAAAUAAUUUUAAUAUAAUGCGUGAGAUAUAUUUUAUUAAUUUAAAAUGUCAUUUUACCUAAAAAAUAUGAUAAAUUAAUAAUUACAUAUUUGAAGUUAUUUCAAAUAUUACUUAAUUGUUUUUACUUUAAACAUUACCGGCCUUUCUUUUAUUUUAUUGCAAAUUAAUGCUAACAAGAAAAAGCUAGAUCAUAUUCCACAAAAGCAAAAGUGACAAACACAACCAGCUGGAAUCUUUUAUAAAACUACAAAUUAAAAUGGAGUUUUUUUAAAAAAAUUGUUAUAAAUUGGUGGCCCCUACAAUCCUCAAUAAUUGCACCGAUAUUCACAAGUUGGUGGCCCCUACAAUUCUGUUCCGAUAAUAAUUGUUUUUAUUUUUCUGCAUUCCCUUUCAUGCUCUUAAUAAUUGAAGAGCAUACUUUUCAAAUGUGGAGCCACAGCUAAUGUCGCUAAUUUAAUUUGGGAUUAAAUUAGGGGACCAUUAUAUUACAGUGUGCACUAAUUUUUGUGUUUAUCUAAACUCCUUAAAUUUAAGAUAUAUUAUGGCAUAAAUAAGAAUAUAACAAUAACAAAAGAGUAAAAAAGUGUAGAGAAGAUCUUGCAGAAAUAUAAAUAAUAUCUAUUUUAAAAUAAUUUUUAAUAUUUUAUGAUCCAUUAGAUAUAUUUAUUAUAUUAAAGUAAAUUUUAUAAUAAAUAAAAACAUACUAUUAAAAUGAAUAUAUAGAAAAUUUAGAGUAUUUUAAAUAUUAUAUAAAAAAUUUUUAAUAAAAUAUGUGAGAUAUUCAUAUUUUAUUAAUUUAAAAUACCAUUUAACCUAAAGAUUUAUUUAUGAUAAAUUAAUAAUUAUAUUUUUGAAAUUACUUCAAAUAUUAAAAAAUUAAUAUUACUAAUCUGUUAGAUAGAUUAAAUUAUAUAUAUUAUUUUCUAUUUAUUAAAAAAUUAAAAUUAUUUUUAAUUACUAUUCAAAAAAUAUAAUGAAAAAACAUAAUGAUAAAAAAAUCUUAACAUCUUUAUUAAAAAAUUAAAAACUUAUAUGAUAAAUUCUCUAAAUAUUUACGGUAUAUGUGAACCACGGUGGAUAAGCUUUAUUUAAUAUUAUUGAUUUAAAUAAUAUGUCAAUUAAAAAUGUACAGAGAAGAAAUUUCGGUGGGUAUUUUAGUCUUUUAAGCAAUUAUCAUGAUCAGAUCAGCCUUUAGCCUUCAAACGUCGGUCAGAAAAGUUUUAAAAUUAAUGCUAAAUUGUUUUUCACUUUUAACGUUGGUGGCCUUGAAAUUGCUUGUAUUUUAUUAAAAAUUAAUGCUAACAAGAAAAAGCUAGGUCAUAUUCCACAAAAUCAAAAGUGACAAAACAACCAGCUGGUUUCUUUUACUAAACUACAAAUUAAAAUAAAUUUUUUCGAUAAAUUACAAAUUAAAGUGGAUUCUUUUGAAUACAAAUGGGACAGACGAUUAGGCUCUUUUUAUUAGAGGCAAGUAAAAACUAGUCAAGAAUCGAACAGUCUUUUUCCAAUUCUUGUUUUAUUAUUUUUCAAAACUAGUUUUUGGUAAUUACAACCGGGUCAUUAAUCAUUAUUCAGAGUUACUGUUAUCUUCGGGGGCAGUGGGUAAAAGAUAAUUACUAACUGUUUUUCCUUCAAAAGUUAGCGGCUCAUGUUUGCAAGUGUGAAUGUGCGAUGCUCUUUUCUUAAAGGCCAUUACAGUGGGGCCCGAAUCAGACGUGCCUAAAUCUUUUUAAAAUUUUUGCCGUAUAACGAACAGAGGUCAUUACUAAAAUUUCUCUUCCACAGCCUACAGCAGCUUCAGUUUAUCAAACUCCAUCAAUUUUCUUUCUUAACAAAAUUCCAAAGAUGUGUAGCAUUUUUCAGAUCACAUGCGAUGGUGCUCUUUUCAAUCGUUGCUUGGAUUGCUUUCUUGGAAAAGCAGCAUACAUACGUAACCUCCAAGAUAAUCUUGUAGCCUUGGAGACUGAACUGGGAAGACUAAUCGCAGCAAAGAACGAUGUGAUGAUGAGGGUUGUCAAUGCUGAACGGCAACAAAUGAGAAGGCUGGACGGAGUGCAAGUGUGGGUUUCGAGGGUGGAUUCUGUUAAAACUGGAGCCGACGAACUUAUCACAGACGGCUCUGAAGAAAUUGGCAAAUUAUGUGUUGGAGGCUACUGUUCCAAGAACUGCAGGUCAAGCUACAAAUCGAAAACAAGUGGCUAGAAAGCUACGACAUGUGAAGACUUUAAUCGCCGAGGGAGUUUUUGAGGCGGUGGCCACUGAGGUGGUGCCCGAGAGAGCUCCGGAACCUGUAGCAGAUAAAAGACCCACUGAGCCAACAAUAGUAGGCUUGCAAUCACAGCUUGAACAAGUUUGGAGAUGUCUUGUAGAAGAAUCAGUGGGAAUCAUUGGCCUAUAUGGUAUGGGCGGUGUUGGUAAAACCACACUAUUGACCCAUAUCAACAAUAAAUUUCUUGAGAGUCCCACAAACUUUGAUUGUGUGAUUUGGGUCGUAGUUUCAAAAGACCUGCGACUUGAAAAAAUUCAAGAAGAUAUUGGGAAGAAGAUAGGUCUGUCUGAUGAUUCAUGGAAGAAUAAAAGUUUUGAAGAGAAAGCUGUGGACAUCCUGCCGAGAUUAGGAGAGAAGAGAUUUGUAUUGUUGUUAGAUGAUUUAUGGGAGCGGGUUGAUUUAACAGAAGUGGGCGUUCCACUUCCCAGCGCACAAAAUACUACCUCAAAAGUCGUAUUCACAACCCGUUCCAUUGGUGUUUGUGGCAGCAUGAGAGCUAGGCCGGUUAAAGUGGCAUGCCUAUCAGAAAAGCAAGCUUGGGAACUGUUCCGCGAAAAUGUUGGGGAAGAAACUCUUGAGAGUGAUCAUGAGAUCGUUGAGCUAGCCCAAACUGUGGCCAAAGAGUGUGAUGGUUUGCCACUCGCACUUAUUACUAUUGGUCGAGCUAUGGCCUACAGAAAGACAGCCGAGGAGUGGAGUCAUGCAAUUGAUGUGCUAAGAACAUCAGCUUCUGAGUUUGCAGGUUUGGGAGAGAAGGUGUAUCGUCUUUUAAAGUUUAGCUAUGAUAGUUUGCAGAAUGAUACGGUUAGAUCUUGUUUCUUGUACUGUUGUUUAUAUCCUGAAGAUUAUGGCAUUCUUAAAUGGGACUUGAUUGAUUGUUGGUUUGGCGAGGGAUUUUUUGGGGAAUCUGACAGGUCUGGUGCAGAAAACCAAGGAUAUGACAUUUUGGACACUCUUGUUCGUGCAUGUUUAUUAGAAGCGGUGGAAGAUGGUGAAGUAAAAAUGCAUGACGUUAUUCGUGAUAUGGCUAUAUGGAUAACUUGUGAAAUUGAGAAGGAGAAGAGAAACUUUUUGGUUCGUGCAGGUGCUGGAUUAAAAGAGGCACCGGAUGUUAAAGGAUGGGAAAAUGUGAGAAGAUUGUCAUUGAUGCAAAACCAAAUUGAAACUGUGUCAGAGGUUCCCACAUGCCCUCAUCUCCUCACUUUAUUUCUUGACUUUAAUCAGGAGUUGGAGAUGAUCGCGGAUGGCUUCUUCCAACUUAUGCCUUCUCUCAAAGUUUUGAAGAUGUCAAACUGUGGACAGAGGAGGUUGAAAUUACCUGUUGGGAUGUCAGUGUUGGGUUCAUCACUAGAACUUCUCGAUAUUUCAUGUACUGGCAUAACAGAGUUACCAGAGGAGUUAAAGAAGUUGGUAAAUCUGAAAUGUUUGAAUUUGAGGUGGACAGGUGCGUUAAUUAGAAUUCCACGGCAACUAAUAUCAAAAUUUUCAAGGUUACGUGUGUUGAGAAUGUUCGCUAUUGGCUAUGAUCGUUUUCAUGAAGCACCAGAAGACAGCGUUUUAUUUGGUGGGGGUGAAGUUUUGAUACAGGAAUUGCUCGGUUUGAAAUAUUUAGAGGUAUUGGAGUUGAGCUUGGGAAGUUAUCAUGCUCUCCAAAUUCUUUUGAGCUCAAAUAAGUUAAAAAGUUGUAUUCGAUCUCUUUGCCUCGAGUUCGCCGGAGAUACAGCGUCAAUUAUUGAUGCUACGGCUUUCGCAGAUCUAAACUACCUCAAUGAAUUAAAUAUUUAUAGUGGUUUUGAGUUGGAAGAGUUGAAGAUUGAUUAUACAGAGAUAGUACGAAAAAGGCGGGAACCUUUUGUUUUCCGCAACCUUCACCGUGUUACUAUACAUAGCUGCCAGAAGUUGAAAGAUUUGACAUUCCUCGUUUUUGCUCCAAACCUCAAGUCUGUUCAGCUACUCGAUUGCUAUGCUAUGGAAGAAAUAAUCAGCGUCGGAAAAUUUGCUGAGACUCCUGAGAUGAUGGGACAUAUAAGCCCUUUUGAAAAUCUCCAAAUGCUUGAUUUAGAAGAUUUGCCACAUUUGAAGAGCAUCUUCUGGAAGCCAUUGCCUUUCACUCAUCUGAAAGAAAUGGCGGUAAGUGGGUGUGAUCAGCUUGAAAAGCUUCCACUCGAUUCCAACAGUGCAAAGGAGCGUAAAUUUGUAAUUCGUGGAGAAGAAGACUGGUGGAACCGACUUCAAUGGGAGGAUGAAGCCACUCAAAUUGCUUUUCGUUCCUGUUUCCAACCUUAUUCCUGAGCGGUGGUCGCAAAUUUUGAUUCUCUGUUUUUAUUUCUGGUUAGUUUCUCUCUCUCUCUUUCUCUCUCGCUCUCUCUCUUUUUGUCUUCUGCAAAUCACAAUUAAAUGUUGAAUUAAUGGAAUUAAUGCUUCAUAAAUUUGCCGGCACAGCCACUACUUUUUUUUGGGGGGGGGGGGGGGGGGGGUCGAAUUGGUGCUCUGGUUUUUGACUUUUUGUUAGCGAUUUAAUUUCCUGUCAAAAGACGAGCGAGAAGAACAUAUAUAUGACGUAAACCAAUUGAUACUUUAUUUAUGUGCAUUGUAUGUAAUAAAUAUUAAGUAUACUUUAUUUUUGCCCUGUUCUCUGUUUUUAUUUCAGUCUCUCUCUCUCUCUCUCUGCUGUCUCCUGUCUCCUGCAAAUCACAAUUAAAUGUUGAAUUAUAUGGAAUUAAUCCUUCAUAAAUCUGCCUGCGCUGGCUUUUUUUUUUUUUUUGUGGGGGUCGAAUUGAUGCUCUGGUUUUCGACUACUUUUUGUUGUCAAAAUUUUCUCUGUUUUUUCAAAUUGAUGCUUUAUUGAUAUCUUCUUCGUGAAAAGUGAUUUAAUUUCCUGCCAAAAGACGAACGAGAAGAACAUUAGAGUCAAACUAAUGCUCACAUAAAUUUCCCGUAAGAAUAUAUAAUUAUUAAGAUAGAUCUGCUCUUUCAUUAAAUAUAUAUUCCUUUUUCACAUAUUAAUUGACCUUUAUUUAAUUUGUUUAAAAAGUUUAAUUAAUUGUUGUUUGCAGAGAAUCAUCUACGCCGCUCGCCGAUAAAAGUUGAGGUGUUCGAGCAGGUGCUUGCCUUUUUUUUUUUCUUUUUCUUUUUUCCCUGUUUUAAUAUUUCUUUAAAUUUUGAAAUUGUUUAAUUAUUCUUCUGGUUUGGAAUGUUGAUAAUAGUGUUGUGAAAUUAAUUUUUACAGGAUAAAAGGUUGUGGGACAUUUAUUAUCCAUGUCCUAUGUAUCUCAAGCUUAAAGGUCUCAGUGGUCCUCUAUUGGAAAAAGCAAGUUUAAUAUAUAUUAAUUGGAUAUCGUCGCCUGUAUAUAUAUGUAUAUACAUACAUACACAGCCACUCAUCGAUUAUAGACUUAAUUAUUUAAUUGAUUAUGUAAUCUCUCGUAGUUUCUUUGUGCAUUUUUAGUUAAUUUAAUGAAUAAACUCAAAUACAUUGUAAAUAAAACCAAAUUAAAUGUUCCCUAAAAUAUACGUAUAUGCCUCUCGAUGGCACACAAGGUUAAAUGUCAGCCCAUCGCGGGUAAUAUUAUUUCUAGCCGCCUUCAUUACGAGUUAAGAGUCAAUUAUUACUAAACUAAACUAGUCAAAACUCGUAAGUGCUAGAAAGUAGAAACGUUUGAUUCUAUAUAAAUGACUUCAAUUCAAUAUGUACCAAAGAGUAUCGAUAAUUGAACCCCAAAAAACUUUAAAAAAGAUUGACAAAAUUAAUUAUAUUAUUGUGUGUUUUUAGAAGAAAAAAUAAAAUAAUUAAUUAAUGUUAUAACACUAUGUUAGGUGAAAAGUCAGCUGUCUGGAAGAGAACAAACUUACUAAGAUAAGAGCCUUCUUCAGUAAUCAACCGAACGAAAAAGUCAUCUCUUUUCUUAUUUAUUUAGUAAAAAUAAGUAAAGGCCGAAAAUUUCCUAAAAUAUCUAAAUCCCUCUCUUUAAAAGAACACCAUAUGCUGCAUAACAUGCAAAUUAAUUUCCCAUAUGUGAUGCAAUUUUCUCCUCAACAUAUGCGCAAUUCUUUCCAUUCCGGCAUUUACACUCAAAUUUUCCUUCCUUUCUCUUUGUGGUUGAAUCUUACACCACAACUCAUGUGAUGCAAUCUCCUCUCGCUGCCUAAAUUGCACUCUCAGCAAAGCAGCAUAUGUAAGCAAGCUUGAAGAUAAUCUUGCUGCUCUGCGGAAGAACGGCAAAAGUUAAUCGAAGCAAGGACUGAUGUAUCAGAAAAAUUUUGGUGGAGAAUUCAGCACAAACAUAUUUCGGAUGAUCAGAAUCAAUAAAACAUGGUGGUUGCGCCAUAUAAACAUCUUCGGAAAGCUGGCCUUGAAGAAAGGCGUUUAUUGAUAUCCAAUUGACGAAGAGGCCAGCCAUGACUAACAUCAAUACUAAGAACAAGCCGUACUGUGGUGGGCUUAACAACUGGACUGAAAGUGUCAUAAUAGUCCACACCAGGCCGUUGAUUGAACCCUUUGGCAAUAAGACGAGCUUUGAACCUGUCAACAGAACCGUUGGAAUGUCUUUUAAUACAAAAAUCCAUUUGCAGCCAACAAUAUUGGAAAGGAUGGGAGGUGGAACAAGCUUCCAUGUCCCGUUAAGAACAAGAGCAUCAUACUCUUCUGACAUAGAUUGACGCCAGUGAGGAUUUUUGAUAGCUUGCGUCACAGUUGUAGGUUCACAAUCAGAAGGAGGGCUAAAAUGAGCACAGAGGUUAAGUUUUUGUAACGGCUUGUGAAUGUUAUUUUUAGCUCCGGUAGUCAUAUCAUGAUGAUUUGUGGGGCAACGAUCUAGUGGAGUUUGGGAAGAUGAUUGAACAGGAAGUGAAGAAGUGCUUUGUGUAGAGGUAGAAAUAGGUUGGGAGGAUUGCUGCGGAGAUGUUACCGGUAGAGAAGAAGGAGCAGUACACGGUGGCAACUCCAAAGGGCCCACAAUAGAUGGAGUAGGUGCCGACGAUGGAGUACUAGGAAAUGAAACAGUAAGAAUUGGUGGAACACUUGCGUAAUUAGGAGUUGUAGAUGAGCUUGUAAUGAUUUGUAUGGAAAAACAAACUCUACAAAUUUAACGUGACGUGAAAUAAAAAUUUGAAAGGUGGAUGGGUCAAAACAUAAAUAAGCACUUUGAGAUAAAGGAAUAUCCUAGAAAAACACAAGGCUUAGAGGGUGGUUCGAGUUUAUGUGAUGAAACACAAACAUUCAAAAUUUUUUAAGUUUAUAUUAAUUAGGAGUGGUACCAAAAAUUAAUUGGCUAUCGGGUUGUUGGAUGUGUUUUGGAUAUUUACAGCUAAGUUUGAGUAUCUCAACUUAAAAUUUGUAGCUUUCACUUGAAAAAAUUCAGUUAAAAUUUGCAAUGCAGACUGAUUGAUUUAUCAGUUUAACGUGUGCCAGGAAUGAAGAACUGGAAUAUCACCGUCAAGCAAGCACCCUGUGGAGCAAUACCAAACAAUGUACAAUCCGGCUUUGCUAGGUGACACUGGAGGCUUUUUGAAAAGUGCUUCACGCUCACUUGCACAGAUUGAGCAUCCCCUCUGGAUAUUGCCCUCUCUGAUCGAGUCUGAGCACUCAAAUUUUGGUCCUCAGAGGGAGCUACAGUUUUCUCUCCACUAACCAACAAUUUUCUAAACUCAGCACCUAGUGUGAUCUUGAGCCAUAUCUAAAGCAGUUUGAAGUUCAAGUACUUGAGCCCUUGACAAUGGUUUUAAAAUUGGAACAUCUUGGAUUACUGCAGACUUGUACCCCUUGGUUUCAAAGUAAGGAAAGGUAUUGCUUGAGUACAAUUUGGAGGCAGCUUCUUCACCAAUUUUAUUUGGAGGCGAUUGGCAGCGGAUCCAGCUGCACGAAGACUAAACAAGUCAGAUGCAGUUUAUUUGUCCAAGCACAAAUUGCAUUUUGUCCUCAACUUUAAUAUUUAUUGAUGAGAAUCAAUACAGGUCCCUCAUUUGUUAUAGAAAGCUUUAUUGUAGUCUCACCAGUUAAUUCACAGGUCUAUAAUCAUCUUGCAAAGUUAAGGGCAUUUCUUUCGAUCUAAAGUCUUUGCAUCACCACCUCAUCACACGCCAAGCCAAUAUUCCAUUUACCUCUGCAACAAAAAGUUUUAAGUAAACAAUCCUAAUGCACGCAGCCAAAUAAAAUGCAGUAAGAAUAUUCAACUUAAAAAUCUGAAAGCCAACUUGGUGAAUUGCCUCCUUAGGUGAAGUUCCAUGCUUUACUAUAGUUGACAGAACUCAGCAAAAGCUUCCAUACAACAGAUUUUGAAAAUGAUGAUGCCAAUAGAUACUCAUUCAAUCCAUUGAAAAUCCAAAGGUUCAUUGUUAAUAGAAGUUUACAGAGUUUUGGUCAUCAAAUAGCUCAGACCUAAUCCCAAACAAAAAACGAGUGAAAAUUAGAUCACGAGCAGCUAAUUGUAAAUUCUAACUUAACUCUUCAUCUCCUUUGUAAACAAGAAACAAAAUGGAGACACGCAAAAUGAAUAUGGAGAAAAUUUGAACUCAAAUGAAAUGAGGGCACGAAAGCAAACAAAUGGCAUGCACAAAAAAACCAAGCCUCAAUCAAAAACUAAUUAACCAUUAAGAAAAAAAUUGGUCAGAGAAUGAACUCCAAAUUCAGGAGUCAAGCAAGAAGCUUUCAUCAUUUCAGAAGCUCCUGUACAAAAAAACCAAGCCUCAAUCAAAAGCUUUCAUUAAUAAGUUAUGCUCUUUGGAAGCAAACCUAAAUUCCAAGAGAAACAGAAGCCAAAAAAUUUGCAAUUAUACGCAAAGGAAGUGAAGCACAGGAUUCUAUCACACAUAGGAAUUGUAUAACAAGAGAUCGAUAUAUCGAAUUAGAAAACUCAAUUCGAAUUUGUGUGAAAAAUCAAAAUUAGAAGAUUUCACAUUUCGAGAGGAACAAGCAACAGAUGACGUUCAAAAUUUCAGCCAUAACAUGCUAAAAAUGCUACACUUAACGGUUCAUUUUCAUGGAUUUUCUCGGGAAACAAACAGAAAAUUACGGUUCAGAGAGUUGACUGACCUUUUGGCUUUUGAAAUUGAGAAGAUCGCGCGCCAAAUUGGAAGAGGGAAAGUGAAAGUGCGAGUUUUAAUAUGGGUAGAUAAGGAAAUUUUAUUAGGUUGCGAGGGUAAAAAAGGAAAGAGAUAUCAUUAUUUUAUCAUCGAUAAUUAUUAAAUUUUUUUCCAAAAAAAAGAACAAGCAAGGAUAUUUUAUUGUCAUUACUAAGUUAAAAAAAAUUGUUUCAAAAUUACUUGAGUCAUAUCCAAUGGACCAACAAAGUAAUCGUUUUUAUUUUUAUUGAUUUUUGCAGGAAAUUAAUAACUUAAAAAUACUGAAAGCUAUUGUAAAAAUUUUUAUUAUCAACCUCAUAGUUUUUUUUUUUUGGGGGAAGAGAAUUCAAACAUUUUUUUUUUAAAUUUCCAAGAAUUCUUGACACCCGUCUUAAUUAAAAGCUAUAUUUUUAUUCAAGAGUCAUGCUAUUCAUUCACUCACAGACCAAAGGCUUUCCGCAGCAAUAUUAUUAUUUAAAUUACAACAAAGGGGAAAUCAAAUACGUCAUACAGAAGCUUAAAGCUGAAUCAACAAAAUCUAGAGCUCUCAACUACAAAAAUUACACUUGAUGAUCCUCUACAAGAUGAAGCUUGUUCAAUAUCUUAUCCAAAGCUUGUAAAGUAACCUUGUAACGAUCUUGAGAUUGCCUGCCUUCCUCGACGACCUGCACGAUGCGUUUGUACAAAUCAUCAUACCUGUGCACCGGAUUUUUAAUAUCAACGCCACUGCAGCUGUGAUUAAGAAAAUAAGAGCGUUUAACAUCUUUUCUCCAUCGAGAAAGAAUGUACUGAGAUGGGAUCUCCUGCACGCCACUCUGGUUUAGAACACAAAGAAUGUGUCUGCAUAAAUAUCCUCUGAAAUUGAACAACCCACAAACGCAAAGCACCUCCAAGUUGGAGGCAUUGUACAAAACAUCGAAAGCCCUUGAGUCUUUCUCAUUGCUACCAACCUCGAAUUCUUCCUUCACUAUGUAUGUUAUAGGUCCAUCAGCACUAACAUGUUUUGUGCUAUAGCAAGAGUACAUAGCCUCCACCUCCGUCUGAAACUUCCUUAACAUUUCAUUUGUGUACAGUUUUGAGAGUUGAAAUUCAUAGUAACAUCUUGGUUUCUGGAUACAACUUGAAUUUCUUGAAUCCAUAUCUGCCAAGGCUUCCAGUUGAUAAUUCGCCCGCAGUGCUUGAUCAUACUUGUCUAAGAAUUCUUUCAAAGGAGUAUUCUUAUCAAGAUAUCCUUCAAAGUAUGAAGUAGAAACCUCAUUCUGCGGGAACGAAAACACUCCUGAUAAAAAAGCUUCCUUCAAAUAAAUAGGAGCCCACCUUUUACGAUCUUCAUAUAAAGUUUGAAUCCAUCCGUGAUCCUUUAUUCCAUGACGUUGAAUCAUGUCUUUCCAAGCUGCUUCAAAUUUCUCAGGCCUGAGAGAGUGAUAAAUUGCUCUAUGUAAUGCAGCUUUAAUAGCUUCAUAUUCAAACAAUCCUUGGAGUUUCACUGGAAUUUUUUGCAUGAUGCAUGACAAUGAAAAGCAACGAUAAGCUCUUGGGAAAACAUCGCCAACAGCAAUUUGCAAGAUUCUACAUUGGUCAGUGAUGAUUGUUUGUGGAGAGCGCCCUAACAUACAUGUAAGCCACGCCCUAAACAACCAUGUAUAUGAUUCUAUGGUCUCACUGGCAAGUAAACCACAACCCAACAACACUGAUUGUCCAUAAUGAUUCACCCCAAUGAAUGAAACCAGUGGUACAUCAUAUCUUUCAAUCAAGCACGUAGUAUCAAUUAAGACUACAUCACCAAAGUACCUAUAUGCAACUCUUGACCUGGUAUCAGUCCAGAACAGGUUUCUCAAGCAUCCCUUUUCAUUUAGAUCCACUACAUUAAAAAAGUUUGGAUCUGUCAACUGCAAACGACAAAAGAAACUCUGGACAGCUUGUGCAUCACCUGGUUUAAGCUUCAAUUGAUUUGAGCUAUUAACAUUAUUUCCAAAUACUCCAUUAACAUCUACAUUACCAUUUCCCUAGGCAUCAAUGAUAAGAGUUCGAAACAGUUUAAUUUUUUGAACUUCUUCAGCACUAUCUAAAUGCAAUGUUCUUUUGGUUCCAAUACCUAUGUGCUUAUGUGACUUGCAAAACUUUCCACUUCUUGGGCUUAACAAGUGGUUAUGCUCAAGCUCGACUUCAAUGAUUCUCCACCUUUUGGUUUCCAUCAACCUAAACUUUAUCAUUGCUGGACAGCCAGCUCUUGUUUCUGGUCUUGGACGGUUUGCCUCACUUUUCUUCUUGAAGCUUGCACUACUACAGCUCAGCUUUCCUCUAUACUUUUCUCUACUCUUUCAGUACCAGGUAUUGCUAACUCUAACACCAAAACCCUGUUCCUUGGCAUAGCAAUUGUAAAAGUAAUAUACAUCAUCGUACAUCUCAAACUCCAUUCCAACAGCAGGAGGCAAGGGAUUUUGGAUUAUCCCAGUUUGUCCAACAUAUUCAGUCAUCGCACAAUCUCCUACGACCUCAAAAUCAUCAGUGUCAUCAUCACCUAUUGGUUCGGUGUUGAGAGAAACUUCAUCCAUCUACAAUGGAUGUUCAAUGAAGUGAGCUUUAAGGAGAAAAAGCAAAAUCAGUUCAAGGAAUCAUAGUAUAAUCAUACAGUUACUUUCACAAAGCUUCAUAUUUCAUCACUGCUUUACCAACAUGCAACUGCCAGAGAACAAACAGACAUGUCAUAGACGCUUGAAUUAAGUAUUGGUACAAAUGAGCACACAUCAUGUGGGACAAAAUUUCAGUCACUAAACCCAAUACCACUUUUUACAUCAUACCAAGGAACAGAUUAAACCCGACACCUUCUUUUAAACCAUACCAAGGAACAGAUUAAAUCAUCAAUGAAAAAUUAAUCACAUAAUAACUUAACCAGACAAAUGAAGAGCCUGAAACAGCACAAAACUUGAAUCUGAUUAUGAUAAUUGUUGAGUCCUUGUAUCUACAGCUUUCCUUCAAUGAUAAGACAAUGAACAUAAACGAGACACAAAAAAUUUAUUUUAAACUGACAGCCCAUGAUAUAAAUCAAACAAAAUCAACUCCUUUUUUUACACAUCACAUCUCAUAUUCAUUUACAUUGAAACACAAAAAGGAAGCGGGAGUGGGAAAAAAACAACAGCAGAGGAACUUAUUUCCAUAAGGUUUACGAAAUAAGGAAUCUAUUAAAACCCAAAACUUGAGGUCACCACAAAGAAUUUGGUUCUCAUUAUUUUUUUCUUCAUUUUUCACCAAUUGAUGAACUUAAAAUACAAUCAUAAAUGAUAAAACCCCAUCUCAAUCUUUUUGAACUAGAGCUAAAGCAAAGCAUUUUAAGAUGUUUCAUCAUUUUUUUUUUAAAAAAAACCUCAAUAGUACAAUGUUUUUACUCUAAUAAUCUCUUAAUUAAGGAAGAUUAAGCUUCAGUUGUAAGCUAAAACAAAUUUCUUAAAUCAAGCCCCAAUGCUUUAUGCUAUUCAACAAGGGCUCAUAAAUGAUAAAACUACUUCUACAAAGAUACCCAUUUUCUAAAUUAAUUUCAAAAACUGAAAUCAAACUCCUGAAACGUAACGAGCAUUAAUAUAAUCAAACCCGAACAAGAAUUGAAAAAUGACACAUAAACUCGUUUACACAUUUCGACAGACACUUUGCAAUCAAUGAGCAAAAAAUUAAUGGAGAAGAUAAAAUUCAAACGAAACAUGCCUUACAUUGAUCAAUUAGAAGGGCAAAAGAAAUUUUAGUACGAUAUGGGAUCAGGGUCUUGCCACGGUGAUGUUAUUUGUGAUGUUCGAGCGACUCAGCGGCCUUCGAGGUUGAAAAUUUGAUUGACCAAAAGCUUCCCGUUUGUUGAUUCUCUAAUAGCAGAAACGAGACUGGCAGUAAACACAACAACUUCGCUGAUUUUAAAUUCCGUUGUUUGAGAUGGAAAACUUUUUGAAAAAAUUAAUGUGUUCGAUGAAUAUCAAAAUCUAAAAAACUUUUUGUUUUUCAUUUUUUUGGAAAAAACCAUUGAGAUCCUUACUAUUUUUUCUUAUAUCAUCUUGCUUAAUAAUUUGCAAAGUCUAUCGCAUAGCACCCAUGCAUGAUGUAUGCUGCGUAACUGCGUUGUAAUUUACAAAAUUGUAAAUUUGUUAAAAGAAAAUAAUAAUAACAAGUUAAAACUUUAAAAUUUUUAUCAUUCGAAGAAAUUUUAAUUUAGUUAAGUAGGUGACAUGAUAAUAAAUAGAUACGUAUAAUGUCCGAGAUUUUUUAUAAGAUUAAUAAAUAUGAUAAAUUUGGAUUAGUUCAAUUUUGACGUAAUUCAGAAUAAACACAUCUUCCUAAUCUAAAAAUAAUUACAAACAAUUUAAUUUGUGUUGUUUCUCUAAAAGUUUGAGACACAAAUGUUAUUGCAAAUUGAAACGCCAUGCACUAGUAGAAGGUAAGAGAAACCAAGGUUGAAGUUACUGUUCAUUUAUUUUUAUUUAUGAUUUUUUGUAAAAUGUAAGAAAUAUGUAGAAAUGUUGCCAGCAAUGAUUUUGGAACUUUGCAUAAAAUUUUUAUCAUUAUUGUUUUUGGUAUUAAGAAAUCCGAGGCGGUGAUUAGUCGUAUGUUGCAACAAUUAAGAAAUUUCUUAUUGGAGAUAAUUUGGUAGGUUGCAACAAUUAGAGAAUAAUUUUCCUGUCAGUUAAUCAAUCAAUAAUAAAUUUCAAAUUGCAGAAAAUAAAAUAAUACUGUCGCACUUAGAAUCAUCUUUUCUAUUUCUUUCAAUUGUGACAAUCAUUUGUAACAAAUAAAUCAAUUUGAUGCACAUCAUUUCCCCAAUUCAAAGUUCAAGUCACUGCUCAAUUGCAGGGUAGUUAGUAGACAUGCAUGCAUGUUUAAUUAAGUACUGCAUUGUAAUAUAGAAAAUCAUAACAUCUCACCAAGCCCGGAAGCAUAGCUCUUUAUCUUGUAAAUGUUGAAAUCUUAUGCAAACUAUGGGAAACAUGAUCUCACUCUCAGUGCCACUUGAUUCCAUUUUCUUUGUUGGGAAUGCUACGAAGUCUAAGCUUGAAGAUAAUCUCGAUGCCUUGCGGACUGCAAUGGAAAAAUAAGCGGAAACGAGAAAUGAUGUGAUAAAUUGUGAGCCAACAAUAGUGGGCAUGGUGUCGACUUUUGAGAAAGCCUGGAGAUGCCUUGAAGAAGAAUCAGUUGGAAUUAUUGGCCUGUAUGUUAAUGGGGGAGUUGGAAAAUAUUUACUCAAAUCAACAACAAGUUCCUUGAUGGUCCAAAUAAUUUUGAUGUUGCGAUCUGGGUAGUGGUCUGCCAAGAUUUACAACCCCAGAAGUUUCGGGAAAAGAUUGGGAAAAAGAAAGGCUUGUUCGAUGAGUCAUGGAAGAACUGAAGUUUUGAAGAGAAAGCACUCGACAUAUUCAAGAAUUUAAGCAAGACGAAGUUUGUAUUACUGCUGGAUGAUAUAUGGGAGCAGGUUGAUUUAAUUAAAAUUGGUGUCCCUCUUCCAAGCACAAAAAUUACAUUCAAGAUAGUCUUCACAACUCGUUUUAUUGACAUUUGUGGCCUCAUGGAAGCUCACAACAAGAUUAAAGUGGAGUGUUUAAAUGACGAAGAAGCAUGGGAAUUAUUCUGCAAGAAGGUUGGAGAAGAUGUGGCGACUCUGUCCAAGUGCUAAGGAGAUCAGCCUCAGAAUUUCUAGGUAUGUAAAAAUGAGUAUAUAUAUCCACUUUUGAAAUUCAGUUAUGAUAAUUUACCUAGCGAUAAAAUUAGAUCGAGUCUGUUAUACUGUAGUUUGUUUCUGGAAGACUUUCCAAUUAGCAAAACGGAAUUGAUACAUUGUUGGAUAAGCGAGGGCCUUUUGGAUGAAACUAAUAGUUCUGAGAUAUGAAAUCAAGGAUACUACAUUAUUGGUGUUCUUGUUCCUUUAUGUUUAUUGGAAGAAGAGGCUCCACUAUAUGUAAAAGUGCAUGAUGUGAUACGCGAUAUGCUUCUGUGGAUCGCAUGUGAAGUUUUUUUUUUCUUUUUGAUAGGGAUAGCAUGUGAAGUUGAGAAGGAGAAAGAGAAUUUUUUGGUUCGUGCAGGUGCAAGGAUUAACUGAAGUGCCAGACAUUUGGAAAUGGGAAGGGUUGAGAAGGGUGUCUUUCAUGAGCAACAAAACUGAGAAGUUAUCAGAAAUUCCUUCAGAUCCCCAUCUACCGACUUUGUUGCUUCAACGUAAUUAUUUAGAGAUGAUCAAUAAUGACUUCUUCCAAUCUAUGAAUUCCCUUAGAGUUUUGAACUUAUCAUGUAAUCAUUCUCUAAUUGAUAAUUUCAAAGUUAGUUUCCCUACAACAUCUUAAUUUAUCAAUGACUAACAUACGAGAGUUGCCGAAUGAGUUAAAGUUUGUAGUGAAUCUAAAGUUUUUGAAUGUGGAGUAUGCACGGUUUCUUCAUUCAAUUCCAGGGCAAGUGAUAUCCAGUUUUACGAUGUUACACGGUUUGAAGAUGUUUGGUUGUGGGAGGUCAUCUUCUGAUCAUGAGCCACACUAGAAGAUAGAGUUUUAUUUGAAGGCUGUAAACUUUUGAUUGUGGAGUUGUUUGGUUUGAGAGACAUCUAGAUGUGUUGACCAUCAUCCUAACAAGUUCCCUUGCUCUGAAAAGAUUUUUGAGCUACAACAAACUUCAAAGUCGUACUCAAUCUCUCUAUCUUAAAUGCUUUGAUUCAAAUCUUCUUGUUUUUUCCAUAAAACAUUGCCAUGAUAUGGAGGAAAUACUCAGUGUCGGAAAAUUAGGUGAAGAGAUGAUGUCAAAUCUGGAACCUCUUACAAAACUCCAAGUUCGUUGCUUGAAGAAGCUACCAAAUUUGAAGAGCGUCUACUGGAAGGCCUUGCCCUUGCCCAAUGUAUGCAUAAUUUUUGUAUCUAAAUGCCCAGAACUUAAGAAGCUGCCGCUGGAUUUUGAAAGGGCGGGCGAAGGUAAAAUUCUUAUCAAGUGAAAGGAAAAUCGAUGGAAACGACUUCAAUGGGAGGAUCAAGCAACUCAGAAUGCAUUGCUUCUGUUUUUCAAAUCUAGUGAUUGAAGGGGGCAACAUCAACAUCAUCAGCCUGGAUGGGGAGAUUCUGGAGCAGAUCAGUAGGGUUUGAAUCUACAUCAUUAACAUCAUCAGGGUCUGUAUUUCUAUUGCUGGUCUUAAUGCUUGCUUACUGUUGCUUGACAAAGUGAGCCAGUUUUUUGUUUAUUAAAUUUUGUCUUGUAGAGACAGUCACAAAGUAUGGGUUGUUCUAUGUGAGAGUGAUGUGAAUCAAUUUUUCAAUUAUAUAUUCUGUGGUCAUUGUGAAUUUUGUUUAGAGAUGCAAACUUAGAAUAUGGAAAAGUUCAUCGGCAAACAUUUUGUAAAAGCUUCCAACUGAAGUUUUCAUAAUUAAAUAAUAAAAAAAUAGGAAGUGACGAAAAAAUUAUCCUAGGUGUUACGAAAAAACAUGAGCUCCGAAAAUAUUGGAAGUGACGAAAACUUAGGGCUAGGGUUUGAGAACUCUAACCCGCCACCACUGCAAGAGGACAGGACGACUAAGAAGGCCCGGUUUCGGGCUGAGGGAAUUGAUGCUGAUAAUCCUCAUAAACCCUCUUGGAGAGAUAAGGCUAUGGAGGCAGUCACGGUGAUGGCAGGUCAGACAGGAAGGAUUGGAGAGUUGGGUUACGGCAGUGUAUGCUAGCCCUAUUCCAACAGUCCUGCGUGAAUUAUGGUAUCACCUUGCAAGUAUUGCUUCUCAAAUGUUGGAUCCGUGGUUGGUGGGCGGAGAUUUCAAUGCUAUCUUAUACGCACAUGAGAAGAAAGGGGGCUCGAACCGAAUAAGUGGCACUUGCAAUUUAUUUAAUCAUUGGUUUCAUUCUUGCAGGAUGCUUGAUCUAAAGUUCUCCGGCCCUCGCUUCACUUGGUCUAGGGGAAACCUUUCUAAACGAUUGGAUAGAGCGGUUUGCAAUAAUGGAUGGCUAAUAAAACAUGCAAAUAGUAGUGUCAUGCAUCUUCCAAAAAUUGAUUCCGAUCAUCGGCCUAUUCUAGUCAAGUUCCAGAACAUGGAUUCCAAGCAUGGGGGCCCGAGGCCAUUUCGAUUUUUGGCUGCAUGGCUCACAGAUGAGAGAUUUGGGAGUUUUAUGAAUGAUAGCUGGAAUAAGGGAGAGAAUUUUCUUGAGGCAGUGGCUGAUUUUACUCAACAAACUAGGUGGUGGAAUAAGGAAAUUUUUGAAAAUAUUAUUUAUCGGAAGCGGAAAUUGUUGGCUAGAAUAGGUGGGAUCCAAUGAAUUUUGGAAGCCAAGCCUAACCAUAGCCUUACUAGACUUGAAGUUAAGCUUCAGAAGGAGCUCGAAGAGGUUCUCACUCAGGAAGAAUUAUUGUGGCUUCAGAAAUCCAGGAGAGAUUGGACUUUGUAUGGUGACCGCAACACUGCUUAUUUCCAUAAAAAAAUGCUAACCAGGCAUCGCCAGAAUCGGAUUACUGCAAUUCAAAAUGAUACUGGGCAGUGGAUACACGACGUCGAGAUCAUUAAGCAACGUGCAGUCAAUUUCUUUUUGGAAUUAUACACGCCUGAACAAGGGGUGCAUAGAACAUAUAAUGUCAGGGGGUGUUUCCCUGAGACGUCAGAUGAUAUUUGUUUAAGUUUGAUGUCUGCGGUAACAGAUGAGGAAAUCAGACAUACUAUUUUCAGUAUGAGUCCUUUUAAAGCUCCUGGAGUUGAUGGCUUUCAUGCUAGUUUUUACCAAGCGCAAUGGAAUACAGUUGGUAUGUCUUUGAGCUCUUUAAUCAAAAAUAUUUUUAAUUCUAAUCAUAUCCCUGCAGAGAUCAACAGAACCUUGCUGGUGCUCAUUCCUAAAGUGUAUCAUCCAACAAGCCUCAAGAUGUUUCGGCCGAUCAGCCUUUGCACAAUUCCGUAUAAAACGGUGACGAAAAUUAUUGCAAAUAGGUUACAGGUUUUUCUUCCAGAUCUCAUUGGACCCCAACAAACCAGUUUUGUACCGGGUCGGCAUAUUACAGAGAAUAUUGUUAUUGCUCAAGAGGUAAUCCAUACAAUGAAGAAAAAUGUGGGGGGUAAAAGAAUGAUGGCGGUUAAAGUGGACUUGGAAAAGGCUUAUAACCGGUUGAGUUGGCGAUUUGUUCAGGAAACUUUACAGGAAGUUGGGCUACCGGAGCGAUUUAUUCACCUCAUAAUGGAGUGUUUGUCCACAGCCCAAAUGAAUGUUUUGUGGAAUGGAGAAAUGACUGAAGAUUUUCGGCCAGGGAGAGAAAUUCGACAAGGAGACCCUCUUUCGCCUUAUAUUUUUGUGCUUUGUAUUGAAAGAUUAAGUCAUGGGAUUAUCCAGGCGGUUAAUCAAGGUAGAUGGAAACACAUUUGACUGACUCGAACUGGCACUCCUCUAAGUCAUUUAUUUUUUGCGGAUGAUCUGCUUCUCUUUUUGGAAGCAAGUUACGGCCAAGUUGAUGUAUUGAAUGAUGUGGUGGAGAAUUUCUGUAGGAGCUCGGGCGCUAGAGUUAGUAAUCAAAAGACCCAAGUCUUCUUCUCCAAAAAUGUCCCGGUCACUUUAGCCAAUGGAAUUGGCAAGGCUUUAGGCUUCUCGGUUACAAAUAAUUUGGGAAGAUAUCUUGGCAUGCCUCUUCUUCACGAUCGGGUUUCUAAGAAAACGUAUCAGAGUAUCAUUGACAAAAUUGAUCAGCGGCUAUCAGGAUGGGCAGCAAAGCAAUUGUCUCUGGCAGGGAGAGUUACUCUCACUCAAUCGGUGCUUCAGGCAAUCCCGAUUUACGCUAUGCAAACCACGUACCUCCCAUCUAGUGUCAGAGUUAAAAUUGAUCAAUUAUGUAGAAGAUUCAUUUGGAGUGGGGCUGGUUCUCAACGCAAGUUAAGUUUGGUUAGCUGGGACAACAUUUGUAGGCCUAAGAGCAAUGGAGGGCUCGGUUUCAAGGACAUGGAACUUAUGAACAAAGCCUUACUAAUGAAAGUGGCUUGGGAUUUAUUCAUAAAUCCUAGCAAGCUGUGCUCCCAGGUUUUAAUUUCUAAUUAUGUUGCGCCUUGUGAUAUGAUUACUACUGAUGCUUCAUUUAAAAAUGGUUCCUAUUUAUGGCGCUCUAUGGGUAAGAUUUGGAAAGACUUCCAGAAGGGUUUGCGUUGGAGUAUUGGAAAUGGCCAACGGGUGAAGUUUUGGGAUGAUAUUUGGGCUACAAAUGGUGAUCCCUUAAUCAACUAUACGGUGGCUUCAAUUCCGGAUAGCAUGCGAAAUAUGUUGGUGGCGGAUUGUGUGGAUCAAAAUGGGAAUUGGUUGUGGAACAUAUUCAACUCUUUUUUGAAUAACCAUGCUGUUUUAAGGAUUGCUUCCAUGGCUCCUCCGUCGUCAAUGAGAGGCGAGGAUAGGAUGUAUUGAGGUGCAUCAAAUACUGGCAAUUUUACAGUCCAAUCAGCUUACCAAGUGCUUACGAAUUUUUGCCCCGCUGAAGACUGUCAAGACUGGCAACAUUUGUGGAAAUGGAAGAGGCCUCAAAGCGUAAGAAUUUUUCUAUGGUUAUUAUGCCAUGAUCAAUUGAAGACGGGAUGUGAGCUUGCUAGAAGGCAUCUGGACGUCGAGGCUUUAUGUGGGAGGUGCCAUGCAGACGUUUAGAAUUCUUUGCAUGCAAUUCGAGAUUGUGAUUAUUCGAGAGGUGUUUGGCGGAAGCUUGUUCCCGCGCUUAGACAACAUGACUUUUUUAGUUAUCCUCUUUGGCAAUGGAUCAUGACAAAUCUUAGGAGAAGAGUCUGUGAUAUGGGGAGCUUAUUUUGGCCGAUUAUGUUUGGUAUUGCGGCUUGGAGAAUUUGGUAUUGGAGGAACCAGGUGAUGUUCAACAACAAGAGCUGGAAUGGUGAUUUGAUCGUUCGAGAUAUUAAGGCAAGGACUGAGAGUAUUUGUUCUACUCUUUCAAGCAUAGGCUAUCGAAGAAAUGAAAGGAUUCAGAAAUGGAUUCGUUGGGCUCCUCCACCAUGGCCUUUCUUGUGCUUAAAUACGGAUGGUGCAAGGAAAGGAAAUGGAGAGGCGAGUGCAGGUGGGCUGCUGCGGGACUGUCAUGGUAAUUUUAUUCAUGGUUUCAGCGCACAUCUCGGAGUUUGUUCAGUUCUAAAGGCUGAACUUUGGGGUGUCUUGCAUGGGUUAAGAAUGGCAUGGGAUCUUGGCUAUAGACGUAUCCAAGUUGGAGUAGACAACUGUAGUGUGGUGCAAAUUAUAAGGGAAAAUAAUGCUCAUGUCAACGAAAUUUCGAAUAUAAUCGAGAUGAUUAGAGAACUCAUGAGGAGGGAUUGGAGGAUUCAAAUUGAUCACAUCUACCGCGAAGCAAACUCGGCAGCUGAUUUCCUUUCUACGCAUGCUUUGAGUUUACUUGUUGGAGUACAUUUUCUUCAUUCUGCACCUUUAGGUUUGAGAUCUAUUUUAUAUUUGGAUAUGUAUGGGGUGGCACACUCCCGGUUUGUGCCCCUUUAGCUCUUCUCUUUUAGAGCCUUUUGUUUAUCAAAAAAAAAAAAAAAGCUUCCAACUGAAAUAGGGAAUGCACUUACUACUAAGGACAGUUGGUGGCCACCUAAUGCAUUCAUUUUAUAUCAAUUCAUCAUUUUAAUUAUUGAAAACAAGUGGCUCAUCGCUUUUACUUUAGGUAAAAUUCGGAUAAUCUCUAUUAUGAAAUGAUAAUAUUCUCUUAAAUUAUUAUAAACCUCAGCCAAUCUUAAUUUUAUUUAAAAGAUAAAAGAAAAAUAGGUUAUGUUGGUGACUUUUUUCUUAUCUUUUUAAUAAAAAUAAAAUAAAUUGAUGUUUAUAAUUGUUUAAAAUACUUUAAAGAUUGUUAUUUUAUGAGAGAGUAAUAUUUUACUUUUUUAUUGUGAAAUGCUAAAAAGGACAAAGCAAGUGUCCCUGGUUUUUAUUUUAUUUGAAAUUGGUCAUCUCAUAUACUUUACGUUUCAACACUACAAUUUUUUUGGUUAUAUUUUUAUUAUUUUUUUCUUUCUUACACAUGCACGUAAAUUUUCUUUCUUUAAGCUCCUGAAUAUUUAAGACAAAUCAUGGAAGAGAUGAAAGUAUAACAAGAUGAUCAAAAUACGUAACAAAAAAUUUACAAGUGAAACAUACGUUAGAGUCGAAGUAAAACUCUGAAAAUAGAGAUAUUGAUUAAUUUAGAAGAGAUGCAAGCAAAAGAUUUUCUUAAAAAAAAGAAAAGCAAUUUGUCCCUUUCCAGGGCAAACUUGUUAGUCUCAAAAAGGUACAUUCUUUGAAUUGAUAGUUGCAGGAUUUUUGUCUUGUUUUUGUUGUUGUGCAUUAGUUGGAGAAGUCAAGCCUAGUGAAAAAUGUUAUGAAAGAGCAAAGGAUAUUUCUGACAGCUUUAUUUAAUUAUGUAUUCAUUUAAUGGAUGUAUUGUUAGAAGAUAUUUAAGUGCAUUAGUUCAUCCGUGUCUGUUGAUGUGCUUUUAGUGAUUUUUCCAGCUGUUUGUUGUAAAAGAUGAUUGUAAAUUGAAAUGAACUUGAUGUUGUAAUAUUUUCUCUUUUGUGGAAUCUCAGUUGUGUUGUCUAUAAUUUUAGUCAAAAUUAUUGUUAUUAUUUCUUACUAGAGGUAAAUUUUUUAUUAAACCUCAUUAACACAAUUCUUAAUUAAAAGUAUAGGUUAGUGUCGGUGCAGGAUUUGCAGCACCAGAUCCUGCCUAGCUACGUGUCAAAAAUACAAAAUAAAUGAAGAGAAAGCACAAAUACAUGACUUGGAUUAGGAUAGAAGGAAACUUAAAUCUUAAAGAAAAUGAUAGCUAUAUCCCACUAUUUGAAAAAAUGGUCAUGUAGAUUUUUAAGAUUUAAAUAAGGGACGGAGAUCUUCUUUUGACAAAUAAUAUCUUUUAGCUCUCUCAAGUAAAAAAAAAAUUAAAUAUUUUAUAAUAAAUAAAAAUAUAAUAUUAAAAUAUACGUGAUAAUAUAUACAUUUUAAAUAAUUUCAAUCCAAAAAAAUAGUUAUGUUUUAUCGAAUCUACCUAUGUUACAAUAGUAGUAUGGUACCACAAUAUUUGUUCUUAUCCAAUGUAAUCAUUGGAUGAUUUAGAGCUUAAUCUAACGGCUUAAAUUAUUUUUCUGAAUAUUUGAAGCAACAACUUGCAACCGUUGGAGCCGGUUGCAUAUUAAUUUAAUAUCAUUUGGGGAAGCGUACGGUCAGGAAGUUUCUUAGUAUGCCACCAAUGGAAUUUGAUUUCAUCUCAAAUCGAUCUGCAGGCAGCAAUUGGGAAAUUACACUCACGGUCUUCCUCUUCUUCACUUCCUCUCUACUCUUCACUUUUCUCACUCUCGCGAUGUUUACAGCAUGAUAAGUACAAUUACAAACCAGGAAAUGCCAUUAACAAUUUUCAUUUGUCUUAGUCGUUUUUUUUUUUUUUAGUAGAAAGCCAAAAAAGAAAACGGGUGGGAGGUUGGGGCGUCGUGAUGAAAUGGUUUUGAGUUUUUGACGGAAUGUUUGUUUUUGUGAUUCAUUUAGGGUUUGAAUUCAGGCUUGUACGAACUCGGAUCUAUUCGAGAUCCGUAUUGGCGCUGAAAUCAGAUCCUUUGAAGCCUUGGUUUGAAUUCAACCUUGAGAACUCCAAGCUUGUUAGAAUCUUCAUUGAUCUCUCCAGAAAUUACACGGAUCUUAUUACUAAACCCUACAUAUAGGGCUGCAAUGGAGUCCGAUUCUCUCACAAUUGAUGAAUCAAUAUUGAGACAGUUCGAAAAGGAAGUAAAAAAGAGAAUCAACUUGACUGGCUAAAUAAUUGCGGAGGCCAAAGAGUCUUUUGAUAAUCAAUUGAAGAUUUAGAAGUUAAAAGACACUAUUUUUACUAUGAACGAACAAUUGACUAAGGCGAAAAAGCAAGGAGCUUUUUUGAGUUUGAUUGCUGCGAAAUCGAUGCCUUAGAGUUUGCAUUGUUUGGCCAUGAGGUUGAUGAAAGAGCGAGUUGUUCAUCCGGAGAACUAUAAUGAAGAAGGGAAGCCCACACAUGCAGAAUUCGAGGAUCCCAAACUUUAUCAUAAUGCUAUUUUUUCUGGGUAAUAUGCUUGCAGCUUCGGUGGUGGUGAUUGGUGAAUUUAGCUGUUAAGAACUCGAAGGAGCCUUGGAAACAUGUGUUUCAUGUUGUGAUGGAUCAAAUGUUUAAAUUGAAGGAUUAUAAUGGAGCACAUUUAGGCACGAAGGCUGUUGAGGAUUAUAAGUUUUUGAAUUCUCACAUGUCCCUGUGUUAAGGCAGCCGGGGUUUGCUAAUUUGCAAAGGUUUUACUUCGGGAAGUAGCUUGAGAAUGCUACGAAAGAUGCUACUAACAUGAAGUUUAGGAAUCCCAAUUACUUGUUGAUACUGUAUCAUUUGAGGUUCUGGAUAAGAUUUCAAUGAUGGCCGCUUAAAACAAAUAAUAAAAAAAAAGAACUUGUACUGUAUUUGGAUCUUUACUUAUUUGAUAUAGUUUUCUGCAAUCUCUCCAUGCAACCGGUUACUUUAAUUAUCCACUAACUCAUCUCAACCGUUUGAUGGACUCACUUUAUAUCCAACGGCAGUUUUAAAUGAAGACAAAAAGUGUGGUAUGUUGCAAUUGUUGCAACAUAUGUGAGUCUUGUUUUACAAUCUAUUUAACAUAUUUUAUUAAAUUAAUAUAUUUCUAUGAUAUAGGAACAUAAUAUUAAAAUAAAUUUACAAAAAUUUAAAGAAUUUUGAAUGUAAAACAAUUUCAAUAUAUUAAUAAUGAGAUUUUUUUAUUAUUAUAAAAAUUAUUUAACCCAUAGAUUUUUUUAAAUCUUUACAAUAAGUAUAAAUAUAUUAUCUUCACUUAAAAAUAUUUAAAUAUUAUUAACCUAUAAUUAGGUUUGCAUUUAUUAGAAAAUUUUAAAGUCAAAUAUAUUGCACUUUUGCAUUAUUAGAAUCAUCACAGAGAAAGGAGCAUAUAUACUUUAUAACUUUAAAAAUUGGUUUCUUCUGGAAACAGAGAUGAUGAUUAUUAUAAGGAUGAAAAAAAAAAGAUAAAGAAUAUUAAUGAUUAACGAAAUCUCUAUGCAAAUUGAUUUUAGUAGGGAAAGAGUGAGAUGAAUAACUUCUUUUACAGCUAAAAACAGAGAUGAUGAUUAUUAUAAGGUUGAAAAAAAAAGAUAAAGAAUAUUAAUUAUUAAUGGAAUCUCUAUGCAAAUUGAUUUUAUAGGAAAAAAGCGAGCUAAAUGAUUUAGACAUUCAUAGUGUAUUUAUUUUUGAAUUGGUGAAUAAGAAUUAUUGACAACGCUAACUUCAUCUUCACCGUUGGCUAUCCAAUAGCGGCAAUUGUCGCCGAUUAUGAUAUCUCCAAUGAUGAUGACGGUUUUUUUAUUAUUAUUAUUGGUGACCCCUUGGAAAGUUAACUGCAACUGCCAAUCAGAGAAAAGUCGUCAUGCACAAUCCUCAAUCGAACCAAUCAUCUACGUUACAGAAUCUGAAACGUACACACUGUUAACAUAUAUGUUUCCAUAAUGUUGAUUUUGAUGAUAACAAACAAGAUUAAGAAUGAUUAAUCUUUUAAGCUCAAAUUAUUUUUAUGCAUUUUAAAUAAAUCAUUAUUUUUACAUUAUAAAGGUUCUAUAUUUAAUGGAAAAAUGAUUUUAUGAAAUUGAUUGUUUUUUAUUCUUUUUAAAUAAAUCAUUAUUUUCACAUUAUAAAUGUUUCAUAUUCAAUGGAAAAAUGAUUUUAUGAAAUUGGUUGUUUUUCAAAGUUUAUGGUUUAAUUGAAAGAAUUUUGAAAACUUUGAAAUAAACAAGUAUUGCUUGAAAUUUCAGAUUUGGACUUAUUUGAAACUAUUUAAAUGUUUUUAGGCUAUUCUAUAAUUUCACAAAGUUUGGGCGAAAUUAUAAUUUCAGAACGUUGUGGGAUUGACAAAGUAUUAUUCUAAAAUUCUGAAAUUGGACUUAUUUGUAAAUUUUCAUAACGUUUUGGGUUAUAGUAUAGUUUUAUAAAGUUUUGGGGUCAAAUUAUAAUUUCAGAAAAUAGUGCACUGUGCAGGUUACUGUGGCAUCCGGCUUACCGGAUAUAAAAAUCGGAAAACCGGAUACGGGGCAGAAUGUAUCCAGAAUGUAAACGGCUUACCGGAUUUCGUAACCAGCAAGCCGGAUAGGCAAAAUUCAAAUUUUUGCCUUAACGGUAACAUAAAUCCAGCUUAUCGGAUUCCAUAAAUGGCAAACCGGAUACGCCCAGAAUGUGAGUAACGGCUAGUUUUUGAGUUCAAACUAUAUAAACUCAAAACCAAUUCAUUUUUGGUAAUCCAAGCAAGAAAGAACAAGUGCACAUAACAUAUAUUGAGCUUCAAUUUCGUAACUCAUCAUUUAUUAAAUCAUCUUUGUUUUUCAAUUUGUAUAUCCACUCUUAAAGAGAGAUUCAUUGUUGUAUUUUUCAUUUCUCAUCAAAUUGUGAGUGUACAAGUGUGAGAAACACUUGGGGUGAAGAGAUUGGAGAGAUAAUCUCUUGUUGUAAAGGUUCAUUAACACAUUGAAGUCAAUUGUAAACGUUUGAAGCCUUGGAAAUGCUUGGAUAGUGAAAUCCUCAAGCCCGGUGUGCUUGGAAGCGUGGACGUAGGCGGAGAUUACCGAACCACGUAAAAAUCCUUGAGUUUGCUUUCUCUUCCCUUACUCUUUAAUUAUUGUGCUUUGAUUGAACUUAUUGCUUUCAAUUUUUAUUAAGACAUUAGAUUAAAUUGUUGUGUGGUUUGCCUAGGAUAAUUUUUAAAAUCUCAAUUCACCCCCCUCUUGAGUUGCCUAGUUAGUAUUUCACACACCCAAUGGGAAGCAGCACACGUGUUCUGAGGAGAGAGAGAAAAAACCGUGCAAAUGCAAGCAAUAGGUAUUGGCUACAGUUGGAUCUGUAAGUUACAGAAUCUGUAACUUAGCCAACUCCCUCAAUGAUCAAUAUUGUUUCCGAUAUUUAUAAAUUGGUGGCCCCUUGGAAAUUUAACUGGAAGUUUGCAAGUGUCAAUCAGAAAAAAAUCGUCAUCCAUUGUUUUUUUUUUUCUGCAUUCCCUUUCAUGUUCUUAAUAAUUGAGGACAGGUUGUUCAUAACAUUUAUACUUUUCAAAUGUGGAGCUGCAUUUAAUGUCGCUAUUUUAAUUUGGGAUUAAAUUAGGGGAACACUAACUUUUAUAUUUAUCUAAACUCCUUAAAUUUAAGACAGAUUAUGGCGUAAAUAAGAAUAUAAUAAUAACAAAGGAAUUAAAAAGUAUAAUGACGAUCUUGCAGAAAUAUAAAUAUUAGCGUUGAAUUAAAUAACAUAGAACACAUGAAUUGAAUAGUGAUUAUCAAGACGGUGUUACUUGCACUCCUAUUUAUAAAAAAUCUUGGUUCUGUUCCAUUAGAUUUUUUAUCUUCAAAAUCUUGCAAAGUUUUGACAACCCAAAGGCUCAGUUUGGUUGUUCUAUAUUUGUAUGAUAUGAAUUCAAAUUUUUGUGUUCUGUUUUUCUUAAUUCUGAACACGGAUUCUUCUCUUCUCGUGCAAACCAGAAAGAAAUGUUGUCUUACAAAAAAAAAAGGGGAAUAACUUCAUGAGAACAAAAAUUCAGAAAAAUAAUAUAAAGUUUAUAUUUAGACUUUUGUGGUAUAUUUUAAUUUUCAACAAUGAGUUAAAGAAAAUAAUAAAUAAAGUAAAUAAAAGUUUAGAGAUUCAAAUUUUUAGUAUUGGAUUCUUUAAUUCAAAUACCUCUCAUUAAUUAACACUUAAAAGAGAGUUCACUAUUAUAAUUUUAAGUUUUUUGAUUUAUUAUUGAUAUAUAAAUUAGGAGUUUAAGCUUACUUUUUUAUUUUUCCAUUUUUUUUCAAAUUUGAAAUUAUUAUUUAAAUUUAUAAUUUUUUUUAAAAAAAUAGAGGGCUUGAGCCUGGCUUGGGUAUUGUUUCCUAAACCCUUAUCCGGCCCUGGCUUUUUUGCCAGCCCCAAUGAUGAUGAUGAUGAUUAUUUUAUUAUUAUUAUUAAUGAUGAAAAGUAUUAUAAUUAAUUAAUAUAUUAUUGUAUUGUUAUUAAGAUUAACAAUAAUUAUUAAUGAUAACAAUUUUUUGAAUAAAAAUAAUCACAAUAAUUAAAAUAUAAAUUAAUAAUUAUAACAAUAGUUAAUUAAUGUAUUUUUAACAAUUUGUAAUAAUUUAACUCAUUCUAAUUUCGAUUAUUAUAGUUAAGUAAACAACUUAUUAUAAUUUUCAUUCUCCAUUUUAAUUUCAGCUCAUUUCGAUUUCAGUCUAUUCCAAUUUUCAUUUAAUAAACGUUCCAUUAAUGCUAUAGUAAUAUUUCAUAUAGAAAAAAAUAAAAGCUACAACUAAGGUUAAGGGAAAGGACUUCAAAACUCUCUUUUUGUCAUAAUACAUUUUUUCCUAAUUAACUUAAAGAGUUUGAAUCUAAUAUUUUAUAAUAAAUAAAAAUAUAUUCCAAAAGUAAAUAUAAUAUAUCUAUUUUAAACUAAUCUCAAUAUUUAAAAUAUAUUUAAUAUUUUACAAUCUAUUAGACAUAUUUUAUUAUAUUAAAAUAAAUUUUAUAAUAAAUAUGAACAUACUGUUAAAAUGAAUAUAUAAAAAACUUAGAGUAUUUUGAAUAUUAUAUAAAAUAAUUUUAGUAGAAUACGUGAGAUAUAUUUUAUUAAUGUAAAAUGCUAUUUAAUCUAAAGAUUCAUUUAUGAUAAAUUAAUAAUUAUAUUUUUAAAAUUAUUUUAAAAAUUAAAUUUUUUUAAUAUUAUUAAUCUAUUAGACAGAUAAAAUUAUUUAUAUUAUUUUGUAUUUAUUAAAAAAAUUUAAAGUCAAUUUUUUUAAUUACUAUUCAAAGGAUAUAAUAAUUAAAAAAAUCUUAGCGUUUUCAUUAAAAAUUUAAAAAUUUACAUGACUAUUUCUGUAAAUAUUUAAGGUAUAUAUGAACUACGGUAGAGAAGCUUCAUUUAAUAUUAUUGAUUUAAAUAAUAUCUCAAUUAAAAAUGUACAGAGAAUAUAUUUCGGUGGGUAUUUUAAUCUUUUUAGCAAUUAUCAUGGUUAGCCCUUGGCCUUGAAACGUCUGUCAGAAAGGUUUUCAAAUGCUUUAAUUGUUCUUAUUAAAAAAAAAAUCUUUAAUUGUUUUUUCACUUUUAACGUCAGCGGCCUUGAAAGUGCUUUUACUUUAUAACAAAUUAAUUAAUGCUGACGAGAAAAUAUCUCUUCCACAGCCCACAGCAGCUUCUGUUAAUCAAACUCAACCAAUUUUCUCUCUUAACAAAAUUCCAAAGAUGGGUAGCAUUUUUCAGAUCACAUGCGACGGCGCUUUUUUCAAUCGUUGCUUUGGAUUGCUUUCUUGGAAAAGCAGCAUACAUAAGCAACAUCCAAGAUAAUCUUGUAGCCUUGGAGACUGAACUGGGAAGACUAAUCGCAGCAAAGAACGAUGUGAUGAUGAGGGUUGUCAAUGCUGAACGACAACAAAUGAAAAGGCUGGGCCAAGUGGAAUGGUGCGUUUCGAGGGUGGAUGCUGUUAAAAUUGAAGCUGAUGAACUUAUCAGAGACGGCUCUCAAGAAAUUGACAAAUUAUGUGUUGGAGGCUACUGUUCUAAGAACUGCACGUCAAGCUACAAGUUCGGGAAACAAGUGGCUAAAAAGCUACGAGAUGUGGAGACUUUAAUCGCCGAAGGAGUUUUUGAGGCGGUGGCUACCGAGGUGGUGCCUGAGAGAGCUCCAGAGCCUGUAGCAGAUGAAAGACCUACCGAGCGAACAGUAGUAGGCUUGCAAUCACAACUUGAACAAGUCUGGAGAUGUCUUGCAGAAGAAUCAGUGGGAAUCAUUGGCCUAUAUGGUAUGGGCGGUGUUGGUAAAACUACAUUACUGACCCAUAUCAACAAUAAAUUUCUCGAGAGUCCAACCAACUUUGAUUGUGUGAUUUGGGUAGUAGUUUCAAAAGACCUGCGACUUGAAAAAAUUCAAGAAGAUAUUGGAAAAAAGAUAGGUUUGGUUGGUGAUUCGUGGAAGAGUAAAAGUGUAGAGGAGAAAGCUGUCGACAUCUUCCGGAGUUUAAGAGAGAAGAGAUUUGUAUUGUUGUUAGAUGAUAUAUGGGAGCGGGUUGAUUUAACAAAGGUGGGCGUUCCACUUCCCGGACCAAAAAAUACUACCUCAAAAGUUGUAUUCACAACCCGUUUCAUCGAUGUUUGUGGUAGCAUGGAAGCUGACAGGAAGUUCCAAGUGGCGUGCUUAUCAGAAAAGGAUGCUUGGGAACUGUUUCGAGAAAAAGUUGGGGAAGAAACUCUUCAGAGUCAUCAUGAUAUCGUUGAGCUAGCCCAAAUUGUGGCCAAAGAGUGUGGUGGUUUGCCACUCGCACUUAUUACUAUUGGUCGAGCUAUGGCCUGCAAAAGGACAGCCGAGGAGUGGAGACAAGCAGUUGAAGUGCUAAGAAGAUCAGCUUCUGAGUUUGCAGGUUUGGGAAAAGAGGUGUAUCCUCUUUUAAAGUUUAGCUAUGAUAGUUUGCAGAAUGAGACGAUUAGAUCUUGUUUCUUAUAUUGUUGUUUAUAUCCCGAAGAUUAUGGAAUUCUUAAAUGGGACUUGAUUGAUUGUUGGAUUGGUGAGGGAUUCUUAGAGGAAUCUGACAGGUUUAGUGCAGAAAACCAAGGAUACUACAUUGUGGGCACUCUUGUUCAAGCAUGUUUAUUAGAAGAGUUAGAAGAUGAUAAAGUAAAAAUGCAUGACGUUAUUCGUGAUAUGGCUCUAUGGAUAACCAUUGAAAUUGAGAAGCAGAAGAGAAACUUUUUGGUUCGUGCAGGUGCUGGAUUAAAAGAGGCACCGGCUGUUAAAGAAUGGGAAAAUGUGAGAAGAUUGUCAUUGAUGCAAAACCAAAUUAAAACUCUGUCAGAGGUUCCUUCAUGCCCUCAUCUCCAUACUCUAUUUCUUGCCUCUAAUGAUAAUUUGAGGAUGAUCACGGAUGGCUUCUUUCAAUUUAUGCCUUCUCUCAAAGUUUUGAAGAUGUCAAACUGUGUGGAUUGGCCAGUUUCGAAAUUACCUUUGGCGAUGUCAAAGUUGGGUUCACUACAACUUCUUGAUAUUUCACAUACCGGCAUAGAANNNNNNNNNNNNNNNNNNNNNNNNNNNNNNNNNNNNNNNNNNNNNNNNNNNNNNNNNNNNNNNNNNNNNNNNNNNNNNNNNNNNNNNNNNNNNNNNNNNNGAAGAGUUGAAGUUGUUGGUAAAUCUGAAAUGUUUGAAUUUGAGGUGGACAUUUGAGUUAAAUAAAAUUCCAUGGCAACUAAUAUCAAAAUUUUCAAGGUUACGUGUGUUGAGAAUGUUCGCUACUGGCUUUGCACGUUUUGAUGAAGCAUCAGAAGACAGCGUUUUAUUUGGUGGGGGUGAAGUUUUAGUACAGGAAUUGGUCGGUCUGAAAUAUUUAGAGGUAUUGGAGUUGACCUUGGGAUGUCAUCAUGCUCUCCAAAUUUUUUUGAGCUCAAAUAAGUUAAAAAGUUGUAUUCGAUCUCUUCUCCUCCAGUUGGCCGGAGAUACAACGUCGAUUAUUGAUGCUACGGCUUUCGCAGAUCUAAACCACCUCAAUGAAUUAUGCAUUGAUAGGGCUAAGGAGUUGGAAGAAUUGAAGAUUGAUUGUAAAGAAAUAGUACAAAAAAGGCGGGAACCUUUUGUUUUCCGCAGCCCUCACCGUGUUACUAUACAUAGCUGCCAGAAGUUGAAAGAUUUGACAUUCCUCGUUUUUGCUCCAAACCUCAAGUCUCUCGAUCUAGACCGUUGCGAUGCUAUGGAAGAAAUAAUCAGCGUCGGAAAAUUUGCUGAGACUCCUGAGAUGAUGGGACAUAUAAGCCCUUUUGAAAAUCUCCAAAUGCUUGAUUUAGAAGAUUUGCCUCAUUUGAAGAGCAUCUUCUGGAAGCCAUUGCCUUUCACUCAUCUGAAAGAAAUAUCUGUGGGUUAUUGCCGUAAUCUUAAAAUGCUUCCACUCGAUUCCAACAGUGCAAAGGAGCGUAAAUUUAUUAUUCGUGGAGAAGAAGACUGGUGGAACCGACUUCAAUGGGAGGAUGAAGCCACUCAAAUUGCUUUUCGUUCCUGUUUCCAAUCUCUUUUUGAUUAACUCUUAUACAUUUUCUCGUCGUUUGCUUCAUGCAAAAGACUACGUCUUUUGUUCUCUGUUUUUAUUUCAGUUUCGUUUUGUCUCCUGCAAAUCACAAUUAAAUGUUGAAUUAUAUGGAAGUAAUGCUUUAUAAAUUUGCCGGCACUGCCAUUUAUUUUUCCUCUUUUUUUUUUUGGGUCGAAUUGAUGCUCUGGCUUUUUUAUUUUUUGUCAUCGAAUUUUGCUCUGUUUUUCAAAUUGAUGCUUGAAUAUGUGAAUUCAAUUAAUGCUCACAUAAUUUUGUUUAGUUGCCGUAAAAGAAUAUAAUUAGACUGAAAUUCGCACUCCCAGAAUGAAUAGAAUCACAACAGAGAAAAUAUUAAGUAUGCUAGCCCUCUUUACAGAAAAUCAAAUGAAAAUAAAAUUUUUUGGAUAUUUGAUUUUCUAUGGUCUACUAUAUACACUUUAUAAAUUCUUCUGUUCUAAGGAUAACCAAGUAGGGGAUUGAUGAAGGCUCCUUUUUGGGAUUCUUCUUUUUCUAGGCUGCAAUUAGGAUAUGUACAUGAUAGACAAUCUUUUGUUGGUUUAGCAUAUCUUCGCUGAUUUUGUCUUUUAUUCCCCAAUUUUAUAAUUACACACCAUGAAUGUUGGGUGAUUGUAUAGAAAAUUUGUGUUAUAACAAAAACAUUGUGAAGGAGUUUCCGUGCUAAUAGUUAGUGGCUUCUGUUUUAUUGGUAUUGAUUGGGUAGAUUUCGUGUUACAGUGAUUCAAUUUGUGUUCCAAACUUUGCUUUAAUUUUCUGUUUUCCCCAACUAUUUAUGUCAAAUUUAAAUCCAGAAGCAUGUACUGAUUUUUUCUUUUUGUAUUAAUCUGUGAAGUUUACUUGGAAUGGAAGUAACUGGGUCGGGUCUAAUGGAUUAAAUUAUGACAUUGAGGGGAAGGCACUAAAAGGGUUUGCUUGACACAUUUGGUUCUGUAUUUACUCUGCAAGAAAUAGCUUUUGCUUAUUGCAAUGCAGGGGGAAAUCCCGAUUUGGCUGGUGAAUUUCUCUGCAACAAACAGGCAAACGCCUCAACCUCUUCUGUCCAUACUUCUGCUGGGGAGGCAAGGGGUAAAGAGUCUUCAAAAUCAUCAAAUAGUAACAUCUCUGAGAAUUCAUUUUAUGGAAAUGGAAAAUCUAGAGCUUCUAAUACAAAAUGGCAUCUGGUAUCAGGACGUACCGUUUCAAGUUUUCUUGGUAAAGAUUAUGUUAAACCUGCACAGCCAGCUAAUGGCACUGUUCUGGCAUCAAAGCCAUUGAAGUUGGAUCCAAGGGAGUUUCGCAUUUCUGCACUUUCAGAGUAGAAACUAAACCAAAACAAUCAAAGGAUGACCAUUUGCAGAAGGAUAUGGAAGAUUUUCUGUUUAAAUUGCUAGGAGAAGGGUUCCAGCUGUACAGGGAUGUGAUUCAGGAGGUUCAUGGAAACGUCUUAAAUAUAUUGAUGCCAAUUUAAUACAUAUUGUCCUUUUCAAUGUUCUUUCUUUCUUUCUCCUCUUUUUAUUCUUCUUCUUCUUCUUUUUUCUUUUCGUGUGCAUGUGAUCACUAAUUUGGUAUUAUUCUUAACUUGCAGAUAGUUGUGGAUAUGAUAUGCAAAAUAUCUUCUUGAUGCUGGCAGAUUCACUUGAUUCUUAUUAGUUUGUUUAGUGGCAAGGCAUAUAACCUGUAUUUCAAAGCCAAGUUGUGCUAUUGAUUAUGUUAACUUUAUUGUUAACAUAAAGUGAUAUGGAGGACAUAAUCAAUGUAGGAAAAUUAGGUGAAGAGAUGAUGUCAAAUCUUGAACCUCUUACAAAGCUCCAAGUUCUUUACUUGAAGAAGCUGCCAAAUUUGAAGAGCGUCUACUGGAAGGCAUUUCCAUUCCCAGAUGUAUGCAGAAUUUUUGUAUUAAUGCCCAGUUCUUAAGAAGCUGCCACUGGAUUUUCAAAGGGCGGGCCAAGGUGAAAUUCUUAUCAAGGGAAAGGAAGAUUGGUGGAAAGAACUUCAAUGGGAGGAUCAAGCAACUCAGAAUGCAUUGCUUCCAUUUUUCAAAUCAACUGACAAGUGAUUGAAGGGGGCAUCAUCAACAGAGAUGGAGAGAUUCUGGAGCAGAUCAACAGGGUUUGUAUAUGAUCUUUGGUGGUUGCUUUCUUUUGUGAUUUUUUUUUCUCAUUUUUUUUCCUUCCUGUCAUUUUAUCAUUUCUUUGUCUCUUUUUCUAUUGCUGAUGUUAGUGUAUGCUUACUGUUGCUUGACAAAGUUUGCUUGCUUCUUGUUUAUUAAAUUUUUUAUGGUCACAAAAUAUUACUUGUUCUAUUUGAGAGUGAUGUGAAUCAAUUUUCAAUUAUAUAUUUUGUGGUCAAUGUGAAUUCAAUUUCAUUUGUCUCCUGCAAUUAUGAAAAAAAUGCAGAGUCAUAAUAUGGAAAAGUCGACCGGCAAAAACUUUGUGAAAGCUUCGGAGUGAAACAGGGAAUUCACUUACUACUAAGGACAAUUGGUGGCGAGCUAUUCCAUUCAUUUUAUGUCCAUACAUCUAUUUAAUUAUUGAAGAUAAGUGGUCCAUUUGUAAAUUUCAGAUUGUCCCUCUCUCUUGAAAUAACGAUAUUUAAAAUAUUUCUUAAAUUAUUAUAAAUUUUAAUUUACUCUGGAUUUAAAAUGGAACAUGAUGAAAAUUUUUUUUUCUUCUUAAUAAAAUUGAAAUAAAUUGUGUUUGCAGUAGUUUGAAAUAUUUUAAAGAUUAUUAUUUUAUAAGGGAGUAAUAUGAAAUGAAAUUUACUUUUCAUGCGUGAAAUGUUGAAAAAGGACAAAGCAAGUGUCCCUGUUUUUAUUUUAUUUCAAAGUGGAGUCAUCUCACGUACUUUAGCUCUUAACAUUAUAAUUUUUCUGGUUACAUUUUUAUUAUUAUUUUUUUUUUUUACACAUGCAUGUGGGUUACUUUUCCGUAAGCUCCUUAAUAUAUAUUUAACACAAAUCAUGGAAGAGAUGGGAGUAUAUCAAGAUGAUCAAAGCAUGAAACAAAAAUAUUUAAGAAGUAAAACACUGAAAAUGGAGAAGAGAUGCAAGCAAAAGAUAUUCCAAAGAAAAGCAAUCUAUCCCCCUUUCGAGGGCAAACUUAUCAGGUUUAAGAAAAGUACAUGCUUUGGAUUGGUAGUUGCAGCCUUGCAGGAUAAUUGUUUUUGCCACUAUAUUAGUUGGAGGAGUUGAACCCAGCGAAGAAUGUUAUGGAAGAGCAAAGGAUUAUGUAGCCUGAAUGGAUGUCUUGUUGAAAGAUAUCUCAGUGCAUUAGUUCAUCCUUGUCUGUCAAUGUGUUUUUAAUGGUUUUUCCAAUUGUUUAUUAUUAUAGAUUGAUUGUAAAUUGAUAUGAAUUUAAUGUUGAAAUAUUUUCUCUUUAGUGGAAUGAAUUUAAAAGUGCAAAAGCUUAUUGCACACAGAGAAAUAAACAUAUAUGCUUUAUAGUAUAACUUUAGCAAUCGAUUCUUUUACAGCUGGAAACAGAGAUGGUGAUUAUCAUAGGGGUGAAGAAAAGGACAAAAAAUGUUAAUGAUUAACGAAAUUUCUAUGCAAAUUGAUUUUAGCAGGAAAAAAAGUGAGCUAAAUGAUCUUAAUGUUCCACAAAAGCAAAUCGUAAUAUUCCACAAGAAAAAGCAAGAUCUUAAUGUUCCACAAAAGCGUUAUUUUUUUUUUGGUGAGCCACGUGGAGCUCAAUUAUCAUUGUCUUUACUUUAAAAACGUUAUUUUAUUUUAUUUUAUUACAAAUUAAUGCUAAACAAGAAAAAGCAAGAUAUAAUAUUCCACAAAAGCAAAUCGUAAUAUUCCACAGAGGAAUAAGAUCCACAAAAGCAAACAACUAGCUGGAUUCUUUUACUGAAUUACAAAUUAAAGUGGAAUCUUUUAUUAAACAAUAAAUUAAAGUUCGAAUAUUUAAGUAGUAGUGCGUUAGAUGAUUAGGCUCUCUUAUUAAAGGCAAGUAUAAGGUAGUCCAGAAUCGAACAUCUCUAUUGUCUAGUCAUUUUUUUCAAUUCUUCUUUUAUUAUUUUUCAGAAUAGGUUUUGGUGAUUACUAUUGGGUUAUUAGUCAGAGUUAUUCUUAUCUUCCGGGGCAGUUUCUGUUCAUCGGAAUUGUUAAUUAAAAGAGUAAUGAUAUAGUCACAAACUCUUGUAUAAACUUAUUUUGUACAAACUGAUGUGGCAUGAUAAGAUUAGUUGAAUUAAAUAUCACUUAGGCCACAUGAUUUAUUUUUAUUAUUUUAUAUUUUCAUUCAACCAAUGAAUUAAUGCCACGUCAGUUUGUACAAGAGUUUGUGGCUGUAUCAUUACUCUAAUUAAAAUUUUAGAACUCUUGUGGGAAGAAUGUUUUUCUGUUAUCUUUUUUACAUUCUAAUUUCAACAAUAAGAAGGAGUCAUUUUAGAAUUCGGGUCUUGAAUCGAAUUUCAAUGCAUGAAUUAAUAUUUUAAAAAAAAAUUACUACACGCAGUUUAGGUUACAAACUAUUUUUUGCAAAGUUGACUAUGAAAUUGGAGAAAUUAAGUAAUUUAUAAUGUUUGCAAAGGAAGAGACUAACAUACUUCCAAUUACACUAUAUCUCUAUUAUCAUAAUGUUAAGACUAAACUAACUUAAAAUAAAUUUUAUUUGAAAAGUUAUAUCAAACACAGUCUAAUUUUAUUAACUUGAAGAGAUAAUAGUUAUAGAAAUGAUUGUUCUAACUUAAUUAGUACAAGUGGUAUAAAGGUUAAGUGUGCACUAAAUUUGUUUAAAUUUUUUCCAGAAUAACUAACAGAGGUCAUUAUUAGAAUUAUAAUUACUAGUCUAUUAGAUAGAAAAAAUUAUAUAUAUUGUUUUAUAUUUAUUAAAAAAAUUUAAAGUCAAUCUUUUUAAUUAUUAUUUAAAGGAUAUUAUAAUUUAAAAAAAUUUAAUGUCUUUAUUAAAAAUUUAAAAAUUUACAUGACCGUUCUAUAAAUAUUUAAAGUGUAACUGUCAUUUUCUCAUGUAUAUAUAUAUAAACCACGGUGGUGAAGCUUUAUUUAAUAUUAUUGAUUUAAAUAACAAUAUCGCAAUUAAAAAUGUAGAGAGAAGAAAUUUUGGUGGGUAUAUUAGUCUUUUACAAUUAUCAUGAUUAGCCCUUCCUCUUGUAACGUUGGUCAGAAAAGUUUUAAAAUGCCUUGAUUUCUUUUACUUUUAACGUUAGCGGCCUUCCUUAUAUUUUAUUACAAAUUAGUCCUAACAAGAAAAAGCGAGAUCAUAUUCCAAAAAAGCAAAAGUGACAAAAAAACCAGCUGUAUUCUUUUAUUAAACUACAAUUUAAAAUGAUUUUAAAGUGGAUUCUUUUGAAUACAGGUGGGGUAGUCGAAUAGUCUUUUUCAAAUUCUUGUUUUAUUAUUUUUCAAAACUAGUUUUUGGUAAUUACAAUCGGGUCAUUCAUUAGUCAUUAUUCAGAGUUAUUGUUAUCUUCGGGGGCAGUGGGUAAAAGGCUAAAUGAUAAUUACUAAGUGUUUUUCCUUCAAAAGUUAGUGGCUCGUGUUUUGCAAGUGUGUACGUGCGAUGCUCUUUGUCUAAAGGCAAUUACAGUGGGUCCCGAAUCGGACGUGCCUAAUAAAUCUUUUAAAAUUUUUUCUAAUAAAUAUUCCUAAAAUUUCUCUUCCACAGGCAAUUACAGCAGCUUCAGUUAAUCAAACUCAAUCAAUUUUCUUUCUUAACAAAAUUCCAAAGAUGUUUGGCUGUUUUCAGAUCACAUGCGAUGGUGCUCUUUUCAAUCGUUGCUUGGAUUGCUUUCUGGGAAAAACAGUAUACAUACGUAACCUCCCAGAUAAUCUUGUUGCCUUGGAGACUGAAUUGGGAAAUCUAAUCGCAGCAAAGAACGAUGUGACGAGGAGGGUUGACAAUGCUGAACGGCAACAAAUGAGAAGGCUGGACCGAGUGCAACGAUGGAUUUCGAGAGUGGAAGUUGUUGAAACUGAAGCCGAUGAAUUGAUAAGACAUGGCUCUCGAGAAAUUGAAAAAUUAUGUGUUGGAGGCUACUGUUCCAAGAACUGCAUGUCAAGCUACAAGUUCGGAAAACAAGUGGCUAAAAAGCUACGGGAUGUGCGGACUUUAAUCAGUGAAGGAGUUUUUGAGGUGGUGGCUGACAGAGCUCCAGAGCCUGUAGCAGAUGAAAGACCUACUGAGCCAACAAUAGUAGGCUUGCAAUCACAACUUGAACAAGUUUGGAGAUGUCUUGUAGUAGAAGAAUCAGUGGGAAUCAUUGGCCUAUAUGGUAUGGGCGGUGUUGGUAAAACCACACUAUUGACCCAUAUCAACAAUAAAUUUCUUGAGAAUCCAAUCAACUUUGAUUGUGUGAUUUGGGUUGUAGUUUCAAAAGACCUGCGACUUGAAAAAAUUCAAGAAGAUAUUGGGAAAAAGAUAGGUCUGUUUGAUGAUUCAUGGAAGAGUAAAAGUGUAGAGGAGAAAGCUGUCGACAUCUUCCGGAGUUUAAGAGAGAAGAGAUUUGUAUUGUUGUUAGAUGAUAUAUGGGAGCGGGUUGAUUUAACAAAGGUGGGCGUUCCACUUCCCGGACCACAAAAUACUACCUCAAAAGUCGUAUUCACAACCCGUUCCAUCGAUGUUUGUGGCAGCAUGGAAAGUCACAGGAAGUUCCCAGUAGCAUGCUUAUCAGAAGAGGAUGCUUGGGAGCUGUUUCGAGAAAAAGUAGGGCAAGAAACUCUUGAGAGUCAUCAUGAUAUCGUUGAGCUAGCCCAAACUGUGGCCAGAGAGUGUGAUGGUUUGCCACUCGCACUUCUUACUAUUGGUCGAGCUAUGGCCUGCAAAAGGACAGCAGAGGAGUGGAGACACGCAGUUGAAGUGCUAAGAAGAUCAGCUUCUGAGUUUGCAGGUUUGGGAGAAAAGGUGUACUCUCUUUUAAAAUUCAGCUAUGAUAGUUUGCAGAAUGAGACGAUUAAAUCUUGUUUCUUAUAUUGUUGUUUAUAUCCCGAAGAUUAUGGAAUUCUUAAAUGGGACUUGAUUGAUUGUUGGAUUGGUGAGGGAUUCUUAGAGCAAUCUGACAGGCUUAGUGCAGAAUACCAAGGAUACUACAUUGUGGGCACUCUUGUUCAAGCAUGUUUAUUAGAAGAGUUAGAAGAUGAUAAAGUAAAAAUGCAUGACGUUAUUCGUGAUAUGGCUCUAUGGAUAACCAGUGAAAUUGAGAAGGAGAAGAGAAACUUUUUGGUUCGUGCAGGUGCUGGAUUAAAAGAGGCACCGGCUGUUAAAGGAUGGGAAAAUGUGAGAAGAUUGUCACUGAUGCAAAACCAAAUUGAAACUCUGUCAGAGGUUCCUACAUGCCCUCAUCUCCUCACUUUAUUUCUUGACUUUAAUCAGGAGUUGGAGAUGAUCGCGGAUGGUUUCUUCCAAUUUAUGCCUUCUCUCAAAGUUUUGAAGAUAUCAAACUGUGGAAACAUUUUUCAAUUACCUGUUGGGAUGUCAAAGUUGGGUUCACUAGAACUUCUUGAUAUUUCACAUACCUUCAUAAAAGAGUUACCAGAAGAGUUAAAGAAGUUGGUAAAUCUGAAAUGUUUGAAUUUGAGGUGGACAAGGGAGUUAAAUAAAAUUCCACGGCAACUAAUAUCAAAUUCUUCAAGGUUACGUGUGUUGAGAAUGUUCGCUACUGGCUACAUACGAUUCGAUGAUGCACCAGAAGACGGCGUUUUAUUUGGUGGGGGUGAAGUUUUGAUACAGGAAUUGCUCGGUUUGAAAUAUUUAGAGGUAUUGGAGUUGACCUUGGGAAGUUAUCAUGCUCUCCAAAUUCUUUUGAGCUCAAAUAAGUUAAAAAGUUGUAUUCGAUCUCUUUACCUCGAGUUGACCGGAGAUACAACGUCAAUUAUUGAUGCUACGGCUUUCGCAGAUCUAAACCACCUCAAUGAAUUAUAUAUUAAUAAUGGUAUUGAGUUGGAAGAAUUGAAGAUUGAUUAUACGCAGAUAGUACGAAAAAGGCGGGAACCUUUUGUUUUCCGCAGCCUUCACCGUGUUACUGUUAUGGAUUGCCAUAAAUUGAAAGAUGUGACAUUCCUCGUUUUUGCUCCAAACCUCAAGUCUCUUACGCUAUUCGAUUGCGGUGCUAUGGAAGAAAUAAUCAGCGUCGGAAAAUUUGCUGAGACUCCUGAGAUGAUGGGACAUAUAAGCCCUUUUGAAAAUCUCCAAUUGCUUGAUUUAGAUAAUUUGC
rnacentral:lncRNA from 1 species